rnacentral:lncRNA from 1 species
UGUUUCUGUUUCAGAGUCCACUGUUUCAGUUUCAGAGUCCACUGUUUCAGUUUCAGAGCUCCACGCUUGCUUUGCUCCAUUCAGAAUCUUCACUCUGUAAGACUUCCUGUCGUCACUACGCCAACCAUCGUCAGUACGACAGUCGGGUAACUCCCUGCUACCAUUUAUGAGUAUCCCGCAAUCAUCUGGUAUUUUUGAGCUUAAUGGAUCAAGAAUCCUUCCCACUGAUUUGCAGUUAUCAAUAUUCAACCACUGCAAGAACUCUAAUUCAUCAAUGCCCUCCACAACCUGCAGGCUCGGGCAACGGUGAAUCUUUAACCGCUUCAAGUUCUUCGAGUUUGACAAACCGCCUAAGCUUUUUAACGAAAAGCACUUUUUUACAUAAAUUUCUUCCAAUGAUUCGAACGUAGUAACAAAUUGAAUAUCCUGUACCUCGAGGAACCUUGACAGAAUAAAUUGUAUAAGCGUCUUUUGGGAGCUUGGGAAAAGUAUCACUCCCCUCCAAUGAUCAAUCAACUCGGGAGCUUGUAGUCCAUUGCACCCCGGCUCCUCCGGCUGACAAACCAAACUCUCGGAAGAUCUGCAGUCCUGAAUACGUGAUCUUUCUGACGAUUCUAAGACAUCGAGAGAUUGAACAUCAAGUUGCUCGGAGACCUUGUUUUCUUUCGAUUUUCCCAAACUUGUUGGAAGGAAUGGAGUCUCCUUUUCCGAUGGAGGAAGCCCAUCGAGGUGUACUUGUUUCCCUCCAGUUUCGUAGAGCUUUAAAACUAUCAAAUUUGACGGGAGGUGUUUGAAAGUUGGCAAGUCUUGUCCCUGUAGAGUAAGUUCUUUCAGCAGAGAAAGGGAACCCAACUCUGUAGUUGGCGCGCGAACAUUUGUAAAGCAGACGAGCAGGUUGCUCAAUUUGGUUAAACUCCCAAUCCACCCCAAGUCGCCAGUUUGGAAUUCAUUCGAUGGGUCUCUACCUUCAUUUGUGUCUCUGAAGCCGUAUCUGUCUAUGACGCCGUAUCUCUCUUCAUAGCCAUCAGAUAGGAGCAGUUCAACUAUAUUAGUAAGGUAUGAGAGGUUAGGGACAGUUUGCAGGGAAAAAGAACUAAGCCGUAAAGUGGUCAAACUUAUGGGGAGCUUUGGCAACUCUUGUAUCUUAUGACACUGAUCCAUGUCCAGUGUUUGGAGUUGACGAAACUUGACAAGUUUGGUAGUUCACCAAUGGUAUCCGGUAAUUUCAUAAUUUUUGUGUGUGAUACAUCCAGCUCCGUUAACGACUUUAUUUUCAAAACUGAGGCGGGGAGUUCAAUCAACCCGAAACAUCGCUUAAGACAGAGGCACUGCAAAUUUUGUAACUCUCCAAUUUGUUCAGGCAAUUUUUUAAUUGAACAACAAUGCUCAAAAGUCAAGUCAAUCAACCACCUCAGUUUCCCAAUAGAACGAUCAAUUUUCAUUAAAGAUCCAAAAGACUCAAUAGUCAACUUCUUUAAAUUUGAGUACUCGGGAAAGGUUGGUGUCUCACUUAUCAAAGCAUUACACCGAAUAGUGAGAACCGUCAAUUUCCUUGCCCCCUACAAAAGCCAAUAAAACAGUAAGACAUACAAGAAAUAAAUAUGGAUUUAGGUUACCAAUGAGAAAAUUAGUUAAUAAACACGUCAAAUUAUGUCCUUCAUUGAAUGAGAAAAUUAGACUAAGAGGGAAACCGGCAUACCUUGAUUAGGCUAUCUAACACAUCUUUUGUGAUUUCAAUCCCAUAAAGAUUCGCCACAACCACGUUUUCUAGAUGCAACAAAUUGGUUGCCUCCAAAUGUUGAUUACAAGAUCCGAUCGUACUAUAAUGGUAACAAUGCAAACGGAUCCAUUUCAACUCAGAAAGACAGCCCGUAAAGUCACCUCGGUAGGUUACAUUAGGCAAUGAAAGAAACCGCAUACGUGGAAACCGUUUAAUUUGCUCCGAAGUGACAGUCCAAUGAGGAGGAAAAUAACUCCAUGGCAAAUGGAGUGCUUGAACGCUUUCUUUGAUCUGCCAAUUCGUAGAAGAGAAGAGAAAAUGAAACAAAAGAGUAGCUCUCAAAUCAAAAAGUGAAUAUUGAAUUAAGAAGAGGUAUAAGCAAUUUUCUAUUCAAUUUAGGCCAUACUUUACCUCUGUUGAUCUUAAUUCGUGAAUGAUGUCGUCUCCAUCCCACAAUCCGGUACGCUCGUUUUUGGCAAUUGCCCUUCCAAGAUCUCUAAAUUGAUCGUGCAUCCAAAGGCUAUUAUUGUCUAACUCCUUUAUCAUGCAUCUGUUCAUGAGGACAUCCAUGGCAUCCUCUGGGUACAAAUUACAAUCUUUCCACACGUACAUUGGAUUAGUCUUAUUCUCACCAGCAAAAUAGCAUGCAAUAUCAAGAAAUAUCUAUUUUUCAUUCUGAUGUAAGGCAUCAUAGCUAAUCUUUAGUUUUGCCAAGACAUCCUCAUGAGGUGUUUUCUUUAGCCUCUCUAGCCACUCUUCCCAUAGCUCUCUCUUUUUCCCAAAAAGUGAUGAACCAAUUGCUUGAAGAGCUAAAGGUAGUCCACAUGUAGUAUCGACAAUGCCCUUUGAAAGAGCGCAAUAAUCAGCUGGAGGAGAGUCUUCAUUGAAGGCAUGCCUACUAAAAAGUUUAAGUGCAUCUUUACCGAUCAACCCCAUCAUUUCAUAAUCCUUAAAUUCAUACUUAAGUUUCCUGUUAGUCAAAACGUUCUUGUCCCUGGUGGUAACAAGUAUUCUACUACCUCGAUGCAAAGAUUUCUCUGCAAUUAGUUGUAGGAUCUGGUUGGCCUCAUCAACAUCAUCCAAUACAAUUAGCACCUUCUUGUUGGAAAUUGUUGCUUCAAUCGUAUCAAUCCCUUCAUCAAUCUUAUUAAUUUUGUGAGCCACUCCAGAAUAAGAGAUAUCAGACAAUAAUUUUUUUUGUAGCUCAACCAUGUUCUUGUUUUUUGCCGUUUCCCUCACGUCAUCAAGAAAGCUGCAGUUUCUGCCAAAUCGAGGACAUAGUUCGUUGAAGAUAGUCUUGGCGAGUGUUGUUUUACCAAUGCCGCCCAUCCCGUAGAUUCCAAUGAACUGCACAUCAUCAGAAUCAAUGUCUAAUAAUUUCUUUAUGUUUGCUAUUUGAUCUUCCAUUCCAACGAAAUCUCCGGUUACACGUCUCCGUUUUGUCAAGAGCUUGGCCAUAACCUCGUCAACAAUAGCCUGGAUGAGUUUUAAAGGGCUGCCACAAAGUUGAACAGUUUCAAUUGAGCAAACGUGACAAAUUUGCAUAUUGACCAUCUACUAACCAACCGGGUGGGGACGCGAUCAAGUUUAAAAAUAUAGAAGAGAAAUGUUCGAUCUUUAUAUCAGGUAGAAGAAUCAGAAUUUCUGGCAGAAAAGGGUACAAGAAUCAAAAUAUAAACAUCUAAUGAAUUAAUGUACUGAAAUAUUUACUUAAAUAAAAAAAAUGGCAGCCCGAUUAUACAAAAUAAUUUUCACAAUCAUGGUUAGAUUGUUACCUUAAAUGUUUCUCCACCUCCCAUCCCUUGAUGCCACCAACUUCUACGAGACUCCCGCCACGUCUUUAUAUUCUCGGAGCUGAACUUAUGCUCCUAAUCCUCCAUCUCUUGCUCCAAAUUCAAUAUGACAUCCUUGUAUAACGGUGUUUGCAGCUUCGCAUCUUUGGGCUUCACGUCAUAGAAGAUGGGUAAUAUGACCUUCUCUUUCCCAUCUUCUUUAUGUUUAGAGGUGUUCUCCACCAUUUUCGCAAGCUCAUCAAGGCACCAGUGACUUGAAGCGUAAUCGUUGGAGAAGAUGGGUAUGUAAAGCUUGCAAUUGUCAAUCACUUGCAAAAGGUUGCUAAUUUUUUCACCAGGUUGAAGCCCUACGUCAUCGAUGGAAACACGAAUCCCGGCAUCUACCAGGGCUUGGUGGAGGAUAUUGGUGAAUGGAAGACGAGUAUCAGGCCCUCUAAAACUCAGGAAAACCUGGUAUUCACCUCCUACCGUGUUGCUGGUGCUCGUCACUGUCUCUGAGUUUGCCAUAGGAGCUCACUUCGCACUUAACAACGUCAACCCUCUCACCUCGUCUCUGAGUUCGCAAUAUGACAUUUCACAUAUUUGAAUCCGAUCCCAUUUGCCAUCCAAAACGCGGUCAACGCGUGUCGAGUUUUCCGACACGUAGUCAACUUUUUUCGACUCGUCUCGACACGCGUGUCGGAUGGAAGCGAGGGCGGGGGAGGAGAGACGAGGCCGCGAGCGACAGCGAGCCCGCGACGGCGAGAAACCGCCAGAGAAAGAGUAGAGAUUGAGGCGCCAGAGAAAGAGUCGAGACCGAAGCAAGGGCGGCUGUAGAGACUGAGGAGAGGGCGGCCGCAGUGAUGCUGCGGAUCGGCGACGAGGCUGCAACUGCAAGUGAGGAAGGGCCGAAGCGAGGCGGAGGAGGAGGAGAGGAUCGAGAGGAGAGAGAGGACGGGGUUGUAUGGAGGUCGUCGUCCGGNNNNNNNNNNNNNNNNNNNNNNNNNNNNNNNNNNNNNNNNNNNNNNNNNNNNNNNNNNNNNNNNNNNNNNNNNNNNNNNNNNNNNNNNNNNNNNNNNNNNNNNNNNNNNNNNNNNNNNNNNNNNNNNNNNNNNNNNNNNNNNNNNNNNNNNNNNNNNNNNNNNNNNNNNNNNNNNNNNNNNNNNNNNNNNNNNNNNNNNNNNNNNNNNNNNNNNNNNNNNNNNNNGAGGGAAAAAAGUGAAAUAAAUUUGGGAGCGGGGGGAAACUUUGUUUUAAUCGGAAAAAAUAAAUGAAUAAUUUUAAAAAAUAAAAAUACUGAAUUUUAGAUGAUAAUAAAUUUUGAUCAUUGUAAAAAAAAUCAUAGAUUUAUUUAAAUAAGUUGAUUGUAAUUUUCAAUGAAUUAAUUUAUUAAUAUUAUUAGUGUAAAUUCAUUGUAGGUUCUUUUUUUAAUUAAUUAAUUAAUUAUGAAUUUAAAUCAAAUUAAAUAUAAAUAAAAAUAUUUAUUUAAUAUUUAACGUGUCGGAAGAUAUCGAAAUUUUUUACUUUUUGAGAAAUGACGUAUAAUGUAUCGUGUCGUGUCGUGUCACUUAUCGCAUAUCGCGUGUCGGUGCUACAUACGUGUACACUUAGUCAAGUUGAUGACUUCAAAAAAUAAAAAUAAGGAAAAUGACGCUAAUGGAGACGCACCUUUUUACACUCCCAAUGUCAUUCGAGUUUCUUCCUUUGUCCUUUUCACUUUGUGCUUUUGAAAAAGAAAAAUACGGUGGAGGACGAUAAUGGAGGUGCACCUUUUUGCAUGCCCAAUGUCUUCCGAGUUUCUCCUUUGUGCUUGUCGCGACCUAAUUUUCGCGGGUUCACCACCUAAAACUAGGUAAAUGGACUGCUAAGCUUUUACACUUAGCUCGGGCUCUCCCAAGCCCAUAUCAAAUCGCGACUUAAGUCUAAAUUUUUAAACAUGCAAGAGGUUAUUAUCUAGGAGUCGCUACUAAUCAGUUUAUGGUAGGUCGAUUAGACACCUAAGUAAAAUAAUGGGAGAAUUACUUUACUCCUACGAACCAGAGACUAAGGGUACGGGGACUUGAUUACAUUAGAUUUCUCUAAUGCCCUUUCGGUACCAUUCUUUUUAUUUUCAAAAAUGUUUGGCAAUUGAAUUGAUUUUAAUCUAACUUCCUAACAUGUGAGGUAAUCAUACGUGUGCGCAUACCACCAAUUUAACACACAAGACAGCAAUUUAAUAUUGCAAAACAUACCUAGGAGCAAUAAAAGCAUCUACAUUGUUAAAUCAGAAAUCACAUCAGCAGCCAUAGAUAUGAUUUCUAAUUAACACGCAAUUUCAAUUUUUUUGUUUUCACUUUAUUUAAUGAAAAUCAUGACUUAUGCAAUGCAUCUAAUAUGACAUGGCAGCAUGACCUAAACUAUAUGACAUGAAGAAAUGCAAGAAUUAAAUGCCAUCUAAAUGACCUAAUUCUAAUGACAUGCAAUGCGAAGCAAUGACAUACAAAAUUCUUUAAACUAAGAUGACAUGCCGCAUAUAAUUUAGCACGCGAGUUAUAUGUCAUGCGACAUUUAUUAAAUGAUUUAGUCUAAUGACGAUGAAGUUCUAAUGAACCUAAUAAAAACUAAAUGACGUGCAUUUGAUAUUUCUAUUUAAAAAUGCGAAAAUAAUCUAGCUAGAUUAAAAUUCAAUCUAACUUAAACUAAGGAUUAAGUCACAUUAAAUCCUAAUUUAAACUAAGAUAUUAUCUUAAUCUAACAUGUAAUUGGUCUAAUAUGCAAUGACGUGCGGAGCAAGCCCUAAUGACAUAUGCAUGAUAUUUUUUAUAUUUUAUUUUUUAUUUAAAAUUCAAAAUUUAAAAUUGCCACGUAAUUAAACAUGCAACUAAAGUCCUAAAUAAAUGCAUUUUUUUAAAUAUUUUUUGAACUAAAAUCCCUAUCCUAGCUAUGCAAGAUAACAAGAAAUAUUCUAAAACAAACUGAAUCCUAAUUCAAAUAUUUUUUUAGAUUUUUUUAAUGAUUCUCUAAAACAAGCCAUUAUCAAUUAAACAGUAAAUCUAAACAAUCAAGAUAUGCAAUCAUAUAAAGGAUCAAAAUAACCGAAAAAAAUAACCUGUUGUCUCACAGGUCAAAUUAACGAUUAUCCUAACCCUAAUUAUCACAACAAAGAGUUCAAAAUAACUAAAAUCUGAUCCGAAUUCUUACGGAUCAAAUUAAUAGUUAUAUUGAUUCAACACUAUCGACAAAUCCCAGAAAUUAUUAUAAUAAAAAAAAAAUGAUCCGAGAUCUUACGGAUCAAAUUAGUAAUUACAAUAAUUCUAGGGAAUAUCCUGUGGAUAAUGCCUACAAAAUCCAUAAAAUAAAGAUCACUCCUGAACUUAAAAGAAAUAAAUAAAAUAAAGUAAAUAGAAAAAGAAUAAAACUACCUAAUUUCCCUUUUCUUUUCUUUUUUUGUUUUUCUUUUCCUGCUUGUAACCGUGGGUCUCCAAGGCAGCGAGUUAAUCGGCACGGCAAAGGGGAUCACCGACGAGGGGGAAUUCCGGCGAGGCAAGGCAGCAGGCACAGCUGGUCACGGGUCAGGUGAGACAGGGACGGCAUGAGCGAAACCAUCGGUCUUCGGGCACCGGCAAAGGUGCGCGAGUGCAGCAGUAGCUGAGGCGGUCUGGCGUCGUGGGUGAGGAGGAAUCAGCGAGCAGUGGACUCACGGCUUCGAGCGGGCGGAGUAGGGCAGGAAAAGCUCCGGCGUCAGGCUUCACGGGCGGUGACCGGCGGGCUUUGUGAGGAGACAACAGACGCGCGGCGAGAGGCGAGCUGCUGUGGCGCCGGUGCUCGGGAGGAGGGAUGCAGGCGGAGAUGCGGCACGGAGAUCUGAGCGCGAUGGUGUGGCGCGGUGCAGGAGGGGUCACGGACGACUGGGCUGGCGUCGCGGGUUGCUCGCGAAGGAGGCGCGACGAGGCUCGGCGUCGUGGUGGCACGGUUCGUCGGGUCUUGUAGACGGAGACCGGCGGCUACGUCGACGCGGGGAAGGCGGAGGCGCGGCGGAGCUUCACGGAUCGUCGAGUUGGGCGAUGGGCAGUGCUCAAGUGUGGGGCACACGGAUGAUCAACCGGACAGGAGCAAGGAGACACGUCGGUGAAGGGACUGGACACCAGGAAAGCUUUGCCGAAGAAGAUGAAUAGGAAAAACUUUUCCUUCUUUUUUUACUUUUCCCUUUCCUCUCUCCUCUGCAGCCGCACACUUUCCUUUCUUUUUGCUUUUUGUGCUUCUUUCCUUUUCCCAAGACCUUCACGGACGGCCUCCCUCUCCUCUUUCACUUUUUGCUUUUUUCUCUCUUUUUUUAACUGCAAAACUUCUCUCCACUUUUCUGAAUUUUUUUUCAAAAGAAGCUCCUCCUUCUCCACAUACCUGAUUGCUUUUUAUAGGUGAAAAUAGGUAAUCUUCGUAGAAUAUUUUAUCUCGUUUUUUCAAUAUACACGAAGAUAAUCUAUAACCUCCCGAUCACCCAAAAUCUUCUUAUUUUCCUUAUCUCUUGAAUAUCUCUAAUGAUUUUAUUGCCUAUUGAUAAAGAUGAUAUUGCAAUGCGGUUUUCUCAAUCUUCAAAAAUCAUCAGAAUAUUGCAUCAAAAUUUCAAUUUUUCACAAGAUAAUUGAUUUGCAAAAAAUAAUGGGCUUGGGCUAUUUUGCUCAUUUCAUGGGCUUAGCCCGACCUGCCAAUUUAAAACCCGAAAACACCAAUUCGACCCAUCCGCCAAUCGGUUCAGUAAAUAAAUGCAAAAUAUGCAAACUAAAUGUAGCUAUGCAAUAUUUUUUUUCAGGGAUAAAAUUAACCCCUAAUUUUUUAUGCAAUAAAUGACUAAAUGGAUCGCCAAAAUUUAGGUGUCAACAGCUGCCCCUCUUUGAAGGUGAGCUCGAAGAGGUUGCCUUCAAAAACAAAUUGAGAUCUAAAUUUUGACAAUGCAAAUGCACUGAAUGAUUUUUUUUUUUUUUUCAGAAAAUGAAUUCCAUUUUUUAAUGCAAUGUAUAUGAUGCAUGGAAAUGCUAAUGCAGAUGAUAAAAGACUUACCUGGAAUGACUUACCUUCAAGGAGGGUAGAGUGAUUCAAGAUAGUUGGUGUUACAUGUCCAGGACUCGUACCAUUCUACGGUCGCCCGGAAUAGUAACAUGGUUUUGCAAAGAGACUGCUUCCCUAGGACCCGUACCAUUCUACGGUCGCCCAGUAUGGCAGUGUUUGAUUGUGUCUAGGACCCGUACCAUUCUACGGUCGCCUAAACAGGGAUUUACCUUCCAGGACCCGUAUCAUUUUACGGUCGCCUGAAUAGGGAAAUAGGUUUUGUCUAGGACCCGUUCUAUUCUACGGUCACCUAAACGGGGGUUUACCUUCCAGGACCCGUACCAUUCUACGGUCGCCUGAAUAGGGAAAUAGAUGUUGUCUAGGACCCGUUCUAUGCUACGGUCACCUAAACGGGGGUUUACCUUCCAGGACCCGUACCAUUCUACGGUCGCCUGAAUAGGGAAAUAGAUGUUGUCUAGGACCCGUUCUAUGCUACGGUCACCUAAACGGGGGUUUACCUUCCAGGACCCGUACCAUUCUACGGUCGCCUGAAUAGGGAAAUAGAUGUUGUCUAGGACCCGUUCUAUGCUACGGUCACCUAGACUGAGGUUUUGCUUGGCUAGGACCCGAACCAUUCUUCGGUCGCCCAGCCUUGCAAAAGAGAUCAACUGACCAGGACCCGAACCGUUCUUCGGUCGCCUUAAUCAGAUUGGCUCUGGAGGAAAAUCUUUGGGGGACAACUCAGUCGAGUGUCGAUUAAAAGGGACUCUGGGCUACAAAAGCACGCCAGGUCGAUAAAAGAAAUCCGGGCUACGGAAGCACGCCGAUUUGGUAUAAAUGGACAUCGGGCUACGAAAGCACACCGGGUCAAUGAAUGGGACUCUGGGCUACGAAAGCACGCCAGGUCAAUAUAAAGGACACCGGGCUACUGAAGCACGCCGGGUCAAUGAGAAAGGGACUCUGGGCUACAAAAGCACACCAGGUCAAUAUAGAGAGACAGCUUGACCGAGUCAAGUGUCGAUAAUGGGUAGAGAUAUACUUACCUGAUGAUAUCUCUGAUUCUUUGGGAUAUGUCUUUUGGAAAUUAGAUAUCCUGUGGAGGCCUUUCACCUCCUAAUAUCAUGAAACAUUCUGAAAGGAACUUGAAUUACCUGUCAGACAUGAUUUAGAGCAAAAACUGAUAUGCAUUCAUUAAAGAGAUAAACAAUCUAAGCUACUCUAGAAUGCACAUUUCAAAAUUCAGUGAGGUUUUCAUCAACUCAAUCGGGGUUUAUGCAUAAUGACCUUUGCAUCACCCAAAUUUCCACUGGAGAGAAUUAUCAUUCAAGACAAUUUUCACUCAUGACAUGGAUUUCUUAAGAAUACCAAAUGAGGGACCUUCAAUUAGAAAGGACUUUCACUCACUCUCAUUUAGAAGCUAUUUUAUGAGAAUCACUCCAUCUCACUAUCAUCACACCAACAAGGGUCCGAGUUUUCUCACAAGAGGUACAACCUUACCAAUCUGAGAGAUCUUUAAUAGGGACCGUAAUGUGGGCUUGGUUAAUGGCUUAACAAAGGGACUCUUUGAGUCAAGGCAAUUGAAAGAACAAUUUUGUAAUCAUCUCCGGGUUUACAAGUCAAGAACCUUGCAAAAUGAGAACGAAAUGAUCUUGCUCGUACUUCUUCGAGCGAUGCUUAUAAACAUAUGAACUCCUAUGUUAAUUCAAGUGCCCUAAUCUGAAGAGACUUUGUAAAGGACGUAACGUAGGCUAGGUUCAUGGGUUGAGAAAUGACAUGAUCAUUAGGCUCAAAACAUGUGUUAAGGGUGAGAGUUGAUGAUCAUCUUGGCAUUGCCACCAGUUUUCUUUUUCACCAUUGGGGAUUGUCUUCAUGAAGUGCCCCAUUGAUUAUGAAAACUCAACUUUUGAGUUCUUUGAGUAUUGCUCCAUUGAGACUCAAUUCUUGUCAUUAAGAGUCACCUAUCUUGACUCUUUUUUUCAUCUAUGGGCAUUGGCCUUGCUUUUACCAGGCACACCACUUUUUCACGCCCCCUAGUUUUCAUUCACUUUUCUUCACUUCUUUUCAUGGGCAUUGGCCUUGCUUUUACCAGGCACACUGCUUUUUUUAUGCCCCUUAGUUCUAUUUUGAAUUCAAUUCUUGCACAUAAUGCAUGCGUCAAGUAAACUACACUUUGAAUGACACUUGAACUUUUCAAGAGUCUUCAUUUGCCUUUUGUCUUGCCCCAGUGUGGGGGAUGAUCACCAACUGGGUUUAAAGAAAUAAAAUUGCAGGCUCAAAUGGGCUAUGCAAAGGAUAUAGGUGUAUGGGAUAGAAAAAGAAAUGCUCUUCAUCAUCCUAAAGCACUUAAAUUAACACAUGAAUUCACUGUAAUAGCAUGACUUGAAGAUUGAUGCAAGUGAGAGCAAGAAGAUUUCAAUUCAUUUUCCUCACCUCAUGAUGCCAUUUGAUCUCUUAGUUGCCCCGAUGUGGGGUGAUUCUUGACAGGGGUAAUUUGAAAAGAAUCUCCACAAGUGUAUAAGGCUCAAAAGGGUUAAGCAAUGGAUCACCUAUAGUGUUUGGGAUAGAGAAAUAAACUGCCUCUCAUCAUUUUGGUCAUCGUACCUUUUGCAAGAGAACUCUUUACCUUGAAGAUAUGGAACUUCCUACACUCAUCUAUCAAGUGUAUAAGUAGGGGACCGUGUAUAGGGUAAGGCUUGCCUUUCAUCAUACUGACACGUCUCAUUCAGCAUUCUUAAGCAUUGAUAUCACUCCAUUAAAUUGUCUAUCUUGACAAAUCUCCACAUGAAAUUGGUUAGCUAAAUCAAUAUGAAAAUUCUCUUUUCAAAUGAGUCCAGCAACUUUAAGCAUGAAAAGUGUUUGUGACUUCAAAACAAACAAUUUAUUGCACUCAAAACAUGGUUUUAAGCAUUCAUUCAGGGGAUUGCUCUAGAAAGGGAUAGCCGUCUUUUAUCAAUCAAAAGUGAAAAUUCGCCUUUUGAUUUGAUGAAUACUUCGUUCUUGCUUUUGCCCCUGCACAAGAGAACGUGCAUGAAUAGGAUACUAUGCAACUCAAAGUAAAUUCAAAUGGCACAACCAUUUUGGCUCGGAUCGAGAUUUUGUCUCAGUCAUGUCACUACUAGAAUCUAUAGUACCCCAAUUCUUCAUCUGCAAGGAAAAGAACAAAAGUGUCAAUUCCGAAAUUAAUUAUAUUCAUGAACGCAAUGUAUCCAUUUCAUUUAAGACGGAUGAUCUUCUUUUGACUUGUUUCAUCAUUUUCUCAUGGAAAUGAGAAACUUCAUUUGGCCUUCGAGAAUGACAUUUCACACAAAUUGUUAUGAGAUGUGCCACAUAUCACACUUUGGAGUCCAUAUGAUUUUCUUCACUCUUGGGAGAUGUCAUCAAGAUCAGUUAGGAAAUGAUCAUUUGCCCCCACAUCUAUUUUUCCUCUCAGAUGUAUGUUCCCAAAUCAAUGGGCCUACUAUCAUUGGAAAUUGAUGCGUUAUUUUCAAACGCCUCUCUGUUAUGCUCUGAGACAUGAAGUAAAUGAGUUAGAAAAACAUACAAAGGUAACCUAAUGCAUGCUUUUUGGAAAUGGCUUGAAAAAUGAUUUUUUUUUUUUGUUCUUUUGGAUUUUUUUUUUAUGAGGAAGCAUGAAGAAGCCCAGUCCUCAGAAUUCUCCUUGGAUGAUAUUUUCUUUUCAUUGUUGGAUAUCGUCACCGGGUUGGUUUGGUAUACCCCAUCAUGUCCUCAAAAUUAGAAAUAAAAUUGUAAUUUCGUCAGAUGAAUUACAUUAUUGGAAUGGAAAUUGUGAUUCCUAAACCCCCUAAAAGAGAAAAAAUCGAAAAUGAUUCCUAAAAAGCGAAAACUAAUUCCUAAAAAGCAAUAAAAAUUCCCAUGCAGGGGAAGAUGCAACUGAGCAUGCCCCAAGGAAAGUGAACUACUUAGGACUAUGAAUCAUGUAUGCUCGAGUUCUUCACCCUCCUUGCUCGUGUGAUGCGAACCUUUCAAGUCUGAGAUUCUUCCUUCUAGAUAUGUCACGAGUCUCUUCAUGGUGGCAUCAAAUUCAGCUACCUCGGGAAAGUGAGACGAUUCAAAAGUUCUCUUGGCUCUCUUCUUCGAGUCGCAAAUUCUUAUUGAAGAUGGAGUACCUAUGUCAUCGCAGCCUUUUUGCUUGAUGAGAAAAGUCACAGUAGUAGACAAUUCAUUGACUUGAUUUUGGUGGUGUGCAAUUUGCUUGUUCAUAUUAUCAAUGAUAUGGUCCAGCGCCUCAUUUCGAUCCGCCAUUUUAGCUCUCGACCGUGUACGGAUGGGUGAGCGAGAUCGCUUCAUAAUCACCUAAUAAAAAAAUAAAUGGGAACAUGUAAGCAUGAAGUGUAAAUAGAAAGCUAGUUCAUGACAACCAUUUAAUUUUAAUCAAGAAAAGUCCACAUAUGAAGAGGAAUUCCUAAAAACGGACUAGGAAAAUAAAGACAGGGGACGCCCCAGUAGGGACGAAAUUUCCUAAACAUGAACUAGCAAAAGCCAAGACAUAAAUUGAAAACAAAUUUCCAAUUUUUAUUUUCCAAAUGAUUCAUUGUAUGGCAAUUCAUUUCAUUUUUUAAAGGAAUUAGAUCAAAUGACUAUCCUAGAUUGUCAUGAACAAACCAAAAGCAUGACAAAAUAAGAUGCAUGGUAUAGGGAUAGAAAACUUACUUUACCAAGAAAAAUCAACGGCGAUCACAUAGACAUGCACAUGAAAUGUGAGGCUCGAUUUCUGUCUAAAUGGCUUAACAAGGUGGAGCUAAGAGGAUAAUCUUACCGUUGCAGUCUCGCAUUAACGUGUCAGGUCCCCCUAACUCCGGCUCAGUCGAAUGGAAUACCCAAUAAUCACGCAGUCUCGCGGAUAUGGAUAAACACAUUCGACACCAUGAAAGAAAUUUCGGGGAAGAGAAGGUCAACCUCUACAUAGCAGUCUCGCUUUGGAGGAAGUAUCCUUCUCAACACCAUCCUAAAAAUCCUAUCGCAGCCCAGGUCCGACCGCAGGUUGUGUGUGCAAAAGUGUAGUGCUAAAGCAAUAAAGCAUGCACAACAGUUUAAAUGCAAACAACACUUCUAUAGUUUUAAUUCAAACAUUCAUCCCUAACUCCAACCUGCAAAACAAGGGUUAGCAAAGACUACUCCCCUUAUACCUCCUAUCUGCAAGAACAUUUAACACCUUAGGAAUGUUAGGGACAUACCUGGGAUCCUAUGCUGCCAAACAAAAAUAUUUUUUUAAAAAGAAAUUGGCCUAAGUCCACUAAGUGUUUUAACACAAGUCCCCAGUGGAGUCGCCAAGCUGUCGCGACCUAAUUUUCGCGGGUUCACCACCUAAAACUAGGUAAAUGGACUGCUAAGCUUUUACACUUAGCUCGGGCUCUCCCAAGCCCAUAUCAAAUCGCGACUUAAGUCUAAAUUUUUAAACAUGCAAGAGGUUAUUAUCUAGGAGUCGCUACUAAUCAGUUUAUGGUAAGUCGAUUAGACACCUAAGUAAAAUAAUGGGAGAAUUACUUUACUCCUACGAACCAGAGACUAAGGGUACGGGGACUUGAUUACAUUAGAUUUCUCUAAUGCCCUUUCGGUACCAUUCUUUUUAUUUUCAAAAAUGUUUGGCAAUUGAAUUGAUUUUAAUCUAACUUCCUAACAUGUGAGGUAAUCAUACGUGUGCGCAUACCACCAAUUUAACACACAAGACAGCAAUUUAAUAUUGCAAAACAUACCUAGGAGCAAUAAAAGCAUCUACAUUGUUAAAUCAGAAAUCACAUCAGCAGCCAUAGAUAUGAUUUCUAAUUAACACGCAAUUUCAAUUUUUUUGUUUUCACUUUAUUUAAUGAAAAUCAUGACUUAUGCAAUGCAUCUAAUAUGACAUGGCAGCAUGACCUAAACUAUAUGACAUGAAGAAAUGCAAGAAUUAAAUGCCAUCUAAAUGACCUAAUUCUAAUGACAUGCAAUGCGAAGCAAUGACAUACAAAAUUCUUUAAACUAAGAUGACAUGCCGCAUAUAAUUUAGCACGCGAGUUAUAUGUCAUGCGACAUUUAUUAAAUGAUUUAGUCUAAUGACGAUGAAGUUCUAAUGAACCUAAUAAAAACUAAAUGACGUGCAUUUGAUAUUUCUAUUUAAAAAUGCGAAAAUAAUCUAGCUAGAUUAAAAUUCAAUCUAACUUAAACUAAGGAUUAAGUCACAUUAAAUCCUAAUUUAAACUAAGAUAUUAUCUUAAUCUAACAUGUAAUUGGUCUAAUAUGCAAUGACGUGCGGAGCAAGCCCUAAUGACAUAUGCAUGAUAUUUUUUAUAUUUUAUUUUUUAUUUAAAAUUCAAAAUUUAAAAUUGCCACGUAAUUAAACAUGCAACUAAAGUCCUAAAUAAAUGCAUUUUUUUUAAUAUUUUUUUGAACUAAAAUCCCUAUCCUAGCUAUGCAAGAUAACAAGAAAUAUUCUAAAACAAACUGAAUCCUAAUUCAAAUAUUUUUUUAGAUUUUUUUAAUGAUUCUCUAAAACAAGCCAUUAUCAAUUAAACAGUAAAUCUAAACAAUCAAGAUAUGCAAUCAUAUAAAGGAUCAAAAUAACCGAAAAAAAUAACCUGUUGUCUCACAGGUCAAAUUAACGAUUAUCCUAACCCUAAUUAUCACAACAAAGAGUUCAAAAUAACUAAAAUCUGAUCCGAAUUCUUACGGAUCAAAUUAAUAGUUAUAUUGAUUCAACACUAUCGACAAAUCCCAGAAAUUAUUAUAAUAAAAAAAAAAUGAUCCGAGAUCUUACGGAUCAAAUUAGUAAUUACAAUAAUUCUAGGGAAUAUCCUGUGGAUAAUGCCUACAAAAUCCAUAAAAUAAAGAUCACUCCUGAACUUAAAAGAAAUAAAUAAAAUAAAGUAAAUAGAAAAAGAAUAAAACUACCUAAUUUCCCUUUUCUUUUCUUUUUUUGUUUUUCUUUUCCUGCUUGUAACCGUGGGUCUCCAAGGCAGCGGGUUAAUCGGCACGGCAAAGGGGAUCACCGACGAGGGGGAAUUCCGGCGAGGCAAGGCAGCAGGCACAGCUGGUCACGGGUCAGGUGAGACAGGGACGGCAUGAGCGAAACCAUCGGUCUUCGGGCACCGGCAAAGGUGCGCGAGUGCAGCAGUAGCUGAGGCGGUCUGGCGUCGUGGGUGAGGAGGAAUCAGCGAGCAGUGGACUCACGGCUUCGAGCGGGCGGAGUAGGGCAGGAAAAGCUCCGGCGUCAGGCUUCACGGGCGGUGACCGGCGGGCUUUGUGAGGAGACAACAGACGCGCGGCGAGAGGCGAGCUGCUGUGGCGCCGGUGCUCGGGAGGAGGGAUGCAGGCGGAGAUGCGGCACGGAGAUCUGAGCGCGAUGGUGUGGCGCGGUGCAGGAGGGGUCACGGACGACUGGGCUGGCGUCGCGGGUUGCUCGCGAAGGAGGCGCGACGAGGCUCGGCGUCGUGGUGGCACGGUUCGUCGGGUCUUGUAGACGGAGACCGGCGGCUACGUCGACGCGGGGAAGGCGGAGGCGCGGCGGAGCUUCACGGAUCGUUGAGUUGGGCGAUGGGCAGUGCUCAAGUGUGGGGCACACGGAUGAUCAACCGGACAGGAGCAAGGAGACACGCCGGUGAAGGGACUGGACACCAGGAAAGCUUUGCCGAAGAAGAUGAACAGGAAAAACUUUUCCUUCUUUUUUUACUUUUCCCUUUCCUCUCUCCUCUGCAGCCGCACACUUUCCUUUCUUUUUGCUUUUUGUGCUUCUUUCCUUUUCCCAAGACCUUCACGGACGGCCUCCCUCUCCUCUUUCACUUUUUGCUUUUUUCUCUCUUUUUUUAACUGCAAAACUUCUCUCCACUUUUCUGAAUUUUUUUUCAAAAGAAGCUCCUCCUUCUCCACAUACCUGAUUGCUUUUUAUAGGUGAAAAUAGGUAAUCUUCGUAGAAUAUUUUAUCUCGUUUUUUCAAUAUACACGAAGAUAAUCUAUAACCUCCCGAUCACCCAAAAUCUUCUUAUUUUCCUUAUCUCUUGAAUAUCUCUAAUGAUUUUAUUGCCUAUUGAUAAAGAUGAUAUUGCAAUGCGGUUUUCUCAAUCUUCAAAAAUCAUCAGAAUAUUGCAUCAAAAUUUCAAUUUUUCACAAGAUAAUUGAUUUGCAAAAAAUAAUGGGCUUGGGCUAUUUUGCUCAUUUCAUGGGCUUAGCCCGACCUGCCAAUUUAAAACCCGAAAACACCAAUUCGACCCAUCCGCCAAUCGGUUCAGUAAAUAAAUGCAAAAUAUGCAAACUAAAUGUAGCUAUGCAAUAUUUUUUUUCAGGGAUAAAAUUAACCCCUAAUUUUUUAUGCAAUAAAUGACUAAAUGGAUCGCCAAAAUUUAGGUGUCAACAGUGCUUUUCACUUUGUCUUGAUCUCUCCGCCUUGAAAACUUAACUUCAAUUAUAACCAAUUUCCUUCAACAACUCAAUUAUUGUCGUAAAAUGUGCCUUUAUAUUAAAAGGUGAAUGAUCAUUUAUUUCCUACUAACAACUAUUAGAAUGUGAGCAUGGUGUAGUUAGUGCAGUUUGGAUGUCAAAUCAAGCCAAACUAUAUAAAUAUAUUUUGAGUUUGAGCACCUCGGAUGAAAUAGGAUCAGAUGAGAAUUAUAGGAGCUCGGCCACUGUUCAAAAUUGGUGAGAGGAAGGGCAGUGAUGGCUUGUCAAAGGCCAUGAUGCCAGUCCAUUGCGGUAUUGCUUUGAGCACGAAAGAAAGAAAGAGAAACCAUGAUGGUCCUGACCACAAGAGACGGCUUUUGCUCAGCUGAAGAAGAGAGAACGAGAUUAAUGAUGGCCAUUGCCGAUACUGGCCCGAAAGGGGAGAAGACGAAGAAAGUUGCAAGGACGGUGUCUUUUCAUGUUGGCCACUCAUUGUUUCCUUACUUCUGCUUUAUUUGGUUCCGCUGAAUUUCCUCUUCAAGUACCAAGAGGAAGAGCUCUUAAAGUCAAAGAGAGCUCUGAAGGCUGCACAGAGCAUAUCGAAAAGCGUGUCGAGGGUUCCUCUCGAUAACACCAAAUAUUUAUGUUCUAAAGAGGAGUAAAUCUUUCGUUAAGAUUUGCCUCGUACUUUUAAGAGAUUGGGAAAUUUUUUCAAAAUAAAAUUUGAAAGCUAAACAUUUUAUGAAUUAUUGAAUAUAACUAGGAUUUGAAAAAUAACAAGAGUGUUUAAAUGAUUCAAGUAUGAUUAUAAAUUUCCUCAUAUCUUUUGAUUUAUAAUUGAAUCUUGUAUUGCUCUCUCAUAAAUAUAAGUCAUAAACCGAAUCACGUAAAUUUAAUAUCUGAUUCAUUUCUUUAUUUUGUGCAUUUUAUUCAAUUUUUUUUCCAAAAGGGAAUAUGUUUUGAAGGAAAGUGAAACCCAACUAAAAAAUAUUCGAUAUGAUCAGCAUUAGGGGGUAUUGUUCUUUUGUUGCCAUUUUGUCCAUUGAAUCGCUCCAGGCCGUGUGUACCUUUCACUUUCCUUCCUUCAUUUUCCAUGAUUCUAUGGUCACAUAUUUUUUAUUUAUUUAGUUUUGGCACAACAUAUCAAGAAAACCCUAAAUUUGCAACUACAAUCUUAAUAUUUUAAAUAAGUCUAUUUUGCAUUAUUUGACAUAGAUUUUCACGGCAUUUGUUAGUGAUGCAUUUUUUUUAAUUGCAUGUUUAAUAUAAAUCAUUUUCAUAUUUCAUCUCUUAAUAAUUUUCCAUGAGAAAUUGAAAAUCAUUAGGAAUAUUAUCCUUCGAAAUUUGAAGUAAUGAAGCUCAGAUAGAGCCUAGACGCAAUAAUUUAUUUUUUAGCUUGUUUUAUUUAUAAAUGUUUUUCAUGGCGUUAUUGGUUGCUUUGACUUGUUGACUAAAUCGGUGCACUGUACAAAGUCCUCGAGAGGAUGACUUGUCCACAUUUAUUUUAGCUCAUUCAUGACACUAGUAUCCAAAUCAUUGGACUCAAUUAACACCGAUUUAUAAACACAAACCACUCCAUCCACGUACAUUAGAUUAGUUCCAUUCACAGGAUAGCUAGCAAGACACUCUAGGCAAUGAGUAAGAGACAUCAUGAUCAAAUUUGAACAAAAUAUUGUUUCGAGAAUAGCGUUCAAAAUACAUGUAAUGCACUCAUGACGGAGUCAUUUUCCUGGAAAAUAACUUAUCGAAAAAUGUUUUUCGGAAACAUGAUAUUUUCUACGAAACGAACGAACCCUUAAUAUGAAAAACUUCUCCUCCAAAUCAUCCUCCUUCAAAAAUAUACAAAAGAAGAACAACUGUGUUACAUUAGAAAAGGAGAAAAUGAUGUUUAUUAUGAGAAAUAAAUGAUGAAAUUCUUGAUUUGAAUGCCUGAAGUCCGAUGCCACUUUCUUUAGUAAGAGACAUCAUUUUGGACGUUUGUAUCGUGUAACUCACGUGAUUCAAUUAAAAAGCUUUUCCACCAUAUCAUCCUCCCUAAAAAAAUUACAAAAGGAGAACCACUACGUUACAUUAGAAAAAGGAGAAACGGAUAUUUAAUUAUAAGAUAUAAACGGUGAGCGCAAUGCCACUUUCGUCGGUUAGAGACAUCAUUUGGACGUUUGUAUUUCGUGACUCAGGGGUUUAAUUGAAAAUUAUGGAUAAAGACUCUUAAUUCCAUUUGCAUGACUCACAGGGUUUUAGGUUUCAAAUAAAUAUCGGAAUCGACAAAAUUUUAAAGGGAAACAAAUAUCACUAUAAAAUAUUCUUCCACGACCAUUUGCCAUCAAUUACGCUCACGGCCAACUUUCCAGCAGGUGCAGAAAACAUUAUAUAUUAUGGUCCCUUUUGACAUCAAAAACACGUCAUGGCAACUUCGAAGCAGGUGCAACUUCCAAUUUAUAGUCACUAAAGUCGAUGGCUUUAUAAAAAUAAAGGUGGAGGACAAUAAUGAAGGUGUAACUUUUCUAUAGUUGGACAUAUUUAAAAUUCCAAUCCAAUAUUGUAAAAUAAAAUUUAUCUAUAUAAAUACAUAAUAACAAAUUAUUUCCAAAGAAUCGCCUCUCAUUAUGACACAUGGGACUCCGGAUAAUUAGAUAAAUUUCCUUCAUGCCAUAGAGAUUGAAUUUGCAGCUUUCACUACAAAAAAAAAAAAAAAGGCUCCACCUAAGCGCUACCUAAGCAUAUACUUACUAUUCACUAUGAAAUAUUCGAUUUGAUCUUUUUACCUUAAAGACUUACCUUUUAUUUUAAUUAAUUGCCUUUAACCACUCAAGUAUUCUCAUUAAAUGUGCCUUUAUAUUAAAUAGCAAAUGAUUGUGCAAACACUUUUUCAACACUUAUUUCCUUAGAUUGUCAUUGCAUUUCUUAAAAAAAAUUUAGGGACCGAAUUUGCCAACAACACUAUAAUUUGACCCCUAACCAAAAACACUUACCACGCACGGUUUUUUGCAUUCGUUCCUCGCAUUCAUGACUAGAGGCAUGUUGAUUUCGAUACCUUGGGCCUGGCAUCAAAAUAAAUCUUGGAUAGGAAAAAGAAUUUCAUUUUAUUCUUUUCAAGAAUGGAGGAUUAGGAAAAUCCUAUUGAUUGCAACUUUCUCCAAACGUCCGAGAAAAGGAUGAAAAAAAGGCUUGAAUGGUACAAUCCCUCCAUAACCCCUGGGGAAAAAUAAAGAUAUAUCUUACAUUAAAAGGCUCAAAUGGUACGAUCCCUCCAUCACCCCAAAAUGAAAGGGAUCACAGACAUUUCUGGAACACCUCUAACAAAGGGACAAAUAGUCAAUUUUGAAAUAACUUAAACUCCAAUUCUAAAAUCCCUUCUCUCGCACUUUACACCUUAGAAUGCACCCUUAUUAUAGAGAGAAAGACGACCCAGUACGGUAUCGAUAUCUCUUGGAAUCCUAAACUAAAUAUGAUACUACCAAUAAUUGUAGCAAUCUACAUGUGUCCCUAUCCCAUUAAUCAAUACUGAUUGAUGGAAUUCUAAAGAAAUAUUCAAGGCCACUCAACAUUACUCAAUUGAUUUGUUCCUUUUAAGUUGACCUAUUUUUGUGCGCACCAUUAAACCUCAGCUAGCCUUAUCGCUUUAGCCUUGUUGGGGACAUGAAACUAAGUCGAGAUAUGGGCCAUCUAGUCAACAAUCGGCCAAGAGUCUCACCUGGGACCAAAGAGUGAGAGCGAGAUCGUGCGAAACAGAAAAAAAAGAAAAAAAAGAAAGUAGAGCAGAGGGCAAUCUUGGCAAUAGGAGGAAAUAACAAUAGUAGGACCUGUUCAGGCAGCUUAUCUGGCUGCAUAUUGGAAGUGAGUUAUUACGUGAACAGCCCAAGGAUAGCAGAGGAUAACAUCCAGGGAAUGUUUGUCAUUUUCUUACCUGUUCCUCCAUUAAUCUCGCGUACUAACCAAUCAUCGCUGCCAUCAAAGCCAAUUCGUUUUGAAACCCCGCUUCACAAUCGUCGUUUUGACCCUCCACGGCCUAAAAAAUUGUCUUCUCUCGAAUCUUUGGAUUGAGCCAUCACUCGAUGAGCUGAUCGCUUCCCCACAUGACCAGACAAAUCCUCGCCUUCCAUCACAGCGUAGUCCCUGUGUCACUGUGCGUUUCAUGGGUUACUCCUCUUGGCUGCUCUUCGCUGCCCAAAUUAUUAGUGCUAUGUUAGGUAAUCACACAUUGAUUCCAGAAAAAAUAACGCAAGCAAACAAUCCACCCAGACUAAAUAUAAUAGAAAAUUUAUUAUCAAAGUUCACCCAAACCUAGACUAUGUUUCCAUGUAGAGGUACUCUACAAAUUCACUAAACUUUAAAAAAAAGUUGAAAUAUAAUAAUGAUUUUCUCUCAAGAUCAAGGUACAAAUAGAUUAAGAACUCUCACAAAUAAGAAACUCGCUUUUUUCUUCUCUCUUUUUUUUUUUUUUAUAGCUCCUUGAUGGCUAGUGUUUGACUAUCACUGAUAUAAAGUGUAGCUUUUAACCUAAAAAAAAAUAAUAGAAAAGACAAAAAAAAACCUCUAAAAAAAUUUGGCUUCACCCGCUAACAAUCUCCCACUUGAAGCACUAUGCAACUUAGCAUCCAUCUACUUCAAAAUCUAGUAAUUGAAAUUUGUACCUUUGCGAUACUCCUCAUCAAUUAGGAUAGAAUAAUAUCGAUUGUAGUGUUGACACCUAAAUUUCGAAUGUUCAUAUAGGUUUUUAUUGCAUAGAAAAUUAGGGAUUAAAUUUUAACUCCUAAACAAAAACAGUUUACACCUAAAUUACAUAGCAUAUAGACAUUAGGAGCAUUUGCAUUAAGAUGUUUAAAAUUUAUAAGGAAAAAUAUUUAAAGAAGAGGAAAAAGAGAAAAAUAUAAUUAAUUAAAAAUUAUUAUUUAAAAAAAGAAAGAAGAAGAAAAGAAAAAGCGAGAUCGGGCUAGGGUCAGGCCAGCCCAGCCCGGCCCACUUUUCCUUUUCUUUUCCCCAAGCCCAGCCUCUUCCUUCAUCUUCUCCCUCACGAACUCCCGCUCGUUCACGCUCUCACACGUUCUACCAAAAAGAAAAACGAGAACGAAGGACGGACGCAGAGGCGGGACGGCGAGUGAGGAGCGCGCCUUUUGGGUCGGGAGCAGGCCGGCACGGCGAGCUGGCGGUGGCAAACGCGACGCGCGCCUGCCGGCCGUAGAGGGGGAUUCUGAGGGCUCGGACAGAGAGAGAAAUGGACGGAGAGAGAAACGGGGAGAUAGAGGGGAUCCGACCGAGAGGGAGACCGAGAGUGAGAGAGCAGAAAAUUCGCCCCGACUGAGCGCCGUUCAGCCAUCCUCGACACAAACCGGCGUCCCCUAGCUGUUACACGGUGUCCGAUUUUUGGUGAGUUGAGUUUCGGUUUCGAUCCGCCGUUUUCCCGUGGUUCCCGGCUUGGCGACACUGAGAAGGCCGGCUAUAGUUCCAUUCGCAUUGAGACCGACUUCCGGCCAUCUUCGCUAAGCCGGGUAAGGCCCCUGCGGUCGCGCGCCCUGGCGCCCCUUUUUUGUCCUUUCUUUACUGCUCUGUUUUCGCCCUAUUUCGGGCGCGCCGGGCCGGAGGUCGCGGCCGUCCGGCUCAUGCGAACUCCGCCGUCCGGCUCAUGCGAACUCCGGCCCCUUCGCCCCUGUUUUUUGAUAUUGUCGGUCUGGUGGGUCGUAUGUCGAGGGGACUGUGCGAGUUUGAGGCCCGGCUGAGCCGGGAGCCCCUCGUUCAGUAUCGCACGCCAUCCUCUCGAUGAAAUGCCUCAACGAUAUAAUUUUCGUCUCCUCCUCUUUUUGCCGAAAUCAAGUCGUCCGGACUGUUGUGUUCUAUUGCUAUGUCCCUGUGAUGUUUUCUGAUACGGGCACGGCCGUUUGGUCGCUCCACUGCCCCCGCCACCGUCGUUUACUUUGUUUUGUGUUUCGGCUUUGUGGCCAACUAUAAUGGAGGCUUGUUACUGUGUUUCGCCCAUGCUGGCCGUCGCCAAGAGUCCAGAGCCAUUGGAGUUAGAGCACGGUCAGGCCGAGGGCGACAACGUCGUUGGCUCACGGCCAUUUGGGGAAGAUGGUGGCAGCGGGAGGUCAGAAGGAAUUAGGUUAGAAGGCUUAAUUAGGUUUAAUUAGCAUGGGCUUAAGUUAGUUUAGUGGGUUUCAGUUCGUUUCUGUUUUCAUGGGAGUACAAAAGUGUAUUGGUUUUAGGGUCAACUAGGAUUUAUUAAGCUCAGGUCUAGUUCUCGUUAUAUUUGGACCAGUGAUUUCGGGCCUAAUUUACAUUAGGAUUUGUUUGUUUCGCAAAAUCUUAAUGAUAUAAGAAAAUGUUUUACUAAUGCUAGGAAUUUAUUUGAUGAUAUAUAAUUGAAGUUUUUUUUCGAUGCUCGGAUAUUAUUGCAAAAUGAUUUCAAUCUCAUUACUUUAUUUCAACUUUCAAGCAAAAAAAAAAAAAAUCAAAAUUUUCAAUUUUUAGAAAAAAAGAAUUGAAAUUUUAAUUAUUUUAUUUUUCUCUUAUUUUAUUUUAUUUUUUCAAAAUAUCGAAUUUUAAUUUCCUAAAAUAAAGAGACAGUGGAUUCUCAUUAAAGUGACCAUUAUCCAAACCUUAGAAUAUACUUACAGACAAACUCUUCUCGAGAAGAUGCUCAACAUCCAGUGCACAUGAUUGCACUCAAUCGAGCAGACCACAAAAACAUAGCAACAUAACUGGACUAGGCAUUUAGAUAGUCAAAUAAAUGCAAGAAAGCAUACCCUUAUACAACUAUUACCAUAUGAAGCCAGAGCUAGAGUUUGAGCUCAUGCUUAAAUACUCAAAGAUAAAUCAGACAAUUACAUUUCAACUAAACACCAACUACCACCCCAUUCUUACCUGUACUUCAGCAAUUAGCUGGUGAUCCAAAGCUCGAGUUCAGGCCCGUGACUCCCGCCAUUGAUGGAGUUAAUGAAUCCACCAAAUUCCCCCAGCUGAGGGGCACUGAAGAAGAAAAUGCGCGCAAGAGUGAAAAGUGACAUUGAACUUGAAGCUCGCGGACAAUGAGCAUCUAACUCGUGGAUAACGGAAGCUGGGAAAGGAGAGACGACAGCGAACAAUGGACUUGAGUUUGCGAGGAGCGAAUGAGGAUUGGGCGCAGAGUCGCCGAGGAUGAGCGAUAGCGAUUUGCUUGAGCAGCAGAUCGACUUAACCACCUCAUUCCGAAAAUACAGUUGAGGCCCUUUUUCCCCUUUCUUUUUUCUUCUUCUUUUGCCGACUCUGUCUGGCUCUCUCUUUUCUACUCUUCAUUUUGCUGACUGUCUUUCUCUUCCUUUUCUUCUCUUUAUUUUCCUGGUUCUGCAGAUAAGAAAUAAUAAGGUGAGUUGGGGUGAGGUCUCUUGGGCCUAAAUUUCUCUUAAGAAAGGCCCUUUUGUUAUAGAUGGGGAAGGAUGUAAUAGCCCCAACCUCACCACCGAAGUGGACACACGCACGCACGCACGCCCGCGCGCGCACAGAGCAUAUGGAGAUUCCCAGUGAGAUGAGGAAUUUUAAUAGGAUUGUCCUUGUCGUUUUAGAAUCAGUUCAUUGUCUCUCUUCAUCAGAAUAAAGCAGAAAUAGAAAGCAAGUAAAGCAGAAGAAACGGCGAUGAUCUAUGAAUAGAAAGAAGGCGUACUGUUUUCCGUAGAGAAUCCCCUGUUUCAAUUUCAAAAUCCGUCCCUUACUUGGAUCUAUUCAGAAUUUUCUCUCCGUAAGACUCCCAAGUGGCGUAAGAAUGAGAUGGAUCACUAUCGAGUAACUUCCCACUACAUACUAUGAUUAUCAAGCACUUAUUUGGUAUUUUUGAGCUCGAUGCAUCAGAAAUCCUUUCCAUUGAUUUGCACCCAUUAAUUUCCAACCGAUUCAAAAACUCUAAAUCGUCAAUGCCCUUGAUAACCUGCAAGCUCGGGCACCGGUCAAUCGUUAACCGCUUGAAGAUCUUCAAGUUUGACAAACCACCUAAGCUUUUGAGGCACAAAACGGAAUCACCAAGGAAGUAAAUUGAGAUGUACAACUACCUGACCAAGCACCUUGCUACAAAGUGGCUCACUUUUCUCUCUUCUUUCAGUUCAAAUCAGAAGAUCAAUACAAAACGGAGAACAGGAACACGGGAAUAAUCAAGAAGCGAGAAGAUCUAGAGUUUCUGCUUCAACAGAAAACAAAGCCGCGUGUACUUUGUCCAACCAAUUGUCCAGUCGGUCACACAGUAAUUUGAACUAUGGAAUCCCAAAAACUCUGGGUUGAACCCAUGAAACGCAUAAUGUUCCCUCCACUUGAUCGAUUAUGCCCUCAAUAAGAUGAAUCCGAGUUGAGAUUCUAAAUGUUUAGACUCUGUACAAUAAGGUAAAUACUUGAAUAUCAGUUUUCCAUUACGUAUGCUAGAGCAGAGAACAUGCAAGCAAUUACAAAAUCCAGGUAUUUGCCAUGACUGCGUAUGCAAAAAAGGGAAUUGUUCUCCAGAUAUUUAGCAACAGCACACUGACACAUGUCCAAAGCUCUUCUAUUCUUACACCAGAAAUAGUGGCGAAGGACAAUCUACGAGCAUGAAUAACUCAAAGUAAUCAUCUUUUACACCCCCCCAAUUAUGAAACAUAGCAUCAACAUGAAAGGAAUAAUAAGAAAUGCCGAUUCACAUCAGCCCCCACUUGUUGCAUGAAGCUAUUUAUGGUUGAUAAAUACUAGCUAAGUCUCCUAAUAGUGCGCAUGUUCACAGCAGCCAGUUUAGGCACAUUCUGUGCAACCAACCCACAAACUUCUAGUUCCUUCAACCAUAUGCAGCAGACCUCAAAUUACCAAUGGAAAAUACGACUGCUCAAGAAGAGAACCAAGAAGAGAAGCACUGUUCGCUUCAUUUCUAAUCAUUAAAGCCCCUCACAGGUAGUAAAGAGACAAUGGCUACUCAUUAAGAUGAUCAUUAUUCAAACCUUAGAAUGUACUUAACAGACAAACCAUUCGUGGGAAGACGCUCAACAUCCUGUGUAGAAAGUUCUGUGCGCUCUGCAAUAACAUUCAUGGGAAUGGUUCGAUUUUUAGAUGGUUGACUACAAACAUCGACAUCGCCGUUCUUCAACGAAGCUGUAAACUCUGUUUCCCAAAUUUUGUAACUCUCUAAUCUUAAGUCAGCUCACCAAAAUACCCAUAAUUCUUGUAAUACCCCAACUAACAGAUGCACAACAUGCCAGCACAUGAUUUCACACCAUCGAGCAGUCCACAGAAGCAUAGCAACAUAAAUAAACUACGAAGCUAUUACCAUAUGAAGCUAGAGCUCGAACUCAUGCUUCACUGCACAAAGAUAAUUCACACGAUCACAUUCAACUAAACACCAACUGCCACACUGCUCGUACCUGUUCUUCAGCGAUUAGCUGGUGAUCCGGAGCUUGAGUUCAGGCCCAUCCAUCCUGCCACUGGUGGAGUUAAUGAAUGCAAUCAAUGGAGCCUCAUGUGGCACCCGAAUUUCUCUAGCUGAGCAGCACUGAAGAAGAAGGCUUGAAGCUCGCGAACAUGGAACUUGAAGCUCGUGAUGGAACUUGGGAGAGAAGAGAGACAGCGGACGACGGACUGAAGCUUGCGAGGAGCGAGCGAGCAGCGGGGAGGACUGGGUGAUAGAGAUUUGCUUGACCAGCGGGAGAGAGGAGGAAGAAGAAAACAUGAAGGAGAAGCCUAAUCGCUGGUGCACGUUUUAGAAUCUGUUUGUCGUCUCUCUUUACUAGAGUAGAGCAGAAAUGGAAAGCAAAUAAAGCAGAACAGUCAUGAUCUAUCAAUAGAAAGAAAAAGAAGGGCGCACCGAGGAUCCCCUCUCUAUGUUUCGGGAGUCACUGGUUUCACAGAAUCCGAAUUCAUUCCGAGUCUUCACUCUUAAAGACUCCCAAUUGCCGCAAUAAGCAAACCAAUUGCCGCGUGGGCUCCAACUAGAUCUUAUGUCCAUCUGGCACUCAUUCGGUAUUUUUGAGCUGGAUGCAUAAAAAAUCCCUACAUCGUAUAACUCCCCACGAAAUCUCAACAGCUGCAAAAACUGUAAUUCGUGGAUGCCCUCCACACGGCGCAGCUUCUCGCAGUAGUUAAUAUGUAACAUCUUCAAUUUCUUCAAGUUUGACAAACCUUUCAUCAUUCUUAAUGAACCGCACCUUUCAACAGAAAAUACUUCCAAUGAUUCCAACGGAGACACAAAAUCGAUAGCUCUUACCUCCUUGCAACUCCCCAUAUGGAACUCUCGAAGCAUCUUCAGGGAGCUUAGGACAAGGAGUUUUUUUAUCGAGAGGGCAACCAUCAAGUCGCUCAUGCAACUCUUUUUUUCUCAAUUCUUCCGACGGAGGUUGCCCACUGAGAUGUACAAAUUUUACUCCAGGGCAGGAGAGCUUUAAAACUAUCAAGGUUGACGGAAGUUGUAAGAGGGUUCCGAAGUUUAGUCCAGAUAGAGUAAGUUCUUUCAGCAGAUAAAGGGAACCCAACUCCGUAGUUGGUGCAUGGACAUACCAUAAGCACAAGUGCAACUUGCGCAGUUUGGAUAACCUCCCAAUCCACCUCAAGUCACCGCUUGGAAUUUCAUUUGAUGUGGACAACCCACUACCAGAGCCAUCAUAUAGGAACAAUUCAACUAGAUUAGUAAGGUUUGAGAGGUUAGGGACAGUCAUCAGUGAUUUAGAUAUUAGUCGUAGAGUGGUCAAAUUUCUGGGGAGCUCCGACCACUCUCUUAUCCUAUGACAAUAUUGCAAGUUCAAUGUUUGGAGGUGAAGCAAUUUGCUCAUUAUACUAGGCAGUUCUACAAUUGGUGUGUGUGAUACUUUGGUAAAGGACAAGCUCCAUUGUCUACCAAUGAAAUCUAGUAAUCUUGUUCUGCAUGAUAUAUCUAACUUCGUUGACGACUCUAAUUUCGAAACUGAAUCCAGGAGCUUGCUCAAGCUAUCGCAUUUAUAAACAGAGAGGUGCUGAAGAUUUUGUAACUCUCCAAUUUCUUUAGGCAAUUUUUCAAGUUUCGGACAUAACUUAAUACUCAAGUCAGUCAGCUGCCUCAGUUUUCCAAUAGAGCUGUCAAUUUCCUUCAAAGAUGGACAAUGACAAAUAGUCAACUUCUCUAAAACUAAGUACUCAAGAAAGGUUGGUGUCCCAUGUAUCGAGUAAUUACUUUCAAGAGUGAGAACCUUCAAUUUCGUUGCCCCCUACAAAAGCAAAUCAAACAUUAGGACAAAUAAUUAGAUGUCUAUACAAGAAAUAAAUAUGAAAUUAGGCUCCCAACUGGGAUCAUAUGUCAUUCGAUCCUCUCACUAGCUGAGAAAAUUAUACUACAAAUCCAUCAGAUUGUGUCCUUCAUUGAAUGAGAAAAUUAGAGCAAGAGAGAAAGUCACGUACCUUGAUUAGGUAACUGAUCUCAUCUUUGCCGAGGUCAGAGGAACGAAUAUUCAUCACAACCACGUUUUCUAGACCCAAAUUGGUUUGCGAAUCAAGUUCUUCAGAAUAACCUGUUUUGCCCGUCAAAAUGAUCCAUUUCAACUUGGGAAGACAGCCCGUGAAGUCACCUUCGCAGAGUACGUCACUCAACCAAAGAAACUUGAGACGUGGGAACUGUCUAAGUUGCUCUGCCGUGAUAGUUGUACGAUUGCUAGAGGUCGUUCGCAAACAGAGUGCUUGGACGCUUUCCUUCAUCUGCUAAUGACAUUGAGGAGCAGGAGCAGGAAUUUGUCAAUAAUCCUACAAUUUUAUUUGUCCAAUGGAAGAAAAAAAUUAAAUAGUAAAGUAGCUCUCAAUUGAAAAACGUGAUUAAAUCCUCAAUUAAGAACAUGGUAAGCAAUUUUCUGUACGAAUUUGGUCAUACUUCACCUCUAUUGAUCUUAAUUCGCAAAUUAUGUCAUCUUCAUUCCACAACCUGGUAAGGUCUUGCAUAGCAAUUGCCCUUCCGAGAUCUCUACAUUGAUCAUGCAUCCAAAUUUCAUCUUUUUCUGAAACCUUUAUCAUGCACCUAUUAAUAAGGACAUGAAUAGCAUACUCCGCCUUAAACCCACAAUAUUUCCAGUGGUAGAUUAGAUCAGCCCUUUUCCAACCGAUGAAAAAGCAUGCAAUAUCGAGAAAUAUGUGUUGUUGAUCCAGCUCUAAGGCAUCAUAACUAAUCCUUAGCUUUCCCAACACAUCCCUAUGAGGUGUUUCCCUUAGCUUCUCUAGCAUCUCUUCCCAGAUUGUUUCCUCUUUCUCACCAAAAAGCAACGAACCUAUAGCUGUAAGAGCUAAAGGUAGUCCACCUGUAGUUGAGACAAUGUCUUCGGAAAGAGUGUAAUAAUUGGUAGGAGGAAAGCUAUCAUCAAAGGCAUGCCUACUAAAAAGCUGGAGUGCGUCUUUUUUGCUCAACCCCUCCAUUUCGUAACACAAGAUUUUAUACUUAAAUCCCCUGAUUUUUAAAACACUUUUGUCCCUAGUGGUAACAAGUAUCCUAGUACCAGAACACAAAGAGUUCACUUCAAUUAGUUUUUGGAUUUGGUUGUCCUCAUCGACGUCAUCCAAUACAAUUAGCAUCUUCUUGUUGCAAAUUGUUUGUCCAAUCAUAGUGAUCCCUUGAUCCAAGUUAUCAAUGUUAAGAUCCACUCCAGAAUUGGAGAUAUCGGACAAUAAUUUUCUUUGCAACUUGACCAACGAGCCCUUGGGUUUUGCCAUUUCCCUCACGUCUUCAAGAAAGCUGCAGUUUUUCCCAAAGCGAGGACAUAGUUGGUUGAAGAUAAUUUUGGCAAGUGUUGUUUUACCGAUGCCACCCAUCCCGUAAAUUCCAAUGAGCCGAACGCCACCGGAAUUGAUGUCUAAUAAAUUAUUUAUGACUGUCAUUCGAUCCUCCAUUCCAACUAAAUCUUUGGUCACUUGUCUUUGUCUUGUCUUGAGCCUGGUCACCACCUCCUUAACAAUGGACUUUAUAAGAUCCCCAUGGCUGCCACAAAGUUGAACAGUUUGAAUUGAAAUAAGGCAACAAAUUUGCAUGUUGACCAACUAUCUACUAAGAAACCAAGUGGGAGCACGACCCAGUUUAGGAUAUAAAAAAAUUCAACAUUACCCCCAAAAGCUUCGGGAACAUGAUGAAUUACAAACUUCAACAUCCAUUACAAGUUUAAGUUAAGGGAAUAGAACAAGAGAUAUGUUUGAUCUUUAUAUCAAGUAGGAGAAUCAAAAUUGCUGGCAAAAAAAAGUGGAAGAAUAAAAAUAUAAACGUUUGAUGAACUAUUGUGAUAACAAAUUUACUCACUUCUUUCGACAUGGAAAAGAACUUUGCAAAGGCAAAGUUCCUUAAUCAAAGUCAAAUUAGUAUGCAGUAAAAAUCUUAAGACAUACAUGGGUCAAAUUGGGAAAAUUAUCCAAAAAGCAUUGUACUUUUGCCAAUUUAGUCAUAAACAUUUUCACUUCUUCCCAAUUCAAUCAAUCUGGCCAAUUUUGGUUGGAAAAUGCUAAUGUGGACACCGACAUGCUAUAUAGAACUGUCAGUGCUGACGUGGAUAAUUUGUAAUAAUAUUUUAAUAAAUUUUGAACUUUUAUUAUAUAUUUCUAUUUUUUCCCUUUUUUUUUUCCUUUUCUUUCUUUUCUUUUUGGCUUUCUUCUUUCCCUUUUCCAAUGGUUGGCCACAGGCAAUGGCCAGCCACCGACCACAGCUAGCCGGCUAGCCUCGCUCGCCAUAGGCGAGGCCCCACCGGGCGAGGAGAAGCCCCAGCAAAGGGAGCCCUCGCCCAUGCGCAGCCUGGCAAGGGUCGCCUAGGUGAGGCCGACCCUCACCCAAGCCAGGGUGGCCUCACUGGGUGUCGGCCGGGGGAUGGUGACGCCAGGCAAGGCCGCCUUGGCCUGGGCGAGGGCUAGCCUCACCAAAUUUGGCGAGGAGAGCCCUUGCCAAGGCUUGCCUUUUCCUAGGAGAGUGUCAACCUCGCCUAGACCAGAUCUGGCAAGGCUGGCCCUCGCCCCUGGCCGGCCAAUGCCUAGCGAGGCCUCCUUGGCUUAGGCGAGGGUCGACACUCGCCUAGGCGAGGGCGAGCCCUAGCUGACGAUCGGCGACGCUGCCCUAGCCUAGGCGUAGGUCAACCUAACCUAGGCGACCCUUGCCAGGCCACACUUGGGUGAGGGCUCCCCUCACCGGGGCUCCUCCUUGCCCGACCGGGCCUCACUUGUGGCGAGCGAGUCCAACCGGCUGGUUGUGGCCAGUGGUCAACUAUCACCUGUGGCCAAUGGUCGGCCACCGAAAAAGGCAAAGAAAGUCAAAAAGAAAAGAAAGAAAAUAAAAUAAAAAUAAAAAAAAUAUUAAAAAUUCAAAAAAUAUUAAAAUAUUAUUAAAAAUUGUCAACGCCAGCGCCGACGGUCUUAUGUGGCACUGCCGGUGUCCACAUCAGCAUUUUCCGGUCAAGCCGAAUCAACUGAAUUGGCAAAAAGUGAAUGUUUAGAGCUAAAUUGUCAAAGUUAGAAGGUUUAUGACUAAAAUUGGUAAAAACGUAAUAGAUUUAAGACUUUUUUUGACAAUUUUCCAGAUCAAAUUAGUAUAAAGAAAGAAGCAAAGCCAAAUUUUUAUAUGAGGAAUAUUAGGUGAAAAACAAAAUCAUAACAACCCCAUUAGGUCAAAUAAAUUUGGAAAUCUCAUGACUUAAAACAACAAAAGAAAAUUUUGAAACUUUUUGUUUAAAUUUAGGGAAAUUAGAGUCGGACUAUAAUUGGUGAAUUUUUAUGAGAACCAUGGCUUGAUUGUACAAAAUAAAUUUCAAAAUCAUGGUUAGAUUGUUACCCCGAAUAUUUCUCUAGUUCCCAUCCCUUGGUGCCGCCAACUUCUUUAAGAGCUUGGCACCACGUCUCUACAUCCUUGGAGCUGAACUUCUUCUGAUCCUCCAUCUCUUGCUUUAAUUUCGAUAUGGCCUUUCCAUACAACAUGGUUUUCAGCUUCACGUCAUCUGGAUUCACAUCAUAGAAGAUGGGCAAUAUGACCCUCUUCUCAUCUUCUUUAGAAUUAGAGGUGUUUUCCACCAUCUUCGCAAGCUCGCGGAGGCACCAAUGACUUGAAGCGUAGUUUUUGGAAAAAAAUAGGUAUGUAGAGUUUGGAAUCGUUGAUCGCUUGUAGAAGGUUGCCACUAAUUCUUUCACCCGGUCGAAGCUCUUUGUCAUCCAUGAAAACAUGAAUCCCGGCAUCUGCCAAGGCAUGAUAGAGGCUGCUAGUGAAUCCACGACAAGUAUCUAACCCUCUAAAACUCAGGAACACCUGAAACUCGCUUCCUGCAGUAUUGCCGAUGCUUGAUCCUAUCUCUAAGUUCGCCAUAGGAACUCAAUUCACACGCGCACUUAGCAAAGUCAACCCUGAUAUUGCUAGUAUAAACACCUAGAGGGGGGUGAAUAGGCGCACAAACAAUUUAUCGAUAUAUGGAAGCAAUUCUCUACAAAUUGAAAUACGAUCGAGGUAGAGAGAGAGAAAUUUGAACACAGGAUUUAUAGUGGUUCGGCUUAUUCCAAGCCUACGUCCACUCUUCCGCACUGACAGCCCACCGGGUGGAUUUCACUAUGAUCAAAAGAGAAUUUACAGCACAGCUUUGCCUUGAUUCCACAGUGUAGAUAUUCUACCACACCUCCUCAAGGUCUCUCACAAAUAUAGACUCUCUUUUGUAUACAAGUAUUCGCUCAAACGAUUUAUCUAAACAAAUAGGAGCUUCAGACUUUGGAAUUCUUCUAUCGCGCACACCUUGAACAACUAAGAACAUCUUCCUUAUAUACUCCUUUAUGCCAUCAUACCCGUUGGCACUUACCAAAGGAAUUCCUCCAAUCUACCCAUUGGACGGAAUCAAUUAGAAAGAUUGUUCGAGCUAUUAAAGGAACGUGUUGAUAGCCCAUCAAUCCUGUUCGCCCAUACAAUCAGGAUCUCGGUUUCCAUAAGUAGAACCUUCCAAUAAUACUUAGACAAUCAUCGAAUCUUCAGUCAUUGAAUCAGACUUGAUCAAUCAAAGGAUUCUAAUACGUCUUCUCCAGCCACGAGAUCUUCUCCAGAUGAUAAGGUUAAAUCCUGAACAAAACAACCAGUUCUGGAUAACCUUUCUUCAAUGGAUUAGAGACUGUCAAUGAGGAUAGACUUUGAGUCUUGAGUCUGGCUGUCCGGAAGUCUUCAGACUUUAACUAACAGAGUCUGCAGACUUUCAGACUAGACUGAUGGAUACAUUUUGUCAACUUCAAAACUCUUCACGAGGAUUUCUCCAACAAUCUCCCCCUUUUUGAUGGUGACAAAACCUUCCUGCAGAUUUGGAUAACUUUGACCUGCAAAACAUUUCUCAAACACAUAUGCAUAUCUUAUAGAAAUAAAUGGCUAAUAGAAUAACACUAGAAUCUGUAACCACAGAAAAUAGGUUAGUCCAGUAUAUGACUAAGCCAUUCAUAAGAUAUCAAUAUUGAUUAAUAGAAGCAGUAAAGUCAAGUCCAAGUCUAGGCAGUUCUUAUCCAGACACAAAACAAAGUCAAACAGGUUCAAACCAUAAACCUUAAAAACAAUCCAACAAAAAGUUUAAUGAAAAGUUUUUGUAUCAAAUCAUGCAUCUCUCCCCCUUUUUGUCAUCAUUAAAAAGGAUGAGAUGAAGUCAAGAUUGCUUGGGAACUCGGACAAGCUGGAAAUCUUCCAUAGACUGAACAAUACCUUCCAGUCUUUUAAAGUCUUCCUUCAGCUGUACAACCUCCUCACUCUUGGCAUUGGCCUGAUUCUGAAUAGAGAGGGCUUGCAUCUUUUCAUUUAAUGAAUAGGAAGAAGCUUGACCUUCAUUCUUCAAGCUUUGAACUUCGCAUCCCAAGGCAUAAAUCUGACCUUUCAUCUCUAAGAGAAUAUCCAUGAUUCUGCAAAAAUCUGCUCCAUUAUCAGUCUGAGUACUUGCUUCGGCUCGAUCUGGAGUAAAAGCAGACGAUGGUGGAUCAGCAUAAUCUCGCAGGUUUGGCGAUGAAGCUUCAUGACCUUCCUCUGGAAAUUGAGAUGCAUAAACAUCUUCUGGGUCUGCAGGUGAGCGACUGACUCCUUCACUUGCAUCAGGAAAUGAAGAUGUCACUCAUUUCUCCUGAUCUCCCCCUGUUUCCAUGCCUACAGGUGGAGAAGAGAUUUCCUCAGGUUCUCCUUCUUCUCUUCUUUCUUCUUCAGGUCUUUCUUCCUCUGCUUCUUGCUCUGCUUCUCUUUCUUCUCCUUCCUUCUCCUCUGCCUCUUUUUCUUCUUCUUCCUUCUCCUCUGCUUCUUUCGUCUUUUGUUCUGAUUCUUUCUGAGGAACAGGACGACUUAAGUUCUUCAAAGCCAUUGCAGAGAUGGUGAUGUCUUCAUCAUCAUCUUCAUCCUCAACGAGGAGAGCUCUUCUUCUCUUUGAUGGAGCAGCCAUGGGUUCCUUCCCUUUUCUCUUAGCAGCAGAAGAGAGUUGAUGAGAUUUGGCAGGAGUCUUCUCCUUGAAUUUUUCCAAUUCCUUGCUCAGUUCCUUCAGACGCAUUUUGGUCACCAUUUUCAGUCUUACCACCAUAUGAUCGCAUGGUCGAACACAAAAGAUUUGCGGAGGCUGAAUAUUCAGAUGUCUGAAUAACUUCGUAACAAGGCUUGGGUAAGGAAGUUGACCUCUGUCCUUCAUCACUGCUCUAUACAUGUGAAACAUAACAGUAUGAGGGAGAGAAAACUUCUUUCCACUGAGGAUGGCAUACAUCAACUUUGCCUCAGAGCUUGAAACAUUAGUUUUGGAAGUUGAUUUCGGCCGAAGGCAAUUAAUCACAAUUUUGUGAAGCAAGAUGUUAAAUGCAUUCAUCCUUGAGUAGGUGAUCUUCUCAUCCGUUCUCCUGUCCUUCACCAGUUCAAGAGUGGCCCGAGCAAUGGAAACUUUGAUUGGUUGAUAUCUGCCUCUCUCAACUUCUAACAUGUCUGCCAGCAUAUUCAUAUCCACAACAUAGUCUUGUUCUUUAACACUGAAGGAGAAUCUAUUCGCAUCUAAAAAGCUAAGAUUCGAAUAGAAAUAGGCAGUCAAUUCAGCACAAGCCUCAGUUGAGUUAGAGCAGAACUUUUCAAGUUGAAGAUAACUGAACUUUUCCCUCAAGUUCACUUUCACAGAAUCCAGAAAUUCAAAGUCCACACUCCUAGGGUUUAUCACCCCACGCUUCAGCAAUUUCGAGUACAGAUCCUUUUGUUCCUUUGAUCUGAACAAAUCUCCCCUUUUCCCUUGAAUUUCAGCAGCAAUACCCAUUUUCGGUUGAAAUAGACUGAACAGAUUGUCAUCGUCAUUCCCAUCUACAGGAUUAGGCCCCCAGUCACGAGGAUCACUUGGGAUAUUCGCAAGGGUUUCCUCAGCCACCCCUUUACGAGCGAUUCCCAAACUUUCCAUUUUUCGAAGAAAGAUAUAUUUGUUCCUAUACCAUUUUUCUUUAACAAAAUCAUCAACAUAGUUCAAAGGAGUACGAAUUCCUUUUAAAGCACGAUAUAGCUUGUAAAAGAAGCAGGCUUUUGAACUCUUACGGGGUCUACAUCCUCGACGAUUUCUUCCUGAUGUUGAUUAACAACGCCUUGAGGACUAGAUGGUGGAGAAUGACGCUGCUGAGAAUGUUGUGGGCUCGGUUGCUGAUCUGGAGUAACUUCAUCUUCAGUAAGAUCGAAGUGCGUAGGCCCCUCACUCAUUCUCUGUGGUCCCCUGCUUGCGAUUCUUGAGGACUUUCGCGAAGAAGACAUCUUUCUCAGUGUUUGGAAGAUUCCUUGCUUGACUUUCCCAGAAAAGAUGACAACUUUUUUGAAGUUUUAGCGAAGAAGACAAACGGGAAUGGAAGAUCGAUGCUUUCUAGGGUUUUUUUUUUUUGAGAGAGAAGUGAUUAGAAAAGUGAAGAGAAAUCGACAGUGUUCGUUCGGUUAAAAAGAAGAGUAAACGAACUGUCACAAAGGAAAUAAAAAUAUGCCUUUUCAAAAUAACUGUCUUUAUCCGCAAAAAUAGCUAUUUCAAAAAUAACUUCCCUUUUGAAAAUGAAUCGAUGCGAUAUUUACGUCAAUUAAAUAUAGCAACAAUUUAAACAAGUCUGAUGAUCGUACCUUUUCAAGAUAAGAUUGGAGAGAGAGAAAGACUUACAGUCUGAAGGUCGAGCCAAGACUAUAGAUAAAGUCUUGUAAGCCUGAGUCUGAAAGUCUUUAGACUUUGAUAUCCUCAUACCUCAAAAUGUUGAGUCUUAUUCGUAUAGACUCAAAUUGAUUUUUCUCCAAAGGCUUUGUGAGUAUAUCAGCCAGUUGAUUCUUUGAGUCAACAAAUUGAAUUGAAACAUCUCCAUUUUGAACAUGAUCUCUAAUAAAGUGAUGUCGAAUCUCUAUAUGCUUCGCUCUUGAGUGGAGAAUUGGAUUUUUGGUGAGGUUGAUAGCGCUGGCGUUGUCGCAAUUAAUCUCCGUGCAUGAGUCUUUAAUUUCAAAAUCUCUUAGCUGUUGUUUUAUCCAUAGAAUUUGCGAACAACAGCUUCCAAGAGCUACAUACUCUGCUUCUGUUGUUGAAAGAGACACAGUGCUUUGUUUCCUUGAAAACCAAGACACUGUCCUGCUUCCAAGCAACUGGCAAGUUUCUGAAGUGCUCUUUCUAUCAACUCUGCAACCGGCCAGAUCUGCGUCUGAAUAACCCAGAAGUUUAAAGUCUCCCUUCUUAGGAUACCAAAGACCAAUGCUUGAUGAUGAAGCGACGUAUUUAAUGAUGCGUUUGGCAGCACUGAGAUGGGAUUCUCUAGGAUCUGAUUGAAACCUAGCACAGAUGCAAACACUCAACAAAAUAUCAGGUCUAGAGGCAGUAAGAUAAAGAAGUGAUCCAAUGAUGCUCCUGUAUAGCUUUUGAUCAACUUUCUUCCCUUCUUCAUCUUUGUCUAUCUUCAAAGAACUUGACAUCGGUAUGUCAGUCUUUUUGCACUUCUCCAGUCCAAACCUUUUGACAAGAUCAUUAACAUAUUUUUCUUGAUAAAUAAAAGUACCUUCCUUCAAUUGUUUUACUUGAAGACCAAGAAAGAAUGUUAAUUCUCCCAUCAUACUCAUUUCAAACUCAUCCUGCAUAGACUUUGAAAAUUUCUUGCACAGACUUUCAUUAGAGGAUCCAAAAAUAAUAUCAUCCACAUAUAUUUGAACAAGUAAGAAACUUUUGUUUUCCUUCUUGAUAAAUAAAGUCGUAUCUACUUUACCUUUGACAAAACCAUUUUGUAUUAGGAACUUACUUAACCUGUCGUACCAAGCCCGAGGUGCUUGCUUUAAACCAUACAAAGCCUUUUUCAGUCUGAAGACUGAGUCUAGCUUUUUUCGGUCUUCAAACCCUAGUGGUUGUUCCACAUAUACUUCCUCAUGGAUAAAUCCAUUUAGGAAGGCGCUUUUGACGUCCAUUUGGAAUAACCUGAAAUUAUUAUAACAGGCAAACGCAAGUAAAAGUCGAAUAGCUUCUAACCUUACCGUAAAUUCCAAUGAGCCGAACGCCACCGGAAUUGAUGUCUAACAAAUUAUUUAUGACUGUUAUUCGAUCCUCCAUUCCAACUAAAUCUUUGGUCACUUGUCUUUGUCUUGUCUUGAGCAUAGUCACCACCUCCUUAACAACGGACUUUAUAAGAUCCCCAUGGCUGCCACAAAGUUGAACAGUUUGAAUUGAAGAAAGGAAACAAAUUUGCAUGUUGACCAACUAUCUACUAAGAAACCAAGUGGGAGCACGACCAAGUUUAGGAUAUAUAAAAAUUCAACAUUGCCCCCAAAAGCUUCGGGAACAUGAUGAAUUACAAACUUCAACAUCCAUUACAAGUUUAAGUUAAAGGAAUAGAACAAGAGAUAUGUUUGAUCUUUAUAUCAAGUAGGAGAAUCAAAAUUGCUGGCAAAAAAAAGUGGAAGGAUAAAAUAUAAACGUUUGAGGAAAUAUUGUGAUAGCAAAUUUGCUCACUUCAACGUGGAAAAGAACUUUGCAAAGGCAAAGUCCCUUAAUCAAAGCCAAAUUAGUAUGCAAUAAAAAUCUUAAGACAGACAUGGAUCAAAUUAGUAUAAAGAAAGAAGCAAAGCCAAAUUUUUAUAUGAGGAAUAUUAGGUGAAAAACAAAAUCAUCACAACCCCAUUAGGUCAGAAAAAUUUGGAAACCUCAUGACUUAAAAUAGUAAAAGAAAAUUUUGAAACUUUUUGUUUAAAUUUAGGGAAAUUAGAGUCGGACUAUAAUUGUUGAAUUUUUAUGAGAACCAUGGUGGCUUGAUUGUACAAAAUAAUUUUCAAAAUCAUGGUUAGAUUGUUACCCCGAAUAUUUCUCUAGUUCCCAUCCCUUGGCGCCACCAACUUCUUUAAGAGCUUGGCACCACGUCUCUACAUCCUUGGAGCUGAACUUCUUCUGUUCCUCCAUCUCUUGCUUUAAUUUUGAUAUGGCCUUUCCAUACAACAUAGUUUUCAGCUUCACGUCAUAUGGAUUCACAUCAUAGAAGAUGGGCAAUAUGACCUUCUUCUCAUCUUCUUUAGAUUUAGAGGUGUUCUCCACCAUCUUCGCAAGCUCGCGGAGGCACCAAUGACUUGAAGCGUAGUUUUUGGAAAAAAUAGGUAUGUAGAGCUUGGAAUCGUUGAUCGCUUGUAGAAGAUUGUCACUAAUGUUUUCACCCAGUCGAAGCUCUUCGUCAUCGAUGAAAACACGAAUCCCGGCAUCUACCAAGGCAUGAUAGAGGUUGCUGGUGAACCCACGACGAGUAUCUAGCCCUCUAAAACUAAGGAAUACCUGAAACUCGCUUCCUGUAAUAUUGCCGGUGCUUGAGCCUAUCUCUGAGCUCGCCAUAGGAAUUCAAUUCGCAAUUGCACUUAGCAAAGUCAAUGGUCCCCCUCGCACGCGCACUUAGCAAAGUCAACGCUUCAAAGCAAUUUCGGAUAAAGCCUAGCGGCUCUCGAUUGCAAUUAGAGGGCUUUCAAUCGGACUUUUUGGCAACAAUAAUAAUACAUUCAGUGGGGAAGAGCUUUUAUUACAUUAUUAAUGUGAAAAAUUUCUCCACCAGAUCAUCCUCUUUCAAAAAUUUACGAAAGGAGAACCCGUGCAUUACUUUAGAAAAAGGAAAAUUGGAUAUUUAAUUAUAUGAUAUAAACGAUGAAGCCCGAUGCCACUUUCGUUAGUUAGAGAUACCAUUUUGGAGGUUUGUAUUGCGUGGCUCACGGAGUUUAAUAUUUCACGGACAAAAACUCUUAAUUCCAUUCGACGCAAAAAACAUGUCAAGGCAACUUCGCAGCGGGUGCAACUUCCAAUUCAUAGUAACUAAAGUCGAUGGCUUAUAAAAAAAUAAGGUGAAGGACAAUAAUGAAUGUGUACCUUUUCUAUAGUUUCACAUAUUUAAAAUCCCGAUCCAAUAUUGUAAAAUAACAAUUUAUCUAUAUAAAUGCAUAAUGACAAAAUAUUUUCAAAGAAUCACCUCUCAUUUGAAAAAAUGCUCCACCUAAGCGCUACCCAAGCAUAUACUUACUACUUACUAUGAACUAUUUAAUUUGAUCUCUUCAUCUUAAUGACUUACCUUUUAUUAUAAUUAAUUGCUUGUAACCACUCAAAUAUUCUCGUUAAAUGUGCCUUUAUAUUAUAUGAAGAUUCUGCAAAUCUUUUUCAACACUUAUUUCCUUACAGAUAACUACUAGAAUGUGAGCAUGGUUGUUGACAUCUAAAUUUUUGUGGUUAGAUUGUGCAUAUCUACAAAAAAAUUUAAAAAAUUAAAAAAUUAGGGACCAAAUUUGCCAAUAACGCUAUAAUUCAAUCCCUAACCAAGAACACCUAGCUUGCAUGAUUUUUGCAUUCAUUCCUCACAUUCGUGGUUAGGGGCAUGUUGAUUUCAAUACCUAGGGUUCGAUACCUAGGGCUCAGCAUCAAAACAAUCUUGGACCGACGAAGAUGACAGGCACUUUUGAUUACCUCCAAUCUCUGAAGAAAUAUUCAAGGCCACUCAACAUUACCCGAUUGAUUUUCUCCUAAGUUGAUCCAUUUUUGUGCGUACCAUUAAACCUCAGCUAACCUCAUCGCUUUAGCCUUACUGGGGACAUGAAACUGAGUUAACAUAUGGGCCAUCUAGUCAACAAUCGACCAAGAGUUUCACCUGGGACCAGAGAGCGAGAGCGUGCAAAACAGAAAAGAAAAGAAAGCAGAGCGGAGAGUAGUCUUGGCAAUAAGAGGAAAUAGCAAGAGUAGGACCUGCUCAGGCAGUUUAUCUCGCUGCAUAUUGAAAGUGAAUUAUUAGUUGAACAGCCCGAGGAUAGGAGAGGACAACAUGCGGGGAAUGUUUAUCAUUUUCUCGCCUGUUCCUCCGUUAAUCUCGCGUGCUAACCAAUCAUUACUGCCAUCAAAGCCAAUGCGUUUUGAAACCCCCCUUCACAAUAGUUGUUUUGACCCUGCACGGCCUGAACAAUCGGCUCCUCUCGAAUCUUUGGACUGAGCCAUUGCUCGAUGAGCUCAUCACUUCCCCAGCUGUCUAGAUAAAUCCUCACCUUCCAUCAGCAGCAUGGUCGUUGCGUCACCCCGCGUUCCAUGGGUUACUCCUCUUGGCUGCUCUUCGCCAACACUAUGUUAGGAAAUCAAGCGUCAAUUUAAAAAAUAAUAAUAAUAAUAAUGCAAACGAAAGAGUCCACCAAGAAUAAAUAUAAUAAUAAAAUAACAUAAUUGAAAGAACAUGACAUAAAAUUUAUUAUCGAAGUUUAUCCAAACUUAGACUAUGUUUUUGCGCAUAGACACUCUACAAAUCUAACAGACUUUGAAUAAAGUUGAAAUACAGCAUGAUCUUUCGUAAGAUUAGAGCACAAAUAGAGAGUUCUCAAAGAAAAAAACUCACUUUUUUUCUCUCUUUUUUCUUUUCUCUCUAUUUUCUUUUUCAGCCCUUUGAUGGCUAGCAUUUGACUCUCGCUGGUGUAAAGUUUAGCUUUUAACCUAAAAGCAAAACUAAUAGAAAAAAAAUGCCCCUAAAAAAAUUUGAUUUCAGUCGUCAACAACCUCCCACUUGAAGAAAAAUAUACUAAUGCACCAAGUAACUUAGCAUUCAUUUACUUAAAAAUCUAGUAAUAUAAAUUUGUGCCUCUGCAAUAGUCCUCAUCAGUUAAGAUAAAAUAAUACAAAUUGUAGUGUUGACUCAUAAAUUUUGUCAAUUCAUAUAGGAUUUAAUUGUAUAGAAAUUUAGGAAUUAAUUUUGAACCCCUAAACAAAAAUAGUUUUCACUAGAAUUGCAUAGCAUAUAGACAUUAGGGGCAUUUACAUUAGGAUGUAAAAAAGUAUUAUUUAUUUAAUUUAUAAGAAAACAUUUUAAAAAUGGAAAAAAGAAAAAUAAAAUAUAAACUAAUUGAUUAAAAAAUUAUUAUGUAAAAAAGAAAGAAGAAGAAAAGAAAAAGGGAGAUCGGGCCAGGGUCAGGCCGGCCCAGCCUUCUUUCCCUUUCUUUUCUACCUUUUCUUUUUGGCUAGGCCCAGCCUGGCCCACUUUUCCUUUUCUUUUCCCCAAGCCCAGCCUCUUCCCUCAUCUUCUCCCUCACGAACUCCUACUCGUUCACGCUCUCGUGCGUUCUGCAAAAAACAAAAAGGAGGACGAAGGACGGAAGCAGAGGCGGGACGAGAAGUGAGGAGCGCGCCUUUUGUGUUGGAGGUAGGUCGGCACGGCGAGCUGGCAGUGGCAGAGGCGAUGCGCGCCUGCCGGGCUUUAGUGGAGGAUUCUGGGGACUCGGACAGAGGGAGAAAUGGACGGAGAGAGAAAGGGGGAGACAGAGGGGAUCCGGCCGAGAGGGAGACCGAGAGUGAGAGAGCAGAAAAUUCGGCCCGGCUGAGCACCGUUCGGUCAUCCUUGACACAAACCGGCGUCCCCUAGCCGAUACCACCGAGCCUGCGGUCCCCAUUGAUGGUUUUAUGUGAUGGGCAUAAGGCCCGUCCGCCCAUGUUGGGCCUAAAAGCCCGGUCCACAAGAUUAGGGCCCAUGGAUGCAGGGAUAUAAUGAAGGGGUACGUUUCUAUUUUUUUAGGGAACGUAUAUAAGGGAGGAAAGAGAGAGACGAUGACACCAUUUUGGCAUUAUUACGUGCGUUCCUCUCCCUCUCUCCCUCCAAAAGAAAAACGAGCGUAAACGGCGACGCCAUCUUCCCUUCAAGGCCAAUCGACGUCAUCAGAUCGAACAGGAUCGGAUUUCUCUUCCUCUUAUCGGCAUUGGUGUUUAAUCUGUGGCUAACAAGGUACGCUCGAUUCCGUGGUGUGCUUUAGGAUCGGUGAUACAUGUUUUUCCUAGGCUUAUCUUCCGCAUUUGUUUUAGGGGUUCGAUUUACUGUCGAAUCUGGUUUUUUGGGAAUCCGACAUUCCCAACAUUGGUAUCAGAGCCCUAGUUCAUGUUUUCCCGACCCCUUUGAUGUUUUAUGAUUGAUUUUUCGCGAAAACAUUUGGCCGACACGAAUCGGGGCGAGAAAUCCCGACACCCGAGCACUGUUCAUCCGUUUUUUCGAGUUUCUGUAAGUCGAAAUCGAUUUUUGAAAGCAUAGGAUGAAAGACCUCGUCGAGACGAGUCCGAUGAUGUGUCGUACGCCACUGGGUGAUGCCGUAUCCGCCCACACGCGCGGCCAGAAGCCACUGCGCGUGGGCGCCAUGCGCCGGUGGCGAACCGGCACGUGCGCACUGCCGGCCGAUGAACCGGCAUGCGCCGGUCGGCGAACCAGCGCUAACAUCACCCAACGGUUGUUAACCGCUGGGAUGACGUCACCGAUGAUGUCAUUGCUGACAACAGUUGGCUGACCGGUUACUAGCCGGCGAACCGACUAGCGACCCGACCCGACCCGACAUGCGCGGAAGCCUGGCGCGUGCCGCGCACGUGCCGGCUGACAUCUGCGUGACGUCAUCCCGCGCACGGGCGCAGCACGUGCCGGAUGACAUCUGCGUGACGUCAGCCCGUGCACGCGCUCGGCACGUGCUGGUCAAUUCGCUCGACCGGCCCGAUCGGCUCGACCGGUCCGACUGGUCCAACCGGUUCGACGUCCCAUCGUCCAUUGACCCGUUGACCAUUGACUGACCGUUGACCGUUGACCCCGAAAAAAAAAAAAAAAAAAGGAAUAUGUUUCUUUUUCUCAAUCAUGCCUAUGUGGGUUAUAAGUAAUCCAUUGUUUAUUCUGCAUUUGUUGCAUGAAUUAUGGAAACUUAUGUAUUUUCCCUUAUGUACAUUAUGGAUUAUAAGUAAUCCAUUUUUAGUUCUGCAUUUGUUGCAGGAACUAUGAUGCGUUAUGUACAGAUACCUGCAAUCCCGAGAACGGACGAGGGAAGUGCAAGACUUAAAAGGUUGAUGACAGAAUUAGCUAAUUAUUGGUGGCAUGACGGUGAUUUAGUAUCACAUGUUGUCAGGGUCAAUCAGAUGAUACAGGAAAUCAUCUGGAAUUGUUAUCUUAUGCCGGAUUUUGAGAAUGUGCCGGUUUUGAUGAACACUCUUCCACCUGAAAGGCAAGUAGUGUUAGAUCGGCUAUGUGAGGUCAACGUGGUCCCGGGUUAUAGGAGACUAGUGGUAGCUUUUGUAAGAGAGUACUAUAGGAUUGAGUUAACCAAAACUUCAACCCUUAGAUUGAGCGCCACAUGGCGCAAAGUGAAUGCGCCUUGGAGGCGACAUGAAAGCUUUCCAAAAGUUUAUCCAUGGUUGGCAAAUGUGCCUUCAAAUUUCUCAGAUAUUUUGACUGAUAGAUUAGAAGGGACAUUCCCUAUUUAUUUCUUAGAUUAGUUUGAGAUGUUUUUGGGUAUGAAUAUCUCUUUCUAUAUUGAUAUUUUUCUUUGUAUAUAUUACUUAGUGUAAUGGAUAAUUGUAUUAUGUGAAAGCAUUGUUAUUCUUUUGGAUGUCGAAUAUUAUUUGCUUUCUGUUAUUGUUGACUGCUGUGGGUAGUUCAUAGAAGUUUUUGUAACUUCAUAGAAUUUAUUUUGCAUAAGACAAUUAUAUUAAUAAUAAUUUUGAGUUAGGAUUUUUUGGAGGAUGAUUGGAAACAUAGUGACCUUUUGAUUCUGAAACAUUACUUGAAAUUGUUCAUUGAUAUGAUGGGUCUGUGCAAAGUGGAUGCAUAAAUGAUAGGCAUUAAUUAUUCGUGCAUAUAUGUCUGAUGUGUUCAGAUCAAUGGUUUCAGCAACUAAGAACGUAAUUGCUGAUAUGAACAGCAACAAUUGUGAAAUAUUGAAUAUGAAGAUUCAAUAUAUGCUGAAAAAGCAAGAAGCACUAGAAGCUCUUGACCAUGUUAUGAAAGAUCUUGAGGUUGCUAUGCGCCACCUUGAGCUAGAAAAGGACCGCUUAACGGCAUUUAAGCCGAAAGUAGAUAUUUGCAAUGCUGGUUCUAGCUUAGAAAGGGCUUUGAGCUCGAAGCAUAAGCGUAUUGAUUCGUUCAAUAUGUGGGAAUGCAAAUGAUCAAGUCCUUAUUGCAAGAAAUCAAGAGUUAACCAACACAAGAGAGGAAAACGUCCUCAAGUGAAGAAAAUGUCAAGGGUGAGGUAUUAUAAUUGUGACAAGAAAGGUCACUAUGCUCGCGACUGUCAUGAGCCAAAGAAGGUAUACACCUCUUGUACAUUUGAGAAUUUUGCUUAUGUGUCAAGUUCUGUAUUAUUGGCUGAAUCCAAUCCUUUGUGGAAUAUAGAUUUAGGAGUGACAGACCAUGUAGCGAAGGAUAGAGAAUCUUCGUGGAAUUUAGACGAGUACCAACUGGAACUAAGUGGAUCUAUGUGGGAAACAACUCCAAAGCUUAAGUGAAAGGAAUUGGCACCUGCCAACUGAACAUGCGUGGUGGAUGCAUUUUGUUCCUACAUGAUGUUCUAGAUGCCUUGGAGAUUCGUCGAAAUUUAGUGUCUGUUUUGGUGUUGGUUAAGCUUGGUUUUAAUGUGAACUUCCGUAAUAGUUGUGUAGAUUUGUAUUUGGGUACAAACUACUAUGGUUGUGGUAAUUUUCUGGAUGGUUUUAUUGUACUAAAUGUUGACUGUGGUGAUGUCAAUAUUUGUUAUUCCCUUAUUUCACGUCUUCUACUUCAUAUGAUAAUGAUGUGAUUAUGUGGCAUGCUAAACUUGGUCAUAUUGGCCAACAACGUAUGAAUAGACUAGCCAAAAGGGGCUUGUUGGGCAGUAUUAAAAAAGUUGAUUUGUCCAUAUGUGAGCAUUGCCUAGAAGGGAAAACGACAAGGAAACCAUUUGGAAAAAGGUAAAAGAGCUGAAUUUCUUCUGCAUUUAAUCCAUUAUGACGUCUGUGGUUCAAUGAAUGUGAGGGGAAGGCAUGGGGCUGUUUAUUUCAUUACUUUUAUAGACGAUUAUACUCGAUUCGGAUAUGUCUAUUUGAUUUCUCAUAAAUCUGAAGCAUUGAGUUAUUUCAAAAGGUUUAUGAACCUGGUAGAAAAUCAAUUAGACAAGAAAAUAAAAGCAUUGAGAUUCAAUCGAGGUCGAGAAUAUUUAUUUGAUGAGUUCAAAAAACUAUGUGAUGAAAAAGCAAUAGAAAGACAGUUGUCUAUUUCGUAUACUCCUCAACAAAAUGGUGUUGCGGAGAGAAGAAACAGAACCCUACUGGAAAUGAUUAGGUCCAUGAUAGCGCAUGCUAACUUACCUAUUAUUUUUAGGAGUGAUGCGUUGUUAACUGCUGCCUAUAUACUUAACCGAGUGCCUUCCAAAUCAGUUACUUCCACUCCAUAUGAGUUAUGGACAGGUAGAAAACCGGACUUAAGUUUUCUUAAGCCAUGAGGUUGUGCUGCCUAUACUCAUGAAUCCUCUCACAAGUUUGGGAAAUUGGGUCCCAAAGGAAAUAUGAGUAUUUUCAUAAGAUAAUCGGAACACUCGAAAGGGUAUGUGUUUAUAGGUGAGAAUGAAAGUGGGAGUAUAACUGAAUUGAAUCACGAGAUGUCACAUUCUUAGAGGAUGAAUUUCCUAGAAGGGCAAAAUAGGGGAAGAUUACUCUCUAUUUGAAACCUUGGAUCAAGAUAAUGAUAUUAGUGGAGUUCGUCCAAAUGGGAGUAAUAUGAGAAGUGAUGAAUUGAAUUCAACUCAUUCUCAAUUACACCCACAUCAUGAGAUGACAUCAUCAUUAUCUAAUCCAAGUGGGAGCAUAAUGGGGAAUGAUGUGCAAAGUAUACAAUCUCCCAUAUGGCGAACAAGUCACCAAAGUAUUCCCCGUCGACGUUUUGACAUUGAAGGGGAAACUUUUAUGGUUGCUCCACAAGAUGAGGAUGAGUCAAGAAAUAUUAAUGAUGCUCUGAAUUGCCCUAGUAAGGAAAAAUGGAUUCAUGCAAUGGAAGAGGAAAUUGAGUCAAUGAAAUCAAACCAAGUCUGGGAACUGGUUGAUCUUCCAAAAGGACGCAGAGCUAUUGGGAACAAGUGGGUUCUCAAAAUAAAGCGAAAGGCUGAUGGCUCGAUAGAAAGGCAUAAGGCUCGCCUUGUGGCGAAGGGGUAUAAUCAACAUGAAGGAAUUGAUUAUGAAAAUACAUUUUCUCCUGUAGUGAGAUUUACCUCGAUUCGCAUUAUUCAAGCAAUAGUGGCUAGUAUGGAUCUUGAGUUACAUCAAAUGGAUGUAAAGACUACUUUCCUCAAUGGAGAACUAGAGGAAGAAAUAUGUAUGGAACAACCUACUAGUUUCAUAGUGAAAGGCCAAGAAAAAAAUGUAUGUCGACUUUUGAGGUCGAUAUAUGGCCUUAAGCAGUCAUCGAGACAAUGUUAUAUAUGUUUUCAUAAUGCCAUAAUGGCAUAUGAUUUUACAAUGAUUGAUGAGGAUCAUUGUGUAUAUAUCAAAAGAUCCAAGGAUCAAUUUGUGAUCAUAUCAUUAUAUGUUGAUGAUAUACUGAUUGCCGGAAGCAAUAUGGAGUUUGUUAAUACUGUCAAGAGUUGGUUGUCUUCCAACUUUGAGAUGAAAGAUAUGGGUGAGGCUGCAUACAUUCUUGGAGUUAAGAUUUCAAGAGAUCGUUCGAAGAUAGCGUUGUCUCUUUCGCAAGAAACAUAUAUAAAUAAGGUUCUUGAACGAUUUCGUAUGCAAGAUUGUAAACUCAUAGACACUCCUAUUGCAAAAGGUGAAGGAUUGAGCCAUAGACUGUGUCCAGGGACUCCACAAGAGAAGGAACAAAUGAAACAUGUUCCUUAUGCUAGUGUUGUUGGGAGCUUGAUGUAUGCUAUGAUGUGUACAAGACCCGACAUAUGUUUUGCAGUUGGAAUGGUAAGUAGAUACCAAUCCAAUCUAGGUCCAGCACAUUGGAAAGCCGUUAAGAGAAUACUGAGGUAUCUGAAGGGAACUGCUGAUUACAAGUUGAAUUACCAAGGAAAGAAUCUGCGACUUGAAGGCUAUUUAGAUGCUGAUUGGGGAGGAGAUUUAGAUAAAAGAAAAUCUACCUCAGGAUUUGCUUUCUUACUGAACAAUGGCGCCAUAUCAUGGAGUAGUAAGAAGCAAACGUGUAUAGCCUUAUCCACGAUGGAAGCUGAGUUCGUGGCAUUAUCAGCAGCAAUAUAAGAAGAUGUUUGGCUUAAGAGAUUUUUUGGAUCAUUUAGGUGUUAUUGGAAGUGUUGCAGAUUCAUUGUUGGUUAACUAUGGUAGCCAAGCAGCAAAAGUGUACACCAAAGAUCCAAAAUAUCAUGGCAAGACCAAACCUAUAGAUACCAAUUAUAAUUUUUGCCAAAGAUAUGAUUGCACGAAAAGAUGUGAACUUAGAGUACAUACUACGCAUAGAAUGGUAGCAGAUCCUAUGACAAAGCCAAUAUCUAGAGAUAUGUUUUGUGGCCAUAUGAAAUCUCUAGGAUUGCGUAGAGUAUGAUGUACUGGAUUGUAAUUUCCCUAAAGUGUUCACAUUUGAUGAAUUUGUGUUUUUCAUUAUUAAUGCCUAUGAAUCUUUGUUUGAUCUUUAUGCAUCUUAUUGCUCAAUGCAUUACUUUAGGUUGAGAAAGUAUGUUGGACAGAUAUAAAAUUAGCCCACUCACACGGGUAAUCGCCUCUAUUUACUAUGUGAUAAAUAGAGAUGAAACUGUUUUUAAGCUUAUUAUCUAGGUGAUAAUCGAGAGCUCCAGCUUAAAACACGUAUGUCGCCUUAACUGAGUGUUAAGAUGAUGACAUAAUACUUACUAUUUCCGAAAGUAAAAUACCCCACAUAUUUUACUUUAUCUAUCUAUGAUGCUAGAUGUGAAUUCUGAUGAAUUUUGUGAAUGAGUAGAUACGUGAACUCAAGUUAGACAUUGGGUAUGUUUGAACUAUCAUCUGUACGGUAUUGAAGGUGUAGACAUACGCUCCAUGGGAAAGGAUUUAAUACCGUAAUACGUAUUUCAUACUACGUAUGCAUAAGACGACCAAUAAGAGUGGCAAAAGUUUGAUCUCAACUUUUAUGCCGUGUGAGACUCUUAAGGAAAAGAGUUCCUCAAUUUUUAAGUCCCCUCAUGACUCUUACUUAUUCUCAAGAUUUCUAUUUAGUGUUUGCUAUCUUAGGAUGUUGCCAAUGGUCAUGAGUUGAUUCGAUCUAAUAGGGCAUUUCUAGAAAAGCAAGCUGAACUGAAAUUGAGAGUUUGACUGAAAGAGGAAGAUCGAAUUUGGAAAAUCACAUUAUAGUUUUGUAUUCACUGGUUAACUAAUUAUGAUUGUCUUUGGGAUAAUUAUAAUUGUGAAUACAAUAUAUAUAUAUAUAUAUAUAUCAUUUUUUAAAAGAGAUCAAGAGAGAUAUAAAUGUGAUCGAUCGAUCUAGGGUACUGCAUACUAAAUCUACUCAGGAUGUGAUGCCCAUUAUGAGCUGCUAUAUAUUCCUAAUAGGUGUAUGGCAACGAGCUCUCAAAGUAUGCUGGUCGCACAAAUUAUUCACCGGUAUGAAUGUUGAAGAGAGGUAAAGAGAAUCAUGUUUGGCCCACCAUGUGNNNNNNNNNNNNNNNNNNNNNNNNNNNNNNNNNNNNNNNNNNNNNNNNNNNNNNNNNNNNNNNNNNNNNNNNNNNNNNNNNNNNNNNNNNNNNNNNNNNNGAUGAUGGUUUUAUAUGAUGGGCUUAAGGCCCGUCCGCCCAUGUUGGGCCUGAAAGCCCGAUCCACAAGAUUAGGGCCCAUGGAUGGAGGGAUAUGAUGAAGGGGUACGUUUCUAUUUUUUGAGGGAACGUAUAUAAGGGAGGAAAGAGAGAGACGAUGACACCCUUUUGGCAUUAUUACGUGCAUUCCUCUCCCUCUCUCCCUCCAAAAGAAAAACGAGCGCAAACGGUGACGCCAUCUUCCCUUCAAGGCCAAUCGACGUCAUCGGAUCGAACAGGAUCGGAUUUCUCUUCCUCUUAUCGACAUUGGUGUUUAAUCUGUGGCUAACAAGGUACGCUCGAUUCCGUAGUGUGCUUUAGGAUCGGUGAUACAUGUUUUUCCCGAGUUUAUCUUCCGCAUUCGUUUUAGGGGUUCGAUUUAGUGUCGAAUUUGGUUUUUUGGGAAUCCGACAUUCCCAACACCCAUCUUUCACGGCGUCCGAUUUUUGGUGAGUUGAGUUCGGUUUCGAUCCGCCGUUUUCCUAUGGUUCCCGGCUUGGCAAAACUGAGAUGGCCGGCUAUAGUUUGAUUUGUAUCGAGACCGGCUUCCGGCUGUCGUCGCCAAGCCGGGUAAGGCCCCCGCGGUCGCGCGCUCCGGCGCCCCUUUUUUGUCCUUUCUUUAUUGCUCUAUUUUUGCCCUAUUUCGGGCAUGCCGGGCUGGAGCUCGCGGCCGUCCCGCUUACUCGAACUCUGGCCCCUUCGCCCCCGUGCUUUGAUGUUGUCAGUCUGGUUGGUCGUAUGUUGAGGGGACCGUGCGAGUUUGAGUCCCAGCUGAGCCGGAAGCGCCACCUGCACGAUGAAACGCCUCAACGAGAUCUAAUUUUCGUCUCCUCCUUUUUUAGCCGAAAUCGAGUCGUCCGCACUAUUACGUUCUAUUGCUAUGUCCCUGUGAUGUUUGGUGUUACGGGCACGGCCAUUUGGUUGCUUCCCUGCCCCCCGCGACCGCCGUUGUUUACUUUGUUUUGUGUUUCGGGCUUUGUGGCCGACAGUAAUGGAGGCUCGUUACUGUGUUUCGGCCAUGCUGGCCGUCACCAAGAGUCCAGAGCCGUUGGAGUGAGAGCGUGGUCAAGCCGAGGGCGUCGGCUUACGGCCAUUUGGACAAGACGGUGGCAGCGGGAGGUCAGAAGCAAUUAGGUUAGAAGGCUUAAUUAGUUUAAUUAGCAUGGGCUUAAGUUAGUUUAGUGGGUUUAGGUUCGUUUCUGUUUUCAUGGGAGUUAAAAAGUAUUGGUUUUGGGCUCAACUAGGAUUUAUUAAGUUUGGGUCUAGUUCUCGUUAUAUUUGGACCGGUGAUUUUCGGGCUUGAUUUGUUUUAGGGUGUGUUUAUUUAGCGAAAUCUUAAUGAUAUAGGAAAAAGCUUUCUAGUAAAACAUCUUUCAGGAAUAUGGUUAGUUUUUCCUUGUUUGAUAAUAUAUAAUCAAAAAUGUUUUUCAAUGUUUGGAUACUAUUUCAAAAUGAUUUCAAUCUCAUUAUUUUAUUUAGUAAAAAAAAAUCAAUUUUUUUUUUAAUUUUUAGAAAAAAUUGAAAUUUUCAAUUAUUUUCUUUUUCUCUUUUUUUUUCCUUUUUUUUUUCUAAAAGUUGAAUUUUUAAUUUUCUAUAAUAAAGAGACAUUGAAUUCUUAUUAAAGUGACCAUUAUCCAAACCUUAGAAUAUACAUACAAAUAAACUGUUCACGAGAAGAUGUACAACAUCCUUUGCACAUGGAGAAAAUAUUGGGUGGUCUGAGAGCUCCACAUCAGCGUGGUGUUCGGCCACUCACAAGGUGCCAUGUGGAGGGGUGGGCCCACUUGGUGUCUUCUGCUUUCUUCCCCUUUCUCCUUCUAGCCUGCACGCUCUCUCUCCUAUGCAGCGCAUUUAUUGCGGUUUAAACUUUUCUCUUUCUUUCUCAAAUGAGAAGGAAAGAGAAGCCCGUUCUUCUGUCCCUCUCCAUUUCUUUCCUUUCAAAUUUUGAAUUUGAAAUUUUCUCUCUCUCUCCGCGCUCGUUCCUGCUCCGCUGUGCAUCAAGCAGCCGUUCCCCUGCCGUCGCCAAUGAACCACAUUAUGGCCACCCCUACUCCGAUGCUCGCUUGCUUCCUCUCUUCGGGCUCGUUGUUGCUCCAUCGUUCGCUCCAGCAUUCCCGGGAUCACAGAUGUAGCACACGGAGGAGAAGCAGGCCUCUUUGAGUUCCCCUCAACGUCGGCGAGCAUCGCUCGCCGAGCAAGACCCCCACACACAGAAGGCUCGGAGGCGAGGUUGCUAGAGAAGCUGGUGCCGCACACUGCCAGCUUGCUGAGCUGCCUCGUUGUGUNNNNNNNNNNNNNNNNNNNNNNNNNNNNNNNNNNNNNNNNNNNNNNNNNNNNNNNNNNNNNNNNNNNNNNNNNNNNNNNNNNNNNNNNNNNNNNNNNNNNNNNNNNNNNNNNNNNNNNNNNNNNNNNNNNNNNNNNNNNNNNNNNNNNNNNNNNNNNNNNNNNNNNNNNNNNNNNNNNNNNNNNNNNNNNNNNNNNNNNNNNNNNNNNNNNNNNNNNNNNNNNNNNNNNNNNNNNNNNNNNNNNNNNNNNNNNNNNNNNNNNNNNNNNNNNNNNNNNNNNNNNNNNNNNNNNNNNNNNNNNNNNNNNNNNNNNNNNNNNNNNNNNNNNNNNNNNNNNNNNNNNNNNNNNNNNNNNNNNNNNNNNNNNNNNNNNNNNNNNNNNNNNNNNNNNNNNNNNNNNNNNNNNNNNNNNNNNNNNNNNNNNNNNNNNNNNNNNNNNNNNNNNNNNNNNNNNNNNNNNNNNNNNNNNNNNNNNNNNNNNNNNNNNNNNNNNNNNNNNNNNNNNNNNNNNNNNNNNNNNNNNNNNNNNNNNNNNNNNNNNNNNNNNNNNNNNNNNNNNNNNNNNNNNNNNNNNNNNNNNNNNNNNNNNNNNNNNNNNNNNNNNNNNNNNNNNNNNNNNNNNNNNNAGUUCCGAUAUCCUUGCAAGCUUGAAAGCACCUACAGUCACCCUCGACUCUGAUGCUGACCCAACACCGCCUCCUCCCUUGAACCCGACUCUGACGCCGACGCCCCUCCGCCAUUUUCCUUCGUCGGCAACAAAGUUCGUCGCCCCUAACUCCGACGCCGACGCCUCGGCCUCGGCCUACGUGCCCGACGCCAACGCCGACGCCAAUGCCCCUUCGCCUCCCUCUCGCUGCUCGCGUUUUGGCCUCCCUCUCCGCGAGCAAAGGUCACUCUGCUCGAUCUUUCUCUCUUUCCUCCAUGAAGCACCCCCUGCUCCUGAACAUAGACGCCGUCGCCUCCCGCUGUCACCUUCCCAAGCCCCACCUAUAGGCACCGUAUUGGCGAUUCCCAUACGUCCGAAGGUUCGAUUUUUUUUUUUUUUUUUGGAUUCUACUUAGUAGAAUUCGGUGUCGUGUUAAUGUUUAGGUUCAUAGAUACAUUUGCAUUAGGUAUUGCUUUUAUCUUACUUGUUGCUGACUUGCUGUGUUAUUCAGAUAGUUAAUGAAGAUUGGAAGAAAGUGAAAUGGUGGUAUCUUUUGAGAUUGUUUGCAUAUAGUCCUCCCAAGAGAUUAGAGGCUUCUGAGCCUAAAUUGGUCACUCCUUGUCUGAAGUAAGAGAUUGAGAAGCUGGUAUUAGGAUUGCUCAAGUGGACCUAUAGCCGAUUAUGUCCAAGUCAUGCCACACUCUCCACAUAUGCUCCUAAGUCUUGCUUUCAUCACUGCUGCUACUUUAUUCUCCCAUACAAAAUGCAAGCAAUUCAUUAAUUGAUUGUGUAAUUGGACUUGCAGGGUUGUCGGAAUGGUGGUUCAUGUUCUUUUUCUCAUAAUAUGGGCACGUCAUUUUCGUUAGUGAGUACUCCAUGCAUCGCAGAAAAUGGCGAUGCCGACCCAACAUUACUUAUUUAGUUAUUUCCUUUUGCUGAUGAUGGGGAAAUUCUCAUCUUGGACGAAAUUUUCUCUGUCAUCAUUGGCAAUGCCUAGCUGAAACACCAGGGUCAAAUCCUCAGUUUGGGUGUGGGUUUCUGUGAAUGGAUCAGUCCACUCCAAAACCUCCCACCAGUUCCAUGUGCCACUUGGGCUCUGCCCCAAAGUCAGUCUCAUUCUAGCUCAGUGUUUAAGGUUGGGCUUUGCCUUUGAUAUAAUUUAUAACUUUGAGCCUUGUGGCUUGGGAAUGAGGUUAAUCAUGGAUUGGUUAGAAGCAAAAAGAAAUGAUGAAAUUGAGAAGAGUUUAGUUGAAUCUAAUCACUAUGGUUUUGUGGGUGGAGGCGUUUGCUUUAUCCUCUGUCGUCACUCCUGAAUAUGUUUAUUUUGCUCAUAUUCUUUUGAAAUUAUUGUACAUGAAUCCCAAGGUACUUAUUGUUAAGUUUUACAGAAGAAACCUUUCUUUGCAGAGACCAAGGGUGUGUAUACUAGGUGGUGGAUUUGGGGGUUUAUACACUGCUUUGAGACUGAAAUCACUUGUCUGGCCUGACAGCAAGAAACCUCAUGUAAUUCAUUUGAUCCUUGUAUAGUUAGUAUGCGUUCUUCAUUGAUACAUCCCUGCUGCUCGAAUGGAAUCAUAAGCAGAACUUGCAUAUUUGAACAAAGAUCACUCCUCUAGACUAUACCAAACUGUCUUAUAGAAGUAUGUAUAUUCUGUUGAAACCAGUAUGUUGUCAUUUGAUGCCACUUAUAAUGUUCAAAUUACUUAUUCAGCUUGAGCCAUCUUAUUAAAUUGGGUCAUUUUGAUAAUGCAGUAGGUCCUUCUUAUUGACCAAUCUGAGCGGUUUAUUUUCAAGCCAAUGCUAUAUGAACUUUUAUCUAGAGGUAUGAAGAUAUGACACUACAGAGUUUGCAAUAGUUUUUUGCUGUUUAUAAUGAUAGUUCCAGUGAUAUGUUUAUUUGAAGAAGGGUGAGGGAGAUUCUCUCUGAGGACUUAUGUCUUGAUGCAGAAGUAGAAGAAUGGGAAAUAGCUCCUCGAUUUGCUGAUCUUCUUGCGAGCACUGAUGUCAAGCUUUUCCAAGAUAGGGUAAAACUCUUGCGUCCAAUGGAUCAUCUGGGAAUCAAUGCUCCUCCGGGAUCUGGUUCUGUAGGGACUGUGCAACUUGAAAGUGGCCUCCUUGUUGAAUAUGACUGGUAUCGUUUUCUCUUUGAAUAUCGUCUAGUAUGUCUUUAAUUUUUCAUAUAGGAAUAUAGUUUUGUCAGGCACCGGAGUAUAUAUAGCCUUUACCAGGUUUGUACUUCAUAACUUCAGACACUUGCUAGAUUUUUUCUGUCAACUUUCCUGAUUAAUUAGGAAAUAGUUUUAUGUGGAUAGUGUUGAUCGUCUUUUCUUAGGUGUUGCUCUAGGAUUGUCCCUUGCCUUUGUGAGCUAAAUGAGCUUUCUUUCAAUAUGCUGGGGGAUAGCAUCAGAUUAGUUCAAGCCUCCUUGGGAUUUGUUAAAGUUGAACUUGGAUUUGAUGAAUCAUUAGUUGAUAGAUAGAUGCUCAUUUGGUUUUUAUGUGUAUAAGGAUAUGCCAAUUCUCUCUUUUUGUCAUGGGCUGUCAGGUUGGUUCUUGCUUUGGGGGCUGAAGCGAAGCUUGAUGUUGUACCUGGUGCAGCUGAGUAUGCAUUGCCAUUCUCAACCCUCAGGGAUGCACUUGUAAGGCAACUUUUAGGGGGGUCUAUAAUGCUAUAAAUUACAUCUCUAGUUGAUUGACUCUGAUUUGGUACAUUUAUUAUUCUCUCACUUGUACAUUUCUGUUGCAGAAAGUUGACAACAAAUUAAAAGCUUUGGAGAGAAGGAACUUUGGGAAGGGGUCUGAAAUUCGCGUAGCUGUUUUCUNNNNNNNNNNNNNNNNNNNNNNNNNNNNNNNNNNNNNNNNNNNNNNNNNNNNNNNNNNNNNNNNNNNNNNNNNNNNNNNNNNNNNNNNNNNNNNNNNNNNAACUCACCAGUCGUGCAGCUCUAUAAGCCUGAUAGUCCACUUCUAGAUUAACAUGUAAUUAGAAGUCCUAUUGAAGAUGAAUUAUCACUGUUAUAGUUUUCAAGACUUCAGAAUCAUGUGAAACAUCAUGUUAUAUAUUCACGAUACUCUAUGCAUGUACUGUUUUGUUUGUUUGGAUGGACUAUAAUUUGUUGGUAUUUUGUCAGCUACAUAGAAACACAUAGAAACGAAUCAUAUGAAGAGGGUAGAGAGGAAUGAGUGGGCCAGCGAAUCUAUGUAAACUUCUUGCUUCAACCUGGUACUAGAAUCAGCUGGAGCAAUUUGAUAUGAAGCGAGGACUAAGAUUUCUAUUACUUGUAUUGGUUCAAACUUGUAGCGGUAUGAUUAAGAAUGGUACUUUGGUUAUGAAAGAUGCGUACGCCAUGCGAUGAUCUUCAUGGAGAACCUACUAGAUUAUAAUGUAAAAUAAGUUAGAAAGAGUUGGUUGGCUGUGCUUCUUUUCCAAAUGAAAUUCAGUUCCAUCCACAUUUUGCCGGUACAGAUGGUGUCUUAGGGCAAAAUGAAAUGGUUUAUGAACUACUCACAAUCGAGAAUUCACUGAAAGGACUUGAUAUUGUGAAAGCAAAGAAGGACAAGUAAGACUACAUAAAUUGCAGGAUGUAGAGUUGUACGGAUGGCAAGUUUCAGAGGAUAAACUGUUUUUCCGUUUAGUUUUCGUAUUGCUCCUACGCAACUCCUUUUCAUUUUAUUUUCCACCUCUAAUUUGAUUUAGUGGAAAACCUGAAUGCCAAGUUUGACCGAUAUCUAUGAAGUUAACGCCGUUGCACAAGCGGUUACCCUUGGCGGGACCAUCUUCUUGUUCAUGGUGAUUGUGAGAUUUGGGUGAGUGCAGUUCUACUUGAUGAUGCCGGAGACAAAGGGGCGGAGGCUGGAGGACUUGUUAUACAUGGAGUGGAGGUCCACAGUGAGGGAGAUGGAGAUGCAAAGGAACAACAACGUGACCAAGGAGGCAAACAGUGAGGCCUCACUUGUAAUGCAUGAUGUCCAAUUAAUAUUAGGUCCUAGACACAACAUUAACCGCACAUCAUGCAUGCAUUAUAGAUGAAGCCUCACUAUUUGCCCCUCAGUUCGCAUCUCCAUUUCCUUCGUUGCAGAUUUAUGGAACAACUCCUCUACCAUCCGCCCCUUCGUCUCCCACAUCAUCAAGUAGAAGAGCACUCACGCAAAACUCACGAUUUCCAUAAACAAGAAAGCGGCUCCACCAAGGGUAACCGUCUUGUGCAACAGUAUAAACUUCAUGGAUAACACUCCAAGGGAGUUUGAUUGGUCUCUCUUCUGUAUUGAUUCCUUCAAUUUCUCCAGACUUUCGACAGUGUCUUGCAAUCGGCUACAAGAACCGCCACGUAGUACAACUAAACUUUCUCAUGACAUUAGCCUACUAACACUUACUCCCAUAAAGAAACAUAGAAAAUUAGGAUAGCUACAUACAUUUCAUCCUAAUCAUCUCUCCAUCAGGACGUGCUCAUGCCAGUUAGUUCAACUUGAGCUGCAGGGGCAUUGAUCACGUCAAUUAGAUCCAAUUUCCCCCUGCUCUGCACAUUACCUGAAUGGAUGGAUUUACGAGUGCCGAAGUAUGUCAAAGACGUAGGAGGCAUUGCCUUGAGCAACAUCUCGUGCUAUCAACUUCAGUCUAAAAAAUGACUGACCGAUCUAGCAAGCUCGCAUUUGCUCUGGACAGAAUCAGAUUAUGGACCACCUGUAAUGUCAAUGUGCUAAGGAAUUUGAUAAAGAUGCGCUGCAAUCUUUGCAAUACGAUCAAACAAUAUCCUGAACAUGGUUGAGACAAGCCCAAUGAAGCGGAGCAUUCUUCUCCUCAUUACUGGCGUUAACAUCCUGAAAUUGGAAGAUUCCGGGUUUCAUAAAAGUCUCUUUCUACAUGUAACUAUGCAAUAAAUAACCGUAUAUAGAGCCUCAUAUCAACGCUAAUUCUAAUAAGACGCCGAGAUCAAGGCCAUAUCAGGACAACCACAGAGCAAUCAUAAAAAAUGCGCUGACCAACAUUUGAGAAAACUCAUCUAAGUCAGGACACGAUUGAAUAUCACCCCGAACCGAGAGUCGUGAGUACUAGUGCAAGUGACAAACAUCGACAUCUCCAAAAAACUAAAGAAAGAAUAAAGAGGAAGAGAGAGAAAGGGGGGGUGGGGAAUCAAUGAGAAUGGCAUAGUCGAAUGAAUUUAGCCAGAUUAUUGCAAAACACAGUUUGCGAGGAAGAAUGAAAGCCUGAGUUCACCGGAGAUAUGACCGAAAAGCAGGAGGCAAACAAGACCGGAUUUUUUUAAGUUCAACAUUACCAGAUACAUGGACCCUCGAGAUCAGCAGUCAAACAUAAAAGACGAUGAAGGGAACACAACUUCCGUCAGCAAGCGAGAAAUUCCAAAGAAAACAAGGCCAUGUCUACCACAGUAAUCACCUAUAACUCUGUAGCAUCCAAAAACCUUAUGAAUAUCCUUAAAUCCUAAACCCAGUAAACGAAUCACCUUUAACUGUGUAGGAGAGCUCUUCAGAAGCGCUCCAGUUGGUCUCGGCAAAGGGCGAGGCGUUGAGGAGAGGAAUGGAGAGGCAAGAGCGAGAGAGGAUGAAGGUGUGGAGCUGGGGAAGGGGAGCUGGAGACUGGAUAUGGGGAAGAAGGAGCGUUGUUUGGUCGUUCUCCUUUCUCCAGAAAGGAAACAGUAGCGAGCGGAAGGAGGGAGGAGGAGAGGGAAGAGCUGGGCAGCGGCUGCUGUGCAUUCACACUCCCCAACUGCAAAAUGAUACUUGAAGUAGAGAGCUCGGCGUGCAUGGGAAGUAUUGGUAACGGUCUGAAAAAGCAGGCUGGGCUUGGGGGGAAAGGUGAAUGGUGGAAUGGGACUUGGGAGGGUGAGUUCGAUGAGUCCCGAUGAGCAGAGGGAUGGUUUCUCACUUCACAACAUCACUCACUCACUCUCUCUCUCUCUCUUUGUUUCUCUCUCUCUCUCUGCUUCUUCUCGCUCAUCUUUAAAGUAGUUGAGUGGUUAGUAUCCGUUCGAAAUAAACUUUUGUUCCAUAUUUAAGAAGAUGCCUGAUCAUUCCCCUUAAUAAAUUAAUUAAUAAUUCAAGAAUUACGUUGGUAUUUAGUUAUUAUUAGCAGGUCAGUAAGAUGGAUUUAAAGUUAAAUGUGCGGUACAUAUUAAAAUUAAUUAUUGAUUGUGUUGGCAAAAAGACAAAAGCAAUAAACGGUGUUGGCCAAAAGACAAAAUGUUUGAAUUUUUCUUCUUCUGCAUUCAUUUUCUCAUCGCCAGUUCUUUUUUCUUGGAUUGCCAUCACCCGUAAUUAAUAAUCAUGGGGGAGAGACAGAGAUCGCUCAAUGUGGCAUGCAAAACCUGACAUGCAGGGGAGAAGGCUUUGCUUUUCACCUUCCUCAAAACUUGAACCAAAUUUAUUGCUCUCCCUUUGUUUGUCUAAUUAAGUGCCAAACCAUUAUAAUUCUUCCUUCUCACCCUUCAAUUUUUCUUUCAAUAAACUUUUCUACCUCAUUUGGCAAUGCCGAAGAACAAAUAAUUGCCCUAUUUGGCUAUGCCAAAUUACCUGUCGAGAAUUGUUUUGAAGAUAUGGUUGGCAUGACAUGUAUGUCCAAUGUAAUAGUCUUAAACCUUAGUUGAUUGAAGUUUUGUAUGGUAAGUGCAAAAGAUAACUUAUAUUUAUAUUUAUAUUUACAUUGUCAUGUUUUAAAUAAAGUGAAAUUCUUAUUGAAUGGCGGUGGAAGAGUGUAAUUACAAUGAAAAAUGGGGCUAAUCGAUGAGUAUUUGAGUAUUUUAUGGAUGAACGCAAUGACAAACCUCAAACGUCAUAAGCUCCUUCAUUUUCCAAGGCUUCACAAAAAACACAUGUGUACGAUCACAAAAACAAGUAAAAGUGAUGAGAAUGAGUAAUCCUAAUCUCUGCAAGUAAAGUGAUGAAGGGCCUAUUUUGUCGCUAUCAUAUAACAUUUAUUCCUAAUUCAAUUUACGGUAUAAAAUUUCAUUAUAUAAUAAGGUAUUUGUAAUUAAUUUGGAGACUUUAACAAUAUUUCUGAUUUUUUUUUUUUACUUUGAAUUACAAAAAUUUUAAAUUUUCAUUUGGAGAUGAAAGUUUGGAAAAAGGAAGACUCUUUUUAAAUUGAACAAAUUUAAUGUCCAAAAAUUUAUUUUUAAUAUAAUUAGUUAGAUAAGAUUGCUAGUCACAGAUAGAUAAAAUGCUUAUUUUUCCAGCAAAAGAAGUUAGAAACAAUGGUGGACUUAAUUUACAGAGUUAGUGACAAGUGCCCUUGCUAAAUGGACACAAUUUUCCCCUACACAAUCUACAAUAACAAUCCGUAAAGCCCACGUUUUAGCAGAAAACAAUCCAUUAGAAAAUAUAUGCUGAAUAUUCGCCAAAAAAUAAAUGCUGGAACUAAAAAUAUAUAUACCACAUCCUUUAGAUUCAUAGCAAAUUUAUUCAUUAACCAGCAUGCUUUGACAUUUGGUAAAGCUCAUUUAAAGAAGGGGAUCUUGACUUGACGUACAUUCGCUUAAAGUAAUUGAGUGGCUAGUAAAAUAGUAUUUUCUAAGCCCAUUGAAAUAAACUUUUAUUCGGUGUAAAGUAAUAUUUAAAAUAGUUAAUAUCAUGAAAAAUUACAAUUGAAAUAUUUAUGAUAAAUUUAUCUCAAACUAAUUUUUUAACCUUAAAAAAUUUUAAACUAAUACACUCAUAACAAAUUACCUCAAACUAAUUUUUUGAUCACUAAAAAAUACCAAAUUGAUAUAUAUGUAAUAAAUUUAUGAUUUGUUGAUUUCCAUUAAAUUAAAUUAAUAUCAUAAAAAAACCACAAAUUAUUACACAUGUAAUGACCAAUAGAGGGUAAAACCCCAAAUUAGUACGUUAAUCAAUUGUGACAUGUUAUCUAACUCAACAAUUUGACUAUAAAAUUUAAUAUUAACUAAUUAAUGGUAAGUACAUCAAUUUGGGAUUAGUUUACCAAUUUGGAAUUUAUCAUGGUAUUAACCCUAUUUAAAUUUUUUCUAAUAUUGUCUAAACAAAUAGUCAAAUAAUCCUUACCAAAAAAAUACAAAUAGUCAAAUAAUUCAAGAAUAACAUCAAGGUUGGUGGUUAGCUAUAAUUACCAUAUUACAAAGAUAGAUUAUAAAGACAAAUGUGUGGUACAUGUCAAAACUAAUCAUCUAAAUGAUCAAUUAAUAAAAGGCACAAGAACUAAAUGGUGUAGGCCGAAAAAACAAAAAAGAAAGUUGAAAUGUUCUUUCUUGUGAAUUCAUUCAUAAUAAUGAUGGGAGAGAGAAUCUUGUUGUUCAUCAUCCUCAACACCAAGAUCAAAUUAUGAAUAGAUUUGAAAUUCAUAAAUUUUGCUAUAUUUUAUUCAAUGUUGGGUGAAUCAUAGCAAUAAUAUGAGAUAUAUUCUUAUCCUAUUAUAUCUUAUUGUUUGUUAUAAACAAUUAUUAAUCAGUAAAUCUUAAAAAAAGAAUGGUGGUUUGGGAGAGUGACUGCAUUCACCAUCCCCAACUGCAAAGGAUAUUUUAUAAUUGAUGAAGUAGAGAUCAAUGUGCAUGUCAAGUAGGGAACGAUCUAAAAGAGUAGGCGUGUGGGCUGGAGUUUUGUAUGUUUGCGGAAAAAAGUGAAUGGUGGGAUGAGAGAGUGAGUGCGAUUAGUCCGACGAGAAAAGAGACGACGAGAAUGGCUUCCUCUCAUUUUAACCUUGAUGAAAUGGAGUUUUCGGGCAACUUCUUUUUUACUUUUAUCUCUUAUUUACGGUUCUUUCUUUUUUCAAAUUGAAAAAUAAUAAAAAAAUCACAAUCUUUCAAGUUUUGAAAAUUGUAAAAUUUAGUAUAUGAUUUUUAGGGGUGAUUGAUUCCGAAUUCAGUCACAACCAGUAACCGAGAACCCGAUCGGGAGGACCAAUUCCCAUUUUUUGGGAUCGAGAAUCGGCCAAACUAACCGGUCUAGGCCAAUGGAAUCAGCCAAUUAGCAAAACAAAUUCAAACAAUUUGAAAAAAAAAAUACUAGAGUUGUUACUAUUUUAGAGUUUAUUACAUUUUUUAAGAACAUAGAAAAUAUUUUUUUAUAAAAAAAUGUUGGUCUAGUCCGGUCCGGUCCGGUUUCCUCUUAAAAUCGGGAACCAAACCAAAAAUAGAUGAACUAAGAUUAGACCAACACCCCUCGACGAUUCUCGAUUUGGUUUGUUCAAUAUGCUCACCCCUAAUGAUUUUACUUGUUGGUAUUUAUUCUUUAUUGCGGAACUCGAAAAAUUUACAACAAAGAAAAGGUUUUACAAACUAGUUGAAAAUGUUUCAUCUCUAAAUUUAUAUUGUAUAUAAAUUGGAUCAAAACAGAUUAUUAGUCAGAAUUGAUAAUUAAUAUUUAGAGACAAUCAUACUGUGAUUUUAAUAAUAUAUUUACAUAAAUUAAUAAUAAAAAGCCAACUUAAAUGACAAAUGUUUAAUAAACUAAUAAAUUAUUAAAUAUUUUUUAAUAAAUCAAUAUUUAUAUUAAUCAAAUUUCAAUAAAUAUAUUAAAAAGUGAUUUAUAGCUUCUUAAAAUCUGAUCAAGCACUAUUUCUCCAUCGUGCUUUUAUGAUACAAGAUUAUAAAUAAAUACAAACAAUAAAGCACAACUCCAUGAAACAUCAAUAGUCAAGGAAAUAAUUUGUUUUUCCUAAGAAUUGAAAUACAAAAUCAUUUCUUUGUAUUCUGAUUAGUGUUUUAGGUGAUUUAUUCGCAAUGAAUUGAAAUUUUAUGCCACGUGAAAACGAGAAAUGCCAAAAUUAACCGAAGUAGCUAAAACACCCAAGUUCAUGUGAAUGGAUUCUUGGAAAAUAGCCUGAUAAUGAAUAGGAAUAACAAGCACCAAGAAGUCACCAUCACAGCUGGGUUUAAAAUAUAUAUAUUUGCAUCAGUAACUGUCUAUUCCUUUUCUCUUAAAAAUCCAUUCUUAGGCAAGGCAUAUUUUACAUUUAUUCUUCAUUUCCUGUAUUGCUUUAAACUCCCGAAAUUUUCUAUUAUAAAUAUGAGAAAAGCCAUAUCAUUCCUAAAAGUCCUAAAAUUUCAAUUUAUUAAUUUAUUUAAUGAUGUGGCAAUUUUAAAUUAAUUUCUCUCACUUGGCUUUUUUUUAUUGUUUUCUUUUUAAUAUCUUAUUCAAAUGAGAUUAAAAAACUGAAAAAGCUAAAAUUUUAUUUAAAAAAAAAAAACAAACUGAAAAGAGAGAGAGAGAGAGAGAGAGAGAGAGAGAGAGAGAGAGAGAGAGAGAGAGAGAGAGAGAGAGAGAGAGAGAGAGAAGAGAUAGGGAGGUAGGGCGCUGCCGCCACCACCAUCGGAGGGGUCGACCUUAGGCAAGGCUGGCCGGCCCUCGCCAGUCCCAUGCGAGGCCUCACUGGCCCUAAGCGAGGGGCCGGAGACCCUCGCUAGGCUUGGGCUUGCGCUCAAGCGCCCAAAUCUGGGUGACGCUGGUGCUCACCCAGGGCUGGCGAGGCUUGCCGACUCUAGUUGACCACCAGUGUCGCCCAGAUAUGGGUGCUCUCGCCCGAGUCGGCAAAGGUCGCCUACGCUUGCCUGGAGCUGGCGAGGGUUGGCCACCCUCACCCUAGGCCGGCGACCUCCACCGGCUCCUCCGACUAUGGGUGGUAUUGGCAGUGGCAGUGGUGCGCUUCUCUCUCUCUUUUCAGUUUUAUUUUUUAAAAUAAAAUAUUAGCAUUUUUUUAGUUUUUAAGCUGAAUUAAAUAAGAUUAAAAAAGGAAAACAAUAAUAAAAAAUGCCAACUAGAAGAAAGAAAUAAAUUUAAAAUUUAGAUUCAAUUGCACCUAAGUGGCAUCUUUGUCACAAAAUUUUGGAUUCUGCUCGUGAACUUAUCCUUAAAUAUUCUUAGGUAAUGGAUAUUACUUUUACUUUUCUCUAAAUUUAUUUGUACACGAUUUUGUAGUUAAAACGAGUUGUUUUUACGUAAAAGAUAGGUUAUUUUUCUUUUCUUUUUUCAAUUUUACACAAAUGGAUGACUUUCAUGUUUUGAUUGUCUUUCUAUUAACCUCCACAUUGUAAAUUUCGAAGUUCUCCAAAGGUGGUUCCUACAUAUUUUUCAGACGUUGGCUUUUUUUUUUUUUUUUCCUGUCUCUAUCUUUCAUAUAUUAUCUUUUCUAUAAUAUAUUUCAAAAGAAAAAAAAAAAAAAAAGAAGGUGGAGGACAAGUAUUAGAGGAGUAUUUGAUUUUGAAAGACGCCCACCCCAAUUUUUGGUCUUGACUUCAUGAUUUCGACCGUUGUGUAUUUAUUUCGCUCAGAAACGACAUGAUUUUAAAUUGGACACGGAAAAACUAAAAUUCAUGGGCAAGAUAAAAUGUACACAAAUAUAUAUAUAUAUAUAUAUGUAUAUAUAACAUAGUUAUAGUUAUAGUGUUAAAGCACAUCUUUCUAUAGUUAUAGCCACAGCACGAUCGUCACACAAUCAUCGCACGACUACCGCACGAUUGUCGCACGAUAACGUUUCACCCCAUCUCGUCAACAUGCAAUAGCUUAAGGAAUUUCCACCAGCAGGAGUCAUUUUUUUUUUUUUUUUGAAGGGGCACCUCAUUAGGCACACAUGCACGACCAUACAACCAUCUUCGGCCAUUUCUUCUAAUAAUAAAAUAAAAUACAAAUUAUUAAAAAAAGCAAAGCCAAAAAGAGUUUUGUAAUCAACACCCAUUUGCAAUCAUUGCAUUGCGGAAGAAAAAAAAAUUUUCUUUUCUGUACAUGAUCUUCCCCUAUCCACCUAUCCUAUCCACUGCAACAGUCUUAAAGUCCUGCCGCUGCAUGCAUUUAAAAACACGAACCAAUCUCUUCUCUUUUCUCUUCUCUCUAGCUGAAGAAGACUACAUAUAUCGACAAAUAUCACUAGACAAAAUUCCCAAUCUAUAGUGGAGGCACCAGCAAGAGGUGAAUGCCUUUAUUCAGAGGCACAUCAAAUGCGAUAAUUUGGAAGCUUUGUAUAGACAAUGACUGGUACGGGUUGUGUUUAAUUAUAUGAUUUAUACCUCUAAUAUUUUUAAUAUAAUUUCCUUCAAAGUUAGAAAUUGAAUAUUAACAAUUUGUGUAUGUUGUAGUACGAAUAUGUAAGUCUCAUGAAUGUGGAGUCGGGAAUGAAGCUACUUAAGAGAGCCGCACAAAUUGGCCACCUUGGGGCUUCCUAUAUGGUCGGGCUCUUCCUUGUCUGCGAUGAUGGCGAGUUGAAGAAGAAUGAAUGAGUCUGCUGACUAAGAACGAGUGGUGGAAUGCCGUGAUAAGUAUUUAAACACCGUUCGCAUUAUGUGGUGGAACAACACGAUGAUCUUUAGAAAAGAGCAAAGCUAUGAUUGCGAGAUGCAAACUGAGCACUGCAAGAGGAGGGGAUGGGUGUGUGACAUCGACCAUUACGAUGACACUGAAUGCGAACAAUGCAUUUGCCGAGCGGAGACAAAGAUUCUAUACAAGUAUUGCAGAUACCCCUGACAACAUCAUCGUAAAUUGGACGCGGAAAAAGUAAAAUUCAUGGGCAAGACAAAAUGUACACAAACACACAUGCACGCGCGCGCGCAAACACACACAUAUAUAACGUAGUUAUAGUUAUAGUGUCAAAGCACAUCUUUCUAUAGUUAUAGCCACCGCACGAUCGUCGCACGAUCAUCGCACGACCGCCGCACGAUUGUCGCACAACCACCACAUGAUCGCCGCACGAUAACGUUUCUCCCACAUCUCGUCAACAUGCAAUAGCUUAAGGAAUUUCCACCAACAGGAGUCAUGUUUUUUGAAGGAGCAUCUCAUUAGGUGCACAUGCACGACCAUACGACCAUCUUCACCCAUGUCUUUUAAUAAUAAAAUAAAAUACAAAUUAUUAAAAAAAACAAAGCUAAAAAGAGUUUCGUAAUCAACACCCAUUUGUAAUCAUUGCAUGCUGAAGACAAAAUUUUUUUCUGUACAUGAUCUUCCCCUAUCCUAUCCACUGCAACAAUCUUAAAGUCCUACCGUUGCUUGCAUUUAAAAACAAGAACCAACCUCUUCUCUUUUCUCUUCUCUCUAGCUGAAGAGGACUACAUAUAUCGACAAAUAUCACUAGACAAAAUUCCAAAUCUAUUAUGGUGGCACCAGAAAGAGGUGAAUGUCUUUAUUCAGAGGUGCAUCAAAUGCGAUAAUUUGGAAGCUUUGUAUAGACAAGAACUAAUACGUGUUGUGUUUAAUUAGAUGAUUUAUACCUCUAAUAUUUUCAAUAUAAUUUCCUUCAAAGUUAGAAAUUGAAUAUUAACAAUUUGUGUAUGUUGUAGUAUGAAUAUGUAAGUCUCAUGAAUGUGGAGUCAGGAAUGAAGCUACUUAAGAGAACCGCACAAUUUGGCCACCUUAAGGCUUCUUAUAUGGUUAGGCUCCUCCUUGUCUACGAGGGUGGCAAGUUGAAGAAGAAUGAAUGAGUCGGCUUGUUGAGAAAAGUCUACUCAAGCGGACGAGUGGUGGAAUGAUGUGAUAAGUAUUUAAACAUCAUUCACAGUAUGUGGUGGAAUAACACAAUGAUCUUAAGAGAAGAGCGAAGCUAUGAUUGCGAGAUGCAAACCGAGCACUGCAAUAGGAGGGGAUGGGUGUGUGACAUCGACCAUUAUGAUGACACUGAAUGCGAACAAUGCAUUUGCUGAGCGGAGACAAAGAUUCUAUACAAGUAUUGCAGAUACCCCUGAAGAAAUAAUUUUAAAUUGGACGCGGAAAAACUAAAAUUCAUGGGCAAGAUAAAAUGUACACAAACAUAUAUAACAUAGUUUUAGUUAUAGUGUUCAAGCACAUCUUUCUAUAGUUAUAACCACCGCACGACCGCCGCACGAUCGUCGCACGAUAACAUUUCACCCCCAUCUCGUCAACGUGCAAUAGCUUAAGGAAUUUCCAUCAGUAUGAGUCAUUUUUUUUUUAGAGAGCACCUCAUUGGGCGCACAUGCACGACAAUACGACCAUCUUCAGCCAUGUCUUCUAAUAAUAAAAUAAAAUACAAAUAUUUAAAAAAGAAGAGCCAAAAAAAGUUUUGUAAUCAACACCCAUUUGUAAUCAUUGCGUUGCUGAAGACAAUUUUUUUUUUUUUGUACAUGAUCUUCCCCUAUCCACCUAUCCUAUACACUGCAACAGUCUUAAAGUCCUGUCGCUGCUUGCAUUUAAAAACACGAACGAACCUCUUCUCUUUGCUAUUCUCUCUAGCUGAAAAGGACUGCAUAUAUCGAUAAAUAUCACUAGACAAAAUUCCAAAUCUAUUGCAGUGGCACCAGGAAGAGGUGAAUGCCUUUAUUCAAAGGUGCAUAAAAUGCAAUAAUUUGGAAGCUUUGUAUAGACAAGGACUGGUACGUGUUGUGUUUAAUUAUAUGAUUUAUACCUCUAAUAUUUUCAAUAUAAUUUCCUUCAAAGUUAGAAAUUGAACAUUAACAAUUUAUGUGUGUUGUAGUAUAAAUAUGUAAGUCUCAUGAAUGUAGAGUCAUAAAUUAAGCUACUUAAGAGAGCCGCACAAUUUGACCACUUGGGCUUCCUCUAUGGUUGGGCUCCUCCUUGUGUGCGAGGGUGGCGAGUUGAAGAAGAAGGAAGGAGUUGACAUGCUAAGAAAAGUCUACUCGAGCGGACGAGUGGUGGAAUUCCGUGAUAAGUAUUUAAUACCGUUCGUAGUAUGUGGUGGAACAACAUGAUGAUCUUUAGAGAAGGGCAAAGCUAUGAUUGCGAGAUACAAACCAAGCAUUGCAAGAGGAGGGGAUGGAUGUGUGACAUCGACCAUUACGAUGACACUGAAUGCAAACAAUGCAUUUGCCGACCGGAGACAAAGAUUCUAUACAAGUAUUGCAGAUACCCAUAACGACAUGAUCUUAAAUUGGACGCAGAAGAACUAAAAUUCAUGGGCAAUAUAAAAUGUACACAAACACAUAUAUAUAACAUAGUUAUAGUUAUAGUGUUAAAGCACAUCUUUCUAUAGGUAUAGCCACCGCAUGAUCAUCGCACGACCGUCGCACGAUCGCCGCACGAUAACGUUUCACCCCCAUCUCGUCAACGUGCAAUAGCUUAAGGAAUUUCCACCUGCAGAAGUAAUUUUUCUUUUUAAGGAGCACCUCAUUGGGCGCACAUGCACCACCAUACGACCAUCUUCGACCAUGUCUACAAAUAAUAAUAAAAAACACAAAUUAUUAAAAAAAGCAUAGCCAAAAAGAGUUUUGUUAUCAACACCUAUUUGUAAUCAUUGCGUUGUUGAAGACAAAUUUUUUUUUAUGUACAUGAUCUUCCCUUAUACACCUAUCCUAUCCACUGCAACAGUCUUAAAGUCCUAUCGCUGCUUGCAUUUAGAAACACGAACCAACCUCUUCUCUUUUUUGUUCUCUCUAGUGGAAGAGGACUACAUAUAUCGAUAAAUAUCGCUAGACAAAAUUCCAAAUCUAUUGUGGUGGCACUAGGAAGAGGUGAAUGCCUUUAUUUAGUGGUGCAUCAAAUGCGAUAAUUUGGAAGUUUUGUAUAGACAAUGAUUGGUACGUGUUGUGUUUAAUUAUAUUAUUUAUACCUCUAAUAUUUUCAAUAUAAUUUCCUUCAAAGUUAGAAAUUGAACAUUAACAAUUUGUGUAUGUUAUAGUAUGAAUAUGUAAGUCUCAUGAAUGUGGAGUCAAGAAUGAAGCUACUUAAGAGAGCCGCACAAUUUGGCCACCUUGGGGCUUCCUCUAUGGUUGGGCUCCUCCUUGUCUGCGAGGGUGGCGAGUUAAAGAAGAAGGAAGGAGUGGGCUUGCUGAGAAAAGUCUAUUCGAACGGACGAGUGAUGCAAUGCCGUGAUAAGUAUUUAAACAUUUUUCGCACCAUGUGGUGGAACAACAUGAUGAUCUUUAGAGAAGAGCGAAGCUAUGAUUGCGAGAUGCAAACCGAGCACUACAAGAGGAGGAGAUGGGUGUGUGACAUCGACCAUUACAAUGACACUGAAUGCGAACAAUGCAUUUGCCGAACGGAGACAAAGAUUCUAUUCAAGUAUUGUAGAUACCCCUGACGACAUGAUCUUAAAUUGGACGGGGAAAAACUAAAAUUCAUAGGCAAGAUAAAAUGUACACAAACAUAUAACAUAUAUAUAGUUAUAGUGUUAAAGCACAUCUUUCUAUAGUUAUAGCCACUGCACGAUCGUCGCACGACCGUCGCACGAUGGUCGCAUGACCGCCGCACGAUCGCCACACGAUAACAUUUCACCCCCAUCUCGUCAAUGUGCAAUAGCUUAAGGAAUUUCCACCAAUAGGAGUCAUUUUUUUUUUUUUGAAGGAGCACCUCAUUAGGCGCACAUGCACCACCAUACGACCAUCUUCAGCCAUGUCUUCUAAUAAUAAAAUAAAACACAAAUUAUUAAAAAAAGCAUAGCCAAAAGAGUUUUGUUAUCAACACCUAUUUGUAAUCAUUGCGUUGUUGAAGAAUUUUUUUUUUCUGUACAUGAUCUUCCCCUAUCUACCUAUUCUAUCCAUUGCAAUAGUCUUAAAAACCUACCGCUGCUUGCAUUUAAAAACACAAACCAACCUCUUCUCUUUUCUCUUCUCUCUAGCUGAAGAGACUGCAUAUAUCGACAAAUAUCGCUAAACAAAAUUCCAAAUCUAUUGGGGUGGCACCAGGAAAAGUUGAAUGCCUUUAUUCAAAGGUGCAUCAAAUGCGAUAAUUUGGAAGCUUUGUAUAGACAAGGACUGGUACGUGUUGUGUCUAAUUAUAUUAUUUAUACCUUUAAUUUUUUCAAUAUAAUUUCCUUCAAAGUUAGAAAUUGAACAUUAACAAUUUGUGUAUGUUGUAGUAUAAAUAUGUAAGUCUCAUGAAUGUAGAGUCAUGAAUUAAGCUACUUAAGAGAGCCGCUCAAUUUGGCCACCUUGGGACUUCCUAUAUGGUUAGGCUCCUCCUUGUGUGUGAGGGUGGCGAGUUGAAGAAAAAUGAAUGAGUCGACUUGCUGAGAAAAGUCUACUCGAGUGGACGAGUGGUGCAAUGCCGUGAUAAGUAUUUAAACACCUUUCGCACUAUGUGGUGGAGCAACACGAUGAUCUUUAGAGAAGAGCAAAGCUAUGAUUGCGAGAUGCAAACCGAGCACUGCAAGAGGAGGGGAUGGGUGUGUGACAUCGACCAUUACGAUGACACUGAAUGUGAACAAUGCAUUUGCCGAACGGAGACAGAUUCUAUACAAGUAUUGCAGAUACCCCUGACGACAUGAUCUUAAAUUGGACGGGGAAAAACUAAAAUUCAUGGGCAAGAUAAAAUGUACACAAACAUAUAACAUAGUUAUAGUUAUAGUGUUAAAGCACAUCUUUCUAUAGUUAUAGCCACCGCACGAUCGUCGCAUGACCGUCGCACGAUCGCCGCACGACCAUCGCACGAUCGUCGCACGAUCGCCACACGACCGCCGCACGAUAACGUUUCACCCCCAUCUCGUCAAUGUGCAAUAGCUUAAGGAAUUUCCACCAAUAGGAGUCAUUUUUUUUUUUGAAAGAGCACCUCAUUAGGUGCACAUGCACCACUAUAUGACCAUCUUCGGCCAUGUCUUCUAUUAAUAAAAAAAAACACAAAUUAUUAAAAAAAGCAGAGCCAAAAAUAAUUUUCUAAUCAACACCCAUUUGUAAUCAUUGCAUUGCUGAAGACAAACUUUUUUUUCUAUACAUAAUCUUCCCCUAUCCACCUAUCCUAUCCAUUGCAAUAGUCUUAAAGUCCUGCCGCUGCUUGCAUUUAAAAACACAAACCAACCUCUUCUCUUUUCUCUUCUCUCUAGCUGAAGAGGACUGCAUAUAUCGACAAAUAUCGCUAGACAAAAUUCCAAAUCUGUUGGGGUGGCACCAGGAAAAGUUGAAUGCAUUUAUUCAGAGGUGCAUCAAAUGCGAUAAUUUGGAAAAUUUGUAUAGACAAGGACUGGUACGUGUUGUGUUUAAUUAUAUUAUUUAUACCUCUAAUAUUUUCAAUAUAAUUUCCUUCAAAGUUAGAAAUUGAACAUUAACAAUUUGUGUAUGUUGUAGUAUGAAUAUGUAAGUCUCAUGAAUGUGGAGUUAGGAAUGAAGCUACUUAAGAGAGCCGCACAAUUUGGCCAACUUGGGGCUUCCUAUAUUGUUGGGCUCCUCCUUGUGUGCGAGGGUGGCGAGUUGAAGAAGAAUGAAUGAGUCGGCUUGUUGAGAAAAGGCUACUCGAGCGGACAAGUGAUGCAAUGCCGUGAUAAGUAUUUAAACACCUUUCGCACUAUAUGGUGGAACAACACAAUGAUCUUUAGAGAAAAGCGAAGCUAUAAUUGCGAGAUGCAAACCGAACAUUGCAAGAAGAGAGGAUGGGCGUGUGAUAUCGACCAUUACAAUGACACUUAAUGCGAAUAAUGCAUUUGCCGAACGGAGACAGAUUCUAUACAAGUAUUGCAGAUACCCCUGACGACAUGAUCUUAAAUUGAACACGGAAAAACUAAAAUUCAUGAGCAAGAUAAAAUGUACACAAACAUAUAGCAUAGUUAUAGUUAUAGUAUUAAAGCACAUCUUUCUAUAGUUAUAGCCACCGCACGAUCGUCGCACGAUCGUCGCACAAUCACUGCACAACCGUCGGACGAUGAUCGCACGACCACCGCACGAUCGCCACACGAUAACGUUUCACCCCCAUCUCGUCAAUGUGCAAUAGCUUAAGGAAUUUCCACCAAUAGGAGUCUUUUUUUUUUUUUUGAAGAAGCACCUCAUUAGGUGCACAUGCAUGACCAUACGACCAUCUUCGGCCAUGUCUUCUAAUGAUAAAAUAAAAUACAAAUUAUUUAAAAAAAGCAGAGCCAAAAAGAAUUUUGUAAUCAACACCCAUUUGUAAUCAUUGCGUUGCUGAAGACAAUUUUUUUUUUCUAUACAUGAUCUUCCCCUAUCCACCUAUCCUAUCCAUUGUAAGAGUCUUAAAGUCUUGCCGCUGCUUGCAUUUAAAAAUACGAACCAACCUCUUCUAUUUUCUCUUCUCUCUAGCUGAAGAGGACUGCAUAUAUCGACAAAUAUCGCUAGAAAAAAUUCCAUAUCUAUUGGGGUGGCACCAGGAAAAGGUGAAUGCCUUUAUUCAGAGGUGCAUUAAAUGUGAUAAUUUGGAAGCUUUGUAUAGACAAGGACUGUUACAUGUUGUGUUUAAUUAUAUUAUUUAUACCUCUAAUAUUUUCAAUAUAAUUUCCUUCAAAGUUAGAAAUUGAAUAUUAACAAUUUAUGUAUGCUGUAAUAUGAAUAUAUAAGUCUCAUGAAUGUGGAGUCAGGAAUGAAGCUACUUAAGAGAGCCGCACAAUUUGGCUCCCUUAGAGCUUUCUAUAUGGUUGGGCUCCUCCUUGUGUGCGAGGGUGGCAAGUUGAAGAAGAAGGAAGGAGUUGGCUUGCUGAGAAAAGUCUACUCGAGCGGACGAGUGGUGGAAUGCCGUGGUAAGUAUUUAAACACCGUUCGCAAUAUGUGGUGGAACAACACAAUGAUCUUUAGAGAAUAGCGAAGCUAUGAUUGCGAGAUGCAAACCGAGCACUACAAGAGGAGGGGAUGGGUGUGUGACAUCGACCAUUACAAUGACACUGAAUGCAAACAAUUCAUUUGCCGAGCGGAGACAAAGAUUCUACACAAGUAUUGUAGAUACCCCUGACGACGUGAUCUUAAAUUGGACACGAAAAUACUAAAAUUCAUGGGCAAGAUAAGAUGUACACAAACAUAUAACAUAGUUAUAGUUAUAGUGUUAAAGCACAUCUUUCUAUAGUUAUAGCCAUCGCACAAUCGUCGUACGAUCAUCGCAUGACUGCCGCACGAUCAUCGCACGAUUGUCGCACGACCACAGCACAAUCGCCGCAUGAUAACGUUUCACCCACAUUUCGUCAACAUGCAAUAGCUUAAGGAAUUUCCACCAGCAGGAGUCAUUUUUUCUUAAGGAGCACUUCAUUAGGUGCACAUGCACGACCAUACGACCCUCUUUAGCCAUGUCUUCUAAUAAUAAAAUAAAAUACAAAUUAUUUAAAAAAAGCAAAGCCAUAAAGAGUAUUGUAAUCAACACCCAUUUAUAAUCAUUGCGUUGCUGAAGACAAAUUUUUUUUUCUGUACAUGAUCUUCCCCUAUCCACCUGUCCUAUCCACUGCAACAAUCUUAAAGUCCUGCCGUUGCUUGCAUUUAAAAACACGAACUAACCUCUUCUCUUUUCUCUUCUCUCUAGCUGAAGAGGAUUGCAUAUAUCGACAAAUAUCACUAGAUAAAAUUCCAAAUCUAUUGUGGUGGCACCAGAAAGAGGUGAAUGCCUUUAUUCAAAGGUGCAUCAAAUGCGAUAAUUUGGAAGCUUUGUAUAGACAAUGACUAGUACGUGUUGUGUCUAAUUAUAUUAUUUAUACCUCUAAUAUUUUCAAUAUAAUUUCCUUCAAAGUUAGAAAUUGAACAUUAACAAUUUGUGUAUGUUGUAGUAUGAAUAUGUAAGUCUCAUGAAUGUGGAGUCAAGAAUGAAGUUACUUAAGAGAGCCGCACAAUUUGGCAAACUUGGGGCUUCAUAUAUGGUUGGGCUCCUCCUUGUGUGCGAGGGUGGCAAGUUGAAGAAGAAUGAAUGAGUCGGCUUGUUGAGAAAAUUCUACUCGAGCGGACGGGUGGUGCAAUGCCGUGGUAAGUAUUUAAACACCUUUUGCACUAUGUGGUGGAAUAACACAAUGAUCUUUAGAGAAGAGCGAAGCUAUGAUUGCGAGAUGCAAACUGAGCACUGCAAGAGGAGGGGAUGGGUGUGUGACAUCAACCAUUACGAUGACGCUGAAUGCGAACAAUGCAUUUGCUAAACGGAGACAAAGAUUCUAUACAAGUAUUGCAGAUACCUCUGACCAUGAUGCUGACCAUGACACCCCUGACCAUGACCAUGAGAGGUUUGUUUAAAGAGAGGGCAGGAGAGAGCCUGUUUUAGUUCAAAAUAAAUCUUAAUACACAAGUGCUUCUUUAGAGUAUCUGAUAUGGCUUCAUUUUCUUCUCUAUAGGUUCUUGAUAGGUUCUUGAUAGGUUCUUGAUGGUGCCCCUUGUGCUGACGAAAGCAAUGCUUAACAUCAAUUUGGUGUUCCUCAAACUAAGCAAAAUUCUGUUGCAAUAAGAGGAUUAUGUCAUCUAUAGCUGCCUUGUGGUUGUAACUAGAUUUCACUUUAUUCUAAGUGACCUAUUGUUGGAUUUGGUUUUGGUUUGGUCUCAACUAGUUUGUGUAAUCCUUCAAUCCAAGCGAGAAUUGUUGUUUGUUUCAGUUCGUGAUUUAUUUUGCUCUACUUCAUGGAUGAUUUCAACAUCAUCUAUUAGCAAUUCAAGCUCAUUACAUUCCCCAAGAACAUGACAUUUGAAUUGCUCCAUGCUUUUCAAAAUGAACUCAGACAGGUCCUAAAGAGUUGCCGUAUGCAUAUUCAAAUAAAACGCCUGUGACUUGUUCAGCAAAUAUUUAGGGAGUAUUGUUAUUUUGUUAUCUUUUGUAUCUUAUCUCUUAGAAUUAGUAAAUAUUUAGGGAAUACUUGUUAUUAUGUUGCCUUUUAUAUCUUAUCUUUUAGAGUCCUUUAUAUACAUUGUAUUGGCAAUACAUAUAUAAAGAAAAAAGGAAUAAACAUUUUUUUUUUUGGUCGAAAAGAAGUGACGUGGUAUUCUUACUUAAAAGGAGAAUUACAAGAUAAAAGCGGACUAAUGUCCGAACAUAAUAUGUUCCAAAGAGGCAAUGGCGGGUUAAUCCACCAGUUGAAAGGGAGCUUGUUCGCUCGAUGAAAGCGUGCAAUCCAGUCCGCAGCCCAGUUUUCUUCGCGUGUACAACAUUUCACUUGGACAUUCACACACUGGCCCAACUCUUGUUUGCAUUUUCUGACCACUUCUUUUAAAUUCCACUGAGAAUCGGCCCGGCCCAAUACUUGGUCAAUUGCUGGACUACAAUCAGAUUCGCAAAUCCAACGAAGCUUUUGACUUCUAAAGUCCCUCACGUGCCUCCUUUGGAAGUCUUGGAUAUAAAACAGACCGUGGAAGAGGGCGUGGAGUUCCGCCUCCUGCGAAGAAGAAGCCCUAGAAGUGCUCGCGAAACCCUCGACCAUCAGCCCCGACGAAUCCCUCACAACUCCAGCCACCGAGCAAAUAAACUCGCCUUGAAUCCAAGAUGCAUCCACAUUCAACUUCAGUUCUGAUCUAUCCAGGGGUUUCCAUCUCAGAGGUAAGUCUCGAUUAGGGUUUGGUCGAUUCUUUCUCUUCUGUCCUUGAGUACCACUUGAGUGUUGUUCUUGCGCACAUCUCAGAGUAUCAGCCGAAUUCUGUGCUUUUGCUCGGAAGAUCUAGCCGUUCCUUGCCUUCCAUAUGUACCAGAGGAUCAAUCCUGUAUAUUCCCAGUCAGGUAUGUCCUUAGUUGUGCGAAAAGCUUCUAUUAUCCACUUAUCUGCUCGGGUAAUCUCAUUUGUUGGACUUAAACCCCUGCAAGUUGAAUCUGCCCAUACGCGUUUGGUCCAUUUACACAAAAAGAAGAGAUGUUCAGUUGAUUCUACCUUCGUACAACAAAUUGGACAAAGUGGAUCUGUGAUGAUUUUUCUUCUGUGUAGAUUUUCCCUCGUGGGGAUGGCAUUUUGACAUAACGCCCAGAGGAAAGUCUUGAUUUUCGGUAACACUUCAAGGCUCCAGAUUCUUGUCCAUAAGGUACGUGGCGGUCGAAACGAGCAGGAGGCCUUAUUUAUAUUUUGCUGUGAAUUGACUACAAUUGCUCUGUUGUAGCCGCUUUUAACAGUAUAUUUCCCAGUAUUGUUGCCUGUCCAAACUAGAUAAUCUGGAUGCGAUAGUGGGUUCAGUGGAAUAGCCAGGAUCUCAUUGACAAUAUCUUCGUUGUACAUCUGUUGAAUCUUUUGAACAUUCCACUCUCUGGAAUUUUCCUGUAUGAGUUCAGAAACCAUAAGGGGUUCUGUUGUAUUGCUUUGUCCACCCCGUACCUCUUGCAUCAACCAUUUAUCUUGUCAAAUACGAAUAGAUUUACCAUCCCCAACUGACCAUUUGAUGUUUUCUUUAAUUGUAUCUCUGCCAACAAUCAAACUCCGCCAUCCCCAUGAGGGACAUUGUCCAGUACUCGCUAUCCAGAGGUCCCCAGUGGGAAAAUAGAGUCAGAGGUCCCUAGUGGGAAAAUAGAGUCCUUUCAGCACUCUACUACACAAUGCAGAUGGAGCAUUUGAUAGCCUCCAAACUUGCUUGCCUAGCAUGGCAUAAUUAAAGGUAAUCAAAUCUUUGAAACCCAUUCCUCCUUCAUCUUUACGAGUUUUCAUUACCUCCCACUUUUUCCAAUGAAUUCCCCUCUUCUUAUCAUCUUUUUUCCACCAGAAUGAUGCAAUUCGCUGUUCAAUGGAUCUACAGAUAGAUAUUGGAAGCUUAAAGAUGGACAUAGCAUGCAUAGGUAUGGACUGAACAACGCUUUUAAUCAGCACCUCCUUGCCUGCCUUGGUAAGUAAUUUCUCUUUCCACCCUUCAAGCUUUGAAUUGACCCUAGCUAAUAUCCAUGCAAAAAGUUCUUUUUUUGAUUGUCCCCAAUCUGUGGGAAUACCUAAAUACUUCCCUGUUUUUUCAAAUACCGGAACCCUUAAUUCUGUGGCCAUAUUUCUUUUUAAUGUAGAGGGACAAUUAGCACUAAAAUACACCCCCGAUUUGUUUAAGUUUAUAGCUUGUCCCGAAGCAUAGCAGUACUGUUUCAAUAGCAAUGCCAGGUUUUGACAUUCUAUGAUAGUACCAUCCAUAAAAAAGAUAGCAUCAUCCGCAAACAAUAAAUGUGAUAAUCUAGGACAAAACCUGUUCAACUGAAUUCCUUUGAGGCUGCCAUCUGUAAUAGCUUUAUGCAUCAGCCAAGUGAGAACAUUAGAGACCAGAAUAAAUAAAUAAGGUGAAAGAGGGUCGCCUUGUCUCAAACCCCUUGAGGGAUGGAAAAAAUUGGUAGGUUCUCCAUUAAUCUUCAUGCUGAAAGAAACUGUAGACACACAUUGCAUGAUAAGUGUGAUCCACUUUCCACAGAAUCCCAUAUGCUGCAUACAAUCCCUCAGAAAAUCCCAUUCAAUUCGAUCAUAUGCUUUCUGCAUGUCUAGUUUAAGGAUGGCUUGAUAUUUGUGCCUCUUUUUUGUGAUGCGCAGUUGGUGUAAUACUUCCUGCACAAUAAAGAUAUUGUCCUGUAUCUGUCUACCUUGGACAAAUGCACACUGCUCUGGUUCAAUAAUAGCAGGUAACCACUUCUUUAGUCUGUUUGCUAGAAGUUUUGAAAUUACUUUGUAACUGAAGUUGCAUAGGCUGAUAGGUCUGUAUUGACUGAUGGUUUCAGGGUUCUUCACUUUAGGGAUUAAGGAAAUAUGUGUCUAGUUGAUUAUGGGAUCAAGAAGUCAUGUCUGGAAAAAAUUCAGAACUAACUGGAACAGGACAGUUUUUAUAUUAUCCCAUGAUUUUUGAUAAAACAUACCAUUGAAACCAUCUGGGCCAGGAGCUUUAAGUGCUCCCAUUUGAAAAACAACUUCUUGGACCUCCUCAAUCGUAGGUACAGCCACAAGAUCAUCAUUCAUGUGUUGUGUUAUAGGUGAGGGACAUUGGGUAAGAAUAGGUUGGUAGUGCCUUGGGCCCUCUGAAGUAUAUAGCUCUUUAUAAAAUAACUGAAUAUGGUUGCGGAUUAGGAUUGGAUCUCUACACCAUUGUGCAUCUUCCAUUUGCAGCAUUGUUAUUCUAUUUCUCUGCCUCCGUUGGAUAGUUGAUGCAUGAAAAAAUCUAGUAUUCUUGUCUCCCCAUUGCAUCCAUUUAAUCCGGGACCUCAUACCCCAAAAUUGUUCCUCUUGUCUGUGUAGUUUUUCUAUCUGCUGAAUAAUGCUUUGUUUUCCUUCUGCUAGUGUGCNNNNNNNNNNNNNNNNNNNNNNNNNNNNNNNNNNNNNNNNNNNNNNNNNNNNNNNNNNNNNNNNNNNNNNNNNNNNNNNNNNNNNNNNNNNNNNNNNNNNNNNNNNNNNNNNNNNNNNNNNNNNNNNNNNNNNNNNNNNNNNNNNNNNNNNNNNNNNNNNNNNNNNNNNNNNNNNNNNNNNNNNNNNNNNNNNNNNNNNNNNNNNNNNNNNNNNNNNNNNNNNNNNNNNNNNNNNNNNNNNNNNNNNNNNNNNNNNNNNNNNNNNNNNNNNNNNNNNNNNNNNNNNNNNNNNNNNNNNGUACUUCGGCUUCAGAAAACGUAAUUCUCCACUCUAAGGUGCAUAGUACUCUGUCUAAACGUUUCUUCACAAGAUCUUCCCCAUCUCUAUUAUUGGCCCAUGUAUAUGCACACCCAUGACUAUCCAUAUCCAUUAGGGAGAGGUCAUUUAUCAUAUUUCUGAAUGCUGCAAUUCGACUAUUAUCCGCUUCUUUUUUCCCAAUUUUUUCCCACACAUAUAAAAUUUCAUUAAAAUCACCCAUGCAGAUCCACGGCCAGGAACUAUUCGGUUUAAUGUGACCCAAAGUUUGCCACAAGGUCAGUCUCUCUCCAAAAUUGGUAGAUGCAUGGAUAAAAGUAAUUUGCAUAUGUUGUCUACUAUCUGGAUACAUACAAUCUACAUCAAUAUAAUACUUUGAACUAGUUUUUACCUUCAAUAACACUUCCUCCUGCCACAUAAGAGCUAAACCCCCUGUUGUUCCUGAUGGAUUAACUAGGAAAAUUUUCUGGAAGAGUAAUUUUUUGCAAACUUUUUCCACCAUAAUUAUAUGCGAAUUGAGUCUGAAUUAAGAUUGAGUGACCUCAUGGCUGAUCUAAAUAAGACCAUGAAGUUUCAAGUAUAUGCGGCAACUCACUGUGGAGAAGUUUCAAGAAAUUUUCCACCCGUCCUCUUCUGUUGGACCAGCCGUUCUUUUUGGUGAAAAAUAAUGAAAAACAACGGCAUUGAUUCCAAAGAAAUAUUAAUAUAGAGUUGCUCUUUUUUUUUUCUUUUUUUUUGGCCAUCAAAUUUAACAUGGCUGUUGCUGUGUCACUUUCCUAGUCUUGAGUCUUGACCGGUUGAUAAGAAUUUCGAAUGAUAACGCAUUUGAUUUAGUUAAAACGCCUGCCCUUCGAGGACACGUUUUGGGACACUUUUCUGCCACGUAUUUUGUACACGAUAGCCAUAGACGGACUAUAUACGUAUAAUCACACUUAUAAUGAAGAAGCUUUAUUUAUUUUUGGAUAUAGAUAACGAUACUCAUUGCUGAUUGAUUGGUUUUUUGCGUGCUUGAGCAAAAAUGGUGAAAUUUCUUUUUCUGUCUUGCUUUUAUCAGCAAUAAGCAGAUACAUUUGAGGCGGAUAUGAUGGAUGUAUACGUGUCAGAAUCUCCUAAUCAAAUCAAUGUGAACAAGAGUACAAGAAGUCCAUCAGAACCAUGCCUAGAACCAUACAAAGAGCAAAAACUUCCACAAGCUAUCACCCUGACAUUAAUGCAUUAGACAGUUGUCGCAUGAUUAUGAUUACUUUGAUAGAGAGAAGGCAUUAUCGGUUUUCUAUCUCUAUUUCUUCAUUAUUUUACUGUCAAGUUAUAUGAUGUAGAAGUUUCAUCCCCGCCUAUGCCAUAUGUAAUGACUAUUGGAUUACAUCAUUACAACAUCACUGCAACCAUAAGUAAUCAUCUAUGUGAAAAUUAAGACAAUUAUUUUUUCAUGAAGCAUCUCUUAAAGCUUUUCAAAGCUAAUUUAAUAAUAUUUCAUUCUAAAAUUUGAUUAACUAGGAGUGCGAGAACUACGCAUGAGUAACUUGGGCUCAGCGUAAAAAAUACUUGAAUUUGACUCGAUUGAUUCCAAGUUAAGUUCAAGUUCAAGCUACUCCAGCAGAGUUGUCUAGUCAAGUUUGAAUUUCUCAAUUACUUUUCUAGUUGAGUGCAAGCAAGAUCGUAAAUAUUAAAUCGAGCUCGAGUUGCAUUUUCUUCUCUUAACACAUACGGUUGAAGUAGAUGUCAUCCUCAAAUCUGAAACUCCAUGUGAUUUUACUCUUGCUCUGAUUGAUCUUGUUACCCAGACAUUAGUGCUUAAUUUUGGUGCAAUUUGUGUAGUAUAUCAGAUAUUCCUCCCUCCUUCAUUCUCUGAUAUCUUGUUACUAUCCUCAUUAAUUUGCUACAGCUUUGGAUAUUAUAGGAGAAGGUUGCAUGUGUCGUCACAAUCUUCGUAAUUAGUGCGUGUAUAUAGAUGUAUAUGCCUAGGCAAAUUAACUUACAUGUGAAUUUAUUUCCUUUUUGCACUUUGGACUAUUUAUAGUGUCACUGAUCAUGAAAAAACUGGCUAGCGUUGCAAAUACUACAAACAUCAUCAGCUUUCAGCUUUCAUUCUCCUCUAUAUUCCCGGUGAACUCAAAGCCCGGAAGCUUCUGCCACCUGACUCACAGGAAAGUUAACAGGUCCUAAGCUCGCUGCUGCUGCAGACCAAGCCAAAGCACCCGCAGCCGCUGUGGCAGCCAAGCAAGCAAGCCUCCGGCACAGGGCAGCGGCUUUGGGACACUUUUUGCGUAACGACAUGGUCAUCACAGCCCCUGUGAACGCGAAGUUGAGAGCCAGGAGGUAGGCGUGGAAGCACGCGGGUCUCUUUGAGAAUACAACUCUUGGAACUGGGUUUCCAUCGACUUCCUCGAAGGGAAGUUGGAGAAGCAAGAAAGCCGCCAUGAAGGAGUGAAGGAGAGGACGAGGAUGAGUUCUUCGGCCCUGGUUCUAGUGAUGAAAUGGCUGCUCAUCUCUGUGAAGAGAAAUGGAGCAGGGAUGUUGGUGGAUUACUGGGUCGGGUCUGGCGAGCCUGCUCAUCCAGAGUUGCUGGCGGUCGUCGGAGGAUGUGACGGUGGUUUUGAGGCAAACGACUUUUUCUGAGGAGUGUAGGAGUUUCCUUUCGGCCAAAGAGGGUUAAGUGUUUGAUAUUCUCUGAAACUCAACUUGGACAUUUUGGCAACUUGUUUCCAUCUAAUAAAUGGAGAAUUACGUCCCAAAGAUAGGGACGUACUAAAAAAUUUCAUCUUGGGGUCUUGAACAAAUAAAAGGGACAAAAAUAUUAGCGAAAAUCAUGUAAGUUUAACCCUUUUUUUUUUCAUCUUCCAUAAACAUAAAUAUUUUUCCCAAGAGAACAUUACGAUCUUUGAGCGAAAUCAAGGAUACCUUCAUCGAUUUAGAAAUGGAGUCGUGUUUCCCUCCAUCUUUAAUUAGAGGUUAGGAGGAAAGGCUCUCUAACCCUGGUUGGGGGACAAAUUGGUAUGCUAUGUGAUGUAGCAGGCAUUUGAAUAAGUGUGUUAUAAUUAAAUUAAUAGUAUCAUCCAUUUAUUUGAAGGAAAAUUAUUUUUGAAAAAUAGUUUUCCAACUUUCUAAUAUUUAGAUGAUGGAAAACUAAUCGAUCUUAUGAAAAACAUAUUCCAGGACUGAAAAAUACAAGCUUAGAUUAGGAGAAAAUGACUUCUCUUUCUUAUAAGAAGGAAAAUCACUUUCCAUAAAUUAUAAAACAAAUGAAAACUAAUUAUUUUCCUUGAAUUUUUUUUUAUGGAAAAUAUUUUUCUCUAUUAUAAAGUUUCCAGUAAAACAAAUGCAUCUUUAGGGUGUGGUUGUUUAAGUGAAAGAAUUUCCAGUGAGUUAGUUCUUUUGGACUUUCAUGCAUUUGAUUUGUUGAAAAUUAUUAGUUAAGAACAGUCAGAAAAAACAUGUAUACUUAAGAAAAUGAACUUUCUAACCUGAAAAUGAGAAAUUAUUUUUUAUUUUUAAAAAAUAUUUUCUUUUAUCAUCAAUAUUAUUUCAAAAUAAAUAUGCCAUUAAUACGUAAACGUAUUUGCAGAUGAUUUCUUGACUUCAAGAUUGAAAUGUGACCAGUGAAGUUUUAAAAUUCCAUCACACCCCUCGAUUUGCAUGAACCCGGAUUUAUGGAUCCAAAGCAAUUAUAGCAGUCGAUCAUGUGAGAAUUAUACAUGGAACGCACAUAAUCAACGGCUAUAAUAAACCUUGUUUAUGUGGACUCUAGUCUAAACAAAAUUUGGCUCACAUCAUAUGAGAUUCACAUGCUUAAAAUUUUAUCCAUUGUAUGUACUCAUAUUAGUCUAUUGGGAUAAAGCCACCAGAGAUUUUUGAUUUUUUAUUGUACAAUUUCAUCAUUUUUUUAGUGUAAUAAUAUCCUCGAACUAUGUAUUUAUUUGUUUGAGUUGAUACUUCAGAGAGUUAGAGCAUAAGUUGACAUGGCCGUCUAUGUCACCACAAUGUCAGACUGCUUCUCCAACGAAUUUCUUAGGUGGAACUAAAGAUUUAAAAAAUCCAAAAUUGCAACCCAGAGAAAGAGAGUGAGAGAGAGAGAGAGGAUAGAGGGGAAGGGCGGACCAGUGGCUGGCGGCGGCGGUGCCGCCCAGCCACUAUCCAAGAUCCAUCAAUUGUGGCGGGCGGUUGGGUGCUCACCGGGAGAACGACAUCGCGAGAUGGAUCGAUGGCUAUAUCCAUCGUUGGUUCAUACCUCACGUAAACUGGCCAACAUCAGACGAACUUUUGUUUCCCUGUCUCAUCUUUCCCUCUCUUUACCUCAUCCUCGUGGAUUUUUACAUGCUUUACUGUCAUACAAUCGAAGCCUCUUCUGGCCGUUGUCCGCUUAAAGUGUCUUUUCAAAUCAAUGAUUGUGCCCUCUACGUAGCAAAAUGACGUCUAUGUACGGGAUAUAUAAUCCAUCUCUUAGGCAUCAAGAGAAAUGUUUCGUAGCGACGUUAAAGUCUAGAUGACAAAUGCUGAAAACUUCCCACUUUUUUUGGGAAGUUAUCAUCUUGUUAUGGAAUAACACUACGGGAUACCCCUAAACUUUAUUGGCUUGUGUAAUAUUGUCUUUGAAUUUAUUUUUUUGCAAUCAGAUUCUUGAACUAUGAUUUAUUCGUUCACAUUGGAUCUUCCAUUAAAAGACCCAAAAAAAAAAAUGCUUAUGUGACCGUUAAAUGCCAAGUUGACUCAAUGUGGCUCCUACGUCCUCAUUAGAAAGAUUAAAGAAAUAAAAAAAAUUAAAUUUCUUCAUCGAAGGAAAUUUGGAGCGACAACACCAUCUUGAGCCGGAGCCCACAGGCAAUUUGUCGAUAGUGUUCGAGUUUGAUGAGGAGAGUGAGGAUGGGUCGGAACACUUUUCAAUAGAGGCCCGCCCGAUGGGCUUCGACUUUUUUGGCAAAGGCGGUGGCAUCUAGGGCGAGGUGGUGAUGGCUCAGAAAUGGGAGGCUCGCCUUCGACCGCCUGUGGCUUUCUCAACAGUGUUGCGUCGAUUUCCAACAACGUUGAAGAGAUUGGAGAUGGCUGGAAAUUCUUUUGUGUCUUUUUUUUUUUCUCAUUUUUUAAGUCAGUCAUAUUUCGGGCCAAACCCAGCCCAAAAUUAAAUUAAUGCCAAUCCAAGAGGACUUGUUUAGGCCCGAACCUUUCAACCGGGCCUGAAGUUGAUUGGGUGGGACAUAUUUUUCAAUAAAAAGGCCACCCAUUUGCAACUAUGCUUCCCGUUACUAGACACCAAAGGAACUCGCGAACUCAUUGCUAAUUUAACCCUAAAGCAGUGAAGAUAGUGCUGAAUAUUAAAGCAAGGGAAAACCAACACUCACGAAUUUUACAUGAAAAUCUCAAUAUAGGAAAAAUCACGGGAUCACUCAAAGACUUUUACUAAUAACCAAGACUAGCAGGAUACACAAUAAUUUAUCCUUAAUAACACAACCAGAGGCUCUUUAGAUUAGCAAAAUAUCAGAGCACCACAGAGGUGGGUUAACACAGAAGCAAGAAAGGUAUAACUGCUGCCAAAGAAAAUUAUGAGACAAUUUGGAGAGGAUUAACAAACAAAACCAAUCAAUUUAUAGAUCUUACACUCACGAACAACCUAUUGAAAUUUCUGCCAAUUCUGACAAAGUUUCACUGUCGAAUCUAGACUACAACUUCUCUUCUUCAAAGCAAAGCUUUCUGCCUCCUUUUCUCUGUGACAACAAAUUGCUUGUAUCUCUCUCUCUCUCUCUCUUUCUCUCUCUCUUCUAAAUCAACAACAUUUAGCCCUAUCUUUUUAUUUUGUAUUUUUUUUUUUAAGAUGAUGAGAUGGGCAAGUCUCCCCCUUCACCUCAUGAGGGAAGUUUCAUUAUACCCGCUUUAUCUAUACAAGAAUCAAGUUUCACCAUUGGUAAGACUUUAGUUGUCAUAUCAUAUCUAUUAUCAGUAGUGUAGACUUUCUCAAAUAAAAAGAGUUUCUCUUCUAAUUUAUCUUGGAUCCAAUGACAAGGAUAAGGCAUCAGUCUGGGUAAAGCAACCAGAUGCAUUUGAACAUCACUCUACCUUUCAGCAAUAUGACAAGGAUAAAGCAUCCCUGCAUAAUGAUGUCUUGUAUUUGCACGAAUGGAUUUGGUCUUGUUGGAGGCAAGACCACUCAUCUCAGCGGCUACCAAAGAGUUGAUAUAUCUAGAGCACUAUCAUGAAUCACUCUAUGAGGAUAAACACCCUCUAGGAAUGCCACGAGGGUGCCCUGAUGACACCACGGACGAAGCGCCCUGUCCAUCGCCAAUCGCAUGUUGCCUAAGAAUGGACCUAACUAUUAGCAGUAACAGAGCAAAUAGAAAUCUGUUACAGCAAGUAAGCAUUAACCCAGGUAACCAAAGUGGACUCUGCUUUUAGCAACAACUUCUGCAGAUUCCUGAGAACGCAGGCUUGAUUAUUUGUUUCUAGCUUGUUCAAGCCUAAACCACCUUCACAUGUCAUAACUAAGGGUCAUGCUAUAGCAAGUUUGUACUGGUGUUUUAUAUCCCUUCUCAAACGGCGAAAAUACAACAUUGAAAUGGAGAGAUCAGUUUCCCUAUAUGUUGCCUAAUUUGCUUGCAAACCAUAAAUGGUGGAAGUUGAGAUCAAUGGAGUAACUUGACAAGCCUAAGUUUCAAACCACUAAAACAUGUGUGUUUACAGUAUUGUCUCUGUUAUCAUUUGAUCUUUUGUUUUGAUAGGACAUUUUUUUGGAAACAUACUAAUACUGACAUCAAAGGCACUUUUAACGGCAAUAAUAUUAGGUUAUAUCAGUGUUGUGUUUGUCCAAGACUACUGGUACAUAGCUUCGAGGAAAUUUAACAUGAUAUCGACCGACUAAAUUAAAGAUCAACGCAGCCAAAUGCUAGACUCUUAAGAAAUACUGCCCAGUAGAGAGAUUUGUCAAUUAAGAAAUUUAGCCGAAGCUCUCUCUGUUUUUCUUUUACACAUUGACGGCCAGCAUAUUAAUAAUAUAAUGUUUCAUUUAAUCAUACCAUGUUAGAUAUUAUCUCCUUGCUAACUGAGCAAGGAAGCACACUUCAAACGCGUAAGACCCGCAAUGAGCGACAAUCGAAAAUUGCAUUCUCAUAAGCAGUCACGGAGGGCCUCAAAAGAAUUGCAGUUCUUUCCUCCCCUAGCUAACCAAUAACGAAAGUUUCUCCAGUCCAAUGUCCUACCCUUGAAUAAUAUAGAGCAAAUCUAGCAACCCAACCCAAUCUAGCAAGUAUGUCAUAACCUCAUGCUGGAGCUCUUUCACUGGUUUCUAAUUUCUGAUUUGUGCUUAGAAACUCGUGUAUUUGCUUAAAUACAUGGUGGUCUUCUAAUUAUGUUCCAAUGUACACAUCCAAAGGAUAAAACCGAGCUGCCACAGUUUCAAGACAUUCCUUAGGACUCAUCUUAGACGUGAGAAAGUCGGAAGGAAGGAAUUGCUGAUUCAGGAGGAGAAUUGGGCAUAAAACAAUAAAGCACCAAGCAAGUAAAUUAAGAUGCAAAAGAGCCUGACCAAGCACCUUCCUAAGUGGCUCAUUUUUCUCACUUCUUUCAAUUCAAAUUAGAAGAUAUGUGCAAAAGGGAGAACAGGAACGUGGGAGCAAUCAUGACGCGACAAGAUUUGGUGUUUCUACUUCAACAGAUAACAAAACCGUGUGUAUUUUGUCUAGCCAAUUGUCCAGUCGAUCACGUAGUAAAUUUGACCUGUCCAACCAUAUGCAGCAGACCUCAAAUUAACAAUGGAAACCACAACUGCCCAAAAAAAAAAAAAAAAAAAACCUAGAUAUCCCAUUUUAAUUAUGUAUGAUGAAGCAAGAAGAGAAGCACUGGCUGCUUCAUUUUCAGUCAUCAAGAGCUCAUCACAGGUAAUAAAGAGACAGUGGAUACUUAUUAAAGCGACCAUUAACCAAACUUUAGAAUGUACUUACAGACAAACUCUUCACGAGAAGAUGCUUAAUAUCCUGUGCACAGGAUUACGCUCAAUCGAGCAGUUCACAAAAGCAUAGCAACAUAACUAGGCUAGGCAUACAGACCCUUAUACAGCUAUUAUCAUAUGAAACUAGAGCUACAGCUCAUGCUUAACUAUGCAAAAACAAAUCACACGAUUCCAUUCAACUAAACACCAACUGCCACACCAAAAAAUCACCCCAAAAAAAGAAAAAGGAAAAAAAGAACACCAACUGCCGCACCUUUCUUACCUGUUCUUCAGCGAUUAGCUAGUGAUCCAGAGCUCGAGUUUAGGCCCAUGACUCCCGCCACUCAUGGAGUUAAUGAAUGCAACCGUUCGAGCCUCAUGUGGCAACAAAUUCCUCCAGCUGAGCGGCACUGAAGAAGAAAGUGUGCACGAGAGUGAAAAGUGGCACUGAAGAAGGACUUGAAGCUCGUGGACAUCGAACUCGAAGCUCACGAAUGACGAGCUUCAAGCUCGCGGACGACAGAACCUGGGAAAGGAGAGACGACGGCGAAUGACAGACUUAAGCUUGCGAGGAGCGAGCAAGGAUUGGGCGCGGAGUCGUCGAGAAGCGAGCGACAGCGAUUUGAUUGAGCAGCGGGAGAAAGGAAUAAGAACCCUAAUCCUAAUUCGAUUCGCGAUUUGAGACCGACCAACCCGCUUCGGUCCUAAAAUCCACUUCAGGCCCUUUUUCCCCUUUCUUUUUUCUUGUUCUUUUGCCGACUCUGUCUCUUUCUUCCUUUUCUUCUCUUUAUUUUUCUGGCCCUGCAGAAGGAAACAAUAAGGUGACUUGAGAUCUAUUGGGACUAAAUUUCUCUUGAGAAAGGCCCUUUUGUUAUAGAUGGUGAGGGAGGUAAGAUACCCAACGUCGCCGCCGAAGUGGACACACACAACAUAUGGAGAUUCCCAGUAAGAUGGGGAAUUUUAAUAAGAUUUUCCUUGGUUGCGCGUUUUAGAAUCAGUUCACUGUCUCUCUUCACUAGAAUAAAGCAGAAAUAGAAAGCGAGCAAAGCAGAAGAAACAACGAUGAUCUAUGAAUAGAAAGAACGCGCACCGUUUUCUGCAGAGAAUCCCCUGUUUCUGUUUCAGAGUCCGUUGUUUCAGUUUCAGAGUUCCACGCUUGAUUUGCUCUAUUCAGAAUCUUCUCUCUGUAAGACUUCCAACAGAACCACGCGCCAUUCCAGCAGUCGGGUAACUCCCCGCUACCUGUGAUGAGUAUAUCGCAAUUAUCUGGUAUUUUUGAGCUCGAUGGAUCAAGAAUCCUUCCCACUGAUCUGCAACGCUGAAUUACCAACUCAUACAAAAACUCUAGUUCGUCAAUGCCCUCAACAACCUGUAGGCUCGGGCAGUGCCAAAUCUCUAACUGCUUCAAGUUCUUCAAGUUUGAUAAACCGCCUAAGCUUUUUAGCGAAAAGCACUCUCGAACAUAAAAUUCUUCCAACGAUUCCAACGCAGUAACAAAUUGAAUAUCCCGCACCUCAGGGAACCCUAACAGAUCAAAUUUUACAAGCAUCUUUUGGGAGCUUGGGAAAAGCAUCGCUCCCCUCCAAUGAUCAAUCAACUCGGGAGCUUGUAGUCCACUGCACCCUGGCUCCUCCGGCUGACAAACCAAACUCUCGGAAGAUCUGCAGUCCUGAAUACGUGAUCUUUCUGACGAUUCUAAGACAUCGAGAAAUUGAACAUCAAGUUGCUCGGACACCUCGUUUUCUUUCGAUUUUCCCGAACUUGUUGGAAGGGAUGGAGUCUUCUUUUCCGAUGGAGGAAGCCCAUCGAGGUGUACAUGUUUCCCUCGAAAUUCUUUGAGCACUAAAACUAUCAAGUUUGACGGAAGUUGCUUGAAAGCUGGCAAGUUUAUUCCACAUAUAGUAAGUUCUUUCAGCAAAGAUAGCGAACCCAACUGUGUAGGUGCGCAGACAUUUGGAAAGCAAAAGUGCAGCUUCUUCAGUUGGGAUAACAUCCCAACCCACGACACGUCGCUAGUUUGAAUUUCAUUUGACGUGUCUCCAAAUUCCAAGCUUUUGACUAGGACCAGCUCAACUAGAUUCGUAAGGUUUGAGAGGUUAGGGACUAUCAGCAACGAAGUAGAUUCUAGCCGUAGAGUGGUCAAACAUCCGGGGAGCUCCGGCAACUGUUGUAUCUCAUUACAACAAUUCAAGUCCAGUGUUUGGAGUUGAAUUAACUUGCUCAUUGUACUGGGCAAUUUCGCAACUUUUGUGAAUGAUACAUCCAGCUCUGUUAAUGACUUUAUUUUCGAAACUGAGGCAGGGAGUUCAAUCAAGCUAUAACAAUACUUAAGACAGAGGCACUGCAAAUUUUGUAACUCUCCAAUUUGUUCAGGGAGUUCAAUCAAGCUAUCACAAUACUUAAGACAGAGGCACUGCAAAUUUUGUAACUCUCCAAUUUGUUCAGGUAAUUUUUUAAUUGACGGACAACGCUUAAACCUUAAGUCAGUCAGCCAUCUUAGUUUCCCAAUAGAACAAUCAAUUUUCAUUAAAAAGUUAUAAAAUCCAUCAUUAAUAGUCAACUUCUCUAAAUUUGAGUACUCGGGAAAGGUUGGUGUCUUACUUAUCAAAGUAUUACAACCCAUAGUGAGAACCUUCAAUUUCCUUGCUCCCUACAAAAGCCAAUAAAACAGUAGGACAGACAAGAAAUAAAUAUGGAUUUAGGCUACCAAUGAGAAAUUAGAUAAUAAACUGAUCAAAUUAUGUCCUUCAUUUAAUGAGAAAAUUAGACUAAGAGGGAAACUGGCAUACCUUGAUUAGGCUAUCUAACACAUCUUCUGUGAUUCCAAUCCCAGAAAGAUUCGCCACAACCACGUUUUCUAGAUGCAACAAAUUGGUUGCCUCCAAACGUGAGUAUUGCAAAUCGAUCCAUUUCAACUCAGAAAGACAGCCCGUAAAGUCACCUCGGUAGAUUACAUUAGGCAAGCAAAGAAACCGCAUACGUGGAAACCGUUUAAUUUGCUCCGAAGUGACGAUCCUAACAGUAUGAUAAUAACCCUGUUGCAAAUGGAGUGCUUGAACGCUUUCUUUGGUCUGCCAAUUCGUAGAAGAGAAGAGAAAAUGAAACAAAAGAGUAGCUCUCAAAUCAAAAAGUGAAUCUUGAAUUAAGAAGAGGUAUAAGCAAUUUUCCAUUCAAUUUAGGCCAUACUUUACCUCCGUUGAUUUGAAUUUGCUUUUGAUGUCAUCAUUAUCCCAUAACCUAGUAUUCUCUUCUUUAGCAAUUUUCCUUCCAAGGUCUCUCAUCUGAUCAUGCAUCCAAAAUCUAUCAUCAGCUAGAACCUUUAUCAUGCACCUCUGAGUAAGGACAUCAAUGGCAUCCUCUGGGCAAAAUGCACAAUCUUGCCACAUGUAUAUUGGACUAGUCUUAUUUUGACCGACGAAAAAGCAUGCAAUAUCGAGAAAUAUCUGCUUUUGAUUAAGAUAUAAGGCAUCAUAGCUAAUCCUUAACUUUGGCAAGACAUCAUCAUGAGGUGUUUUCCUUAGCUUCUCUAGCCACUCUUCCCAUAUUGCUUUCUCUUUUUCACAAAGGUAUGAGCCUAUUACUUCAAGAGCUAAAGGUAGUCCACUUGCAGUAUGGACAAUGCCUUUUGAAAGAUCAUAGUAAUUGGCCGGAGGAGAGUCGUCACCGAAGGCAUGUCUACUAAAAAGUCGAAGUGCAUCUUCAUUGCUUAACCUCCAUUUCAUAAUCCUUCCAUAUAUACUUAAAUUCCUUGGUAUUCAGAACGCUCUUGUCCCUAGUGGUAACAAGUAUCCUAGUACCACGAUACAAAGAAUUCACUCCAAUUAGAUUUUCUAUUUGGCUGCCCUUAUCAACAUCAUCCAACACAAUUAGCAUCUUCUUGUUGCAAAUUGUUUCUCCAAUUCUUUUCAUCCCAUGAUAAGUACUUUUGAUAUUUUGAUCCACUUUAAAAUAAGAGAUAUCGGACAAUAAUUUUUCCUGUAGCUUGACCAAGCCUUCUUUUUGUUUUGCCGUUUCCCUCACGUCAUCGAGAAAGCUGCAAUUUUUCCCAAAGCGAUGACAUAGUUUGUUAAAGAUAACAUUGGCGAGUGUUGUUUUACCGAUACCGCCCAUCCCGUAGAUUACAAUGAGCCGCACAUCUUCGGAGUCGACGUCUAAUAAUUUGUCUAUGGCUGUUAUACAAUCCUCCAUUCCAACAAAAUUUUUAGGCACUUGUCUUUGUCUCGUCUGUAGCCUGUCUAGAACCUCGUCAACAACCGCCUUGAUAAGAUCCCCAUGGUUGCUACAAAGUUAAACAAUUUCAAUUGAGAAAGGGUGACAAAUUUGCAUGCUAACUAACCAUAUACCACUUAACCAGCGGGAAUGCAAUCAAGUUUAGGAUAUACAAAAAUUUAACGUUACCCCCAAAGCUUCACGAACAUGACAAAUUACUAACUUGAACAUCCAUUACAAGUUUAAGUUAAAGAAAUAGAGGAAGAAAAAUGCUUGAUCUUUAUAUCAAGUAGAAGAAUCAAAAUUUCUGGCAAAAAGGAUACAAGAAUCAAAAUAUAGAUGUAGGAUGAAUUACUGUAAUAGUCGAUUUGCUUAAUUUUUUCAGCGUGGAAAAGAACCUCGCAGAGGCAACAAUUCCUUAACCAAGUUCGCUAGCAUACCAUAGGAAUCUUAAUACAUAUAUGGAUCAAAUUAGUAUAAAAAGAUGAAGCAAAGCCAAUUUUUUUAAUACAAUGGAAAAUAGGUGAAAAAUGAAAUUAUAAUAACCCUAUUAUGUUAGAAAAGAUUUGGAAAUCUCGUGAUUCAUAAAAAUAAAAGAACUAUGGCCCGAUUGUACAAAAUAAUUGUUAAAAAAUUUGGAACUUUUAAAAAAACUGAGUUUAAACUUUCUGUGAAAAUUUAAAGAAAUUAGAGUUGGAAUAUAAUUAAAGAAUUUUUAUAAGGACUAUGGCCCGAUUGUACAAAAUAAUUUUCAGUCAUAGUUAGAUUGUUACCCUGAAUAAUCCUUCAGCUUGAAUCCCUUGGUGUCACUAACUUCUUUGAGAGCUUGCCGCCAUGUCUUCACGUCCUCUGAGUUGUACUUCUUCUCCUCUGAGUUUUGCUUCUUCUCUUCCGCCAACUGUGACAGUGCUUCGUCGUACACCCCGACCCCGGUUUUCAGCUUCACAUCAUCGGGUUCCACAUCAUAGAAGAUGGGCAAGAUGACCUUCCCAUUUUCGUUCGAUUUAGAGUUCUCUAUUAUCUUGGCAAGCUCACGGAGGCACCAAUGACUUGACGCAUACCUUUUGGAGAAGAUGGGUAUGUACAGCUUGGAAUCAUUGAUCGCUUGCAGAAGGAUGUCGCUAAGUCUUUCACCUAGUCGAAUUGCCUCGUCAUCAAAGAAAACACAAAUCCCGGCAUCUACCAAGGCAUGUUUGAGGCAGUUGGUGAAUCCAUGACGAGUGUCAAGCCCUCUAAAAUUCAGGAACACCUCAUACUGACCUCCAAAUGUAUCGUUAGUGCUCGUUCCAGGUUUCGAGCUCACCAUAGGAGCUUACUUUGCACUUAGCAGAGUCAACCCUCUCUCUCUCUUAAUAGACACUACUGGAAUAUUUUUUCUAGGCAAAUUCGCACAGAGCCUUGCUGUUCUCUGAUGUGAAAAGCCUUUACUACAUUCUCAAUGUGAAAGACUUUCUCCACCAGAUGAUCCUCCCUUGGGAAUUCAGAAAAGGAGAACUAUUGCGUUACAUUAGAAAAAGGAGAAAAGGCUGUUUAUUAUAGAGACAUUUGUAUUGCGUCACUCAUGAGGUUUAAUCAAAAGUUAAACGCGUACAGGCAACUUCAGUGCAACUUCCAAUUUAUAGUCAAUAAAGUUGGUGGGUCUACAAUUAAUAAGGUGGAGGACAAUUAUAGAUAUGUACCUUUUAACACGCCCAAUUUCUUUCUAGUUUAUUCUUCGUGCUUUUUCACUCUUUGCUUUUGAACUUUUGGAUUUAAAAAAUUUUGAUUCUCAAACAAUUAUUAUUCUAUAGACAUAUCUAUAGUUGGACAUAUUUAAAAUCCCAAUCUAGUAAUGUAAAUUCACAAUUUAUCUAUGUAAAUGGAUAAUAACAAAAUAUUCUUAAUAGGACUCUGCAUAAUUAGAAAAAUCUCCUUCAUAUUACUGAGAAUUGGAUUUGCCGCAUUCACUGCAAAAAAUGCUCCAUCUAAACACUACCAAGCAUAUGCGUCCUGCUCACUGCCACAUAUUUGUUUUGAUCUCAUCACCUUAAAAGACUUACUUUUUUUAUUAUAAUUAAUUUUAACCUCUUAAAUAUUAUCAUAAAAUGUGACUUUGUAUUAUAAAGCAAAUGAUUGCUCAAAUCUUUGACUUUUGCGCAAAUGGACUACCUCUUGGUGAGGAAAUGCAAUGAUGGCCUAUCAAUGGCCACGAUACCACUCAUCAUGGUGUUGCUUUGAGCGUGGAAAAGGGAAGGAAACCAUGAUUGUCUUGACCAUAAGAGGUGACUUUGCUCAGCGGAAGAAAAGGAAAAAGACAAAGGAAAGUUAAAAUGACGGUGUCUUUUCAUGUUGGCCACUCGUUGUUUCCCUUUUCUCUAUUUGGUUAUGCUGAAUUUCCCGUUUAGAUACCAAGAGGAAGAGCUCUUAAUGUCACAGAGUGCUCCGAAGGCUGCACAGAGCAUAUUGAAAAGCGUGCUGAAAGUUCCUCUUGAUCACACCAAAUAUUUCUUUUCUGAAGCCUAUUAAAUCUUUGUUAAGAUUUGUAUCAUUUCUUUAAGAGAUUGAAAAGAUUAUUAUGAGAGAAAUUUUAAAACCUAAACAUUGUGAGUUAUUGAAUAUAAUUAGAAGCUGAAAACCACCGAAAGUAUUUAAAUGACUCGAGUAUGAUUAUAACUUUCCAUAUAUAUAUAUAUAAUGGAAUCUUGUGCUGCUCUCCUUGUAGAUGUAAACACACGACUAAAUCAUAUAAAUCUAGUGUCCAAUUCAUUUUCUUGUUUUGUGCAUUUUAUUCAAUUGCUUUUUUUUUUUCCAAAAGGGAAUAUGGUGUGAAACCAAAGUAAAAGAUAUUCAAUAUGACCAGCAUUAGGCAUUCAUGAAUAAAUGCAUGAAAAAGUAUAUUUUAUUUUCUUAAGAUAUCAAUCAAUAUUUAUAAGCUUAAACUUGUGGUUAAUGAUAGAAUUUGUCCCAUCGCCUGCUUAACAUUAACUCUGAUCAUGAGGAUGAGAUUCAAUGCAAUCUACACGACCCGUUUCUUCUAAUGUCCCUUUGACAAUGCAUAGUGAUGUUCUUUUAUUGCCAUUUUCUCCGUUAAAUUGCGCUAGCCUGUGUGUAACUUUCACUUUGCCUCCUUCAUUUUCCAUGAUUUUAUGGUCAAAUAUAUUUUAUUUAUUUAGUUUUGAACGCGACAUAUCAAGAAAAUCAUAAAUUUGCAACUACAAUCUUGACAUAUUAAGUAUGUCUGUUUUGCAUGAUUCGACAUAGAUUUCAUGACAUUUGUUAGCAAUACAUUUCUUUGUUAGCAUGAUUUAACAUAAAUCAUUGUCAUAUUUCAUCUCUUAAAUAAUUUUUUUCGUGAGAAAUUGAAAAUCAUUAUGAACAUUAUUCUUCGAAUUUUGAGCCGUUGUAGUAGAAGUAGUGAAGAUCAGAUAGAGCCUAGCCGCAAGUAUUUAUAUUUUGGUUUGUUUUAUUUAUAUUUGUUUUUCGUGGCGUUAUUAGUUGCUUUGACAUGUUGACUAAAUAGGCGCACUGUACGAAGUCUUCGAGAAGAUGACUUGUCCACAUUUAUUUUAUCUCAUUGAUAACAAUAGUAUCUAAAUCAUUCGACUCAAUUAAUACCGAUUUAUGCACGCAAAUCACUCCAUUCACGUGCAUUAGGUUAGCUCCAUUCACAAGAUGUUUAAGGAGACACUAGGGGGUAAUGACUAAUGAGUAAAGGACACUGAUCAAAUUUGAACAAAAUGUUGCUCCAAAAAUAGCAUUCAAAAUACACAUAAUGCAUUCAUGACUGUUUUUACGAACCCAACUUUUCACAAAUUAUGUUUAAAACAACAAUCCUUCCAAAGAUAUGGCAAUCGGAUCAUAACUAUGGUCAUCUUUGAUGCACGACUUUCUACAACUUAGCAACACCUUUUGAAUAUGCUAUGAACAUGUACAUCCUAUGCUUUCAAGCCAUUGCCUCAAACGAUUGGAAUACAUAAAAUACGUUAAUGCUUGCUUUUUAGUAAAUUGGAAGAUCAUGCGAUAUCAUAUUACAAGAUCCCCAAAAGAUGCCAACAUGCCAUUCUUUGAAAUCACGUUUUUACCUUUUAAUUAAUGACGCAUGCUGCAUACAACUUCAAUAAAUCCGAAAGGUUUUAGGCAUGUGGAAAUUGAUGUUAUUGAACAAUUAGUUUUUGGACCUAUUUCUUCAAUAGCUAAAGGUAGUCAAUACGUGGUAUAGACAAUGCCUUUGAGAGUGUGUAGUAAUUGGCUGGAGGAGAGUUGUCGUCGAAGGCAUGCCUCAUUGUUCGUCAAAUUUCUGCCACUCUUUUGUAUUGGACAAUUCAAUAAUAAUAACAUUAUAUUCAUUAAUGGGAGCUUUUAUUACAUUCCUAAUGCGAAAAGCUUCUCCACCGUGUCAUCCUCCUUUAGAAAUUUACAGAAGAAGAACCAAGACGUUACAUGAGAAAAGGAGAAAGGAGUGUCUAUUACGAGAAAUAAACAAUGAAAUUCUUGAUUUGAAUGCCCGAAGUCCAAUGCCACUUUCUUUACCGAGAGACAUCAUUUUGGACGUUUGUAUCGCGUGACUCACGCGAUUCAAUUGAAACUUAUGAAUGACAACUUCACAGCAGUUGUGGCUAUCAAUUUAUAGUCAAUAAAGUUAAAUCUUUAGAAAAAAUGAAAUGGAGGACAAUAAUGGAGGUUUACCUUUUUACAAGCCCAAUUUCUUUCGAGUUCCUUUUAUUAGAGCUAACAUUAUCACCUAGAAAGGGGUGAAUAGUGAUUAUAAACAAUAAAAGCGGAGUUUAAAACAACCAAAUUCAAUAUCAUGAAAGAACAAAAUCUGACGAAAAACUUUGCAGUGAUUAGAUUUUCUGCAACGCCUGAUAAAAAAUAUACAAUAAUCAAACUUUACUAUGUAUAAUAAAUAGGAUAAAUGAGAGGUUAAAGGAUAGAGAAAAUUGUACACAACAAUUAUAGUGAUUCAGCUUAUGAUAACCCUACAUUCACUCUCCCAUGCUACGACCUAUUGGUUGGAUUCUGCUAUGAAGAACUAAUAAGAGGUUACAUGAUAUGAGCUCUAAACACUCAAGUUCAUGUGGAUAACUCCUCACACUCUCAAUUUCUAAAUGAUUAUACAAUGAUACUCAUAGAGACGAAUGUAUUUGACCGCAAAACACUCUUCAGACUUUGGAAUUAUAAGUUUUGAUCCUCUUGUGUUGCGUUUUUCCUUUUAGCUUUGAGACCUCCUUUUAUACUUCUCCCAAACCAAGCUAACCAUUAGACAUAUAUCCAAAAAAAUUAUCCAGCCAAUCUACCCGUUGGUCUAGAUCUCGUUAAGAAUGUUUGAUCACUUCAAGGACACCGAGAAUAAAGCUUCCCAUAGAUUCUAUCGCCCAUACAGUAGUUUGGGUUUUUAUAAGUCGAGUGCUUCAACUUGGAAAGAAUGUUUCGCCUCAAGUAUAUUGUUCUAGGAAAUCUAAAUCUUCGAUAAAUACUUUCCUUUGGAACUUCUUAUUUAUAAGACAAGGAAUCCAAUCAAUCGUCACUAACCGUUACAUGGCGAUAUUGUCUCAUUCCUAGCUAUUUGACAGAGUACAUAAGAAAGGAAAUAAUUAAGUCAUGAUUCUGGUUUUGAUUGAUAUCGUCUGAUCAUAUCCCAUCAGACUUUGAGCCGGAAAAAUACUCAUCGUCAGAAUUAAAGUUUUUAUACCAAAUAAGUUUUUUCAAUCUUCAAAAUCAAUUUGAUAAAUUUUCUCAACAAUCUCCCAUUUUUUUAUGAUGACAAAACUUUCCGAGCAGAACUUAACAAAAGAUUUUAAAAAGAUUUAGCAAUCAAAUAACUCUAUUGAAAGCAAGAUUUUAGAUAAGGCACAAUGUGAAUUCUAUAAGAACUUUGCUGAUUUUGUAAAGAUAAGUACAAGCUUCUUACAGAAUAUUGAGCUAAUUAGAGUUAAUAAGAUUUGUAAAGAAAUUCCUUGAUUUGUAAAGAAAUUCCUUACUCUGAUUAAGGAAGUUCAAGAUAAGAAUAGAUUCAAGAAAACUUCCUAUUUUUAUAUAGCUCCCCCUGAGCAUGAUCACAAAAGAUCUUCAUCUGCAUAUAGUGUUUUGCUUUUCUUGCAUUUUCUCUCCCUUUUUGUCAACAUCACAAAAUAGACAAUAAUAAUGGAAGGAGUAUCACAUAGAGAAUAUGCUAUUCAACUCAUCUUCACAUACAAUGUUCGAAACAUAUUUAGCAUGAAACACAAUUUUCAUAAACAUCUUAUAGAUGCUACGGUGAACAUAAAAUAAGUGCAAUAUAGCUCAUGUUCUUAUAGAAUCAAAUACCAUAUACAUAAGUAAAUAUAUAUAUAUAUAUAUGGAAAUAUGAGAUUAUAAUGACAAAAGGUAAGUGAAGUAAGAAAUAUACUAACCAGAUCAUGUAGAAUUUAGCAAGUUCCAAUAUACAUUAUCUUUUCUUCCAUAAUCAAGACGAGGCAAAAGUUAAAUUGACUUAAUCAGGAUUUUCUCACACUUGAUUUACACUCCUUUUCAAUUUAAUGCCUGUAUGAGAUGAUCACAAUUCUUCUCCUUUACCGGGCAUCCACUUUCUCCUUUAAUAAUUUGCACAAAUUUUGUGCUUGGAGGAGAAUUUUCGAUCCUUCAAAAAUGGUGCCGAAUCUUCAUGAUUUUUCGGAUCAAAUUUUCCAAAUUUAAUAUGGAAAGAUUCUUUUGGCACCAGCAAUUUCUUGUAAAAGAGACAGCAAUAUUUGCAAAAUAUAGAGAAUAUCAUGUACUUUCCUUCCUUCGAUUCACGGAUCAAUUUUGCCAAUUAUAAUAUAUGCUUCUAACAUAUAAAAACAAGCAUUAAUUUUUUUCAAGAUUAAAAAAGAUUCUAAUGUUUAAAAGAACAUCUGAUUUUCAAAUGUCUAAAUCAUUUAUAAUUAUUCUAUAGCUAUGGUUAAACAUAUUUAUAUAGAUACAAAUGGAAUUUAUCUAUAUAUAUGCAUAAUAAGAAAAUAGUCCUAUAGAAAAUUUUAAGUUUAAGUGCAUUUAUUUCAAGUGAGUAGUUCGUUUUUUUUUUUUUUGGUAAAGAUGAGUAGUUCGUUGUUCGUCAAAUUUUAACUUUUUUUUUUUUUUGGAUUGGACAUUUUAGCAAUAAUAACAUUACAUUCAAUAAUGUAAAAAGCUUCGCCAUUAUAUCAUCCUCCUUUAGAAAUUUACAAAAGAAGAACAAGCGCAUUACAUUAAGAAAAGGAGAAAAGGCUGUUUAUUGUGAGAUAUGACGACAAAGUCCUUGAUUUGAACACCCGUAAUCCGAUGCCACUUUCGUUAAUGAGAGACAUCAUUUUGAACGUAUGUACCGCAUGACUCGCGAGAUUUAAUUGAAAGUGAUGGAUAGGCAACUUCCCAGCAGCUGCAGCUUUUAAUUAAUAGUGAAUGAAGUUUUUUGUUUUUUUUUUUUGCAACAAUAGUGAAUGAAGUUGAUGGCUUCAGAAAAAACCAGAUGGAGGAGAGAUGUACCACUUUUUUUGGUCGGCCGAGAUGUACAAUUAUGGAGAUGUACCGUUUCACACGCCCAAUAUCUUUCGCCUUUCUUCUUGGUGCCUUUGAACUUUUGAAUUAAAAAAAAAAAAAACUCCAAUUUUCAAAUGUUUAAAUCAUUUAUAAUUAUUCUAUAGCUAUAUCUAUAAUCAAACAUAUUUAUAUAGAUAAAAUCACAAUCUAUAUAAAUGUAUAACAACAAAAUAUUCCUAAAGAAUAUCUCUCAUUAUGGCAUAUGAGACUUUGGAUAAUUAGAAGAUUUUCCUUUAAACUAUUGAGAUUGGAUUUGCUACAUUCACCAUAAAAAUGCUCCACCUAAGCACUACCUAACAGUAUGCUUACUACUCACUAUGACGUAUUUGUUUUGAUCUCUUCCCCUUAAAGACUUACUUUUUAUCAUAAUUAAUUACCUUCAACCCCACAAAUAUUGCAAUAUAUUUGCCUUUAUAUUGAAAAGCAAAUCUUUUACAACACUUAUUGUCUUAUUGAAAACUAUUAGAAUGUGAGCAUGAUAUAAUUAGUGUGGUUUGGACAUCGGCCAAAUCUAAUUAUAUAAAUAUUGAAAUAUAUCUCAAGUCGGAGCCGAAUUAAAACCGGAUCGAAAGGGACUUAUCGACACUCGUCCUCUAAUCAAGAGUGGUGAGAGGAAAUGCAAUGAUGGCCUGUCCAUGGUGUUGCUUUGAGCGUCGACAGAAAGAGAGACCGUCCUGGUCUUGACCAUAAGAGACGACUUUGCUCAGCUGAAGAAAGGGAAAAGAGAGAAUGAUGAUGGCCACCGCCGAUACGAGACAAAAGGGGAAGGAAAACGACGAAGAAAGUUGCAAUCAUGGUGUCAUUUAACGAUGGCCGCUCAUUGUUUCCUUUCUUCUUUAUUUGCUUCUUGUGUAUUUUCUCUCUGAAUACGAAGAGGAAGAGCUCUUAAUGAGAGCUCCGAGGGCCGCACAACGAGAUUGAAAAUUUCCUCUUUAAAGUUUUGAUUCAAAAAGUUUUUCUCUGUGAAAUCACACAAAAUGAAGUCAAUUAAAUAUCGUGUUAAUGUUCAGGUCAAUCUUUUAUGAGAUUGAAAUAUUAUUUCGAGAGAAAUUAUGAAGGUUAAAUAUAGAAUUAUUAGUUGUAUUUGAGGGAUAAAAACACAAAUUAUAUUUGAGUAACUCAAGUAUUAUUAUAAUCUCCAUUGCAUUGUAAUUUCAUGGUUUUCAUUUCCUCAUGGAUGUAGGUCACAUAACCGAACCACAUAUAUUUAGUGUUUGAUUUAUUUCCUUAUUUUGCAUUUUUAUUCAAGCACUUGUUUUAUUUCCAACAAUAAAUAUGGUUUGAAGAAAAGUGAAACCAAAUUAAACCAUAUUAUAGUCAAGAUCAAACCAAGCCAAACCAUUUUAUGUGGUUUGAUUCAGCUUAAUCGUUCUUUCUGCUUUUUUUUUUUUUUUACCUCUUCAUCAUAUGUAAUUUCAUGAUUAAAAAAAAAAACCAGAUUCUAUGCCACAACCCUCCCUGAGGAAGUUACCGAAUUACCAAGUAAGCAUGAAUGGUCCCUUUUGCAAGGUGACGCUUGCUCUUGGCAGGAUCAAUCACAACUUGGUUUCUAUUAAUUAUUUCAUUUGCUCAGGAGUGGCCAUUAAUUUUUUACAAACUGAUUAGGAGUCAAGUAAAACGCAAGAGCCCAUUUUACUUCUACAAACCAGAGAUUUGUGGGUCUAACGACUUGAUUAGGCUGGAUAUGUAAUGCGCAAUUAUUCAUGCGGUCUUCCCAAUCUUAGUUACCCAUUUUGUUCUCAAUAUUGAGGGAAGCAGGCGAUCAGGCAUGAAUUCACUCAAGCAAACACAAAUAAAAUUCAAUAAUACUGAAACAAAUAGAGCAAAUAAAAGGUACGAAAAUAAAGAAAUUGAGCCGUAUUACAAAGAAAAAUAAAAUAAAAUCAAUACAAAGCUUUGUUCUUAAGUUCCAAGAUAGGACCCCUUGAGCUAUAAAUAGAAACUCGAUGUUAGAUCUCCAACUAUGGCUCCAAACCGGAAAGUAAGGGCCUGUUUGUUUGUAUUCUUUUUUUGUUGUCAUGAACAUAAUUUUUGUUUUUUUGUUCCGAGCAAUAAAAAAAUAACAGAAAUGCGUUUUUUUACAUUUUUGUUCCAAAUCUAUAUUUUUUGUUUCCGGGAACAAAUUUGGAACAGAAAUAAGAAACAACAAAAACUUGUUUCUUAUUCUCGGAACACUUCUAAGAAACAAAUUUUCUCUCUCCUACUUUUUUCUUCUCUUUCCUUUAUUAUUCAUUUCUUCUUCUUUUUUCUUUGGCUAGUCGCCAGCCUCGGCCAUGGCUGGUGACGCCGUCGAGGGCCAGCGACCUUGCCGGAGCGUCGUCGGCCCCUAGCGACGCUUGGCCUCACCUUGGUUGGGCGAGCUUAGCCUCGCUGGAUCUGGGUGAGCUUGAGGUCGCCCAAAUCCGUUGAGGCCGAGCCUCGCUGUGGCUAAGCGAGGCCACCAGCCCUCGUCAACUAGUCGCCGACCAUGGCUGAGGCCGGUGACUAGCCAAAAGGAAGAAAAAAGAAAAAAAAAAGAGAAAAGGAAAAAGAAAAUAAAAAUAAAAAUAUUUAAAAAUUAAAAGAAACAAAAAAAUUAUACAAGUUUACCAAACGUGUUUUUGUUCUUUUUCUAUUCCAAGACCAAAAAUUUUGUGCAGUUACCAAACGAGUUAUUCUAUUCAAAAAUUGUUCCCCGGAACAAAAAUAAUUUUUCUACUAUUCCCUAGAACAAUUUUUAAACAGAAACAUUACCAAACACGCCCUAAAUAAAAUGAUACUUCAUUAAUAUCCACUAUAUAAACUACUUUCCUAAAAUGAACAAUUACUUCAAAACGUAAAAUCUACUCAAUGCAAUGUUAAGAAAACAAAAUUUAUUUAUGAAUAUGCAUUACUGGUAAAAUACACUCCUAGAUUUUUUUUUUUUAAUGAAUAUGCAGUUUAUCUUUCCACUUUUUUUUUUCUUUUUUGCAUUUCCCCCUUCUUUAUAUAUAUACACACAUUUAUAAGUGAAACAAAAUUUGACUACGUGUUGAAAUAAAUAUGAACUAGAAUCUAUAUGCCAAAAUAAUAUGUAAUAUAAAUCCGGAUUUUCAUGAAAAUUUGCACUACGUUCACUUGGAUUUUUUUUUUCUUUGGAAACGCUCAAUUAGAAUUUCAACCUUAAAAUUGCAUCAAGAACGACUUAGUGCACACGAGAAAAUAAAGAAAACUAAAGUGACAUAAUGCUAUGAAUUAGAGCCAAACUAAUCCACACUAUGUGAAAAUCAACGGUGGAUGAAUAAGGGCCUCUUUGGCAACGUGCCAAAUAGUGCUUGAUUAUGAUUUUUUGUUUUCAGAAUCAGUUUGGGACGAGAAUUGCGUUUGGUAAAAUUUUUGUUCCCGGGAAUAGAUUGGGAAGAGAAUUGAGAAUAAAAAAAAUAUGAUUCUCUGUCCGAGAAUCAAAAAAAGAAUCAAAACAGUAAAAAUCUCCUUCUUCCCUUCCAACAUCCUGCGUCGUCCACCAUCGCCUGCCGCCGCCCGUCGCCCACUGCUGCCGCUGCCGCCGCCGCCUACCGCUGGUCGCCGUCCAUCGGUCCGGUGAGCUCGCCAGGCCAGGGCGAGGUCUAGCGAGCUCGCCGGAGGCAAGCCUCACUAGUGGCUAGGCGGGCCUUGCCCAGCCUCGGCGAGGCCGGCCUAGUCACCGGCAAGGCUCGACCAACGAGGGCCGACCUUGCCGAGGGCCGGCAACGCCCCGGUGAGCAUCGUCAGCCCUCGUCUGGCCGUCGCCAGAUCGGCGACCGGCCACGUGAAGAAGAAGAUAGAAAAAAGGGGGAAAAAAAAAGAAAAGAAGAAAAGAAAAAAAAAAGGAAAAAAGAAAAGGAAAGAAAGUAAAAAAAGUAUUUAAAAAUUAAAAGAAAUAAAUUCGGAACAUAAUCAAUUAGCACGGUAUAAAACACAAUUAUAUUCCAGAAUAAAAAAUUUUGGACAGUUACCAAACGCGUUCUUUUACUCAUAAUUAGUUCCCGAGAAUAAAAUAAAAAAUAAUCAUUUUUAGUCAGAAUCAGCUCUCGGGAAUAUAAUUGUUACCAAACGCGCCCUAAAUCGAUAAAAAUAACCAAUUUUCUCUCUACCGCUUUUUUUAGGGUGCAGUUUAGCUUACCGUCCUCUGUCAAAUGAUGGAGUGACAGUCAACUAAUGACACAAAAUUCGCAUAGAUUCCAUCUUUUACCCUUUUUUUUUGAAUUUUAUGUUUUCUUAUUGCUAGCUUAAAUUGAGAGAUAAAAUCAUAAGAGGACCCAUACAAUCAAUUUUCAUGAGUAUUAUGAAAGAAAAGAUAAAUUAGAUACUGAAAUAUAAAUAAUUAGAAGUAAAAAAUAUUGUCAUCCACUAAAAAGAAAUCAUUCAUUUCAUUAUGUAGAUCUAUUAAAUUUAAAAGAUGAAAAAACACUUGAAUUGUUGGCUUUACAACUAAUAACAAAAUUAUUGUGCAAUGAAUUGGCUUCUCAAUCCUGUCGCCAAAAUCAAAUUGCUCUGGAAGGACUCUCCAAUAACCUAAAAUCAAGACGAGUAAUGUUAAUUACACAUAAAACAAAUGAAGUAAAGAAAAGAACAAAAUAAGAAUAAUGAAUUAGUAGAGAAGAAACUUUACUCCACUAAUCCAAAUCUCGUAGAUGAAGAUGAGUUGGGACCUAAAAUAUUACAAAAUCAAUCUUAGGAUCACACGAGUGAAAACUAAGUCAAAAUGAUUUUUGAUCAAUUUUUAUAAAUAUUUUAUCUAAUAUAGCUUCAAUGUUUGGUUUGUUGAGAAGAUUCACAUAACCACGUGAUAUGACCAUAUGUCAUUUUACAUAGAUAAAAAGUCAAUUUAUAGGAAGGCAUUUUAAAUAAAAUAAUAAUAAUACGUAUAAGUAACUAUUGAAAACCAUCAAUUCUUUCCUGAUUGCAAAUCAGAUUUCAAGAAUAGUUAUGGUACCUCAUAUCAUCCAAAUUACCAAUUAUAUUUUGGUAUCUAAUUUAUUUUUUCUUUCAUCAUAUUCAUGAAAAUUGAUUGCGUGGGUCCUCUUACGAUUUUAUCUCCUAAUUUAAGCUUAAAAUAACAAAACAUAAAAAGGGGUAAAAGAUGGAUUUCAACCGGUCUCCAUCCAAAAUGUGUGGUUCUCAACUGACCGUCACUCCAUCAUUUGAAGGAGUGAUGGUCAGCUAAGCCUUUUCCACAUUUUAACUAGAGGUAUGCCUGCAUAAAAGUUAAGUGCGUCUUCAUUGCUCAACCCAACCCACCAAUUCUUAAUCCUUGCAUAUAUACUUAAGUCUCUUGUCCCCUAGAGGCAACAAGUAUCCUAGUACCAAUAUAUAAAGAAUUCACUCCAAUUAAUUUUUGGAUAUGGUUGUCCUCAUCGACGUCAUCCAAUACAAUUAGCAUCUAUCAAUGUUAUCAAUGUCACAAGUCACUCUAGAAUAACAUAUAUCAAAAAAUAAUUUUUCUUGUGGCAUGACUAGGCCCUUGGUUUUUAGCAUUUCCCUUGUGUCAACAAGAAAGUUGCAGUUUUUCCCAAAGUGAGGAUAUAGCUAGUUGAAGAUAACAUUGGCAGGUGUUGUUUUGCUGAUGCUGCCCAACCCAUAGAUUCCAAUGAACUGCAUAUCGUCAAAAGCGAUGUCUGAUAAAUUGUAUAUGGCUGCUAUUCAAUCCUCCAUUCCAACUCAAUCUUUGGUUAGUUGCCUUUGUCUUGUCUUCACCUUGACCACAAUCUCAUUAACAACCGACGUGAUAAGAUUCCCAUAGCUGCCACAAUGUCAAACAGUAUUAAUUGAGAAAAAGUGACAAAUUUCCAUGUUGACAAACUAUUUACAUAUAUCAGAACUUGAAUUAGCCUCAAUUUAUUUCGAAUGCGUAGCUCUUAUAUUUCUAUUAGAUUGCACAUUUCAGAAACAAUAAUGACAUUUCAUUCAUUAAUGGGAAGAGCUCUUGUUACAUUCUUAAUAUGAAAAGCUUCUCCACCAGAUCAUCCUUCUCAAAACAUUUACAAAAGAAGAACCAACGCAUAACAUUAGAAAAGGAGAAAAGGAUGUUUAUUAUGAGAAAUAAAUGAUGAAAUUCUUGAUUUGAAUGCCCGAAGUCGGGUGCCACUUUCUUUAGUGAGAGACAUCAUUUUGGACAUUUGUAUCACGUGACUCACGUAAUUCAAUUGAAACUUACGAACAGACACCUUCACAGCAGUUGCAGAUUUCAAUUUACGGUCAAUAAAGUGGAUGGCUUAAGAGAAAAUGAGAUGGAGGACCAUUAUGGAGGUCUACCUUUUCACAAGCCCAAUUUCUUUGGAGUUUCUUCUUAGUGCAUUUGAACUUUUGAAUUUAUGACCAUUUUUUUAAUUAAAAAAAUCUGAUUUUCAAACGUUUAAAUCAUUUAUAAUUAGUUUAUAGCUAUAUCUAUGGUUAAACAUAUUUAUAUAGAUAAAAACGGAAUUUAUCCAUAUAAAUGCAUAAUAAAAGAUAUUCCUAAAGAAAAGUUUAAGUUAAAUGCGUUUAUUUCAAGUGAGUGAUUCAUUGUUAGUCAAAUUUCCGCUGUUUUUUUUUUUUUUGGACAUUUUAGCAAUAAUAACAUUACAUUUCAUUAAUGGGAAGAGCUUCUCCACCGUAUCAUCCUCCUUCAGAAAUUUACAAAAGAAGAGCAAGCGCGUUACAUCUUAAAGGAGAAAAGGCUGUUUAUUGUGAGAUAUGAUGACAAAAUUCUUGAUUUGAACACCCGAAGCCCGAUGCCAGUUUCAGUAGUGAUAGACAUCAUUUUGGACUUUUGUAUUGCGUGACUCAUGAGAUUUAAUGAAAGUACGACAGCACUUGACAGUAGCCGUAGCUUCAUAAAAAAUCAGAUGGAGGACAAUUAUAGAAGAUGUUACCAGUUUUUUGGUCGGUUGAAUACAAUAAUGGAGAAUGUACCCAUUUCACCACGUCUUUCCGCCUUUCUUCUUGGUGCCUUUGAACUUUUGAAUUAAAAAAAAAAAAAAAUCUGAUUUUGGGCGUGGAAAGAAAGAGAGGCCGUGCUCGUCUUGACCAUAAGAGGACGACUUUGCUUGGCCGAAGAAAGGGAAAAAGACAGACUGAUAAUGGCCACUGCUGACAUCGGACAGUACAGAAGGGAAACGAAAACGACGAAGAAAGUUGCAGUAAUGGUGUCUUUAAACGAUGGCCAGUCAUUGUUUCCUUUCUUCUUCUUUAUUUUCUUCUAGUGAAUUUUCUCUUUAAAUUCGAAGAGGAAGGGCUCUUAAUGAGAGCUCCGAGGACUGCACAGAGGAGAUUGAAAAUUUCCUCUUAAGGGUUUGAUUCAAAAAAGUUCUCUUCGUGAAGUUAGUCAAAAUCGAAGCUGAUUAAAUCUUGUGUUAAUAUUCAAAUUGAGAUAUUAUUUCAAAAGAAAUUAUGAGGGUAAAAAACAUAGAGUUAUUAGUUGUACUUAAGGGAUAAAAACACUAAGGAUAUCUGAGUGACUUGAAUAAAAUUAUAAUCUUCGUUGCAUUGUAAUUUUAUCUAUAAUGGAAUUGUGUGCUCCUUUUCUCGUGAACGUAGAUCACACAAUCAAAUUACGUAAAUUUGAUAGCCGAUUUAUUUUAUUAUUUUGUAUAUUUUAUUCAAUCACUUGUUUUAUUUUAAUAAUAAAUAUGGUUUGAAGAAAAGAGGAACCAGGCUAGACUGUAUUAUAGUUAAAGAUCAAACCAAGCCAGACCAUUUUUUUUUUUUUGGGUUUGAUUUGGCUUAAUCUUUCUUUCUUCUCUAGUUUUCCUCUUCAUCAUUUGUAAUUUUAUGAGAAAAAAAACCAAAUUCCAUGUCACGAAACUUCCAAAGCGAGAUCCCCGAGGAAGUUGCUGGAUCACCAAUCAAGCACAAAUGGCCCCUUUGCGAGGUGAUGCUUGCCCUUGGCACGAUCAAUCUCAACUUGUUUCAAUUAAUUAUUUUGCUUGAUUGAGAGUCACCAAUAACUUUUUAUGAACCAAUUAGGAGUCAAGUAAAAUGCAAGAGUCCGUCUUACUUCUGGAAACAUGAGAUUUGUGAGUCCAGAAACUUGAUUACGCAAGAUAUAUCUCAAGCCCAAUGUUGCAUACUUUCUCUUUCUAUUAAAACAAUUAUUCAUGUGGUCUUCCCAAUCUUAGUUACCCAUUUUAUUCUCAAUGUUGAGAAAGGCAGGCGAUCAUGCAUAAAUUCACUCAAGCAAACACGUAUAAAAUCCACUAAUACUGAGACAAAUAGAGCAAAAAAAAGGUAGGAAAAUAAAGGACCCAACCCGUAUCAGGGAAAAAAAUCAAUAAAAGCCUUGUUAUAAGGUUCCGGGACAUGCCCCUGGAGCUAUUAAUAGAAACUCAGUGUAAAAUCUCCAAAAUAAACUAUGGCUUAAAACCAGAAAGUAAAUAACUGAUACCUCAUGAAUAUAUAUAAACUACUUUCCCAAAAAGAAGUAUUACAUCAAGAAAUAAAAUCUACUUAAUGCUAUAUAAAGUGCAAUGCAAUGUUUAGAAAACAAAAUCUAUUUAUGAUUAUGCAUGAUUCCUAAAUUAUCCUCCUAGAUGUAUAUAUAUAUAUAUAUAUAUUUAUUUAUAUUUUAUAAAUAAAAUCUAUCUGUUUUUUUGCUUUUUCACAUUAACCCCUUCAAUAUAUAUUAUAAUGAAACGAAAUUAAACUAAAAAAUAACUAAGUGCCGAGAUAAAUUUGAACUAGAAACUAGAUACCAAAAUAAUAUGUUAUAUAAACCCAGAUUUUCGUGAAAAUUUGCACUAUGUUGCGUUGGAAUUUCAACCUAAACUUCUUGUGGGAACGAGCUAAUAAACACCAGAAAAUAAAGAGAACUAAAGCGAUAUAAUGCUAUGAAUUAAAGCAAAACCAUUCCACAAUAUGCGAAAUCAAGGGUGGAUGAGUACAUCUAUACGAAUUGCCGAAAUAAAAUAUUCAUUAAAAAAAAAUUCUACGCUGUUACAGGUCUGAAGUGUUAAAAUUGAAUCACAUCAUGUAGAUUAUUUAUAUUUCCAUGUUUAUGUUUGCUGAGACACGAGGAACAAUCAACAUGAACUAACACAAAAAUCCACGCAGGUUCUUGAUUUUAUUUCCUUUCUUCUUUCGUCUUUCUUUUCACACGUGCAGCAUAAUUCCUUUUCACUUGUGCUGGUCGGAUAAGGCUGUCGCAUAUUUCCCUCUUGGUCUAGCCCAUGAAAGGGAGCCAGGGUCGUGCGGCUUGGACUCGGAAGUUCAAAUAAAUUCAUGGCACAUUUUGCGUGUUGGGAUACACUCAANNNNNNNNNNNNNNNNNNNNNNNNNNNNNNNNNNNNNNNNNNNNNNNNNNNNNNNNNNNNNNNNNNNNNNNNNNNNNNNNNNNNNNNNNNNNNNNNNNNNNNNNNNNNNNNNNNNNNNNNNNNNNNNNNNNNNNNNNNNNNNNNNNNNNNNNNNNNNNNNNNNNNNNNNNNNNNNNNNNNNNNNNNNNNNNNNNNNNNNNNNNNNNNNNNNNNNNNNNNNNNNNNNNNNNNNNNNNNNNNNNNNNNNNNNNNNNNNNNNNNNNNNNNNNNNNNNNNNNNNNNNNNNNNNNNNNNNNNNNNNNNNNNNNNNNNNNNNNNNNNNNNNNNNNNNNNNNNNNNNNNNNNNNNNNNNNNNNNNNNNNNNNNNNNNNNNNNNNNNNNNNNNNNNNNNNNNNNNNNNNNNNNNNNNNNNNNNNNNNNNNNNNNNNNNNNNNAUUAAGGCAAGGCUGCCUCCAUCAAGAUGGAUAGGGAAAGCAACGCUAUCAACCCAUAGAUCCAAAUGCCGCGAGAAUCGAUCCAGGCAUACUGGUUCGAGACGAAGGCCCCCGGAUCGUGAACUGAAGCUUCAUGGAUAUCAUGAUUUUCUAGAUUACUUUAAAAAAGAUCAUACUUUCAAGAAUAUUUUUUACACAUCAUUGCAUACUUUCAAGCACAAACGGACAUGGCACAUGAAGUCAUGCCAGGGCAUAAAAUGACAAAGGAAUUUUCCUGAUGACAUCUCUAAAAAUAUCAUAAGUCGCAUAAGUAAUGUUAGGAAUUAUUUGAGAAUUGAAUUUAGAGGACGAAAUUGGAAAAUGUGGUACUGAAAGAGCGUUGUGGGAAGUCUAACCCCUCCCCGCACAUAAAUGAAUCCUUCGACAAUAAGUUUCAUUGGCUUUCGCAAAUGAUCAAUAUCACACGUGGACCUAGUUUCAAAUCAGCCUAACUUUUUAAAUUGAUUGGCAGUUACUCCAUCUCAUACUUAGUUGAGCGGACCGAAAAAAAAUAUUAUAUUCUUUUAUAUAAUAAUAGACCGUAAAAUCCAGCCAAUAAAAUGGGCCCAAAUUCUGUCCGCCCCAAAGCCUCUUAAGCUUUUGAUAUCCGAAACAAAAGAAGCCCUUCGUUCUUCAAGAAGAUCGAAGCCCGUUGCGAAAGGAAGCCAGCGGUCCAGCCGAGUUGGAAGACUCGGAAUCUUCAGUCGAGCGAAUAGCGUUUUCGGGUUUCCGAAUCGAACCCACGUCUUCAUUUUCACUCAAGUUCAUCUUUUUCGAUCGACCCGUAAGGUCUUCUGGAAACUUCUGCGUGUUUUCCGCUUUGAAUCGUCGCGCCAGAUGCUUCUGCUCUUCAAUUUGAUUCUUUUUUAUUCUGUUUUAAGUUAAUUUGCGUUGAUUUUCGUCGAUGUUGCGACUGUUUUUGCUGGUUAGAUCGUCUUUAACCUGGAGUUGUGCGGUUUCUAGCUCGGGUGGCUAGAAAAUAAGAAAGAUCUGCUUUGGUAAUCAAGAUAGAUAGUAGUGUAAGGAGGUGAAAUUGAGAUUUCAAAAAUGUUUUGUCGUGGUUGUUUUUGAGUCGUAAUUGCUGAUGGGUGUCUGUUGAAUUGCUUCAGUUGAAUUUGCUUGUUGGUCUAAAUGGCCUGCUUUCUUUGAAGUUUGAACUGGAGAUCAUUUUAUGCUUGAGUCGGAUAUUGGGAAUGUGAGUAAUUUGAGCAUGGACACAUCUUCUUCUAUUAGAAAUGGAGAUGAGCUUCUUUCCCACUUUUCAUUUUCAAUAUGCAUGCGAUUGUUCAAAACAAAGUUGAACAUAAUGUGUUGUUAAAUAUAUAGGAUCCUCAUGAUCCUUGAUGACCUCACAUAAUUUUGUAAUAGUAUAUAUUUUGCACUUGAGUUGCUGAGAUCUUACGUGGCAUGUGCAAGAUUUGAUUCCAUGUUCAAAGAUACGUGGUUUCUUAUUGACAGAUGGGGGAGCUCGCAGGCAAUAAACAUGUCAAGUAAAUAUUGUCCGUUGAAAAGGUAGGUAUGAAAUUUCACAAUCCUCUUCUUGUUUUCUUGUUCACUUCUUGCCAGUUACUGAAAAUGACUUGGCUUAUCUGGACUUGCUAUUCACAUUUCGGAGUUUACUGAUUUGAGGUUUUGGGUUGAUCUUGCGCUCAGAAAAAGGAUAGUUUUGAGUCGGUGGUUAUGGAGCACCUGAGAUUGAAUGGAGCAUAUUUGGGAUUGACCACUCUAGAUCUUCUUGAAAACUUGACACCGUGGAUUCAAAUGAAGUUGUUUUGUGGAUCCUGCAAUGCUAGCUUGAGUCUGGUUUGUAGUUAUUUAUCUCUUGGCUUCUUUCUUAAGUACCCAUGAAAAACAUGCAGUAUUUGAAAGAACGAUCAACAUUUUAGCUCGGGAUUAACAGAUUUCCUUUAUUACAAUAAUGACCACAUCUUAGGGGUCAUUAGUGUUGCUUUAUUCAUCUUUUAUUAUAGCUUCACUCUAAGGGACAAAGUGCAUGUCACCUACGGCUGCUUUUACAAGUGUCUUUGGUGGAAACACGGGACAUGUUCCGCAUCUGCUGUAUACGCUCAGUGCCGUGCAAGUUUUGGCCCCUUUUUGACAAGUUACAUGUUCUUGACAUCAACAAGGAGACAGAUUGUAUCCUUUGGAAUGAAGUAUCCUAAUUUGCCAAACUCUUACAUAGAUGCAAGUUCCUUGGUAUUAUUUUAUGUUUUUAUGUUUUCAACAUCAUGAGAGUAAUAAACUUACCUUAGGUUCUGUUUUUCAUGUAAGAGCUCAGAUUAUGUCAACUUUUUAAAUGUUGUAAAAUUUUGAUUAAGGUUACUUUAUAGUGUGAGUAUUGUUAGCCAAACAUUGAUGAGGAGGCUCUCUCUAUGUAGAUCGAAGUUGCUAUCGUUGGAUAAUCUCUGGUAUUAAAUGCUCUCCAUUGUUGUGCCUGAACAAUGAUUCAGACAUCAGAGCACUGCAAAACGAAGAUGGAUCUUUCCCUGGGGAUAUAUGGGGUGAAGUUGAUGCUCGGUUCCCUUCGAAGAUUCAGUAAAUGUGGAGAAGGCUAUAAGUUAUAUAGUGCGUUGCAAAACUUUGGAUGGCGGGUUUGGUUGCACUCCUGGUGUAGAGUCUCAUGAAGGGCAAAGUAUGUCAUAACCUUACGGCGGAGCUCUUUCGCUGGAUUCUAAUUUCUGAUUGGUGCUUAGUAAGUCAUGCAUUUGCUUAAAUACAUGGUGGUCUUCUAAUUAUGUUCCAAUGAACAUCCGAAGGAUAAGACCGAGUUGCCACCAUUUUAAGGCAUUCCUUAGGACUCAUCUUAGACGUGAGAAAGUAUACUGAUUCUGGAGGAGAAUAGGCAUAAAACAAUGAAGCACCGAGCAAGUAAAUUAACAUGCACAAGAGCCUGACCAAGCACCUUGCUUUACAAAGUGGCUCAUUUUUCUCUCUUCUUUCAAUUCAAAUAAUAAGAUAUUUGUAAAAUAGAGAACAGGAAUGCAGGAGCAAUCAUGAAGCGAUAAGAUUUGGUGUUCUUGCUUCAAUAGAUAACAAAGCCGCGUGUAUUUUGUUUAGCCAAUUGUCCAGUCGGUCACGUAGUAAAUUUGACCUGUGGAAUCCCCCGCCAUAUGCAACAGACCUCAAAUUACCAAUGGAAAAUACAACUACCGAAAAUAUACAUACACACACACACACACAUAUAUGUACAACUUGGAUAUCCCAUUCUAAUUAUGUGUGAUAAACCAAGAAGAGAAGCAUUGCUUGCUUCAUUUUCAAUCAUUGAGAGCUCCUCACAGGUGAUAGAGAGACAAUGGAUAUUCAUUAAUGCACCAUUAUCCAAACCUUAUAAUAUACUUACGGACAAACUCUUCAUGAGAAUAUGCUCAACAUCCUGUGUAGAAAGUUUUGUGCGCUUUUUAAUAACAUUCAUGGGAAUGGUUCGAUUCUUAAAUGAUCGGUUGCAAAUAUUUACAUCACCGUUCUCCAUCAAAGUGGUUUAAAAAAUUUUGAAGCUUUCUAAUCUCAAGUCAGCUCACCAAAUAGACAUAAUUCUUGUAAUACCCCAACUAGCAGAUGCACAACACACCGGCACAUGAUUCCACUUAAUCGAGCGGUCUACAAAAGCAUAGCAACAUAACUAGACCAGGCAUACAGACAGUCAAACAAAUGCAAGAAAGUAGACCCUUAUACAACUAUUAUCAUAUGAAGCUGGAGCUAGAGCUCGAGCUCAUGCUUAACUACACAGAGAAAAAUCACACGAUUACAUUCAACUAAACACCAACUACCACACCAAAAAAAAGAAAAAAUCAACUGACACAUCAAAAAAACACCAAAAAGAAAAUAUAUAUAUCAAAUGCCACACCACCCGUACCUGUUCUUCAGCGAUUAGCUAGUGAUCCGGAGCUUGAGUACGCCUUUGUAUUCCUUUCUUUCACGUUCUCGUGCGCACACCUUGGGCAAGCAUGCUUUUUGAGGAAUUGGAUAUGCGGUUAACAAAGCGCGCGAGUCGCACGUGCGGCACCAACCGCCGAAAAGUUGGAAAAACUAAGUCUUUCUUUUUUGAGUCUAUCUAAUUCCUUACAGAAAUGGUGAAUCCAUGAUCUGACCCAUAUCACGAUUCACUUCUUGUAAUCAUGACGUAAUACGGGAUGCGAGACCGAUAUUGAAUUUACUAGAACAUUGCAGUUCUGUAUUUAAAAAUGAGGGAAUGAGAAAAUUAGGAAGAAGGCGGUGCUUAAUCAUUAUGUUGUGUUCAAGUCCGACCAUGUCUCUAAUUAUUACUUUGCCUAAACUUUGUAUUAUUGACGUACUCAAACCGAUGAUUGUGCCCUCCACAUAGUAAAAUGAUGUCAAUGUACGUGAGAUAUAAUCCAUCUCUUAGGCAUUGGGAGAAAUGUUUCAUAGCGAUGCUAAAGUUUAGAUGACAAAUGCCAAAAACUUCCCACUUUUCUUUUACAAGUUAUCAUCUUGAUAUGUAACCUUACUGGAAAUCUCUUAACUUUAUCGUCUUUGAAUUUUUCUCUUUUUACAAUCAAAUUCUUGAACUAUGAUUUGUUCGUUCACAUUGGACCUUCCAUUAAAAGAAGAAAAAAAGUGCUUAUGUGACCGUCAAAUGCCAAAUUGACUCAAUGUGGCUCCUACGUCCUUAUUAGUAAGAUUAAAGAAAUAACAAAAUUAAAUUUUCUUCAUCGAGGAAAAUCUGGAGCAACGACACCACCGUGAGCCCGAGCCCACAAGCAAUUUGUUGAUAGUGUUCGAGUUUGAUGAGGGGAGGGAGGACAGAGGUUGGAACACUUUUCAAUAUAAGCCCGCCCGAUCGGCUUCGACUUUUGAAGCGGAGGCGUUGGCAUCUAGGGUGAGGUGGUGAUGGCUCGGAAUUGGGAGGCUCACCUUCGGCUCUCAUGGCUUUCUAAACGGUGUUGCGUCAAUUUCCAACAACAUUGAAGAGAUUGGAGAUGACUGGAAAUUCCACUCGUCUUUUUUUUCUCCUUUUUUUUUUUUUUUUAAGUCAGUCAUAUUUCGGGCCAAACCCAGCCCAAAAUUUUAAAAAAAUGCCUAUCCAAGAGGACUUGUUUAGGCCCCAACCUUUCAACCGGGCCUGAAGUUGAUCGGACGGGGCAUAUUUUUCAAUAAAAAAGCCACCCAUGUGCAACUAUACUUCCGAUUACUAGACGCCAAAGGAACUCACGAACUCAUUGCUACACCAUUCUUUAUCUGCGGUAAACAAACAAGCAUUCCUAUUCUGUAACAUAGAAAUGGCAACAAUUUAUUGCUUAUGCCCAUUCAUGAUGAAUAUUUUCCCCUAAAGUCAAUCAACUAACAUUAAAUUAACCCCAAUAACAACUAGUCACAAUAUUCCAGCAAUAUUAACCCUAAAGCAGUGAAGACAGUGCAGAAUAUUAAAGCAAGGGAAAACCAACACUCGUUCGUAAAAUUUUACGUGAAAAACACAAUACAAAAAAAAUCACGAGACCAGUCAAGAUCUUCCACUAAUCACCAAGAAUAACAUAAUACAUAAUAGUUCAUUUCAAAUAACAGAGCUAGAGGCUCUUCACAUUAACAAAAUAUUAUCACCACAAAGGUGGAUUAACAUAAAGAAGCAAGAAAGAUCUAACCGUUGCUAGACAAAAUCAGGAGACAAUUUGGAGAAGAUUUUAACAAACACAGCCAAUCAACUUGUAGAUCAUGGACUCACGAACAGCAUAUGAAAUUUCGGCCAAUUCCGACUAAGUUUUCUAUCAAAUUUAGACUGCUUCCUCUUCAAAGCAAAGCUCUCCGCCUCUUUUUUCUCUAUAACAACGAAUUGCUCAUCCCUCUCUUCUAAAUCAAGAACAUUCAGCCCUAUUUAUUCUUUUUCUUUUUUAUUUUAUUUAACAUGAUGAGAUGAGCCCCACAAGAGGUGGACCCAACCCAACAAACUUCCCCUUUACCUUAUGAAGAAGUUUCAUUAUGCUAGCGUUAUCUAUACAAGAAUCAAGUUUCACCAUUGGCAAGGUUUUACUCAUCAUAUUAGAUCCAUUAUCAUCAGUGUAGACUUUCUCAAGUAAGAAAAGUUUCUCAUCUAAUUUAUCUCGGAUCCAAUGACAAGGAUAAAGCAUCAGUCUGGGUAAAGCAACCAGAUGCAAUUCUAGUGAACAUCACUCUAUCUUCAGCGAUAUGACAUGGAUAAAGCAUCCCGCAUAAUGCUGUCUUGUAUUUGCACGAAUAGAUUUGAUCUUGUCGGGGGCAAGACCGCUCAUCUCUAACUAAUAACAGCAGCUACCAAAGAGUUUAUAUAUUUAGAGCAGUAUCAUGAUUCACUCUCUAAGGAUAAACACCCUCUAGAAAUGGAGAGAUCGGUUUCCUAUAUCUUCUUUAGUUCGCUUGCAAACCAUAAAUGGUGGAAGUUGAGAUCCAUGGAGUAACCUGACAAGCCUAAGUUUCGAGCCACUAAAACAUGUGUGCUUACAGUAUUGUCUCUUUUAUUACAUAACCUUUUGCUUUGAUGGGGCAUUUUUUCGAAACAUGCUAAAACCGACAUCAAAGGCACUUUUACAGCAAUAACAUCAGGUUAUAUUAGUGUCGUGUUUAUCCUAGACUAUGUUAAUACAGAGCUUCGAGGAAAUUGAUUGAAAUAUCGACCGACUAAAUUAAAGUUCAACGCCACCAAAUGCUAGGCUCUUAAGAAAUACUGCCCGGUAGAGAGACUUAUCGAUUAAGAAAUUUAACCAAAGCUCUCUCCAUUUUUCUUUUACAUCGACGGCAAGCUUAACAAUAAUAUAAAGUUUCAUUUAAUCAUAUUAUGUUAAAUAUUAUUUCCUAGCGACCAAAUGCAGCUAGUCAAAUUCAAAUGAAGAAUUCGAUAAUAAUCAUGCUCUGUUUGUUUCACAACAAAUAAAUAAUUUGGAAAGUAUUUUCCAAAAAAUAAUUACAUUGUAUCUCUUGAAAUAAUUAGUCAAUAAACAAUGUUUUCAUUAUUAAUAAUAAUUUUAUGUCCAAGCAUUUCGGUGAAUGAUGGAAAAAAUACCCUAUCAUUUAUUUUUAUAAGUGAUUGCAAGUGGUAUAAAUAAUAUAUAUAUAUAUUUUAUAUUUCAAAUCAUUUAUUUCUCGCGAAACAAGAAGAUAACGAAAUGAUAUUUACCCGAAGAAAAUGGGUAAUUGGGCCCAGUUAUCGUUGGCCCAAAAAUUCUCUUGGGCUAUAUGAAACCUUCGUCCCUCGUAAUCACGAAAGAAAGUCUCGUCUUUCAGUCGACUUGAGGAUCAUUUUUGGUUCUAAAUCGAGCUCAAACGUUCGUUUUCACUACUCAUCUUCGUUUUCAUCUAAGGUCUUCGGGGAGCUUCUGUGAGCGUUUUUCACUACUAAUCAUUGCACCGCCGCUUUUGUUCUUCAAUUUGAUAUCUAUUUUGCUCUUUUAAGCCAGUUUUCGUUGAUGUCGCGACUGUUUCUUGCUGAUUGGAUCGUCUUCGACCUGGGGCUGGAUGGUUUCUAGCUCGGGUAGCAAGAAAAUGUCGGAGAUCUCUUGUGGUGAUCGAGAUAGAUAGUAGUGUAAGAAGGUGAGAUGAAGAUUUAAGAAAUGUUGUGCCGUAGGUUUGUUCCAGCCGUAAUUGCGAAUGGGUGUCCGUGGAAUUACUUCCGUUGGACGUGCUUGUUUGUCUGUCUAAAUGGCGUGCUUUCUUUGAACUGGUGAUUAUUUUGUGCUUGAGUCAGAAAUUGGGAAUGCGAGCAAUUUGAGCAUGGACUCAUCUUCUCCAAUUGGGAAAAGAGAUGUCCCUAGUUCCCUUUCUUCCAUAUUAUUGUACAUGUGAUUGUUCCAAACAAAGUCUAACACAAUCUGUUGUUAAAUUUAUAGGAUCGUUACGAUCCUUGAUGACCUCACGAAAUUUUGUAAUGGGGCAUGCUUAAGAUUUGAUUCCGUGUUCAUUGAUAUGUAGCGUCUUACUGGAAGAUGGGCGAGCUCGCUGGCAAUGAAAAUCUCAAGUACAUGCUGUGUUGAAAAGGUCGGUAUGAAAUUUUUACUACUCUCUUCUUGUUCUCUUGUCCACUUUCUGCCAGUUACUGAAAAUGACUUGGUUUAUCUGGAUCUGCUACUAUUCAGCAUUUUGGAGUUUAUUGAUUUGAGUUUCUGGGUUUGAUCUUGCACUCGGAAAAAUGAUAGUUUUGAGUCAUUGAUUAUGGAGCACUUGAGAUUGAAUGGAGCAUUUUGGGGAUAGAACACUGUAGAUCUUCUUGGAAAACUUGGCACUGUGGAUUCAAAUGAAGUUGUUUCUUGGAUCCUGCAAUGCCAGCAUCUGUCUGGUUUGUAUUUAUUUGUCUCUCAGCUUCUUUUUCACGAUUACCCACCAAAAACAUGCGGCUGACAGAUCCUCCACUCCACAUUUAGUCAAGUAUUUCUCAUUUGACAGUAUGCUUAAGAUAUUAGCUUGGGAUUGACAAGUUCCAUCUAUUACAUUGAUGACCACAUCUUAGGAGUGAUUAGUAAUGCUUUAUUUAUUUAUAUUCUAAAACUUGACUCUAAAGAGCAAAGUGUGAAUGACACUUAGGGCUGCUUGUGCAGGUGGCUUUGGUGCCAAAUAUUGGACAUGAUCCGCAUCUGCUGGAUGCACUCAGGGCCGUGCAAGUACUGGCCCUUUAUGACAAGUUUGAUGUUUUUGACAUCAAUAAGGUGACAGAUUGUAUCCUUUGGAAUAAAGCGUCUUAGACUCUGUUUUGCAUGUAAAAGGUCAGAUUAUGUUAUGUUAUGGAAUUUUAUAGUGUGUAUAUUGCUAGCCAGACAUUGAUGGAGAUUGAAGUUGCUAACGUUGGAUUAUCUCUGGUAUCAAAUGUUCUACAUUGUUGUGCCUGAAUGAAGAUGAAUCUUUUUCUGGGGAUAUAUGCGGAGAAGUUGAUGCUUGGUGUAUUGUCCUCAUCUUUGAUCAAUUAUUAUUUUUGUGCUUCUUGAGGAUGUUUCUUAAAUAAUUGACAUCCCUUCACCCCUUUCUUCCCCUCGAAGGUUCUCUCAUUGUGCUAUAUGCUAUCUUGCGAUACUUAAAUGGUUGGAUUCGAUAUGUGGAGAAUGCUCAAUUGCAAAACUUUGGAUGGUGGGUUUGGUUGCAUUCCUGGUGCAGGGUCUCACCUGAAAUGAUAUCAUUGCACACAGCCUUCGCUUCCAUCUUGAUGGUAUAAUCACUGCGUAAACCACUGAUGUCUAUCUAAGAUAUCCCAAGACAACGCACUAAUGUCCUUCCUCUCUCAACUAAUCUAGCUGGUAGUAGUUAACAGUUGGAGAAAACCAUCUAGUCUAGCUAAAUCUACAGGGAACUAUUUGUUGCCAAAAUGCCAACUAAAAUUCCAGAAUCUCACCGUACUAUCACAAAAGGUAAAGAAACUUCAGAGUUGCCUAACUUAUUAUUAAACUACGAUCUUCACAAGACAAUGAUCUCCUUAGGAUUGGUAAGACUAUAGUCUCAUAUAAAUUGAAUACAAUUUAAUAUUGGUGACAGUGUAAUUCGAGAAUGUAAACUCGACCAUAAGGCAUACUUAUUGAAUUUCAUAAAUCAUCUGUUUCAAAUAAUUUUUCUUUGCAAUUCCCAGGAUCCAACAAUCUGCAGUUCAAGAAGUCUAGAUUCGGGAUCCAGCAGGUCCGCAAUUGAUGGCAAGUUUUCCAAUCUGAAUAACCUCAGGACUUAGUAAAGUAGUAAUUAGGAGAUUAACAGAACCGCUUAAAUACUCGAACGCUUUGCUAACUGAGCAAGUAAACACACUUCAAACGUGUAAAACGCGCAAUGAGCAACGAUUGCAAAAUGCAUUCUCGUAAGCAGCCACGGAGGGCCUCAAUGAAUUGCAGUUUUUUCCUCUCCUAGCUAAGCUAUAACGGAAGUUCCUCCUGACCACUGUCCUGCCCUUGAAUAAUAUAGAGCAAAUCUAGCAACCCAACCAAAUCCAGCAUGUCAUAACCUCAUGCUGAGCUCUUUCGCUGGUUUCUAAUAUGUGAUCGGUGCAUAGUAAGUCAUGUAUUUGCUUAAAUACAUGAUGGUCUUCUAAUUAUGCUCCAAUGAACACAUCCAAAAGAUAAAACCAAGUCGCCGCAGUUUUAAGACAUUCCUUAGGACUCAUCUUAGACAAGAGAAAGUACAAAGGAAUUGAUAAUUUCCAGUGGAGACUUAGGCAUAAAACAAUGAAGGACCAAGCAAGAAAAUUAAGAAGCACAAGAGCCUGAUCAAAUAUCUUUCAAUUCAAAUAAGAAGAUAUUUGCAAAACGGAGAACUGGAACGUGGGAGUAAUCGUGAAGCAAUAAGAUUUGGUGUUUCUACUUCAACGGAUAACAAAACCGUGUGUAUUUUGUGUAGCCAAUUGUCGAGUCGAUCACGUAGUAAAUUUGACCUGUGGAAUCCUCAACCAUAAGCAGCAGACCUCAAUAAAGCAAUGGAAACCACAACUACCCAAAACAUGAAAGAAAAAGAAAAGCUGGACAUCCCAUUUUAAUUCUACAUGAUGAACUAAGAAGAGAAGCACUCGUUGCUUCUUUUUCAAUCAUCAAGAGCUCCUCACAGGUAAUAGACAGCUCCCCACAGGUAAUAAAGAGACAGUGGAUACUCAUUAAAGCGACCAUGAACCAAACCUUAGAAUAUACUCACAGACGAACUCUUCAAGAGAAGAUGCUCAACAUCUUGCGCACAUGAUUACACUCAAUCGAGCAGUCCACGAAAGCAUAGUAACAUAACUAGACUAGGCAUACAGACCCUUAUACAACUAUUAGUAUAUGAAGCUAGAGCUAGAGCUCAAGCUCAUGCUUAAUAUUUAAAGAUAAAUCACACAAUUACAUUCAUCUAAACACCAACUGCCACACCAAAAAAAACACCCAAAAAAAAAAAAAAAAACCCAACUGCCCCCCACCACUCUUACCUGUUCUUCAGUGAUUAGCUAGUGAUCCAGAGCUCAGGCCCAUGACUCCCGCCACUGAUGAAAUUAAUGAAUGCACCAAAUUCCUCCAGCUGAGCGGCACUAAAGAAGAAAAUGUGCAAAAGAGUGAAAAGUGGCGCUAGAGAAGGACUUGAAGCUCACAGACCUGGAACUUGAAGCUCGUGAAGAAGGACUUGAAGCUUGUGGACGACGAAGAAAGAAGAGACGGUGGCAACCGACACGGCCAACGACGGACUUAAGUUUGCGAGGAGCGAGUAGCAUGGUGGAUGGAAUGACAGCGAAUUGCUUGUGCAGCGAGAGAGAUGAAGAAGAAAACAUGAAAAAGAACCCUAAUCCCAAUUCAAUCCAUCGUUCACGAAUAAUCAUCCAACUUUCUUUUCCCUUUUUGUUUUGCUGACUCUGUCUGCAGAAGGAAACGAUAAGGUGAGUUGAGGUGAGGUCUCUUGGGCCUAAAAGGCCCCCAAUCAUUAACCCUCAGUUCAGUUCUCCUCUCCCGUUAUCUCCCUCUGUCCCGUCUCCGACGCCGCUCGCCCUCAACGCCACCGCCGGACGCCGCUUGUCCCGCCGCUGGACGCCAAUCGCUCCGUGCUCGCCCCGCCCUUGCCUCCCUCGACGCUGUCACCCCCGCUCGCCUCGCCUCUCAGCCGCUGGACGCCGCUUGCCCUCGACGCCGCCGCUGGACGCUGCUCGAUCCCCCAGUGGACGCCUCUCGCCACUCGCCGCUGGAUCCCCCGGUGGACGCCGCUCGCCGCUCGCCCAAUCGCCCCUGACACCGCUCGCCCAGCUGCCCCCGACGCCGCUCGCCGCUCGCCCAGCCACCCUAACGCCGCUCGCCCGGUCACCCCUGACGCUGCUCGCCCCCGACGCCGCUCGCCCAGUCGCCCCCGACGCUGCUCGCCCCCGACGCCGCUUGCCCUCGACGCCGCCACUGGACGCUGCUCGAUCCCCCGGUGGACGCCUCUCGCCACUCGCCGCUGAAUCCCCCGGUGGACGCCGUUCGCCGCUCGCCCAAUCGCUGCCCCCGACGUCGCUCGCCGCUCGCCCAGCCGCNNNNNNNNNNNNNNNNNNNNNNNNNNNNNNNNNNNNNNNNNNNNNNNNNNNNNNNNNNNNNNNNNNNNNNNNNNNNNNNNNNNNNNNNNNNNNNNNNNNNNNNNNNNNNNNNNNNNNNNNNNNNNNNNNNNNNNNNNNNNNNNNNNNNNNNNNNNNNNNNNNNNNNNNNNNNNNNNNNNNNNNNNNNNNNNNNNNNNNNNNNNNNNNNNNNNNNNNNNNNNNNNNNNNNNNNNNNNNNNNNNNNNNNNNNNNNNNNNNNNNNNNNNNNNNNNNNNNNNNNNNNNNNNNNNNNNNNNNNNNNNNNNNNNNNNNNNNNNNNNNNNNNNNNNNNNNNNNNNNNNNNNNNNNNNNNNNNNNNNNNNNNNNNNNNNNNNNNNNNNNNNNNNNNNNNNNNNNNNNNNNNNNNNNNNNNNNNNNNNNNNNNNNNNNNNNNNNNNNNNNNNNNNNNNNNNNNNNNNNNNNNNNNNNNNNNNNNNNNNNNNNNNNNNNNNNNNNNNNNNNNNNNNNNNNNNNNNNNNNNNNNNNNNNNNNNNNNNNNNNNNNNNNNNNNNNNNNNNNNNNNNNNNNNNNNNNNNNNNNNNNNNNNNNNNNNNNNNNNNNNNNNNNNNNNNNNNNNNNNNNNNNNNNNNNNNNNNNNNNNNNNNNNNNNNNNNNNNNNNNNNNNNNNNNNNNNNNNNNNNNNNNNNNNNNNNNNNNNNNNNNNNNNNNNNNNNNNNNNNNNNNNNNNNNNNNNNNNNNNNNNNNNNNNNNNNNNNNNNNNNNNNNNNNNNNNNNNNNNNNNNNNNNNNNNNNNNNNNNNNNNNNNNNNNNNNNNNNNNNNNNNNNNNNNNNNNNNNNNNNNNNNNNNNNNNNNNNNNNNNNNNNNNNNNNNNNNNNNNNNNNNNNNNNNNNNNNNNNNNNNNNNNNNNNNNNNNNNNNNNNNNNNNNNNNNNNNNNNNNNNNNNNNNNNNNNNNNNNNNNNNNNNNNNNNNNNNNNNNNNNNNNNNNNNNNNNNNNNNNNNNNNNNNNNNNNNNNNNNNNNNNNNNNNNNNNNNNNNNNNNNNNNNNNNNNNNNNNNNNNNNNNNNNNNNNNNNNNNNNNNNNNNNNNNNNNNNNNNNNNNNNNNNNNNNNNNNNNNNNNNNNNNNNNNNNNNNNNNNNNNNNNNNNNNNNNNNNNNNNNNNNNNNNNNNNNNNNNNNNNNNNNNNNNNNNNNNNNNNNNNNNNNNNNNNNNNNNNNNNNNNNNNNNNNNNNNNNNNNNNNNNNNNNNNNNNNNNNNNNNNNNNNNNNNNNNNNNNNNNNNNNNNNNNNNNNNNNNNNNNNNNNNNNNNNNNNNNNNNNNNNNNNNNNNNNNNNNNNNNGAAUAUCAGAUGAGAGACGUUCUCAAAGAUUUCUGUGGCACUUCUGCACCAUUGUAGUCCCAAGUGCUUAUUGAUCUAACUUAAUGUUUUAUUUUCUUUUAAGUACCCCUUUCAACAUAUCAAAGAAAUUUGAUGGAGAAACAGUAACAGAGAUUGUCCGUCCCCACCUUGCAAGGAUUAGAUAUCGUGUUAAGAGAUUGCCUUGGUAUCUCAUUCUCCAUAUGCAGAGAUUUACGAUUUAUAUUUUAUAUUUUAUUUAUUAUUAUUAUUAUUAUUAUUAUUAUUACCAUUCUUAUUACCCUUAUUUUAUUUUUUUUGUGGAGAAGAACCCAACUCUAGUUAAAGCAGAAAUAGAAAGCAAGCAAAGCAGAAGAAACAACAAUGAUUAAUGAACAGAAAGAAGGCGCACCGUUUUCUGUAGAGGAUCCCCUGUUUCUGUUUCAGAGUUCGUUGUUUCAAUUUCAGAGCCCGGCGCUUGCUUUGUUCUGCUCAAAAUCUUCUCUCUGUAAGACUCCCAAGUGUGGAAAUAUUUAGUGUAGCCAAGUUCACUAUCGUCUUCACUAUCGUCGGAUGACUUCUCGCGUGGUAUGAGUAUCUCGCAAUUAUCUGGUUCUUUUGAGCUCAAUACAUCAAAAAUCAUUUCGAAUAUGCACCCACUAAUUUCCAAGGAACAUGAAGACUUUAGUUCGUAAAUGCCCUCAAUAACCUGCAGGCUGGGGCACUGGUCAAUCUUUAUCCGCAAGUUCUUCAAGUUUGACAAACUGCCUAAUCUUUUUAACGAAGAGCACCGGUAAAUGUCUAACCACUUCAAGUUCUUCAAGUUUGACAAACCGCCUAAGCUUUUUAACGAAGAGCACUCACGAAUGGAAAUUUCUUCCAAUAAUACGAAAGUAGAAUCAAAUUGAAUAUCCUGUACCUCAUGGGACUCCCACAGAUAGAAACUUUUAAGCAUCUUUCGGGAGCUUGGGAAAAGGAUCGCUUCCCUACAAUGAUCAGUCAACUCGGGAGCUUGUAGUUCACUGCACCCCCGCUCCUCCGGGUGACAAACCAUACUCUUGGAAGAUCUGCGGAUUUUUGAGCUCGAAGCAUCAAAAAUCCUUUCCAAUGAUCUGCACCUCCCAAUUUUCAACGAACGCAAAAACUUCAGUUCGUCAAUGCCCUCAACAACCUUCAAGCUCGGGCACUGGUCAAUCUCUAACUUCUUCAAGUUUUUCAAGCUUGACAAACCGCCUAAGCUUUUUAAUGAAGAGCACUCUUUAACUGAAAAUUUUUCCAAUGAUUCUAACAGAGAAACAAAUCGAAUAUCCUGUACCUCUGGGAACCCCGACAGACAGCAUUCUAUAAGCAUGUUUAGGGAGCUGGGGAAAAGGAAGGCUUCCCUCCAAUGAUCAAUCAGCUCAGAAGCUUGUAUUUUAUUGCACCCCGGCUCCUCCGGCUGACAAACCAAACUCUCGGAAGAUUUGCAGUCCUGAAUACGUGAUCUCUCCGACGAUUGUAAGACAUUGGGAGAUUGAACAUCUAGUUGCUCGUACGCCUUGCUUUCUCUCGAUAUUCCCAAACUUGUUGAAGGGAAUAUGGUCUCCUUUUCCAAUGGAGGAAGCCCAUCGAGUUGUACUUUUUUCCCUCUAGCUUCGUAAAGCCUUAAAACCAUCAAGUUUGACGGAAGUUGUUUGAAAGGGGGCAAGUCUAUUCCGUGCAGAAUAAGUUCCUUCAACAGAGAAAGGGAACACAACUGUGUAGUUGGGGCACGGACAUUUGGAAAGUGAAAGUACAGCUUCCUCAAUUUGGAUAACAUGCCAAUCCACUGCAAGUCGCAAGUUUGAAUUACACUUGAUUUGUCUCUAGAUUCAGAGCGAUCGGAUAGGUGCAGCUCAACUAGAUUAGUAAGGUAUAAGAGGUUAGGGACAGUCAGCAACGAAGUAGAACUUAGCCGUAGAGUGGUCAAACAUUUGGGGAGUUCUGGCAACUCUUGUAUCCCAUCGCAACCCAUCAAGCUUAGUGUUUGGAGUUGAUGAAACUUGCUGAUUGUACUGGGCAUUCCCGCAAUUGGUGUGCAUGACACAUUGAUAGAUGACAAGCUUGCUAGUCUACCAAUGGAAUUUGGUAAUCUUGUAAUUUUGGUGCCAGAUACAUCCAACGUCGUUAACGACUCUAAUUUCAAAACUGAGUCGGGGAGUUCAAUGAAGUCGUGACAACCCUCAAGAGAGAGGUGCCGCAGAUUAUGUAACUCUCCAAUUUGUUUUGGCAAUUUUCUAAGACGCCAACAUGACUCAAAACUCAAGUCAGUCAACCACCUCAGUUUUCCAAUAGAGCAAUCAAUUUCCUUCAAAGAAAAAAAAUCAAAAAUAGUCAACUUCUCUAAAACUAAGUUCUCGGGAAAGCUUGGCAUCUCAUGUAUCAAGUUAUUAUAACGAAUAGUGAGAACCUUCAAUUUCCUUGCCCCCUACAAAAGCCAACGAAACAUCAAGACGGACAAUAAAUAAAUAUGGAUUUGUGCUACUAAUGAGAAAAUAAGAUUAUAAAUCCAGCGGAUUUUGUCCUUCUUUGAAUGAGAAAAAUAGACUAAGAGGAAAACUGGCAUACCUUGAUUAGGCUCUCGAACGCAUCUUUUGUGAUAUCGAGCCCAAAAAGAUGCACCACAACCGCGUUUUCUAGAUGCAACAAAUUGGUUGCCUCCAAACGUUGAUUGGAUCGACAGCCAACUACUGCAUAAUUGUAACUCAAACUGAACCAUUUCAGCUUGGAAAGACAGCCCGUAAAGUCACCUUGGCAGAUUACCUUAUUCAUCAAGAGAAGCCGUAAACAUGGGAAACGCUUAAUUUGCUCUGAAGUGACAGUCAUACGAGGAUGAGUUAAACGAUUCCAUGACAAAUCGAGUGCUUCAACGCUGUUCUUGGUCUGCCAAUUCAAAGGAGAAGAAAAAACAAAACAGAAGAGUAGCUUCCGAAUCAAAAACGGGAAUCCUCAAUUAAGAAGAGGGUGUAAGAAAUUUUCUAGUCAAAUUUGGCCAUGCUUUACCUCUGUUGAUGUUAAUUCAGAAAUGAUGUCGUGUGUAUUCCACAAUCUAGUACGCUCAUUUUUGGCAAUUGCCCUUCCAAGAUCUCUAAAUUGAUCGUGCAUCCCAAAUCUAUCAUCGUUGAAAACCUUAAUCAUGCACCUCCUAGUAAGAACCUCGAUGGCAUCCUUUGGGCAAAACUCACAAUCUUUCCACAUGUACAUUGAAUUAGUCUUAUUGUGACCAAUGAAAAAGCAUGCAACAUCGAGGAAUAUCUGUUGUUGUUCCAGCUCUAAGGCAUCAUAGCUAAUCUUUAGCUUUCCCAAGACAUCUUUAUGAGGUGUCUUCUUUAGUUUCUCUAGCAUCUCUUCCCAUAUUUCUCUCUGUCUUUGAAAAAGCGAUGAACCUAUUGCUUCAAGAGCUAAAGGUAGUCCAUCUGUAGUAGAGACAAUGCUUUUUGAAAGAGUAUAGUAAUUGGCUAGAGGAGAGUUGUCGUCGAAUGCAUGCCUACAAAAAAGUUUGAGUGCGUCUUCGUCACUCAACCCCACCAUUUCAUAAUCCUUGAAUCCAUAUUUAGUUCCCCUGAUUUUCAAAACGCUGCUGUCCCUAGUAGUAACAAGUACUCUAGUACCAGGAUGCAAAGAUUUCUUUCCGAUUAGGUUUUGGAUCUGCUUGGCCUCAUCAACAUCAUCCAAUACAAUUAGCAUCUUCUUGUUGCAAAUUGUUUCUUCAAUCAUAUUGAUCCCAUGAUCAAUGUCGGAAAUGUUAGGAGCCACUCGAAAAUAAGAGACAUCGAACAAUAAUUUUUUUUGUAGCUCAACUAAGCCCUUGGUUUUUGCCGUUUCCCUCACGUCAUCAAGAAAGCUGCGGUUUCUCCCAAAGCAAUGAAGUAGUUGGUUGAAGAUAAUCUUGACAAGUGUUGUUUUACCGAUGCCACCCAUCCCAUAAAUUCCAAUGAACCGCACAUCAUUAGAAUCAAUGUCUAAUAAAUCUUUUAUGGUUACUAUAUGACCUUCCAUUCCAACUAAAUGUUCGGUUACAUGUUUCUGUCUUGUCUCGAGCCUGACCACAACCUCGUGAACAACCGCCUGGAUAAGUUUCGCAUAGCUGCCAACAAGUUGAGUAGUUUCAAUUGAGAAAAGGUGACAAAUUUGCAUGUUGACCAGCCAUCUACUAACCAACCAGGUGGGAACUCGAUCAAGUUUAGCAUAUAGAAGAGAAAUGUUUGAUCUUUGUAUCAAGUGGAAGAAUUAGAAUUUUUGGCCAAAAAGGGUAGAAGAAUCGAAAUAUAAAAAUCUAAUGAGUUACUAUAAUAGAAGAUUUAGUUAAAUAUAAAGUGGCCUGAUUGAACAAAAUAAUUUUCAGAGUAAUGGUUAGAUUGUUACCCAGAACAUUUCUCCAGCUCCCAUCCCUUGGUGCGACCAACUUCUUCGAGAGCUUGCUGCCAUGUCUUUAUAACCGUGGAGCUGAACUUAUUCUUCUGAUCCUCCAUCUUUUGCGCCAAAUUCGAUAUGGCAUCUUUGUACAACGGGGUUUUCAACUUCACGUCAUCGGGUUUCACGUCAUAGAAGAUGGGCAAUAUGACCUUCUCUUUCCCAUCUUCUUUAUAUUUAGAGGUGUUCUCCACCAUCUUCGCAAGCUCGUCGAGGCACCAGUGACUUGAAGCAUAAUCUUUGGAGAAGAUGGGUAUGUAGACCUUGGAAUUGUCAAUUGCUUGUAGAAGGUUGCCACUAAUUCUUUCACCUGGUCGAAGCCCUUCAUCAUCGAUGAAAACACUAAUCCCAGCAUUUACCAAGGCUAGGUAGAGGAUAUCGGCGAAUGUACGACGAGUAUCAGGCCCUCUAAAAUUCAAGAAGACCUGGUACUCACCUCCUGAUGGAUUGCUGGUGCUUGUUCCUGUCUCUGAGUUCACCAUCGAAGCUCACUUCGCACUUAGCAGGUUAGCCCUCUCACUUGGUCCUUGAGUUUGCCAUAUGACAUUUCACAUAUUUGAAUCCAAUCCAAUUUGCCGUCCAAAACGCGUAUAGGCAACUUCGUAGCAGGUGCAAUUUCCAGUUUGCAAUCAAUAAAGUCGAUGGCUUUAAAAAAGAAAAAUAAGGCAGAGGACAAUUAUGGAGGUGCCCCUUUUUAUACGCCCAAUUUCUUUCCAGUUUCCCCUUUGUGUUUUUGAACUUUUGGAUUAAAAAUAUUUGAUUCUUUAUAUCUAUAGUUAGGCAUAUUUAAAAUCCCAAUCUAGAAUUGUAAAAUGACAAUUUAUUUAUAUAGAGAAACAAAUUAUUCCUAAAGGAUCGCAUCUUAUUCUAAUACUUGGGACUGUAGAUAAUUAGAAAUAUCUCCUUCUUACUAUAGAGAUUGGAUUUGCUGCAUUCUCUACAACAAAUGCUCUACCUAAGCAUAUACGUACUACUUACUAUGAAAUAUUUGUUUUGAUCUCUUUGCCUUAAAGACUUCCUUUAAUUAUAAGUCAUUUCCUUUAACAACUCAAAUAUUCUCAUAAAAUGUGCCAUUAUAUUAAAAAGCAAAUGAUCAUUUAUUUUCUACUGAUGACUAUUAGAAUGUGAGCAUGGUGCAGUUAGUGUGCAUUGGACGUUAAACCAAAUCAAAUUAUAUAAAUAUGUUAGAAUAUAUUUCGAAUUUGAAAUUGUUGGAUGAAAUAGGACCAGAUGAGACUUAUGGAUGCUCCACCACUAUUCAAAAUUGGUGAGAGGAAAUGCAGUGAUGGCCUGUCAAUGGCCAUGAUGCCACUCCAUCCUGGUGUUGCUGUGAGCACGAAAGAAAGAAAAAGAAACCAUGAUGGUCUUGACCAUAAGAGAUGGCUUUGCUCACCUGAAGAAAGGGAAAACGAGAUCAAUGAUGGCCAUUGCCAAUAAUGGGCGGAAAGGGAAGAAGUCGAAGAAAGUGACGAGGACGAUGUCUUUUCAUGUUGGCCACUCGUUGUUUCCUUUCUUCUCUAUUUCGCUGAAUUUCCCCUUUAGAUACCAAGAGGAAGAGCUUUUAAUGUCACAGAGAACUCCGAAGCCUGCACAGAGCAUAUUGAAAAGCGUGCUGAAAGUUCCUCUUGAUCACACCAAAUAUUUCUUUUCUAAAGCCUAUUAAAUCUUUUGUUGAGAUUUGUAUCGUUUCUUUAAGAGAUUGAAAAAAUUAUUUUGAGAGAAAUUUUAAAAACUAAACAUUGUAUAGUUAUUGAGUAUAAUUAAAAACUGGAAACCACCAAGAGUAUUUAAAUGACUCGAGUGUGAUUAUAACUUUCAUUAUAUAUAUAUAUAUAUUUUUUAUCUAUAAUAGAAUCUUAUGCUGCUAUCCUUGUAGACGUAAACCACACAAUUAAAUCACAUAAAUCUAGUGUCCGAUUCAUUUUAUUGUUUUGUGCAUUUUAUUCAAUUGCUUUUUCUUUUUUCUUUUUUCAAAAGGGAAUAUGGUUUGAAGAAAAGUGAAACCAAAGUAAAAGAUAUUCAAUAUGACCAGCAUUAGGCAUUCAUGAACAAAUGCAUGAAAGAGUAUCUUUUAUUUUCUUAAGAUAUCGAUAAAUAUUUAUAACCUUAAACUUGUGGUUAGUGAUAGAAUUUGUCCCAUCGCCUGCUUAACAUUAACUCUGAUCAUGAGUACGAUAUUCAAUGCAAUCUACACGACCCGUUUCUUCUAAUGUCCCUUUGACAAUGCAUAGUGAUGUUCUUUUAUUGCCAUUUUCUCCGUUAAAUUGCGCUAGCCCGUGUGUUUCAGUUUGACUCCUUCAUUUUCCAUGACUUUACGGUCAAAUAUAUUUUAUUUAUUUAGUUUUGAACGCGAUAUAUCAAGAAAAUCAUAAAUUUGCAACUACAAUCUCGACAUAUUAAGUAUGUCUGUUUUGCAUGAUUUGACAUAGAUUUUCACGACAUUUGUUAAAGAUACAUUUUUUUGUUAGCAUGAUUUAACAUAUAUCGUUUUCAUAUUUCAUCUAUUAAAUAAGUUUUUGUUGAGAAAUUGAAAAUCAUUAUGAACAUUAUUCUUCAGAUUUUGAACCGUUGUAGUAGUAGUGAAGAUCAGAUAGAAGCUAGCCGCAAUUAUUUAUAUUUUGGUUUGUUUUAUUUAUAUUUGUUUUUCGUGGCGUUAUUAGUUGCUUUGACUUGUUGACUAAAUUGGAGCACUGUACGAAGUCUUCCAGAGGAUGACUUGUCCACAUUUAUUUUAUCUCAUUUAUAACACUACUAUCUAAAUCAUUCGACUCAAUUAAUACCGCUUUAUGCGUGCAAAUCACUCCAUUCACGUGCAUUCAGUUAGCUCCAUUCACAAGAUUGUUAAGGAGACAUCGGGGGUAAUGAGUAAAGGACACUGUGAUCAAAUUUGAACAAAACGUCGUUUCAAAAAUUGCAUUCAAAUUACACAUAAUGCAUUCAUGACGGUUUUUACAACAUUUCACUAAUUAUGUAUAAAACAACAAUCCUUCCAAAGAUAUGGCAAUCGGAUCAUAACUAUGGUCAAUAUUUGAUGCGCAACUUUCUACAACUCCGCAACACCUUUUGAAAAUGCUAUGAACAUGUACAUCUUAUGCUUUCAAGCCAUUGCCUCAAACGAUUGGAAUACAUGAAAGAUGUUAAUGCUUGCUUUUUAGUAAAUCGGAAGGUCAUGCGAUACCAUAUUACAAGAUCCCCAAAAGAUGCCAACAUGCCAUUCUUUGAAAUCAUGUUUUUACCUUUUAAUUAAUCAUGCAUGCUGCAUACAGCUUCAAUAAAUCCGAAAGGUUUUAGGCAUGUGAAAAUUGAUGUUAUCGGACGAUUAGCUUUUGGACCUAUUUCUUCAAUAGCUAAAGGUAGUCAAUAUGUGGUAUAGACAAUGCCUUUGAGAGUGUGUGGCUGGAGGAGAGUUGUUAUCGAAGGCAUUUCUACAAAAAAAGUUUAGAUGUGUUUAUUUUGAGUGCGCGCCUCAUUGUUCGUCAAAUUUCUGCCAUUCUUUUGUAUUGGACAAUUCAGUAAUAAUAACAUUACAUUCAUUAAUGGGAGCUUUUAUUACAUUCUUAAUGCGAAAAGCUUCUCCACCGUGUCAUCCUCCUUCAGAAAUUUACAGAAGAAGAAUCAAGGCAUUGCAUGAGAAAAGGAGAAAAGAAUGUCUAUUAUGAGAAAUAAACAAAGAAAUUCUUGAUUUGAAUGCGCGAAGUCCGGUGCCACUUUCUUUAGCGAGAGACAUCAUUUUGGACGUUUGUAUUGCGUGACUCACGUGAUUCAAUUGAAACUUAUGAACGACAACUUCAUAGCAGUUGCAGCUUUCAAUUUAUAGUCAAUAAAGUUGAUGGCUUUAGAAAAAACGAAAUGGAGGACAAUAAUGGAGGUGAACCUUUUUACAAGCCCAAUAUCUUUCGAGUUUCUUUGUUAGAGCUAACACUAUCACCUAAAAAAGGGUGAAUAGGUGAUUAUAAACAAUUAAAGCGGAGUUUAAAACAACCAAGUUCAAUAUCAUGAAAAACAAAAUCUAAUGAAAAACUUUGCAAUGAUCAGAUUGUCUCCAAAAUCUAAUGAAAUACUACACAAUAAUAAGACUUUACUAUGUGCAAUAAAUAGAAUAAAGGGAAAAUUCCAAAUAAGGACCCGAAGUGAACCAAUUUUCUCAAAUAAGGAUCCGAAAUGAACUUUGUGUCAGAUAAAGACCUAAAGUGGACCCAUUGUCUCAAAUAAAGACCCAAAGUGGUUGAAUCAAUUCCAAAUAAGGACCUAAGCUUGCUAGUCAACCAAAUAUUCGCUAACUAUCAAGCAUGUGACAUUUCCGACGAUUGGAGUUUGGGUAAUUUUGUCCAAAAAAAAAAUCUAGGGAAAAUUAACAAAUCAUAAAACAUAAACAAAAAAACCCUAGGUUUUCUAUGGUCUCCCUGUUCCUUGUACCCAUCCUCUGCAAAGUCAAAGACCGAGGUUCUCCCCAUUCCUUGUACCCAUCCUCUGCAAAGUCGAAGACCCAAAUUCUCUGCCGGUUGAGGCAUGAAUUCAAAAACAAGAACAAAACCAUAUCCUUCUUUCUUUGUUUGCGGAGACCCAAAUUCUCCGCCGAUCGAGCAAGGUGAGGAGCGACAAGAAUUGAGUCAUGACAAUGACCGGCUAGCGAUUUGGUUGAGGAGCAACGGGGGAGAAGAAAGAAGAAAAUGUAAACAUCUAAAUAAAUAACAUAAACUUAAUUAAUUUAGAAUUUUCCCUUUUUUCCAAUCACAAAUUUCUGACAAAAUUGCCCCUAUUUUAAUCGCUGAAAAAUGUCUGUCGGCGAGCUAAGGUCCUCAAUAGAGAUUAACUCGAGCACUUUGGGUCCUUAUAUGACACAAAAUUCACGUCGGGUCCUUAUUUGAAACAAUGGAUCCACUUCGGGUCUUUAUUUGACACAAAGUUCACUUUGGGUUCUUAUUUGAGAAAAUAGAUUCACUUCAGGUCCUUAUUUGGACUUUUCCCUAGAAUAAAUGAGUUAUUAAAGGAUAGAGAAAAUCGCACACAACAAUUAUAGUGGUUCGGCUUAUGAUAAAACUACAUUCACUCUCUCAUGCUACAACCUAUUGGUUGGAUUUCACUAUGAAUAACUAAUAAGAGGUUACAAGAUAUGAACUAUAAACACUCAAGUUCAUGCGUAUAACUCCUCACACACUCUCAACUUCUAAAUAAUUAUACAAUGAUACUCAUAGAGACAAAUGUAUUUGACCGCAAAACACUCUUUAGACUUUGGAAUUAUAAGUUUCGAUUCUCUUGUGUUGCGUUUUUCCUUUUAACUUCGAGACCUCCUUUUAUGCUUCUCCCAAACCAAGCUAACCAUUGGACAUAUAUCCAAAAAGAUUAUCUAGCCAAUCUACCUCUUGGCCUGGAUCUCAUUAAGAAUGUUUGAUCACUUUAAGGAUGCCAAGAAUAAAGCUUCUCAUAGAUUCUGCCGCUUAUACAGCAGUUUGGGUUUUCAUAAGUCAAGUGCUUCAACUUAGAAAGAAUGUUUCUUCUCAAGUAUAUCGUUCUAGGAAAGACGAAGAAUCCAAUCAAUCGCUGCUAACCUUUACAUGAGGAUAUUGUCUCAUUCUAGCUGUUUGAUAGAGUACAUAAGAAAGUCAUGACUCUGGUUUUGAUUGAUAUUGUCUACUCAUAUUCCAUUGGACUUUGCACUUGAAAAAUACUUAUCAUCAGAAUUGAAGUCUUUACGCUAGAUAAGUUUUGUCAAUCUUCAAAAUCAAUUUGGGAGAUUUUCUCAACAAUCUCCACUUUUUUAUGAUGUCAAAACUUUCCAAGUAGAACUUAAGAAAAGAUUUUAAAAAGAUUUAGUAAUCAAAUAGCUCUAUUGAAAGCAAUAUUUUAGAUAAGGCACAAUGUGAAUUUUAUAAGAACUUUGCUGAUUUUGUAAAGAUAAGUACAAACUUCUUACAGAAUAUUGAGCUUCAGAGUGAAUAAGAUUUGUAAGGAAAUUCCUUGAUUUGUGAAGAAAUUCCUUGCUCUGAUUAAGGAAGUUCAAGAUAAGAAUAGAUUCAAAGAACUUCCUUUUUUUUUAUAUAGCUCCUCCUGAGCAAGAUCACAAAAGAUCUUCAUCUACAUAUAGUGUUUUGCUUUUCUUGCAUUUUCUCUUUCUUUUUGUCAGCAUCACAAAAGAGACAAUAAUAAUGGAAGGAGUAUCACAUAGAGAAUAUGCUAUUCAGCUCAUCUUCACACACAAUCUUCAAAACAUAUUUAGCAUGAAACGAAAUUUUCAUAAACAUCUUAUAGAUGCUAUGGUGAACAUAAAAUAAUUGCAAUAUAGCUCAUGUUAUUAUAGAAUCAAAUACCAUAUACAUCAAUAUAUAUAUAUAUAUAUAUGAUAACAUAUGCAAUAUAUAAAUUUCAUAUACAUUUUUUGUCAUAGUAAAAUGAUAAUGGAAAUAUGAGAUUUAUAAUGACAAAAGGUAAGUGAAGUAAGAAAUAUACUAACCAGAUCAUGUAGAAUUUAGCAAGUUCUAAUAUACAUUAUAUUUUCUUCCAUAAUCAAGAGGAGGCAAAAAUUAAAUUGACUUAAUCAGGAUUUUCUCACACUUAAUUUACACUCCCUUUCAAUUUAAUGCCUUUAUGAGAUGAUCACGGUUCUUCUCCUUUAUUGUGCAUCCACUUUCUCAUUCUUUAAUAAAUUUAAUAAAUUUUGCGCCUAGAGGAGAAUUUUUGCUCCUUCGAAAAUGGUGUGGAAUCUUCGCGAUUUUUCUGAUCAAAUUUUCCAAAUUUUAGAUGGAAAGAUUAUUUGCCACCUGCAAUUUUUUUGUAAAAGAGAUAACAAUUUGCAAAAUAUAGAGAAUAUCACGUACUUUCCAUCCUUCAAUUUGCGGAUUAAUUUUGCCAGUUAGAAGAUAUGCUUCUUACAUAUAAAAGCACACAUUAAUUUCUUUCAAGAUUAAAAAGAUUAUAUUGUUUAAAAGAAAAUCUGAUUUUCAAAUGUUUAAAUCAUUUAUAAUUAUUCUGUAGCAAUGGUUAAACAUAUUUAUAUAGAUACAAAUGGAAUUUAUCUGUAUAAAUGCAUAAUAAGAAAAUAGUCCUAUAGAAAAGUUUAAGUUUAAGUGCAUUUAUUUCAAGUGAGAAGUUCGUUGUUCGUCAAAUUUUAACUAUUUUUUUGGAUUGGACAUUUUAGCAAUAAUAACAUUACAUUCAUUAAUGGGAAGAGCUUUUAUUACAUUCUUAAUGUGAAAAGCUUCUCCACCAUAUUAUCUUCCUUUAGAAAUUUACAAAAGAAGAACAAGCCCAUUACAUUAAAAAAGGAGAAAAGGCUGUUUGUUGUAAGAUAUGACGACAAAAUUCUUGAUUUGAACACCCAAAGUCCGAUGCCACUUUCGUUAAUGAGAGACAUCAUUUUGGAUGUUUGUAUCGCGUGACUCGUGAGAUUUAAUUAAAAGUGAGGAACAGGCAACUUCCCAGCAGUUGCGGCUUUUUAUAAAUAGUGAAUGAAGUUGAUGGGUUCAGAAAAAACCAGAUGGAGGACAAUUAUGGAGAUGAACCACUUUUUUCAGUCGGUCGAGAUGUGCAAUUAUGGAGAUGUACCAUUUCACACGCCCAAUAUCUUUCGCCUUUCUUCUUGGUGCCUUUGAACUUUUGAAUUAAAAAAAAAAUCCAAUUUUCAAAUGUUUAAAUGAUUUAUAAUUAUUCUAUAGCUAUAUCUAUAAUUAAACAUAUUUAUAUAGAUAAGAUCACAAUCUAUAGAAAUGUAUAAUAACAAAAUAUUCCUAAAGAAUAUCUCUCAUUAUGACAUAUGAGACUUUGGACAAUUAGAAGAUUUUCCUUCAAACUAUUGAGAUUGGAUUUGCUACAAUCACCGCAAAAAUGGUCCACCUAAGCACUACCUAACAGUAUGCUUACUACUCACUAUGACGUAUUUGUUUUGAUCUCUUCUCCUUAAAGACUUACUUUUUAUCAUAAUUAAUUACCUUCAACCCCACAAAUAUUGCAAUAUAUGUGCCUUUAUUUUGAAAAGCAAAUCUUUUACAACACUUAUUAUCUUAUUGAAAACUAUUAGAAUGUGAGCAUGAUAUAAUUAGUGUGGUUGGACAUCAGCCAAACCUAAUUAUAUAAACAUUGAAAUAUAUCUCAAGUCGGAGCCGAAUUAAAACCGGAUCGAAAGGGACUUAUCGACGCUCGUCCUCUAAUCAAGAGUGGUGAGAGGAAAUGCAAUGAUGGCCUGUCUAUGACCAUGAUGCCUGUCUAUGACCAUGAUGCCAUCCCAUCAUGGCGUUGCUUCGAGAGUCGAUAGAAAGAGAGACCGUCCUGGUCUUGACCAUAAGAGACGACUUUGCUCAGCCGAAGAAAGGGCAAAGAGAGAAUGAUGAUGGCCACCGCUGACACGAGACAAAAGGGGAAGGAAAACGACGAAGAAAGUUGCGAUAAUGGUGUCAUUUAACGAUGGCCACUCAUUGUUUCCUUUCUUCUUUAUUUGCUUCUAGUGAAUUUUCUCUGUGAAUACGAAGAGGAAGAGCUCUUAAUGAGAGCUCCAAGGACUGCACAACGAGAUUAAAAAUUUCCUCUUAAAAGUUUUGAUUUAAAAAGGUUUUCUUUGUGAAAUUACACAAAAUGAAGUCAAUUAAAUCUUGUGUUAACGUUUAGGUCAAUCUUUUUAUGCGAUUGAAAUAUUAUUUUGAGAGAAAUUAUGAGGGUUAAAUAUAGAGUUAAUAGUCAUAUUUGAGGGAUAAAAAUACAAAUAAUAUUUAAGUAACUCAAGUAUUAUUAUAAUCUCCAUUGCAUUGUAAUUUCAUGGUUUUCAUUUCCUCAUGGACGUAGGUCACAUAACCGAACCAUGCAAAUUUAGUGUUUGAUUCAUUUCCUUGUUUUACAUUUUUAUUCAAGCACUUGUUUUAUUUCCAACAAUAAAUAUGGUUUGAAGAAAAGUGAAAUCAAAUUAAACCGUAUUAUAGUCAAGAUCAAACCAAGCCAAACCAUUUUAUGUGGCUUGAUUCGGCUUAAUCGUUCUUUUUGCUUUUAUUUUACCUCUUCAUCAUAUGUAAUUUCAUGUUAAAAAAAAACAAAAAACAAAUUCUAUCCCACAACCCUUCCGAGGCGAGAUCCCUGAGGAAGUUACCGAAUUACCAAGUAAGCAUGAAUGGUCCCUUUUGCAAGGUGACGCUUGCUCUUGGCAGGAUCAAUCUCAACUUGGUUUCUAUUAAUUAUUUCAUUUGCUCAAGAGUCGCCAUUAAUUUUUUAUAAACCGAUUAGGAGUCAAGUAAAACACAAGAGCUUGUUUUACUUCUACAAACAAGAGAUUUGUGGGUCUAACGACUUGAUUAGGCUGGAUAUGUAAUGUGCAAUUAUUCAUGCGAUCUUCCCAUCUUAGUUACCCAUUUUGUUCUCAAUAUCGAGGGAAGAAGGCGAUCAUGCAUGAAAUCACUCAAGCAAACACAAAUAAAAUCCAAUAAUACUGAAACAAAUAGAGCAAAUAAAAGGUAUGAAAAUAAAAAAAUUGAGCCGUAUUGCAAAAAAAAUAAAACAAAAUCAAUACAAAGCUUUGUUCUUAAGCUCCAAUAUAGGACCCCUUGAGCUAUAAAUAGAAACUCGAUGUUAGAUCUCCAACUAUGGCUCCAAACCGGAAAGUCAAUAAAUGAUACUUCAUGAAUAUCCACUAUAUAAACUACUUUUCUAAAAUGUGGCUAAUCACUAAAAAUUGGCUGCGAACUCAAACCUUACUCCUUUCUCAUGGAAGAAUCGAGUUUUCAGUGUGCGCCUUCUGCAGUUCCGUUCCUGAUUCCGUUGACCACUUGUUUUUUGAAUGUGAGACCUCCACAACUCUUGCAUAUUUUUGGGCUUCCAGGUGUAAUCUUCCUUGGAGGAAUAGGAUGUAGGUGGAUAACUUGGCUUGGGCGUUAAAAUUCCUAACUGGAAAGGAUUUCUUUCAUAGUAUUGCACGUUUCUCUUUUGGGGCCAUGUGCCACCUUAUCUGGAAGAAGAUGAAUUCCAUCAUUUUUCGGGGAGAUUCAUUGGUGAUCCUAGCUAUGAAAAAUCACCUAAUCAAGAUUGUCAAGGACAAGGCUCUUAUGUUUAAUAAUGCUCCACCUACUCCAAGAAACAAAAGACUCCAGAGAAGCUGGGGAUUCGAUCCCUCCGUGUUUGAAUCAGCUACAUCUUCCUAACACCCCUCCAUUCUUCGCCUUUUGAUUGAGGGUCGACGGUCUGGUUUGUCGUAGUUUGUAGUGCUGUGGGUUGUUUAGCUUGUUCUUUUUGCCUUUGUAUCUUUUGAUUUGGCUCCCUCUCACUCUCCCUGUUUUCCCGCACCUAGAGUGUGAGCUUUGGCUCCGAAUUCUUGUAUUUUUUUCCUUUGCUUAAUAUAUUCUUACCCUUUACCAAAAAAAAAAAAACUACUUUCCUAAAAUGAACAAUUACUUCAAAACGUAAAAUCUACUCAAUGCAAUUUAUAUGCAUUAUUGGUAAAAUACACUCCUAGAUGUUUUUUUUUUUUAAAUUUUAUUUUAUGAAUAUGCAGUUUAUCUUUCCAUUUGUUUUUUUUUUCUUUUUUGCAUUUCCCCCUUCUUUAUAUACACACACACACAUAUAUAAGUGAAACAAAAUUUGAUUACGUGUUGAAAUAAAUAUGAACUAGAAUCUAUAUGCCAAAAUAAUAUGUAAUAUAAAUCCGGAUUUUCAUGAAAAUUUGCACUACGUUCACUUGGAAUUUUUUUUCUUUGGAAACGCUCAAUUGGAAUUUCAACCUUAAAAUUGCAUCAAGAACGACUUAGUGCACACGAGAAAAUAAAGAAAACUAAAGUGACAUAAUGCUAUGAAUUAGAGCCAAACUAAUCCACACUAUGCGAAAAUCAACGGUGGAUGAAUAAAUCUAUACGAAUAACCAAUUUUCUCUCUACCGCUUUUUUUAGGGCGCAGUUUAGCUAACCGUCCUCUGUCAAAUGACAGUCAACUAAUGACCACACAAUUCGCAUGGAUUCCAUCUUUUACCCUUUUUUUUUAGUUUUAUGUUUUCUUAUUGCAAGCUUAAAUUGAGAGAUAAAAUCAUAAGAGGGCCCAUACAAUCAAUUUUCAUGAAUAUUAUGAAAGAAAAAAUAAAUUAGAUAUCGAAAUAUAAAUAAUUAGAAGUAAAAAAUAUUGUCAUCCACUAAAAAGAAAUCAUUCAUUUCAUUAUGUAGAUUUAUUAAAUUUAAAAGAUGAAAAAACACUUGAAUUGUUGGCUUUGCAACUAAUAACAAAAUUAUUGUGCAAUGAAUUGGCUUCUCAAUCCUGUCACCAAAAUCAAAUUGCUUUGGAAGGACUCUCCGAUGACCUAAAAUUAAGACGAGUAAUGUUAAUUACGCAUAAAACAAAUGAAGUAAAGAAAAAGAACAAAAUAAGAAUAAUGAAUUAGUAGAGAAGAAAAUUUACCCCAUUGAUCCAAAUCUCGUAGAUGAAGAUGAUUUGGGACCUAAAAUAUUACAAAAUCAAUCUUAGGAUCACACGAGUGAAAAGUAAGCCGAAAUGAUUUUUGAUCAAUUUUUAUAAAUAAUUUACCUAAUAUAGCUUCAAUGUUUGGUUCGUUGAGAAGAUUCACAUAACCAUGAGAUAUGACCAUAUAUCAUUUUAUAUAGAUAAAAAGUCAAUUUAUAGGAAGGUAUUUUAAAUAAAAUAAUAAUAAUACGUAUCAGCCACUAUUGAAAACCCUCGAUUCUUUCCUGAUUGCAAAUCAAAUUUCAAGAAUAGUUAUGGUAACUCAUAUGAUCCAAAUUACCAAUUAUAUUUUGGUAUCUAAUUUAUUUUUUCUUUUAUCAUAUUCAUGAAAAUUGAUUGCGUGGGCCCUCUUACGAUUUUAUCUCCUAAUUUAAGCUUACAAUAACGAAACAUAAAAAAAGGGUAAAAGAUGGAUUUCAACCGGUUUCCAUCCAAAAUGUGUGGUUCUCAACUGACCGUCACUCCAUCAUUUGAAGGAGUGAUGGUCAGCUAAGCCUUUUCCACAUUUUAACUAGGGGCAUGCCUACAUAAAAGUUAAGUGCGUCUUCAUUGCUCAACCCAACCCACCAAUUCUGAGAAAAGUGACACAUUUGCAUGUGGACAAACCAUUUACGUAUAUCAAAGCCCAAAUCUUUCUCAUUUAUUUCGAAUUCAUUUGCAUUGCACAUUGUAGAAACAAUAACAUCACAUUCAUUAAUUUGAAGAAUUUUAUUACAUUCAUAUUGUGAAAAGUUUCUCCACCAGAUCAUCCUCCUUUAGAAAUUUAUAAAAGAAGAACAAGUUCGUUUCAUUAGAAAAGAAGAAGAGGAUGUUUAUUGUAAGUUAUAUAUGAUGAAAUUCUUGAUGUGAACACCUGAAUUUAAAUGCCACUUUUGUUUGUAAGAGAUAUCAUUCUGGACGCUUGUAUCCCAUGACUAACCUGAUUUAAUUAACAAUUAUGGACAGCUAACUUCACAGCAGCUGCAGCUUUCAAUUUAUAGUAAAUUAAAGUUGAUGGCUUCAGAAAAAGUGAGAUGGAAGACAAUUAUGGAGGCGUACCUUUUCCACGCCCAAAUUCUUUCGAGUUUCUUCUUGGUGCUUCUGAACUUUUGAAUUGAAAAAAUCCGAUUUUCACACGUUUAAAUCAUUUAUAAUUAUUCUAUAGCUAUAUCUAUGGUUAAAUACAUUUAGAUAAAAUCACAAUUUAUCUAUAUAAAUGCAUAAUCAUAAGUUUAAGUCUGUCUACGUCGCUCAACACACCAAUUCAUAAUCCUUGCAUUGAUACUUUCGUCCCCUGAUGUUCGAAACGCUCUUCUCCCUUGUGGCAAAAAGAAUCCUAGUACCAAGAUACAAAGAAUUCACUCCGAUUAGUUUUUGGAUAUGGUUGCCCUCAUUGACAUCAUCCAAGACAAUUAGCAUUCAUCAAUGUUAUCAAUUUCACUAGUCACUCUAGAAUAAGAGAUAUUCGACAGUUAUUUUUCUUGCAGUUGGACAAAGCCCUUUGUUUUUGGCGUUACCCUCACGUCAUCAAGAAAGUUGCCGUUUUUCCGAGAGCGAGGAUAUAGCUGGUUAAAGAUAUCCUUGGUGGGUUCUGAUUUAUUGAUGCUGCCCACCCUGUAGAUUCCAAUGAACUGCACAAUACCAAAACUGAUGUCUUAUACAGUGUUUAUGGCUGCUAUUCAAUCCUCCGUUCCAAUUAAAUCUUCGAUCACUUGUCUUUGUCUUGCAUUGAGCCUAACCACAAUCUCAUUUACAAUCGACUUGAUAAGAUUCACAUGGCUGCCACAAAGUCAGUCAAUUUCAAAUGAGAAAAGGAGACAAAUUGCACGUGGACAAAGCCUUUACAUAUAUCAAAGCCCGAAUCUACCUCAAUUGAUUUCAAAUGCGCAGCUCUUGUUUGCCAAAUUUCAGUCAUUCUUUUGCAUUGCACAUUUUAGAAACAAAAAACAUUACGUCCAUUAAUGGGAAGAGUUUUGUUACAUUCUUAAUGUGAAAGGCUUCUUCACAAGAUCAUCCACCUUCAAAAAUUUACAAAAGAAGAAGUGUGCAUCGUUAGAAAAGGAGAAAAGGACCCACCAAGAAAUUCUUGAUUUGAAUGCCCAAAGCCCGAUGCCACUUUCGUUAGUGCGGGACAUCAUUUUGGACACUUGUAUCGCGUGACUCACGGGAUUUAAUUGAAAAUUACGGAUAGGCAAUAAAGUCAAUAAAGUCGAUGGCUUUCGGAAAAAUGAGACAAAGGACAAUUAUGAAGGCGUACCUUUCACAGGCCCAAUUUCUUUUGGGUUUCUUCUCGGUGCCUUUGAACUUUUGAAUUAAAUAAAAAUCUGAUUUUCAAAUGUUUAAAUCAUUUAUAAUUAUUCUAUAGCUAUAUCUAUGGUUAAACAUGUUUAUAUAGAUAAGAUCACAAUUUAUCUAUAUAAAUGCAUAAUAAAAAAGUCUAAAGAAUCCUCUUUCAUCAUGACACAUGGGAUUAUGGAUAAUUAGAAGAUAUUUCUUCGUAUCAUUGAGAUUGGAUUCGCUGCUUUCACUAUAAAAAAGUGCUCCACCUAAGCAUAUAUUUACUAUGUAAUAUUUGUUUGAUCUCUUUGCCUUAAAGACAUACCUUUUAUAAUUAUUAAUUACUUUUAACCACUCAAAUAUUGUCAUAAACGUGCUUUUAUAUUAAAAAGCAAAUCUUUUACAACACUAAUUUCCUUAUUGAGAACUAUUAGAACGUUAGCAUGGUGUAGUUAGUGCUAUCAGCCAAACCAAAUUAUAUAAAUGUGGAAAUAUAUCUCCAGCCGGAACCCGAUCAAGUUAAGAUCGGACGAGAAUUAUAGAGGCUCGACCUCUAUUCAAGAGUGGUGAGAGGAAAUGCAAUGAGGGCGCGUCCGUAGCAAUGAUACCAUCCCAUCGAGUCGUUGCUUUGAGCGUGGAAAGAAAGGGAAAAUAUGAUGGUCUGGACCACGAGGGACGACUUUGCUCAGCUGAAGAAAGGGAAAAGAGAGAUUGAUGAUGGGACUAAAGGGUAAAAACGACGAAGAAAGUUGCAAUAAUGGUGUCUUUUAACGAUGGCCACUCAUUUUUUCCUUUCUUCUUUAUUUGCUUCUAGUCUUUAAAUUCGAAGAGAUGAGACCUCCGAGGACUGCACAGAGGAGACUGAAAAUUUCCUCUUAAGGGUAUGAUUUAGAAAGGUUUUCUUCGUGAAAUUACAGAAAAUGAAGCCGAUUAGAUCUUGUCUUAAUUUUUUAUAUCAUUCUCUUAUGAAAUUGAUAAAUUAUUUCGAGAGAAGCUGUGAGGGUUCAAGACAGAGUUAUUAGUUGUAUUUGAGGAUGAAAAACACCAAGAAUAUCUAAGUGCUUUGAAUAUGACUAUAAUAUCCAUUACUUUGUUUUAUCUAUAAAGGAAAUGUAUACUGAUUUUCUCGUGGACGUCCGAUUCAUUUCCUUAUUUUGCGCAUUUUUUUUAUCCUUUGUUUUAUUUUCAAUAAUAAAUAUGGUUUAAAAAAAAUAGAAAACAAACCAAACCAUAUUUUAGUCAAACCAUUUUCUGCGGCUUGAUUCGGCUUAAUUGUUCUUUCUUCUUUUAAUUUAUCUCUUCAUCAUUUGAAAUUUCAUGAGAAGAAACCAAAUUCUAUGUUGAGACCCUUCCGAGGUGAGAUCCCCAAGGAAGUUGUUGGAUGGCCAAGCAAGUGCAAAUGGUCCCCGUUGCAAGGCGACACUUGCUCUUGGCAUGAUAGGUCUCAACUUGGUAUUUGAUUAAGAGUCGCAGCUAAUUUUUUGAAGCAAAUAGGAGUUAAGUAGAAUGCGGGAGCCCGCCUUACUUCUACAAAUCGGAGAUUUGUGAGUCUAGAGACUUGAUUAGGCUGGAUAUAUCUAAAGCCCAAUUUGGUACUUUUAUUUCUCUUUUAAAAAAAAAACAAUUAUUCAUGCAGUCUUUCCAAUUUUAGUUACCAUUUUUAUUCUCAAUGUUGAGCAAGGCAAGUGAUCUCACAUAAAUUCACUCAAGCAAACACAUAUAAAAUCCAACAAUACCGAAACAAAUCUAGCAAAUAAAAGGUACGAAAAUAAAGAACCCGAGCUGAGAAAAAAUCCAAUACAAAGCCUUGUUAUUAAGUUCCGGAAUAGGACCCCUUAAGCUAUAAAUAGACACUCAUUGUAAAAUUUCCAAAAUAAAAUAUGGCCCAAAAAUGGAAAGUAAAUAAAUGAUACUUCAUGAAUAUGUACCAUAUAAACUACUUUCCUAGAAUGAUCUAUUGCAUCUAGAAAGUAAAACCUACUUAAUGCAAUCUAAAGCGCAAUGCAACGUUAAGAAAACAAAAUCUGUUUAUGAAUAUACAUGAUUUCUAAAAUACAUUGCCAGAUAUAUAUAUAUAUAUAUAUAUAUAUAUAUAUAUAUUAAUGAAAAUGCAGUUCAUCUUUUUUUUUUUUUCUUUUCCCCUUCUUUAUGGAUAUUGUAGUGAACCGAAAUUAAACAAAAAAUUUACUAAGCGCUGAAAUAAAUUUGAACUAGAAUAUGUAUGCCAAAAUAAUAUGUAAUAUAAACCCGGAUUUUCAUGAAAAUUUGCACUACGUUCACUUGGAAUUUUUUUUUGGGUCUAAACGUUCACUUGGAAUUUUAACCUUAAAAUUCUUCCAAGAACGAGUCAUUGCACACCAGAAAUAAUGAAAACUAAAGUGACAUAAUGCUAUGAAUUACAUCGAAACUAAUCCACACUAUGCGAAAAUCAAUCGUGGAUGAAUACAUCUAUACAAAUUCCCCAUUUUCUCUCUUCCGCUUUUUACAUUUAACUGAAGGCAUGCCUGCAAAAAAAUUAAGUGCGUCUUCAUCGCUCAAGGCACCAUUCGCCAUCCUUAAAUUUAUACUUAAGUCCCCUGAAAUUUGAAACACUCUUAUCCUUACUAGCAACAAGUAUUCUAGUACCAUAAUACAAAAAAAAUUCACUCUGAUUAGUUUUUGAAUAUGGUUGCCCACAUCAACAUCAUCCAUUAUGAUUAGCAUCUAUCAAUGCUAUCGAUGUCACAAGUCACCCCUGAGUAAGAGUUAUUGGACAAUAAUUUUUCUUGUAGCUAGACUAAGCUCUUAGUUUUUGACGUUUCCCUCAUGUCAUCAAAAAGCUGUAGUUCUUUCAAAUGCGAGGAUAUAGCUUGUCGAAGAUAACCUUGGGGGGGUGCUGUUUUACUAAUGCUGCCUAUCCCCUAGAUUCGAAUGACAGCACGUUACCAUAACCGGUGUCUAAUAAAUUGUUUGUGGCUGCUAUUGGAUCCUCCAUUCCAACAAAAUGUUUGAUAACUUGUCUUUGUCUUGUCUUGAGCCUAACCCCAACCUCAUUAACAACUGACUUGAUAAGAUUCCCAUAGGUGCCACAAAGUUAGAUGGUUUCAUUUAAGAAAAUGUAACAAAUUUGCAUGUUGACAAACCAUUUACAUAUAUUAGAGCUCAAAUUUGCCUCGAUCCAUUUUGAAAGCGCAACCGUUGUUUGUCAAAAUUUAGCCGUUCUUUUGGAUUACAUGUUUUAGAAACAAUAACAUUACAUUCAUCAAUGGGAAGAGUUUUAUUACAUUCUUAAUGUGAAGAGCUUCCCCACAAGAUUAUCCUCCUUCAGAAAUUUACAAAAGAAGAACAAGUGCGUUUCAUUAGAAAAUGAGGAAAUAAUACACUAUGAAAUUCUUCAUUUGAACACUCAAAGCCAGAUGCCACCUUCAUUAGUGAGAGACAUCAUUUUGGACGAUUGGAUUGGGUGACUAACGGGAUUUAAUUGAAAGGUACAGACAUGCAAUUUCAUAGUAGUUGCAGCGUUUAAUUUAUAGUCAAUAAAGUUGAUGGCUUUAGAAAAAAUGAGAUGGAGGACACUUAUGAAGGUGUAGCUUUCAGAGGCCCAAUUUCUUUCGAAUUUCUUCUUGGUGCCUUUGGACUAUUGAAUAAAUAAAAGUCUGAUUUUCAAACGUUUAAAUCAUUUACAAUUAUUCUAUAGCUAUAUCUAUGGUUAAACAUAUUUAUAUAGAUAAAAUCAUAAUUUAUCAAUAUAAAUGCAUGAUAACAAAAUAUUCCUAAAGGGUCCCUCUCAUUAUGAGUUGGAUAAUUAAAGGAUUUUUCUUCAUAUUAUUGAGUUGGAUUUGCUACAUUCACCACCCAAAAAAGAGAGGGGAAAUGCCACUGAAAACCCCAAACUUUGCCUAAAGUGACAAAUUUACCCUAAACUUUUUUUAUGACAUGAAAAAUCAUAAAUUUUGCAAACCGUGACACAUUUACCCCCAACCAAGGGCAUUUUUGUCUUUUUAUUUUCUAUUUUUCCUCCUUCUUCUUCUUCUUCUCUCUUCCCUCCGCUGGCCAUGGCGGAGCCAAUGGAGGGAAGCCGGAGUUAGGCAAGGGCCGCCCUUGCUAGUGUCAGGUGAGGGUGGCUCUCAGUUUGAGGGCCGCCCAAUACUAUGAUAAAUUUGUCACCUUGAGCAAAGUUUGAAGGUUUUAUUAUGGUGUUUCCUAAAAAAAAAAAAGAAAACUCCACCUGAGCUUAUUCUUACUACUCACUAUGAAAUAUUUGUUUGAUCUCUUUGCCUUAAAGACGUACCAUUUAUCAUAAUUAAUGACCUUUAACUGCUCAAAUAUUGUCAUAAACGUGCUUUUAUAUUUAAAAAAAAAAAUCUUUUAUAACACUUAUUUCCUUAUUGAGAACUAUUAGAAUGUGAACGUGGUGUAGUCAGGGCCAUCAGCCAAAUCAAUUAUGUAAAUGUGGAGAUAUUUCUCGACCCAGAGCCUGAUCAAAUCAGAUCGGAGGAAAAUUGUGGACGCUCGACCUCUAUUCAAGAGUGGUGAGAGGAAAUGCGAUGAAGGCCUGUCCAUAGCAAUGAUGCCAUCCAUCAUGGUGUUGCUUUGAGCGUGGAAAGAAAGGGAGACCAUCAUGGUCUCGACCAUGAGAAACAGCUUUGCUCAGCUGAAGAAAGGGGGAAGAGAGAGUGAUGAUGGGACAAAAGGGGAAGGAAAGCGACGAAGAAAGUUGCAAUAAAUGGCGUCUUUUAAUGAUGGCCACUCAUUGUUUCCUUUCUUCUUCUUUAUUUGGCUCUAGUAACUUCUGUCUGAAUUCGAAAAGAGGAGCGCUCCGAGGACUGCACAGAGGAGAUUGAAGAUUUCCUCUUAAAGGGUUUUGAUUCAGAAAGGUUUCUUCGUCAAAUUACACAAAAUGAAGCCAAUUAAUUCUUAUCUUAAUAUUCAUGUGAUUCUUGUAUGAGAUUGAGAAAUUAUUUCGAAAGAAAUUAUGAGGGUUAAAGACAGAGUUAUUAAUUAUAUAUAAGAGAUGAAAAAUUACCAAGAGCAUAUAAGUGACAUUAAAAAAAGAGAAAAGGAUACACGAAGAAGUUCUUGAUUUGAAUGCCCGAAGCCCGAUGUCACUUUCGUUAGUGCGAGACAUUAUUUUGGACGAUUGGAUCGCGUGACUCACGGGAUUUAAUUGAAAGUUAUGGAUAGGUAACUUCACAAUACCGCGAAAAUGAUGGCUUGGAAAUGGGAGGCUCGCCUUCGGCCGCCUGUGGCUUUCUCAACAGUGUUGCGUCGAUUUCCAACAACUUUUAAGAGAUUGGAGAUGGCUGGAAAUUCUUCUGUGUCUUUUUUUUUUCCUCUCAUUUUUUAAGUCAGUCAUAUUUCGGGCCAAACCCAGCCCAAAACUAAAUUGAUGCCUAUCCAAGAGGACUUGUUUAGGCCCCAACCCUUCAACCGGGCCUGAAGUUGAUCGGGCGGGGCGUAUUUUUCAAUAAAAAAGCCACCCAUUUGCAACUAUACUUCCGAUUACUAGACGCCAAAGGAACUCACGAACUCAUUGCUACACCAUUCUUUAUCUGCCGUAGACAAACAAGCAUUCCUAUUCUGUAACAUAGAAAUGGCGACAAUUUAUUGCUUAUGCCCAUUCAUGAUGAAUAUUUUCACCAAAAUUCAAUCAACUAAUAUUAAAUUAACGCCAAUAACAACUAAUCACAAUAUUCCAGCAAUAUUAACCCUAAAGCAGUAAAGAUAGUGCUGAAUAUUAAAGCAAGGGAAAACCAACACCUGUAAAAUUUUACAUGAAAAACACAAUACAGAAAAAAUCACGAGACCAGUCAAAAUCUUCCUCUAAUCACCAAGAAUAGCAUAAUACAUAAUAGUUCAUCUCAAAUAACACAGAGGCUCUUUCACCUAAACAAAACAUUAUCACCACAAAGGUGGAUUAACAUAAAGAAGCAAGAAAGAUCUAACCGCUGCUAGACAAAAUCAGGAGACAAUUUGGAGAAGAUUUUAACAAACACAGCCGAUCAACUUGUAGAUCAUGGACUCAUGAACAGCAUAUGAAAUUUUGGCCAAUUCUGACAAAGUGUCACUAUCGAAUUUAGACUACCUCUUCUCUUCUUCAAAGCAAAGUUCUUCGCCUCUUUUUCUCUAUAACAACGAAUUGUUCAUCCCUCUCUUCUAAAUCAAGAACAUUCAGCCCUAUCAAUUCUUUUUUCUUUUUAAUUUUAUUUAACAUGAUGAGAUGAGCCCCACAAGAGGUGGACCCAACCCAACAAACUUCCCCUUCACCUUAUGAAGAAGUUUCAUUAUGCCAGCAUUAUCUAUAUAAGAAUCAAGUUUCACCAUUGGCAAGGUUUUACUCAUCAUAUUAAUCCAUUAUCAUCAGUGUAGACUUUCUCAACUAAGAAAAGUUUCUCAUCUAAUUUAUUUCGAAUCCAAUGACAAGGAUAAAGCAUUAGUCUGGGUAAAGCAACCAGAUGCAAUUCUAGUGAACAUCACUCUAUCUUCAGCAAUAUGACAAGGAUAAAGCAUCCCACAUAAUGCUGUCUUGUAUUUGCACGAAUAAAUCUGAUCUUGUCGGAGGCAAGACCGCUCAUCUCUAAAUAAUAACAGUAGCUACCAAAGAGUUGAUAUAUUUAGAGCAGUAUCAUGAUUCACUCUCUAAGGAUAAACACCCUCUAGAAAUGGAGAGAUUGGUUUCCCUAUAUCUUCUUUAGUUUGCCUACAAACCAUAAAUGGUGGAAGUUGAGAUCCAUGGAGUAACCUGACAAGCCUAAUUUUCGAGCCACUAAAACAUGUGUGUUUACAAUAUUGUCUCUUUUAUUACGUAACCUUUUUGUUUUAAUAGGGCUUUUUUCGAAACAUACCGACAUCAAAGGCACUUUUACAGCAAUAAUAUCAGGUUAUAUUAGUGUUGUGUUUAUCCUAGACUAUGUUGGUACACACCUUCAAGGAAAUUGAAUGAAAUAUCGACCGACUAAAUUAAAGUUCAACGCAACCAAAUGCUAGGCUCUUAAGAAAUACUGCCCAGUAGAGAGACUUAUUGAUUAAUAAAUUUAACCAAAGCUCUCUCCAUUUUUCUUUUACACUGACGGUAGGCUUAACAAUAAUAUAAUUUUUCAUUUAAUCAUAUUAUGUUAAAUAUUAUUUCCUGGCAACCAAAUGCAGCCAGUCAAAUUCAAGUGAAGAAUUCAAUAAUAAUCGUGCUCCAUUUGUUUCACAAAAAAUAAAUAAUUUGAAAAAUAUUUUCCAAAAAAUGAUUACAUUAUAUCUCUUAAAAUAAUUAGUCAAUAAACAAUGUUUUCAUUAUAAAUAAUAAUUUUAUGUCUAAACAUUUUGGUGAAUGAUGAAAAAAAUACUCUAUCAUUUAUUUUUAUAAGUGAUACAAGAAAUUGAAAGUGAUAUAAAUAAUAUUUUUUGAAAUUUCAAAUCAUUUAUUUCUCAUGAAAUAAAAAGAUAACCAAAUAACAUUUAGCCGAAGAAAAUGAGUAAUUGGGCUCAGCUUUCGUUGGCCCAAAAAUUCUCUUGGGCUAAAUGAAACCUUCGUCCCUCACACUGACGAAAGAAAUUCUCAUCUUUCAGUCGACUUGAAGAGCAUUUUUGGUUCUAAAUCGAGCUCAAACCUUCGUUUUCGCUACUCAUCUUCGUUUUCAUCUAAGGUCUUCGGGGAGCUUCUGUGAGCGUUUUUCACUACUAGUCGUUACGCCGCCGCUUUUGUUCUUCAAUUUGAUAUCUAUUUUGCUUUUUUAAGCCAGUUUUCGUUGAUGUCGCGACUGUUUCUUGCUGAUUGGAUCGUCUUCGACCUGGGGCCGGAUGGUUUCUAGCUCGGGUAGAAAGAAAAUGUCGGAGAUCUCUUGUGGUGAUCGAGAUAGAUAGUAGUGUAAGAAGGUGCGAUGAAGAUUUCAGAAAUGUUAAGCGGUAAUUGCUGAUGGGUGUCCGUGGAAUUACUUCCGUUGGACGUGCUUGUUUGUCUGUCUAAAUGGCGUGCUUUAUUUGAACUGGUGAUUAUUUUGUGCUUGAGUCAGAAAUUGGGAAUGCGAGCAAUUUGAGCAUGGACUCAUCUUCUCCAAUUGGGAAAACAGAUGUGCCUAGUUCCCUUUCUUCCAUAUUAAUAUACAUGUGAUUGUUCUAAACAAAGUUGAACACAAUCUGUUGUUAAAUUUAUAGGAUCGUUACGAUCCUUGAUGACCUCACGAAAUUUUGUAAUGGGGCAUGCUUAAGAUUUGAUUCCGUGUUCAUUGAUAUGUGGCGUCUUACUGGAAGAUUGGCGAGCUUGCUGGCAAUGAACAUUUCAAGUACAUACUGUGUUGAAAAGGUAGGUAUAAAAUUUUUACUACUCUCUUCUUGUUCUCUUGUCCACUUUCUGCCAUUACUGAAAAUGACUUGGUUUACUGGAUUUGAGUUUCUGGGUUUGAUCUUGCACACAGAAAAAGGAUAGUUUUGAGUCGUUGAUUAUGGAGCACUUGAUAUUGAAUGGAGCAUUUUGGGGAUAGAACACUGUAGAUCUUCUUGGAAAACUUGGCACUGUGGAUUCAAAUGAAGUUGUUUCUUGGAUCCUGCAAUGCCAGCAUCUGUCUGGUUUGUAUUUAUUUGUCUCUCAGCUUCUUUUUUGCGAUUACCCACCAAGAACAUGUGGCUGACGGAACCUCCACUCCACAUUCAGUCAAGUUUUUCUUAUUUGACAGUAUGCUUAAGAUAUUAGCUUGGGAUUGACAAGUUCCAUCUAUUACAUUGAUGACCACGUCUUAGGAGUGAUUAGUGUUGCUUUAUUUAUUUAUAUUCUAAAACUUGACUCUAAAGAGCAAAGUGCAAAUGACACUUAGGGCUGCUUGUGCAGGUGGCUUUGGUGCCACAUAUUGGACAUGAUCCGCAUCUGCUGUAUGCACUCAGAGCCGUGCAAGUACUGGCCCUUUAUGACAAAUUAGAUGUUUUUGACAUCAAUAACGUGACAGAUUGUAUCCUUUGGAAUAAAGUGUCUUAGAUUCGCAACUUCCUUGAUGAUCUUACCUUAGGCUCUGAUGUCAAAUGUUCUACAUUGUUGUGCCUGAAUGAAGAUGAAUCUUUUUCUGGGGAUAUAUGCGGAGAAGCUGAUGCUCGGUGUGUUGUCCUCAUCUUUGAUCAAUUAUUAUUUUUGUGCUUCUUGAGGAUGUUUCUUAAAUAAUUGACAUCCCUUCACCCCUUUUUUCCCUUCGAAGGUUCUCUCAUUGUGCUAUAUGCUGUCUUGCGAUACUUGAAUGGUUGGAUUCGAUAUGUGGAGAAUGCUGUCAGUUGCAAAACUUUGGAUGGCGGGUUUGGUUGCAUUCCUGGUGCAGGGUCUCACCUAAAAUGAUAUCAUUGCACGCAGCCUUCGCUUCCAUCUUGAUGGUAUAAUCACUGCGUAAACCACUGAUGUCUAUCUAAGAUAUCCCAAGACAACGCACUAAUGUCCUUGCUCUCUCAACUAAUCUAGCUGGUAGUAGUUAACAGUUGGAGAAAACCAUCUGGUCUAGCUAUAUCUACAGGGAACUAUUUGUUGCCGAAAUGCCAACUAAAAUUCCAAAAUCUCACCGUACUAUCACAAAAGGUUAAGAAACUUCAGAGUUGCCUAAGUUAUUAUUAAGCUACGAUCUUCACAAGACAAUGAUCUCCUUAGGAUUGGUAUGACUAUAGUCUCAUAUAAAUUGAAUACAGUUUAAUAUUGGUGACAGUGUAUUUCGAGAAUGUAAACUUGACCGUAAGGCAUACUUAUUGAAUUUCAUAAAUCAUCUGUUUCGAAUAAUUUUUCUUUGCAAUUCUUAGGAUCCUACGAUGUGCAGUUCAAGAAGUCUAGAUUCGGGAUACAGUAGGUCCGCAAUUGAUGGCAAGUUUUCCAAUCUGAAUAACCUCAGGACUUAGUAAAGUAGUAAUCUGGAGAUUAACAGAACCGCUUAAAUCCUUGAAUGCUUUGCUGACUGAGCAAGUAAACACACUUCAAACGUGUAAAACGCGCAAUGAGCAACGAUUGCAAAAUGCAUUCUCGUAAGCAGCCACGGAGGGCCUCAAUGAAUUGCAGUUUUUUCCUCUCCCAGUUAAGCAAUAACGGAAGUUCCUCCUGUCCACUGUCCUGCCCUUGAAUAAUAUAGAGCAAAUCUAGCAACCCAACCAAAUCCAGCAAGUAUGUCAUAACCUCAUGCUGAGCUCUUUCGCUGGUUUCUAAUAUCUGGCUGGUUUCUAAUAUCUGAUUGGUGCAUAGUAAGUCAUGUAUUUGCUUAAAUACAUUAUGGUCUUCUAAUUAUGCUCCAAUGAACACAUCCAAAAGAUAAAACCAAGUCGCCGCAGUUUUAAGACAUUCCUUAGGACUCUUCUUAGACAAGAGAAAGUACAAAGGAAUUGAUAAUUUCCAGUGGAGACUUAGGCAUAAAACAAUGAAGGACCAAGCAAGAAAAUUAAGAAGCACAAGAGCCUGAUCAAAUAUCUUUCAAUUCAAAUAAGAAGAUAUUUGCAAAACGGAGAACUGGAACGUGGGAGUAAUCGUGAAGCAAUAAGAUUUGGUGUUUCUACUUCAACGGAUAACAAAACCGUGUGUAUUUUGUGUAGCCAAUUGUCGAGUCGAUCACGUAGUAAAUUUGACCUGUGGAAUCCUCACCCAUAAGCAGCAGACCUCAAUAAAGCAAUGGAAACCACAACUGCCCAAAACAUGAAAGAAAAAGAAAAGCUGGACAUCCCAUUUUAAUUCUACAUGAUGGACCAAGAAGAGAAGCACUCGUUGCUUCUUUUUCAAUCAUCAAGAGCUCCUCACAGGUAAUAGACAGCUCCUCACAUGUAAUAAAGAGACAGUGGAUACUCAUUAAACCAACCAUUACCCAAACCUUAGAAUAUACUUACAGACGAACUCUUCAAGAGAAGAUGCUCAACAUCUUGUGCACAUGAUUAUGCUCAAUCGAGCAGUCCACGAAAGCAUAGUAACAUAACUAGACUAGGCAUACAGACCCUUAUACAACUAUUAGCAUAUGAAGCUAGAGCUAGAGCUCAAGCUCAUGCUUAAUAUUUAAAGAUAAAUCACACAAUUACAUUAAUCUAAACACCAACUGCCACACCAAAAAAAACACCCAAAAAAAAAAGAACAAAACCCUCUCUGUCCUCACCACUCUUACCUGUCCCUCCUCCUGAUUAGCUAGUGAUCCAGAGCUUGAGUUCAGGCCCAUGACUCCCGCCAUAGAUGAAAUUAAUGAACGCACCAAAUUCCUCCAGCUGAGCGGCGCUAAAGAAGAAAAUGUGCACUAGAGUGAAAAGUGGCGCUGGAGAAGGGCUUGAAGCUCACAAACCUGGAACUUGAAGCUCGUGAAGAAGGACUUGAAGCUUGUGGACGACGAAGAAAGAAGAGACGAUGGCAACCGACACGGCCAACGACGGACUGAAGUUCNNNNNNNNNNNNNNNNNNNNNNNNNNNNNNNNNNNNNNNNNNNNNNNNNNNNNNNNNNNNNNNNNNNNNNNNNNNNNNNNNNNNNNNNNNNNNNNNNNNNGCCGUUCGCCGCUCGCCCAAUCGCCCCUGACACCGCUCGCCCAGCUGCCCCUGACGCCACCCGCCGCUCGCCCAGCCGCCCUGACGCCGCUCGCCCGGUCACCCCUGACGCUGCUCGCCCCCAACGCCGCUCGCCCAGUCGCCCCCGACGCUGCUUGCCCCCGACGCCGCUCGCCCAGUCGCCCACGACGCUGCUCCCCCCCUGACGCCUAAGCACAUCAGAUGCCUCCCGCUCGGUCAGUUCUUACAACAAUUUGGUACCAUUUAUUGAAAGAAUCGAGUCAAAUAAUACACUUUAAGAUAGUUUGGGAUUGUGAUCAUAUCACAAUUUUCAUCAUGGGCUUGUAUCAUGUGAUGGGAAAUCUUCAAGUUGAAUAUCAGAUGACAGAGGUCCUCAAAGAUUUCUGUGGCACUUCUGCACCAUUGUAGUUCCAAGUGCUUAUUGAUCUAACUUAAUGUUUUAUUUUCUUUCAAGUACCCCUUUCAACAUAUCAAAGAAAUUUGAUGGAGAAACAGUAACAGAGAUUGUCUGUCCCCGCCUUGCAAGGAUUAGAUAUCGUGUUAAGAGAUUGCCUUAUGAUCUCAUUCUCCAUAUGCAGAGAUUUACAAUUUAUUUAUUAUUAUUAUUAUUUUUUAUUUUUAUUAUUAUUUUUUAUUUUUGGUGGAGAAGAACCCAACUCUAGUUAAAGCAGAAAUAGAAAGCAAGCAAAGCAGAAGAAACAACAAUGAUUAAUGAACAGAAAGAAGGCGCACCGUUUUCUGUAGAGGAUCCCCUGUUUCUGUUUCAAAGUUCGUUGUUUCAAUUUCAGAGCCCGGCGCUUGCUUUGUUCUGCUCAAAAUCUUCUCUCUGUAAGACUCCCAAGUGUCGAAAUAUCGAAUGCUGAAAAGUUCACUAUCUAAUUCAAUAUCGUCGGAUAACUUCUCGCGUGGUAUGCUUAUCUUGCAAUUAUCUGGUUUUUUUGAGCUCAAUACAUCAAAAAUCCUUUCGAAUAUGCACCCACUAAUUUCCAAGGAACAUGAAGACUUUAGUUCGUAAAUACCCUCAAUAACCUGCAAGCUGGGGCACUGGUCAAUGUUUAUCCACAAGUUCUCCAAGUUUGACAAACUGCCUAAGCUUUUUAACGAAGAGCACUGGUUAAUGUUUAACUGCUUCAAGUUCUUCAAGUUUGACAAGCCGCCUAAGCUUUUUAACGAAGAGCACUCACGAACGUAAAUUUCUUCCAAUGAUUUGAACGUAGAAUCAAAUUGAAUAUCCUGUACCUCAUGGGACCCCGACAGAUUGAAACUUCUAAGCAUCUUUCGGGAGCUUGGGAAAAGGAUCGCUUCCCUCCAAUGAUCAGUCAACUCGGGAGCUUGUAGUUCACUGCACCCCCGCUCCUCCGGGUGACGAACCAUACUCUUGGAAGAUCUAUGGACUUUUGAUCUCGAAGCAUCAAAAAUCCUUUCCAAUGAUCUGCACCCCCCAAUUCGCAACCAACGCAAAAACUCCAGUUCGUCAAUGCCCUCAACAACCUUCAGGCUCGGGCACUGGUGAAUCUCUAACCACUUCAAGUUCUUCAAGCUUGACAAACCGCCUAAGCUUUUUAAUGAAGAGCACUCUUUAACAGAAAAUUCUUCCAAUGAUUCUAACGGAGAAACAAAUUGAAUAUCCUGUACCUCUGGGAACCCCGACAGACAGCAUUUUAUAAGCAUGUUUAGGAAGCUGGGGAAAAGGAAGGCUUCCCUCCAAUGAUCAAUCAACUCAGGAGCUUGUAUUUCACUGCAACCCGGCUCCUCCGGCUGACAAGCCAAACUCUCGGAAGAUUUGCAGUCCUGAAUACGUGAUCUCUCCGACGAUUCUAAGACAUUGGGAGAUUGAACAUCUAGUUGCUCGUACGCCUUGCUUUCUUUCGAUAUUCCCGAACUUGUUGGAAGGAAUGGAGUCUCCUUUUCCGAUGGAGGAAGCCCAUCGAGUUGUACUUUUUUCCCUCUAGUUUCGUAAAGAUCUACAACCAUCAAGUUUGACGGAAGUUGUUUGAAAGGUGGCAAGUCCAUUCCGCGUAGAGUAAGUUCCUUCAGCAGAGAAAGGGAACACAACUGUGUAGUUGGGGCGCGGACAUUUGGAAAGGAAAAGUACAGCUUCCUCAGUUUGGAUAACAUGCCAAUCCACCGCAAAUCGCAAGUUUGAAUUGCAUUUGAUGUGUCUCUAAAUUCAGAGCCAUUGGAUAAGUGCAGCUCAACUAGAUUAGUAAGGUAUAAGAGGUUAGGGACAGUCAGCAACGAAGUAGAACUUAGCUUUAGAGUGGUCAAACAUUGGGGGAGUUCUGGCAACUCUUGUAUCCAACCACAAUCCAUCAAGCUUAGUGUUUGGAGUUGAUGAAACUUGCUGAUUGUACUGGGCAUUCCUGCAAUUGGUGUGCAUGACACAUCGAUAGAUGACAAGCUUGCUAGUCUACCAAUGGAAUCUGGUAAUCUUGUAAUUUUCGUGCCAGCUACACAUAACGUCAUUAACGACUCUAAUUUCAAAACCGAGUCGGGGAGUUCAAUGAAGUCCUGACAACUCUCAAGAGAGAGGUGCUGCAGAUUAUGUAACUCUCCAAUUUGUUUUGGCAAUUUUCUAAGACACCAACAUGACUCAAAACUCAAGUCAGUCAACCACCUCAGUUUUCCAAUAGAGCAAUCAAUUUCCUUCAAAGGAAAAAAAUUAACUAUAGUCAACUUCUCUAAAACUAAGUUCUCAGGAAAGGUUGGCAUCUCAUGUAUCAACUCAUUAUAACGAAUAGUGAGAACCUUCAAUUUCCUUGCCCCCUACAAAAGCCAACGAAACAUCAAGACGGACAAGAAAUAGAUAUGGAUUUGUGCUACUAAUGAGAAAAUAAGAUUAUAAAUCCAGCGGAUUUUGUCCUUCAUUGAAUGAGAAAAAUAGACUAAGAGGGAAACUGGCAUACCUUGAUUAGGCUCUCGAACGCAUCUUUUGUGAUAUCGAGCCCAGAAAGAUGCACCACAACCGCGUUUUCUAGAUGCAACAAAUUGGUUGCCUCCAAACGGUGAUUGUAUUGAGAGUUAACUACUAAAUAACGGUAACUCAAGCUGAACCAUUUCAGCUUGGAAAGACAGCCCGUAAAGUCACCUUGGCAGAUUACCUCAUCCAUCAUGAGAAGCCAUAAACAUGGGAAACGCUUAAUUUGCUCUGGAGUGACAGUCAUACGAGGAUUCCGUGACAAAUCGAGUGCUUCAACGCUGUUCUUGGUCUGCCAAUUCAAAGAAGAGAAGAAAAAACAAAACAGAAGAGUAGCUUCCGAAUCAAAAACGGGAAUCCUCAAUUAAGAAGAGGGUGUAAGAAAUUUUCUAGUCAAAUUUGGCCAUGCUUUACCUCUGUUGAUGUUAAUUCAGAAAUGAUGUCGUGUUCAUCCCACAAUCUGGUACGCUCGUUUUUGGCAAUUGCCCUUCCAAGAUCUCUAAACUGAUCGUGCAUCCAAAAUUUAUUGUCUAAAACCUUUAUCAUGCACCUCUGACUAAGGACUUGGAUGGCAAGCUGUGGGCAAAACUUACAAUCUUUCCACAUGUACAUUGGAUUAGUCUUAUUCUGACCAAUGAAAAAGCAUGCGACAUCGAGGAAUAUCUGUUGUUGUUCUAGCUCUAAGGCAUCAUAGCUAAUCUUUAACUUUCCCAAAACAUCCUUAUGAGGUGUCUUCUUUAGCUUCUCUAGUGUCUCUUCCCAUAUUCCAUUCUCUUUAAUAUUAAAAAGCAUUGAACCUAUUGCUUCAAGAGCUAAAGGUAGUCCAUCUGCAGUAGAGACGAUUGCUUUUGAAAGAGUGGAGUAAUUGGGCAGAGGAGAGUUGUCAUUGAAGGCAUGCCUACUAAAAAGUUUAAGUGCGUCUUCCUCGCUCAACCGCAUCAUUUCAUGCUCCUCGAAUUUGUACUUAAAUCCACUGAUAUUGAAAACACUCUUGUCCCUAGUAGUAACAAGUAUUCUAGUACCUGAAUACAAAAUUUUCUCUCCGAUUAGUUUUUGGAUAUGCUUGGCCUCAUCAACAUCAUCCAAUACAAUUAGCAUCUUCUUGUUGCAAAUUGUAUCUUCAAUAAUAUUGGUCCCAUGAUCAAUGUCAGAAAUGUAAGGAGCCGCUCCAGAAUAAGAGACAUCGGACAAUAAUUUUUUUUGUAGCUCAACUAAGCUCUUGGUUUGUGCCAUUUCCCUCACGUCAUGAAGAAAGCUGCAGUUUCUCCCAAAGUGAGGAAGUACUUGGUUAAAGAUAAUCUUGGCGAGUGUUGUUUUACCGAUGCCGCCCAUCCCGUAGAUUCCAAUGAACCGCACAUCUUUAGAAUCAAUGUCUAAUAAAUCUUUUAUGGUUGCUAUUCGGCCUUCCAUUCCAACUAAAUGUUUGGUUACAUGUUUCUGUCUUGUCUCGAGCCUGACCACAACCUCGUGAACAACCGCCUGGAUAAGUUCCGCAUAGCUGCCAACAAGUUGAGUAGUUUCAAUUGAGAAAAGGUGACAAAUUUGCAUGUUGACCAGCCAUCUACUAACCAACCAGGUGGGAACUCGAUCAAGUUUAGCAUAUAGAAGAGAAAUGUUUGAUCUUUGUAUCAAUUGGAAGAAUCGGAAUUUUUGGCCAAAAAGGGUAGAAGAAUCAAAAUAUAAACAUCUAAUGAGUUACUAUAAUAGAAGAUUUGCUUAAAUAUAAAAUGGCCUGAUUGUACAAAAUAAUUUUCAGAGUCAUGGUUAGAUUGUUACCCAGAAUAUUUCUCCAACUCCCAUCCCUUGUUGCAACAAACUUCUUUGAGAGCUUGCUGCCAUGUGUUUAUAUCCGCGGAGCUGAACUUAUUCUUCCGAUCCUCCGUCUCUUGCGCUAAAUUCGAUAUGGCAUCUUUGUACAACGGGGUUUUCAAUUUCACGUCAUCGGGUUUCACGUCGUAGAAGAUGGGCAAUAUGACCUUCUCUUUCCCAUCUUCUUUAUUUUUAGAGGUGUUCUCCACCAUCUUCGCAAGCUCGUCGAGGCACCAGUGACUUGAAGCAUAAUCUUUGGAGAAGAUGGGUAUGUAGAGCUUGGAAUUGUCAAUUGCUUGUAGAAGGUUGCCACUAAUUCUUUCACCUGGUCGAAGCCCUUCAUCAUCGAUGAAAACACUAAUCCCAGCAUUUACCAAGGCUUGGUGGAGGAUAUCGGUGAAUGUACGACGAGUAUCAGGUCCUCUAAAAUUCAAGAAGACCUGGUACUUACCUCCUGAUGGAUUGCUGGUGCUUGUUCCUGUCUCUGAGUUCACCAUCGGAGCUCACUUCGCACUUAGCAAGGUCAGCCCUCUUACUUGGUCUUUGAGUUUGCCAUAUGACAUUUCACAUAUUUGAAUCCAAUCCAAUUUGCCGUCCAAAACGCGUAUAGGCAACUUCGUAGCAGGUGCAAUUUCCAGUUUGCAAUCAAUAAAGUUGAUGGCUUUAAAAAAGAAAAAUAAGGCGGAGGACAAUUAUGGAGGUGCCCCUUUUUAUACGCCCAAUUUCUUUCCAGUUUCCCCUUUGUGUUUUUGAACUUUUGGAUUAAAAAUAUUUGAUUCUUUAUAUCUAUAGUUAGGCAUAUUUAUAAUCCCAAUCUAGAAUUGUAAAAUGACAAUUUAUUUAUAUAGAAAAACAAAUUAUUCCUAAAGGAUCGCCUCUUAUUCUAAUACUUGGGACUGUAGAUAAUUAGAAAUAUCUCCUUGUUACUAUAGAGAUUGGAUUUGCUGCAUUCUCUACAACAAAUGCUCUACCUAAGCAUAUACGUACUACUUACUAUGAAAUAUUUGUUUUGAUCUCUUUGCCUUCAAGACUUCCUUUAAUUUUAAGUCAUUUCCUUUAACAACUCAAAUAUUCUCAUAAAAUGUGCAAUUAUAUUAAAAAGCAAAUGAUAAUUUAUUUUCUACUGAUAACUAUUAGAAUGUAAGCAUGGUGCAGUUAGUGUGCAUUGGACGUUAAACCAAAUCAAAUUAUAUAAAUAUGAUAGAAUAUAUUUCGAAUUUGAAAUUGUUGGAUGAAAUAGGACCAGAUGAGACUUAUGGAUGCUCCACCACUAUUCAAAAUUGGUGAGAUGAAAUGUAGUGAUGGCCUGUCAAUGGCCAUGAUGCCACUCCAUCCUGGUGUUGCUGUGAGCACGAAAGAAAGAAAAAGAAACCAUGAUGGUCUUGACCAUAAGAGAUGGCUUUGCUCAACUGAAGAAAGGGAAAACGAGAUCAAUGAUGGCCAUUGCCAAUAAUCGACCGAAAGGGAAGAAGUCGAAGAAAGUCACGAGGACGAUGUCUUUUCAUGUUGGCCACUCGUUGUUUCCUUUCUUCUCUAUUUGGUUCUGCUGAAUUUCCCCUUUAGAAACCAAGAGGAAGAGCUCUCAAUGUCAUAGAGAGCUCCGAAGGCUGCACAGAGCAUAUUGAAAAGCGUGCUGAAAGUUCCUCUUGAUCACACCAAAUAUUUCUUUUCUGAAGCCUAUUAAAUCUUUUGUUGAGAUUUGUAUCAUUUCUUUAAGAGAUUGAAAAAAUUAUUUUGAGAGAAAUUUUAAAAACGAAACAUUGUAUAGUUAUUGAGUAUUAGAAACUAAAAACCACCGAGAGUAUUUAAAUGACUCAAGUGUGAUUAUAACUUUCAUUAUUUUUUUUUAUCUAUAAUGGAAUCUUGUGCUGCUAUCUUUGUAGACGUAAAUCACACGAUUGAAUCAUAUAAAUCUAGUGUCCGAUUCAUUUGUUGUUUUGUGCAUUUUAUUCAAUUGCUUUUUUUUUUCAAAAGGGAAUAUGGUUUGAAGAAAAGUGAAACCAAAGUAAAAGAUAUUUAAUAUGACCAGCAUUAGGCAUUCAUGAACAAAUGCAUGAAAAAGUAUCUUUUAUUUUCUUAAGAUAUCGAUAAAUAUUUAUAACCUUAAACUUGUGAUUAGUGAUAGAAUUUGUCCCAUCGCCUGCUUAACAUUAACUCUGAUCAUGAGUACGAGAUUCAAUGCAAUCUAUACGACCCGUUUCUUCUAAUGUCCCUUUGACAAUGCAUAGUGAUGUUCUUUUAUUGCCAUUUUCUCCGUUAAAUUGCGCUAGCCCGUGUGUUUCACUUUGACUCCUUCAUUUUCCAUGAUUUUAUAGUCAAAUAUAUUUUAUUUAUUUAGUUUUGAAUGCGAUAUAUCAAGAAAAUCAUAAAUUUGCAACUACAAUCUUGACAUAUUAAGUAUGUAUGUUUUGCAUGAUUUGACAUAGAUUUUCACGACAUUUGUUAGUGAUACAUUUUUUUUUGUUAGCAUGAUUUAACAUAAAUUAUUUUCAUAUUUCAUCUCUUAAAUAAGUUUUUGGUGAGAAAUUGAAAAUCAUUAUGAACAUUAUUCUUCGGAUUUUGAACCGUUGUAGUAGAAGUAGUGAAGAUCAGAUAGAGCCUAGCCGCAAUUUGGUUUGUUUUAUUUAUAUUUGUUUUUCGUGGCGUUAUUAGUUGCUUAGACUUGCUGACUAAAUUGGAGCACUGUACGAAGUCUUCGAGAGGAUGACUUGUCCACAUUUAUUUUAUCUCAUUUAUAACACUAGUAUCUAAAUCAUUCGACUCAAUUAAUACCGAUUUAUGCACGCAAAUCACUCCAUUCACGUGCAUUCGGUUAGCUUCAUUCACAAGAUUGUUAAGGAGACACCGGGGGUAAUGAGUAAAGGACACUGUGAUCAAAUAUGAACUAAACGUCGUUUCAAAAAUAGCAUUCAAAAUACACAUAAUGCAUUCAUGACUGUUUUUACGAACCCAACAUUUCACAAAUUAUGUAUAAAACAAUAAUCCUUCCAAAGAUAUGGCAAUCGGAUCAUAACUAUGGUCAUCUUUGAUGCGCAACUUUCUACAACUCAGCAACACCUUUUGAAAAUGCUAUGAACAUGUACAUCUUAUGCUUUCAAGCCAUUGCCUCAAAUGAUUGGAAUACAUAAAAGACGUUAAUGCUUGCUUUUUAGUAAAUCGGAAGGUCAUGCGAUACCAUAUUACAAGAUCCCCAAAAGAUGCCAACAUGCCAUUCUUUGAAAUCAUGUUUUUACCUUUUAAUUAAUCACGCAUGCUGCAUACAGCUUCAACAAAUCCGAAAGGUUUUAGGCAUGUGAAAAUUGAUGUUAUCGGACGAUUAGCUUUUGGACCUAUUUCUUCAAUAGCUAAAGGUAGUCAAUAUGUGGUAUAGACAAUGCCUUUGAGAGUGUGUGGCUGGAGGAGAGUUGUUAUCGAAGGCAUUUCUACAAAAAAGUUUAGAUGUGUUUAUUUUGAGUGCGCGCCUCAUUGUUCGUCAAAUUUCUGCCAUUCUUUUGUAUUGGACAAUUCAGUAAUAAUAACAUUACAUUCAUUAAUGGAAGCUUUUAUUACAUUCUUAAUGCAAAAAGCUUCUCCACCGUGUCAUCCUCCUUCAGAAAUUUACAGAAGAAGAAUCAAGGCGUUGCAUGAGAAAUGGAGAAAAGAAUGUCUAUUAUGAGAAAUAAACAAAGAAAUUCUUGAUUUGAAUGCCCGAAGUGCGAUGCCACUUUCUUUAGCGAGAGACAUCAUUUUGGACGUUUGUAUCGCGUGACUCAUGCGAUUCAAUUGAAACUUAUGAACGACAACUUCAUAGCAGUUGCAGCUUUCAAUUUAUAGUCAAUAAAGUUGAUGGCUUUAGAAAAAAAUGAAAUGGAGGACAAUAAUGGAGGUGAACCUUUUUACAAGCCCAAUAUCUUUCGAGUUUCUUUGUUAGAGCUAACACUAUCACCUAAAAAAAAGGUGAAUAGGUGAUUAUAAACAAUUAAAGCGGAGUUUAAAACAACCAAGUUCAAUAUCAUGAAAAACAAAAUCUAAUGAAAAACUUUGUAGUGAUUAGAUUUUCUACAACGUCUAAUGAAAAACUACACUAUAAUAAGACUUUACUAUGUGCAAUAAAUAGAAUAAAUGAGUUAUUAAAGAAUAGAGAAAAUCACACACAACAAUUAUAGUGGUUCAACUUAUGAUAAACCUACAUUCACUCUCCCAUGCUACAGCCUAUUAGUUGGAUUUCACUAUGAAGAAUUAAUAAGAGGUUACAAGAUAUGAACUAUAAACACUCAAGUUCAUGCGUAUAACUCCUCACACACUCUCAACUUCUAAAUAAUUAUACAAUGAUACUCAUAGAGACAAAUGUAUUUGACCGCAAAACACUCUUUAGACUUUGGAAUUAUAAGUUUUGAUUCUCUUGUGUUGCGUUUUUCCUUUUAGCUUCGAGACCUCCUUUUAUACUUCUCCCAAACCAAGCUAACCAUUGGACAUAUAUCCAAAAAGAUUAUCUAGCCAAUCUACCUCUUGGCCUGGAUCUCAUUAAGAAUGUUUGAUCACUUUAAGGAUGCCGAGAAUAAAGCUUCUCAUAGAUUCUGCCACUCAUACAGCAGUUUGGGUUUUCAUAAGUCGAGUGCUUCAACUUAGAAAGAAUGUUUCGCCUCAAGUAUAUCGUUCUAGGAAAGACGAGGAAUCCAAUCAGUCGCUGCUAACCUUUAUUGUCUCAUUCUAGCUGUUUGACAGAGUACAUAAGAAAGGAAAUAAUUAAGUCAUGACUCUGGUUUUGAUUGAUAUUGUCUGAUCAUACUUCGUUGGACUUUGCACUUGAAAAAUACUUAUCAUCAGAAUUAAAGUCUUUACGCUAGAUAAGUUUUGUCAAUCUUCAAAAUCAAUUUGGGAGAUUUUCUCAACAAUCUCCACUUUUUUAUGAUGACAAAACUUUCCAAGCAGAACUUUAGAAAAGAUUUUAAAAAGAUUUAGUAAUCAAAUAGCUCUAUUGAAAGCAAUAUUUUAGAUAAGGCACAAUGUGAAUUCUAUAAGAACUUUGCUGAUUUUGUAAAGAUAAGUACAAACUUCUUACAGAAUAUUGAGCUAAUCAGAGUGAAUAAGAUUUGUAAAGAAAUUUCUUGAUUUGUGAAGAAAUUCCUUACUCUGAUUAAGGAAGUUCAAGAUAAGAAUAGAUUCAAGAAAACUUCCUUUUUUUUUUUAUAUAUAUAGCUUCUCCUUAGCAAGAUCACAAAAGAUCUUCAUCUACAUAUAGUGUUAUGCUUUUCUUGCAUUUUCUCUUUCUUUUUGUCAGCAUCACAAAAGAGACAAUAAUAAUGGAAGGAGUAUCACAGAGAGAAUAUGCUAUUCAGCUCAUCUUCACACACAAUCUUCAAAACAUAUUUAGCAUGAAAAUUUUUUUUCAUAAACAUCCUAUAGAUGCUAUGGUGAACAUAAAAUAAUUGCAAUAUAGCUCAUGUUAUUAUAGAAUCAAAUACCAUAUGCAUCAAAUAAAUAUAUGUCAAUGAUAACAUAUGCAAUAUAUAAAUUUCAUAUACAUUUUUUGUCAUAAUAAAACGAUAAUGGAAAUAUGAGAUUUAUAAUGACAAAAGGUAAGUGAAGUAAGAAAAAUACUAACCAGAUCAUGUAGAAUUUAGCAAGUUCUAAUAUACAUUAUAUUUUCUUCCAUAAUCAAGAGGAGGCAAAAAUUAAAUUGACUUAAUCAGGAUUUUCUCACACUUAAUUUACACUCCCUUUCAAUUUAAUGCCUUUAUGAGAUGAUCACGGUUCUUCUCCUUUAUUGUGCAUCCACUUUCUCAUUCUUUAAUAAAUUUAACAAAUUUUGCGCCUAGAGGAGAAUUUUUGCUCCUUCGAAAAUGGUGUGGAAUCUUCGCGAUUUUUCUGAUCAAAUUUUCCAAAAUUUAGAUGGAAAGAUUAUUUGCCACCUGCAAUUUUUUGUAAAAGAGAUAACAAUUUGCAAAAUAUAGACAAUAUCACGUACUUUCCUUCCUUGAAUUCGCGGAUUAAUUUUGCCAGUUAGAAGAUAUGCUUCUAACAUAUAAAAGCACGCAUUAAUUUCUUUCAAGAUUAAAAAGAUUCUAAUGUUUAAAAGAAAAUCUGAUUUUCAAAUGUUUAAAUCAUUUAUAAUUAUUCUAUAGCGAUGGUUAAACAUAUUUAUAUAGAUACAAAUGGAAUUUAUCUAUAUAAAUGCAUAAUAAGAAAAUAGUCCUAUAGAAAAGUUUAAGUUUAAGUGCAUUUAUUUCAAGUGAAAAGUUUAAGUUUAACUGCAUUUAUUUCAAGUGAGAAGUUCGUCAACUUUCAAACUGUUUUUUUGGAUUGGACAUUUUAACAAUAAUAACAUUACAUUCAUUAAUGGGAAGAGCUUUUAUUACAUUCUUAAUGCGAAAAGCUUCUCCACCAUAUCAUCCUCCUUUAGAAAUUUACAAAAGAAGAACAAGCCCAUUACAUUAAAAAACGAGAAAAGGCUGUUUAUUGUAAGAUAUGACGACAAAAUUAUUGAUUUGAACACCCGAAGUCCAAUGCCACUUUCGUUAACGAGAGACAUCAUUUUGGACGUUUAUAUCGCGUGACUCACGACAUUUAAUUGAAAGUGAUGGAUAGGCAACUUCCCAGCAGCUGCGGCUUUUAAUUAAUAGUGAAUGAAGUUGAUGGGUUCAGAAAAAACCAGAUGGAGGACAAUUAUGGAGAUGUACCACUUUUUUCAGUCGGUCGAGAUGUACAAUUAUGGAGAUGUACCAUUUCGCACGCCCAAUAUCUUUCGCCUUUCUUCUCGGUGCCUUUGAACUUUUGAAUAAAAAAAAACUCCAAUUUUCAAAUGUUUAAAUCAUUUAUAAUUAUUCUAUAGCUAUAUCUAUAAUUAAACAUAUUUAUAUAGAUAAAAUCACAAUCUAUAUAAAUGUAUAAUAACAAAAUGUUCCUAAAGAAUAUCUCUCAUUAUGACAUAUGAGACUUUGGACAAUUAGAAGAUUUUCCUUCAAACUAUUGAGAUUGGAUUUGCUACAUUCACCACAAAAAUGCUCCACCUAAGCACUACCUAGCAGUAUGCUUACUACUUACUAUGACGUAUUUGUUUUGAUCUCUUCCCCUUAAUGACUUACUUUUUAUCAUAAUUAAUUACCUUCAACCCCACAAAUAUUGCAAUAUAUGUGCCUUUAUAUUGAAAAGCAAAUCUUUUACAACACUUAUUGUCUUAUUGAAAACUAUUAGAAUGCGAGCAUGAUAUAAUUAGUGUGGUUUGGACAUCAGCCAAACCUAAUUAUAUAAACAUUGAAAUAUAUCUCAAGUCGGAGCCGGAUUAAACCGGAUCGAAAGACUUUGACACUCGACCUAUAGUCAAGAGUGGUGAGCGGGAAAUGCAUGGUGCCAUCCCAUCAUGGUGUUGCUUUGAGCGUCGAAAGAAAGAGAGACCGCCCUGGUCUUGACCAUAAGAGACGACUUUGCUCAGCUGAAGAGGAAAAGAGAGAAUGAUGAUGGCCACCGCUGACACGAGACAAAAGGGGAAGGAAACGACGAAGAAAGUUGCAAUAAUGGCGUCAUUUAACGGUGGCCGCUCAUUGUUUCCUUUCUUCUUUAUUUGCUUCUUGUGAAUUUUCUCUGUGAAUACGAAGAGGAAGAGCUCUUAAUGAGAGCUCCAAGGACUGCACAACGAGAUUAAAAAUUUCCUCUUAAAAGUUUUGAUUCAAAAAGUUUUUCUUUAUGAAAUUACACAAAAUGAAGUCAAUUAAAUCUUGUGUUAACGUUUAGGUCAAUCUUUUUAUGUGAAUGAAAUAUUAUUUUGAGAGAAAUUAUGAGGGUUAAACACAGAGUUCUUAGUCAUAUUUGAGGGAUAAAAAUACAAAUAAUAUUUGAGUAACUCAAGUAUUAUUAUAAUUUUCCAUUGCAUUGUAAUUUCAUGGUUUUCAUUUCCUCGUGGACGUAGGUCACAUAACCGAACCACGCAAAUUUAGUGUUUGAUUCAUUUCCUUGUUUUACAUUUUUAUUCAAGCACUUGUUUUAUUUCCAACAAUAAAUAUGGUUUGAAGAAAAGUGAAACCAAAUUAAACCGUAUUAUAGUCAAGAUCAAACCAAGCCAAACCAUUUUAUGUGGCUUGAUUCGGCUUAAUCAUUCUUUCUGCUUUUAUUUUACCUCUUCAUCACAUGUAAUUUCAUGACUAAAAAAAAAACAAAUUCUAUGCCACAACCCUUCCGAGGCGAGAUCCCUGAGGAAGUUACCGAAUUACCAAGUAAGCAUGAAUGGUCCCUUUUGCAAGGUGACGCUUGCUCUUGGCAGGAUCAAUCUCAACUUGGUUUUCAUUAAUUAUUUCAUUUGCUCAAGAGUCGCCAUUAAUUUUUUAUAAACCGAUUAGGAGUCAAGUAAAACACAAGAGCCUAUUUUACUUCUACAAACCAGAGAUUUGUGGGUCUAACGACUUGAUUAGGCUGGAUAUGUAAUGUGCAAUUAUUCAUGCGAUCUUCCAAUCUUAGUUACCCAUUUUGUUCUCAAUAUCGAGGGAAGAAGGCGAUCAUGCAUGAAAUCACUCAAGCAAACACAAAUAAAAUCCAAUAAUACUGAAACAAAUAGAGCAAAUAAAAGGUACGAAAAUAAAGAAAUUGAGCCGUAUUGCAAAAAAAAAAAAAAAUUAAUACAAAGCUUUGUUCUUAAGUUUCAAGAUAGGACCCCUUGAGCUAUAAAUAGAAACUCGAUGUUAGAUCUCCAACUAUGGCUCCAAACCGGAAAGUCAAUAAAUGAUACUUCAUGAAUAUCCACUAUAUAAACUACUUUCCUAAAAUGAACAAUUACUUCAAAAACGUAAAAUCUACUCAAUGCAAUGUUAAGAAAACAAAAUUUAUUUAUGAAUAUGCAUUAUUGGUAAAAUACACUCCUAGAUGUUUUUUUUUUAAAAUUUUAUUUUAUGAAUAUGCAGUUUAUCUUUCCAUUUGUUUUUUUUUUCUUUUUUGCAUUUCCCCCUUCUUUAUAUAUACACGCACACAUAUAUAAGUGAAACAAAAUUUGAUUACGUGUUGAAAUAAAUAUGAACUAGAAUCUAUAUGCCAAAAUAAUAUGUAAUAUAAAUCCGGAUUUUCAUGAAAAUUUGCACUACGUUCACUUGGAAUUUUUUUUCUUUGGAAACGCUCAAUUGGAAUUUCAACCUUAAAAUUGCAUCAAGAACGACUUAGUGCACACGAGAAAAUAAAGAAAACUAAAGUGACAUAAUGCUAUGAAUUAGAGCCAAACUAAUCCACACUAUGCGAAAAUCAACGGUGGAUGAAUAAAUCUAUACGAAUAACCAAUUUUCUCUCUACCGCUUUUUUUAGGGCGCAGUUUAGCUAACCGUCCUCUGUCAAAUGAUGGAGUGACAGUCAACUAAUGACCACACAAUUCGCAUGGAUUCCAUCUUUUACCCUUUUUUUUUUUUUUAAUUUUAUGUUUUCUUAUUGCAAGCUUAAAUUGAGAGAUAAAAUCAUAAGAGGGCCCAUACAAUCAAUUUUCAUGAAUAUUAUGAAAGAAAAAAUAAAUUAGAUACCGAAAUAUAAAUAAUUAGAAGUAAAAAAUAUUGUCAUCCACUACAAAGAAAUCGUUCAUUUCAUUAUGUAGAUCUAUUAAAUUUAAAAGAUGAAAAAACACUUGAAUUGUUGGCUUUGCAACUAAUAACAAAAUUAUUGUGCAAUGAAUUGGCUUCUCAAUCAUGUCACCAAAAUCAAAUUGCUUUGGAAGGACUCUCCGAUGACCUAAAAUUAAGACGAGUAAUGUUAAUUACGCAUAAAACAAAUGAAGUAAAGAAAAAGAACAAAAUAAGAAUAAUGAAUUAGUAGAGAAGAAAAUUUACCCCAUUGAUCUCGUAGAUGAAGAUGAUUUGGGACCUAAAAUAUUACAAAAUCAAUCUUAGGAUCACACGAGUGAAAAGUAAGCCGAAAUGAUUUUUGAUCAAUUUUUAUAAAUAUUUUACCUAAUAUAGCUUCAAUGUUUGGUUCGUUGAGAAGAUUCACAUAACCAUGAGAUAUGACCAUAUAUCAUUUUAUAUAGAUAAAAAGUCAAUUUAUAGGAAGGUAUUUUAAAUAAAAUAAUAAUAAUACGUAUUAGCAACUAUUGAAAACCCUCAAUUCUUUCCUGAUUGCAAAUCAAAUUUCAAGAAUAGUUACGGUAACUCAUAUCAUCCAAAUUACCAAUUAUAUUUUGGUAUCUAAUUUAUUUUUUCUUUUAUCAUAUUCAUGAAAAUUGAUUGCGUGGGUCCUCUUAUGAUUUUAUCUCCUAAUUUAAGCUUACAAUAACGAAACAUAAAAAAAAGGGGUAAAAGAUGGAUUUCAACCGGUUUCCAUCCAAAAUGUGUGGUUCUCAACUGACCGUCACUCCAUCAUUUGAAGGAGUGAUGGUCAGCUAAGCCUUUUCCACAUUUUAACGAGGGGCAUGCCUACAUAAAAGUUAAGUGCGUCUUCAUUGCUCAACCCAACCCACCAAUUCUGAGAAAAGUCACACAUUUGCAUGUGGACAAACCAUUUACGUAUAUCAAAGCCCAAAUCUUUCUCAUUUAUUUCGAAUUCAUUUGCAUUGCACAUUGUAGAAACAAUAACAUCACAUUCAUUAAUAUGAAGAAUUUUAUUACAUUCAUAUUGUGAAAAGUUUCUCCACCAGAUCAUCUUCCUUUAGAAAUUUAUAAAAGAAGAACAAGUUCGUUUCAUUAGAAAAGAAGAAGAGGAUGUUUAUUGUAAGUUAUAUAUGAUGCAAUUCUUGAUGUGAACACCUGAAUUUAAAUGCCACUUUUGUUUGUAAGAGAUAUCAUUCUGGACGCUUCUACCCCAUGACUAACCUGAUUUAAUUAACAAUUAUGGACAGCUAACUUCACAGCAGCUGCAGCUUUCAAUUUAUAGUAAAUUAAAGUUGAUGGCUUCAGAAAAAGUGAGAUGGAAGACAAUUAUGGAGGUGUACCUUUUACACGCCCAAAUUCUUUCGAGUUUCUUCUUGGUGCUUCUGAACUUUUGAAUAAAAAAAAAUCCGAUUUUCACACGUUUAAAUCAUUUAUAAUUAUUCUAUAGCUAUAUCUAUGGUUAAAUACAUUUAGAUAAAAUCACAAUUUAUCUAUAUAAAUGCAUAAUCAUAAGUUUAAGUCUGUCUGCGGCGCUCAACACACCAAUUCAUAAUCCUUGCAUGGAUACUUUCGUCCCCUGAUGUUCGAAACGCUCUUCUUUUUUCUCCCUUGUGGUAAAAAGAAUCCUAGUACCAAGAUACAAAGACUUCACUCCGAUUAGUUUUUGGAUAUGGUUGCCCUCAUUGACAUCAUCCAAGACAAUUAGCAUUCAUCAAUGUUAUCAAUUUCAUUAGUCACUCUAGAAUAAGAGAUAUUCGACAGUAAUUUUUCUUGUAGUUGGACAACGCCCUUUGUUUUUGGCGUUACCCUCACGUCAUCAAGAAAGUUGCAGUUUUUCCAAAAGCGAGGAUAUAGCUGGUUGAAGAUAUCCUUGGCGGGUUCUGAUCUAUCGAUGCUGCCCACCCUGUAGAUUCCAGUGAAUUGCACAAUACCAAAACUAAUGUCUUAUACAGUGUUUAUGGCUGCUAUUCAAUCCUCCGUUCUAACUAAAUCUUCGAUCACUUGUCUUUGUCUUGCAUUGAGCCUAACCACAAUCUCAUUUACAAUCGACUUGAUAAGAUUCCCAUGGCUGCCACAAAGUCAGUCAAUUUCAAAUGAGAAAAGGAGACAAAUUUGCACGUGGACAAAGCCUUUACAUAUAUCGAAGCCCGAAUCUACCUCAAUUGAUUUCAAAUGCGCAGCUCAUGUUUGCCAAAUUUCAGUCAUUCUUUUGCAUUGCACAUUUUAGAAACAAAAACAUUACGUUCAUUAAUGGGAAGAGUUUUAUUACAUUCUUAAUGUGAAAAUCUUCUCCACAAGAUCAUCCUCCUUCAAAAAUUUACAAAAGAAGAACAAAUGUGCGUCGUUAGAAAAGGAGAAAAGGACCCACGAAGAAAUUCUUGAUUUGAAUUCCCAAAGCUCGAUGCCAGUUUCGUUAGUGCGGGACAUCAUUUUGGACACUUGUAUCGCGUGACUCACGGGAUUUAAUUGAAAAUUAUGGAUAGACAACUUCACAAUAGCUGCAACUUUUAAUUUAUAGUCAAUAAAGUCGAUGGCUUUCGGGAAAAUGAAAUAGAGGACAAUUAUGAAGGCGUAUCUUUCACCGGACCAAUUUCUUUUGAGUUUCUUCUCGGUGCCUUUGAACUUUUGAAUUAAAUAAAAAUCUGAUUUUCAAACGUUUAAAUCAUUUAUAAUUAUUCUAUAGCUAUUACUAUGGUUAAACAUGUUUAUAUAGAUAAAAUCACAAUUUAUCUAUAUAAAUGCAUAAUAAAAAAUUCUAAAGAAUCCCUUUCAUCAUGACACAUGGAAUUAUGGAUAAUUAGAAGAUAUUUCUUCGUAUCAUUGAGAUUGGAUUCGCUGCAUUCACUAUAAAAAAGUGCUCCACCUAAGCAUAUAUUUACUAUGAAAUAUUUGUUUGAUCUCUUUGCCUUAAAGACAUACCUUUUAUAAUUAUUAAUUACUUUUAACCACUCAAAUAUUGUCAUAAACGUGCUUUUAAAUAUUAAAAAGCAAAUCUUUUACAACACUAAUUUCCUUAUUGAGAACUAUUAGAACGUGGGCAUGGUGUAGUUAGUGCUAUCAGCCAAACCAAAUUAUAUAAAUGUGGAAAUAUAUCUCCAGCCGGAACCUGAUCAAGUUAAGAUCGGACGAGAAUUAUAGAGGCUUGACCUCUAUUCAAGAGUGGUGAGAGGAAAUGCAAUGAGGGCCCGUCCAUAGCAAUGAUACCAUCCCAUCGUGUCGUUGCUUGGAGCGUGGAAAGAAAGGGAGAGUAUGAUGGUCUGGACCACGAGGGACGACUUUGCUCAGCUAAACAAAGGGAAAAGAGAGAUUGAUGAUGGGACAAAAGGGUAAGGAAAAACGACGAAGAAAGUUGCAAUAAUGGUGUCUUUUAACAAUGGCCACUCAUUGUUUCCUUUCUUCUUUAUUUGCUUAUAGUCUUUAAAUUCGAAGAGAUGAGAGCUCCGAGGACUGCACAGAGGAGACUGAAAAUUUCCUCUUAAGGGUAUGAUUUAGAAAGGUUUUCUUCGUGAAAUUACAGAAAAUGAAGCCGAUUAAAUCUUGUCUUAAUUUUUUAUAUCAUUCUCUUAUGAAAUUGAUAAAUUAUUUCGAGAGAAGCUGUGAGGGUUAAAGACAGAGUUAUUAGUUGUAUUUGAGGAUGAAAAACACCAAGAAUAUCUAAGUGCUUCGAAUAUGACCUUAAUAUCCAUUACUUUGUUUUAUCUAUAAAGGAAAUGUAUACUGAUUUUCCCGUGGACGUCCGAUUCAUUUCCUUAUUUUGCGCAUUUUUUUUAUCCUUUGUUUUAUUUUCAAUAAUAAAUGUGGUUUUACAAAAAUAGAAAAAAAACCAAACCAUAUUUUAGUCAAACCAUUUUCUGCGGCUUGAUCCGGCUUAAUUGUUGUUUCUUCUUUCAAUUUAUCUCUUCAUCAUUUGAAAUUUCAUGAGAAGAAACCAAAUUCUAUGUUGAGACCCUUCCGAGGUGAGAUCCCCAAGGAAGUUGUCGGAUGGCCAAGCAAGUGCAAAUGGUCCCUGUUGCAAGGCGACGCUUGCUCUUGGCAUGAUAGGUCUCAACUUGGUUAUUUGAUUAAGAGUCACAACUAAUUUUUUGAAGCAAAUAGGAGUUAAGUAGAACGCGGGAGCCGCCUUACUUCUACAAAUCGGAGAUUUGUGAGUCUAAAGACUUGAUUAGGCUGGAUAUAUCUAAAGCCCAAUUUGGUACUUUUUUUUUUCUCUUUUUAAAAAAACAAUUAUUCAUGCAGUCUUUCCAAUUUUAGUUACCAUUUUUAUUCUCAAUGUUGAGCAAGGCAAGUGAUCUCGCAUAAAUUCACUCAAGCAAACACAUAUAAAUCCAACAAUACCGAAACAAAUCUAGCAAUAAAAGGUACGAAAAUAAAGAACCCGAGCUGAGAAAAAAAUCAAUACAAAGCCUUGUUAUUAAGUUCCGGAAUAGGACCCCUUAAGCUAUAAAUAGACACUCAUUGUAAAAUAUAAAUAUGGCCCAAAAAUGGAAAGUAAUAAAUGAUACUUCCUGAAUAUAACUAGAUAAACUACUUUCCUAAAUGAACUAUGCAUCUAGAAGUAAAACCUACUUAAUGCAAUCUAAAGCGCNNNNNNNNNNNNNNNNNNNNNNNNNNNNNNNNNNNNNNNNNNNNNNNNNNNNNNNNNNNNNNNNNNNNNNNNNNNNNNNNNNNNNNNNNNNNNNNNNNNNUUAUGAAUAUACAUGAUUUCUAAAAUACAUUGCCAGAUAUAUAUAUUUUAAUGAAAAUGCAGUUCAUCUUUUUCUUUUCUUUUCCCCUUCUUUAUAUAUAUUAUAGUGAACCGAAAUUAAACAAAAAAUUUACUAAGCGCUGAAAUAAAUUUGAACUAGAAUCUGUAUGCAAAAAUAAUAUGUAAUAUAAACCCGGAUUUUCAUGAAAAUUUGCACUACGUUCACUUGGAAUUUUUUUUUUUUUUGGGUCUAAACGUUCACUUGGAAUUUUAACCUUAAAAUUCUUCCAAGAACGAGUCAUUGCACACCAGAAAUAAUGAAAACUAAAGUGACAUAAUGCUAUGAAUUACAUCGAAACUGAUCCACACUAUGCGAAAAUCAAUCGUGGAUGAAUACAUCUAUACAAAUUCCCCAUUUUCUCUCUUCCGCUUUUUACAUUUAACUGAAGGCAUGCCUGCAAAAAAAUUAAGUCAUCCUUGAAUUUAUACUUAAGUCCCCUGAAAUUUGAAACACUCUUAUCCUUGCUGGCAACAAGUAUUCUAGUACCAUAAUACAAAAAAAAAUUCACUCUGAUUAGUUUUUGAAUAUGGUUGCCCACAUCGACAUCAUCCAUUAUGAUUAGCAUUAUCAAUGCUAUCGAUGUCACAAGUCACCCUAGAGUAAGAGAUAUUGGACAAUAAUUUUUCUUGUAGCUAGACUAAGCCCUUAGUUUUUGACGUUUCCCUCGUGUCAUCAAAAAGCAAGCGAGGAUAUAGCUUGUCAAAGAUAACCCUGGGGGGUGCUGUUUUACUAAUGCUGCCUAUCCCCUAGAUUCGAAUGACUGCACGUUACCAUAACCGGUGUCUAAUAAAUUGUUUGUGGCUGCUAUUGGAUCCUCCAUUUCAACAAAAUGUUUGAUCACUUGUCUUUGUCUUGUCUCGAGCCUAACCACAACCUCAUUAACAACUGACUUGAUAAGAUUCCCAUAGGUGCCACAAAGUUAGAUGGUUUCAAUUAAGAAAAUGUAACAAAUUUGCAUGUUGACAAACCAUUUACAUAUAUUAGAGCUCAAAUUUGCCUCGAUUCAUUUUGAAAGCGCAACUAUUGUUUGUCAAAAUUUAGCCAUUCUUUUGGAUUACAUGUUUUAGAAACAAUAACAUUACAUUCAUCAAUGGGAAGAGUUUUAUUACAUUCUUAAUGUGAAGAGCUUCCCCACAAGAUUAUCCUCCUUCAGAAAUUUACAAAAGAAGAACAAGUGCGUUUCAAUUAGAAAAGGAGGAAAUAAUACACGAUGAAAUUCUUCAUUUGAACACUCAAAGCCAUAUGCCACCUUCAUUAGUGAGAGACAUCAUUUUGGACGAUUGGAUUGGGUGACUAACGGGAUUUAAUUGAAAGUUAUAGACAUGCAAUUUCAUAGUAGCUGCAGAUUUUAAUUUAUAGUCAAUAAAGUUGAUGGCUUUAGAAAAAAUGAGAUGGAGGACACUUAUGAAGGUGUAGCUUUAGAGGCCCAAUUUCUUUCGAAUUUCUUCUUGGUGCCUUUGGACUAUUGAAUAAAUAAAAGUCUGAUUUUCAAACGUUUAAAUCAUUUACAAUUAUUCUAUAGCUAUAUCUAUGGUUAAACAUAUUUAUAUAGAUAAACUCAUAAUUUAUCAAUAUAAAUGCAUGAUGACAAAAUAUUCCUAAAGAGUCCCUCUCAUUAUGACACAUCGGACUAUGGAUAAUUAAAGGAUUUUUCUUCAUAUUAUUGAGAUUGGAUUUGCUGCAUUCACCACCCAAAAAAGAGAGAGGAAAUGCCACUAAAAACCCCAAACUUCGCCCAAGUGACAAAUUUACCCUAAACUUUUUUUGUGACAUGAAAAACCCUAAAUUUUGCAAACCGUGACACAUUUACCCCCCACCAAGGGCAUUUUCAUUUUUUUUUCCCUUCUUCUUCUUCUCCUCUCUUCCCUCGGCCGGCCAUGGCGAAAGCCAAUGGAGGGAAGCCGGAGUCAGGCAAGGGACGCCCUCGCUGACGUUGAGCGAGGGUGGCCCUCAGCUGGGUUAGGCAAGGGCCUCCUUCCCUAGAUCUGGCAAGGGUGGCCCUCAUUUGCGUUUGGUGAGGACGGCCUUCACCCGACGCCGACAAGGGCUUGGCAAGGGAGGCUCUUGCCGGACCCAAUUGAGGGCUGCCCUCACCUAAUGUUGGCGAGAGCAGCCCUAGCCAGCCCAGGUGAGGGCAGCCCUCGCCUGACUCUGGCUUCCCUCCACCAUGGCUGGUGGAGGGAAGAGAGAAGAAGAAGAAAAAAAGAAAAAAAAGUAACAUACCAACAUGCCCUAUAGUUUAUGGUAAAUGUGUUACACGAAAAUAUAAGUUCAGGGUCUUUUGUAUAAUGAAAAAAAAUUUGGGAUUAAUGUGUCACGGUUGGCAAAGUUCAUGAUUUUUCAUGUCACAAAAAAAAGUUUGGGGUAAAUUUGUCACUUUGGGCAAAGUUUGAGGUUUUUUUUUUAUGGUGUUUCCUAAAAAAAAAAAAAAAAAAACUCCACCUAAGCUUAUUCUUACUACUCACUAUGAAAUAUUUGUUUGAUCUCUUUGCCUUAAAGAUGUGCCAUUUAUCAUAAUUAAUGAUCUUUAACUGCUCAAAUAUUAUCGUAAACGAGCUUUUAUAUUUAAAAAACAAAUCUUUUAUAACACUUAUUUCCUUAUUGAGAACUAUUAGAAUGUGAACGUGGUGUAGUCAGGGCCAUCAGCCAAAUCAAUUACGUAAAUGUGGAGAUAUUUCUCGAGCCAGAGCCUGAUCAAAUCAGAUCGGAGGAGAAUUAUGGUCGCUCGACCUCUAUUCAAGAGUGGUGAGAGGAAAUGCGAUGAAGGCCUGUCCAUAGCAAUGAUGCCAUCCCAUCAUGGUGUUGCUUUGAGAGUGGAAAGAAAGGGAGACCAUGAUGGUCUCGACCAUGAGAGACAGCUUUGCUCAGCUGAAGAAAGGGGGAAGAGAAAUUGAUGAUGGAACAAAAGGGCAAGGAAAGCGACGAAGAAAGUUGAAAUAAUGGUGUCUUUUAAUGAUGGCCACUCAUUGUUUCCUUUCUUCUUCUUUAUUUGGCUCUAGUAAAUUCUGUCUGAAUUCGAAAAGAGGAGCGCUCCGAGGACUGCUCAGAGGAGAUUGAAGAUUUCCUCUUAAAGGGUUUGAUUCAGAAAGGUUUUCUUCGUCAAAUUACACAAAAUGAAGCCAAUUAAAUCUUGUCUUAAUAUUGUAUGAGAUUGAGAAAUUAUUUCGAAAGAAAUUAUGAGGGUUAAAGACAGAGUUAUUAAUUAUAUUUAAGAAAUGAAAAAUUACCAAGAGCAUAUAAGUGACAUUAAAAAAAGAGAAAAGGAUACACGAAGAAGUUCUUGAUUUGAAUGCCCGAAGCCCGAUGCCACUUUUGUUAGUGCGAGACAUCAUUUUGGACGUUUGGAUCGCGUGACUCAUGGGAUUUAAUUGAAAGUUACGUAUAGGUAACUUCACAUUACCGGGAAAAUGAUGGCUCGGAAAUGGGAGGCUCGCCUUCGGCCGCCUGUGGCUUUCUCAACAGUGUUGCGUCGAUUUCCAACGACUUUGAAGAGAUUGGAGAUGGCCGGAAAUUCUUCUGUGUCUUUUUUUUUUCUCUCAUUUUUUAAGUCUGUCAUAUUUCGGGCCAAACCCAGCCCAAAACUAAAUUGAUGCCUAUCCAAGAGGACUUGUUUAGGCCCCAACCCUUCAACCGGGCCUGAAGUUGAUCGGGCGGGGCGUAUUUUUCAAUAAAAAAGCCACCCAUUUGCAACUAUACUUCCGAUUACUAGACGCCAAAGGAACUCACGAACUCAUUGCUACACCAUUCUUUAUCUGCCGUAGACAAACAAGCAUUCCUAUUCUGUAACAUAGAAAUGGCAACAAUUUAUUGCUUAUGCCCAUUCAUGAUGAAUACUUUCCCCAAAAUUCAAUCAACUAAUAUUAAAUUAACCCCAAUAACAACUAAUCACAAUAUUCCAGCAAUAUUAACCCUAAAGCAGUAAAGAUAGUGCUGAAUAUUAAAGCAAGGGAAAACCAACACCUGUAAAAUUUUACGUGAAAAACACAAUGCAGAAAACAUCACGAGACCAGUAAAAAUCUUCCGCUAAUCACCAAAAAUAGCAUAAUACAUAAUAGUUCAUCUCAAAGAACACAGUUAGAGGCUCUUUCACCUAAACAAAAUAUUAUCACCACAAAAGUGGAUUAACAUAAAGAAGUAAGAAAGAUCUAACCGCUACCAGACAAAAUCAGGAGACAACUUGGAGAAGAUUUUAACAAACACAACCGAUCAACUUGUAGAUCAUGGACUCACAAACAGCAUAUGAAAUUUUGGCCAAUUCCGACAAAGUUUCACUAUUGAAUUUAGACUACCUCUUCUCUUCUUCAAAGCAAAGCUCUUUCCCUCUUUUUCUCUAUAACAACGAAUUGUUCAUCCCUCUCUUCUAAAUCAAGAACAUUCAGCCCUAUCAAUUCUUUUUCUUUUUUAUUUUAUUUAACAUGAUGAGAUGAGCCCCACAAGAGGUGGACCCAACCCAACAAACAUCCUCUUCACCUUAUGAAGAAGUUUCAUUAUGCCAGCAUUAUCAAUACAGGAAGCAAGUUUCACCAUUGGCAAGGUUUUACUCAUCAUAUUGGAUCCAUUAUCAUUAGUGUAGACUUUCUCAAGUAAGAAAAGUUUAUCAUCUAAUUUAUCUCGGAUCCAAUGACAAGGAUAAAGCAUUAGUCUGGAUAAAGCAACCAGAUGCAAUUCUAGUGAACAUCACUCUAUCUUCAGCAAUAUGACAUGGAUAAAGUCGCGACAUAAAGCAUCCCGCAUAAUGCUGUCUUGUAUUUGCACGAAUAGAUUUGAUCUUGUCGGGGGCAAGACUGCUCAUCUCUAACUAAUAACAGCAGCUACCAAAGAGUUUAUAUAUCUAGAGCAGUAUCAUGAUUCACUCUCUAAGGACAAACACCCUCUAGAAAUGGAGAGAUCAGUUUCCUAUAUCUUCUUUAGUUUGCUUGCAAACCAUAAAUGGUGGAAGUUGAGAUCCAUGGAGUAACCUGACAAGCCAAAGUUUCAAGCCACUAAAACAUGUGUGUUUACUGUAGUGUCUCUUUUAUUACGUAACCUUUUGUUUUGAUAGGGCAUUUUUUCAAAACAUACCAAAACCGACAUCAAAGGCACUUUUAGAGCAAUAAUAUCAGAUUAUAUUAGUGUUGUGUUUAUCCUAGACUAUGUUGGUACACAGCUUCGGGGAAAUUGAAUGAAAUAUCGACCGACUAAAUUAAAGUUCAAUGCAACCAAAUGCUAGGCUCUUAAGAAAUACUCCCCAGUAGAGAGACUUGUCGAUUAAGAAAUUUAGCUGAAGCUCUCUCCAUUUUACUUUUACACUAACGGCAGGCUGACCAAUAAUAUAAAGUUUCAUUCAAUCAUAUUAUGUUAAAUAUUAUCUCCUUAUAACCAAAUGCAGCCAGUCAAAGUCAAGUGAAGAAUUCAAUAAUAAUUAUGCUUCAUUUGUUUCACGAAAAAUAAAUGAUUUGGAAAAUAAUUUCUAAAAAAAUGAUACAUUGUAUUUCUUGAAAUAAUUAGUCAAUAAAUAAUGUUUUCAUUAUUAAUAAUAAUCUUAUAUCUAAAAAUUUUGGUGAAUGAUAAAGAAAAUAUUCUAUCAUUUAUUUUUAUAAGCGAUACAAGUAAUUGUAAGUGAUAUAAAUAAUAUUUUUUGAUAUUUUAAAUUAUUCAUUCUUGUGAAACAACAAGAUAACGAAAUAAUAUUUAGCCAAAGAAAAUGGGUAAUUGGGCCCAGUUUUCGUUGGCCCAAAAAUUCUCUUGGGCUAAAUGAAACCUUCGUCCCUCACGCUGACGAAAGAAAUUCUCAUCUUUCAGUCGACUUGAAGAGCAUUUUUGGUUCUAAAUCGAGCUCAAACCUUCGUUUCCGCUACUCAUCUUCGUUUUCAUCUAAGGUCUUCGGGGAGCUUCUGUGAGCGUUUUUCACUACUAAUCGUUACACCGCCGCUUUUGUUCUUCAAUUUGAUAUCUAUUUUGCUUUUUUAAGCCAGUUUUCGUUGAUGUCGCGACUGUUUCUUGCUGAUUGGAUCGUCUUCGACCUGGGGCUGGAUGGUUUCUCGCUCGGGUGGCAAGAAAAUGUCGGAGAUCUCUUGUGGUGAUCGAGAUAGAUAGUAGUGUAAGAAGGUGAGAUGAAGAUUUAAGAAAUGUUGUGCCGUAGGUUUGUUCCAGCCGUAAUUGCGAAUGGGUGUCCGUGGAAUUACUUCCGUUGGACGUGCUUGUUUGUCUGUCUAAAUGGCGUGCUUUCUUUGAACUGGUGAUUAUUUUGUGCUUGAGUCAGAAAUUGGGAAUGCGAGCAAUUUGAGCAUGGACUCAUCUUCUCCAAUUGGGAAAAGAGAUGUCCCUAGUUCCCUUUCUUCCAUAUUAUUGUACAUGUGAUUGUUCCAAACAAAGUCUAACACAAUCUGUUGUUAAAUUUAUAGGAUCGUUACGAUCCUUGAUGACCUCACGAAAUUUUGUGAUGGGACAUGCUUAAGAUUUGAUUCCGUGUUCAUUGAUAUGUGGUGUCUUACUGGAAGAUGGGCGAGCUCGCUGGCGAUGAACAUCUCAAGUACAUACUGUGUUGAAAAGGUAGGUAUGAAAUUUUUACUACUCUCUUCUUGUUCUCUUGUCCACUUUCUGCCAGUUACUGAAAAUGACUUGGUUUAUCUGGAUCUGCUACUAUUCAGCAUUUUGGAGUUUACUAAUUUGAGUUUCUGGGUUUGAUCUUGCACUCAGAAAAAGGAUAGUUUUGAGUCAUUGAUUAUGGAGCACUUGAGCUUGAAUGGAGCAUUUUGGGGAUAGAACACUCUAGAUCUUCUUGGAAAACUUGGCACUGUGGAUUCAAAUGAAGUUGUUUCUUGGAUCCUGUAAUGCCAGCAUCUGUCUGGUUCGUAUUUUUUUGUCUCUCGGCUUCUUUUUUGGGAUUACCCACCAAAAACAUGUGGCUGACGGAACCUCCACUCCACAUUCAGUCAAGUUUUUCUUAUUUGACAGUAUGCUUAAGAUAUUAGCUUGGGAUUGACAAGUUCCAUCUAUUACAUUGAUGACCACAUCUUAGGAGGGAUUAGUGUUGCUUUAUUUAUUUAUAUUCUAAAACUUGACUCUAAAGAGCAAAGUGCAAAUGACACUUAGGGCCUGCUUGUGCAGGUGGCUUUGGUGCCAAAUAUUGGACAUGAUCCGCAUCUGCUGUAUGCACUCAGAGCCGUGCAAGUACUGGCCCUUUAUGACAAAUUAGAUGUUUUUGACAUCAAUAAUGUGACAGAUUGUAUCCUUUGGAAUAAAGUGUCUUAGAUUCGCAACUUCCUUGAUGAUCUUACCUUAGGCUCUGUUUUGCAUGUAAAAGGUCAGAUUAUGUUAUGGAAUUUUAUAGUGUGUAUAUUGCUAGCCAGACAUUGAUGGAGAUUGAAGUUGCUACUGUUGGAUUAUCUCUGGUAUCAAAUGUUCUACAUUGUUGUGCCUGAACGAAGAUGAAUCUUUUUCUGGGGAUAUAUGCGGAGAAGUUGAUGCUCGGUGUACUGUCCUCAUCUUUGAUCAAUUAUUAUUUUUGUGCUUCUUGAGGAUGUUUCUUAAAUAAUUGACAUCCCUUCACCCCUUUCUUCCCUUCGAAGGUUCUCUCAAUGUGCUAUAUGCUGUCUUGCAAUACUUAAACGGUUGGAUUCGAUAAAUGUGGAGAAUGCUGUCAGAUAUAUAGUGAGUUGCAAAACUUUGGAUGGCGGGUUUGGUUGCAUUCCUGGUGCAGGGUCUCACCUGAAAUGAUAUCAUUGCACGCAGCCUUCGCUUCCAUCUUGAUGGUAUAAUCAUGGCGUAAACCACUGAUGUCUAUCUAAGAUAUCCCAAGACAACGCACUAAUGUCCUUGCUCUCUCAACUAAUCUAGCUGGUAGUAGUUAACAGUUGGAGAAAACCAUCUGGUCUAGCUAUAUCUACAGGGAACUAUUCGUUGCCAAAAUGCCAACUAAAAUGCCAGAAUCUCACCAUACUAUCACAAAAGGUAAAGAAACUUCAGAGUUGCCUAAGUUAUUAUUAAGCUACGAUCUUCACAAGACAAUGAUCUCCUUAGGAUUGGUAAGAUUAUAGUCUCAUAUAAGUUGAAUACAGUUUAAUAUUGGUGACAGUGUAUUUCGAGAAUGUAAACUCGACUGUAAGGCAUACUUAUUGAAUUUCAUAAAUCAUCUGUUUCGAAUAAUUUUUCUUUGCAAUUCCUAGGAUCCUAUAAUGUGCGGUUCAAGAAGUCUAUAUUCGGGACACAGCAGGUCCACAAUUGAUGGCAAGUUUUCCAAUCUGAAUAACCUUAGGACUUAGUAAAGUAGUAAUUAGGAGAUUAACAAAACCGCUUAAAUCCUCGAAUGCUUUGCUAACUGAGCAAGUAAACACACUUCAAACGUGUAAAACCCGCAAUGAGCAACGAUCGCAAAAUGCAUUCUCAUAAGCAGCCACGGAGGGCCCCAGUGAAUUGCAGUUCUCUCCUCUCCUAGCUAAGCAAUAACGGAAGUUCCUCCAGUCCACUGUCCUACCCUUGAAGAGCAAAUCUAGCAACCCAACCAAAUCUAGCAAGUAUGUCAUAACCUCAUGCUGAGCUCUUUCACGGGUUUCUAAUAUCUGAUUGGUGCAUAGUAAGUCGUGUAUUUGCUUAAAUACAUAGUGGUCUUCUAAUUAUGCUCCAAUGAACACAUCCAAAAGAUAAAACCGAGUCGCCACAGUUUUAAGACAUUCUUUAGGACUCAUCUUAGAAGAGAGAAAGUACAAAGGAAUUGAUGAUUUCCACUGGAGAAUUAGGCAUAAAACAAUGAAGGACCAAGCAAGAAAAUUAAGAAGCACAAGAGCCUGACCAAGCACCUUGCUACUAAGUGGCUCACUUUUCUCUCUUCUUUCAAUUCAAAUAAGAAAAUAUUUGCAAAACAGAGAACUGGAACGUGGGAGUAAUCAUGAAGCGAUAAGAUUUGGUGUUUCUACUUCAACGGAUAACAAAACCUGUGUGUAUUUUGUGUAGCCAAUUGUCGAGUCGAUCACGUAGUAAAUUUGACCUGUGGAAUCCUCAACCAUAAGCAGCAGACCUCAAAUUAGCAAUGGAAACCAAAACUGCCCAAAACAUGAAAGAAAAAAAAAAAAAACCGGACAUCCCAUUUUAAUUCUACAUGAUGAACCAAGAAGAGAAGCACUAGUUACUUCUUUUUCAAUCAUCAAGAGCUCCUCACAGGUAAUAGACAGCUCCUCACAUGUAAUAAAGAGACUGUGGAUACUCAUUAAAGCGACCAUUAACCAAACCUUAGAAUAUACUUAUAGACAAACUCUUCAAGAGAAGAUGCUCAACAUCUUGUGCACAUGAAUACGCUCAAUCGAACAGUCCACAAAAGCAUAGUAACAUAACUAGACUAGGCAUACAGACCCUUAUACAACUAUUAGCAUAUGAAGCUAGAGCUAGAGCUCAAGCUCAUGCUUAAUAUUUAAAGAUAAAUCACACAAUUACAUUCAACUAAACACCAACUGCCACACCAAAAAACACACCCAAAAAAAAAAAAAAAACCCAACUGCCCCACCACUCUUACCUGUUCUUCAGUGAUUAGCUAGUGAUCCAGAGCUCAGGUCCAUGACUCCCGCCACUGAUGAAAUUAAUGAAUGCACCAAAUUCCUCCAGCUGAGCGGCACUAAAGAAGAAAAUGUGCACUAGAGUGAAAAGUGGCACUGGAGAAGGACUUGAAGCUCACAGACCUGGAACUUGAAGCUCGCGAAGAAGGACUUGAAGCUUGUGGGCGACGAAGAAAGAAGAGAUGAUGGCAACCGACACGGCCAACGACGGACUGAAGUUCGAGAGGAGCGAGUAGCAUCGUGGAUUGAAUGACAGCGAUUUGCUUGUGCAGCGAGAGAGAGGAAGAAGAAAACAUGAAAAAGAACCCUAAUCCCAAUUCAAUCCAUCGUUCACGAAUAAUCAUCCAACUUUCUUUUCCCUUUUUGUUUUGCCGACUCUGUCUGCAGAAGGAAACGAUAAGUGAGUUGAGGUGAGGUCUCUUGGGCCUAAAAAUUUCUCUUAAGAAAGGCCCUUUUGUUAUGGAUGGUGAGGGAUGUAAGAUCCCCAACCUCGCCACCGAAGUGGACACACACAACAUAUGGAGCUUCCCAGUAAGAUGGGAAAUUUAAUAAGAUUUUUCUUGGUUGCGCGUUUUAGAAUCAGUUCAUUGUCUCUCUUCACUAGACUAAAGCAGAAAUAGAAAGCAAGCAAAGCAGAAGAAAAAACGUAUGAUCUACGAAUAGAAAGAAGGCGCACCGUUUUCUGUAGAGGAUCCCCUGUUUCUGUUUCAGAGUUCGUUGUUUCAAUUUCAGAGCCGCGCUUGCUUUUUUCUGCUCAAAAUCUUCUCUCUGUAAGACUCCCAAGUGUCGAAAUAUUCAGUGUAGCCAAGUUCACUAUCGUCUUCACUAUCGUCUUCACUAUCGUCGGAUGACUUCUCGCGUGGUAUGAGUAUCUCGCAAUUUUCUGGUUCUUUUGAGCUCAAUACAUCAAAAAUCCUUUCGAAUAUGCACCCACUAAUUUCCAAGGAACAUGAAGACUUUAGUUCGUAAAUGCCCUCAAUAUGCUGCAGGCUGGGGCACUGGUCAAUCUUUAUCCGCAAGUUCUUCAAGUUUGACAAACUGCCUAUCCUUUUUAACGAAGAGCACUGGUCAAUCUCUAACUGCUUCAAGUUCUUCAAGUUUGACAAACCGCCUAGGCUUUUUAACGAAGAGCACUCAUGAACGUAAAUUUCUUCCAAUGAUUUGAACGUAGAAUCAAAUUGAAUAUCCUGUACCUCAUGGGACCCCGACAGACUGAACCUUCUAAGCAUCUUUUGGGAGCUUGGGAAAAGGAUCGCUUCCCUCCUAUGGUCAGUCAACUCGGGAGCUUGUAGUUCACUUUUCCCCCGCUCCUCCGGGUGACAAACCUUACUCUUGGAAGAUCUGCGGAUUUUUGAGCUCGAAGCAUCAAAAAUCCUUUCCAAUGAUCUGCACCCCCCAAUUUCCAACCAACGCAAAAACUCCAGUUCGUCAAUGCCCUCAACAACCUUCAAGCUCGGGCACUGGUGAAUCUCUAACCGCUUCAAGUUCUUCGAGCUUGACAAACCGCCUAAGGUUUUUAAUGAAGAGCACUCUUUAACAGAAAAUUCUUCCAAUGAUUCUAACGGAGAAACAAAUCGAAUAUCCUGUACCUCUGGGAACCCCGACAGACAGCAUUCUAUGAGCAUGUUAAGGGAGCUGGUGAAAAGGAAGGCUUCCCUCCGAUGAUCAAUUAACUUGGGAGCUUGUUGUUCGUUGCACCUCGGCUCCUCCGGCUGACAAACCAACCUCUCGGAAGAUCUGCAGUCCUGAAUGCGUGAUCUCUCCAACGAUUCUAAGACAUCGGGAAAUUGAACAUCAUGUUGCUCGCACACCUUGUUUUCUCUCGAUUUUCUCAAUGGAGGAAGCCCGUCAAGGUGUUCUUGUUUCCCUCGAGUUUCGUAGAGCUUUAAAAUUAUCAAGUUUGACGGAAGCUCUUCAAAAGUUGGCAAGUCUAGUCCAUGUAGAGUAAGUUCUUUCAGCUGAGAAAGGGAAGACAGCUCUGUAGUUGGUGCGCGGACAUUUGGAAAGCGAAUGUGCAGCUUGCUCACUUUGGUUAAACUCCCAAUCCACCCCAAGUUGCCAGUUUGGAAUUCAUUUGAUGGGUGUCUAUGUCCAUAGCGACCAGAUAGGAACAGUUCAACUAGAUUAGUAAGGUAUGAGAGGUUAGGGACAGUCUGCAAUGAAUCAGAUGCCCAUUGUAGAGUGGUCAAACUUCUGGGGAGUUCCGGCAGUUCUUCAAUUUUUGUGGCUGAUGCAUUGAUAAAUAACAGGCUUCGUAGUCUACCAAUGGAAUUAGGUAAUCUUGAAAUACUUGUGCCAAAUACAUCCAGUUUCAUUAACUUCUCUAAUUUUGAAACUGAGUCAGGAAGUUCAAUCAGGUCAAAACAACUAUUAAGAGAGAGAUGUUGCAGAUUCUGUAGCUUUCCAAUCUGUUCAGGCAAUUUUCUCAGUCUGUAACAGGAUUUAAUUAUCAAGUGAGUCAGCCACUUUAGCUUCCCAAUAGAGUGGUCAAUUCGCAUCAAAGACCAAAAUGAAGAAAUAGCCAACUCCUCUAAAACUGAGUCCUCAGGAAAGGUUGGUAUCUCAUUUAUCAACCCAUUGUACCUAAUAGUGAGAACCUUCAAUUUCCUUGCCCCCUACAAAAGCCAAUGAAACAUCAGGACCAAAAAGAAAUAAAUAUGGAUGUAGGCUACCAACGAGAAAAUUAGAUUAUAAAUCCAUCAUAUUUUGUCCUUCGUUGAAUGAGAAAAUUAGACUCAGAGGGAAACUGGCAUACCUCGAUUAGGCUUUGAAGCACAUCUUCUGUGAUAUCAAGCCCACUAAGAUUCACCACAACUGCGUUUUCUAGAUGCAACAGAUUGGUUGCCUCCAAACGUUUAUUGGAGGGGGCAUGGGUACGAUCAAAAUAACUGUAACUCAAAUCGAUCAAUCUCAAAUCGGAAAGACAGCCCGUAAAGUCACCUUGGCAGAUUACCUCACGCAACCAAAGAAUCCGCAAAUGCGGGAACCGCUUAAUUUGCUCCGAAGUGAUGAUUUCAUCAUCUGCCCACAAACGAAGAGAUUGAACGCUUCCCUUAAUCUGCCAAUGACAUUGAGGAGCAGAAGCAGGAAUUUGUCAAUAUCCCCCUAUGUUAUUUCUUAGAAGAGAAGAAAAACCGAAACAAAAGAGUGGCUACCAAAUAAAAAACGGGAAUCCUCAAUUAAGAAGAGGGUAUAAACAAUUUCUAUUCAAAUUUGGCCAUACUUUACCUCUGUUGAUCUUAAUUCGCGAAUGAUGUCAUCUUUAUCCCACAAUCUAGCACCCUCUUUUUUGGCAAUUGCUCUUCCAAGAUCUCUAAACUGAUCAUGCAUCCCAAAUCUAUCAUCAUCUAAAAAUAUCAUGCACCUCAUAGUAAGGAGCUUGAUGGCAAUCCUCACGGAAAACUGACAAUCUUUCCACAUGUACAUUGCAUUAGUCUUUUUCUGUCCAAUGAAAAAGCAUGCAAUAUCGAGGAAUAUUUUUUGUUGAUCCAAAUCUAAGGCAUCAUAGCUAAUCCUUAGCUUUUCCAAGACAUCAUUAUGAGGUGUUUUCUGUAGCUUCUCUAGCCACUCUCCCCAUAUUUCUUCUUCUUCCUCACCAAAAAGCGAUGAACCUAUUGCUUUAAGAGCUAAAGGUAGUCCAUUUGCAGUAGAGACAAUCCUUUCUGAAAGAGUGUAGUAAUUGCGUGGAGGAGAGUCGUCAUCGAAGGCAUGCUUACUAAAAAGUUGAAGUGCAUUUUCCUUGCUUAAUGGCACCAUUUCAUAUUCCUUGAAUUUACACUUUAAUCCCCUUUUAUUAUUCAGAAUACUCUUGUCCCUAGUAGUAACAAGUAUCCUAGUACCUCCUGGAUACAAUAUAUUCUCUCCAAUUAGGUUUUUGAUUUGGUCGGCUUUAUCAACAUCAUCCAAUACAAUUAGCAUCUUCUUCCUGCAAAUUUUUUUUUCAAUCAAACGAAUUCCAUGACCAAUGUUAAAAAUGUUAGGAGCCACUUCAGGAUAAUAGAUAUCGGACAAUAUUUUUUGUUGCAGCCUGACAAUGCCAUUGAUUUUUGCCAUUUCCCUCACGUUAUCAAGAAAGCUGCAAUUUCUCCCAAAGCGAUGACAUAGUUUGUUGAAAAUAGUCUCAGCAAGUGUUGUUUUACCGAUGCCGCCCAUGCCAUAGAUUCCAAUGAGCCGCACACCAUCGGAAUCAAUGUCUAAUAAAUCUUCUAUGGCCACUGCUCGAUCCUCCAUUCCAACUAAAUCUUUGGAUACUUUUAUUUCUCUUAUGGCCACUGUUCGAUCCUCUAUUCCAACUAAAUCUUUGGGUACUUUUAUUUCUCUUGUCUCAAGCAAGACCGCUACCUUGUCAACAAUCGCUUGGAUAACUUCUGUGUAGCUGCCACAAAGUUGAAUAGUUUCGAUUGAGAAAAGGUGACAAAUUUGCAUAUUGACCAACCAUCUACUAAGCAACCGGGUGGGAGCGUAAUCAAGUUUAGGAUAAAUCACAAUUCAACGUUAGCCCCCAAAGCUUUGGGAACAUGAUGAAUUACAAACUUGAACAUCCAUUACAAGUUUAAGGAAUAGAGUACGAGAAAUAUUUGAUUUUAUAUCAAGUAAUCGAAUCAAAAUUUCUAGCAAAAAGGGUAGAAGAAUCAAAAUAUAAACAUCUAAUGAAUUGCUGUAAUAGAAUAUUUACUUAUUUCUUUGGACGUGUAAAAGAACUUUGCAAAUGCAACAGUUCCAUAAUCAAGUUCUCUUGCAUACAAUGGGAAUCUUAAUACAUACAUGGAUCAAAGACGAAGCAAAGCCAAAUUUUUCAUACGAUGGAAAAUAGGUGAAAAACGAAAUUAUAAUAACCCUAUUGGGUCAGAAUUUUUUUUUGGAAAUCUCGUGAUUUACAAAAAUAAAAAGAAGAAUUUGAAACUUUCUGUUUAAAUUUGCAAAAACUAGAGUUGUAAUGUAAUUAAAUAAUUUUUAUAAGAAUUAUGGCCCAAUCGUACAAAAUAAUUUUCAGUCAUGGUUAGAUUGCUACCCUGGAUAUUUUGCCAACUCCCAUCCCUUGAUGCCACCAACUUCUUUGAGAGCCUGCUGCCAGGUCUGUAUAUCCUCGGAGUUGAACUUAUUCUUUUGACCCAAAUUCGAUAUGGCAUUCUUGUACAAUUCAGUUUUUAACUUCACGUCUUCGGGUUUCACGUUGUAGAAGAUGGGCAAUAUGACCUUCUUCUUCCCCUCUUCUUUAGAUUUAGCAGUGUUCUCCACCAUCUUCGUGAGCUCGUUGAGGCACCAGUGACUUGAAGCAUAGUCUUUGGAGAAGAUGGGUAUGUAGAGCUCGGAGUUGUCGAUUGCUUGUGGAAGGUUGUCACUAAUUCUUUCACCAAAUUGAAGUUCCUCAUCAUCAAUGAAAACACGAAACCCAACACGUAACAAGGCGUGGUAGAGGCUAUUGGUGAUGUACGGCGAGUAUCAGGUCCCCUAAAACUCAAGAACACGUGAUACAAACCUCCAAAUGUACUGCUGGUGCUUGUUCUGGUCUCUGGGCUUGCCAUAGGAGCUCACUUCACACUUAGCAGGUUCAGCCGUCUCUCUCUCUCUGAUUGACACUGUUGAAAUACUUCUUCCAUGCAAAUUCGCACAAAGCCUUGUGGUUCUCUGAAUGUGAAAAGCUUUAAUUACAUUCUUAAUGUGAAAAGCUUUCUCCACCAGAUCCUCCUCCCUCUAGAAUUUACAAAAAGAGAACCAGUGCGUUACAUCAAAAAAGGAGAAAAGGAUGUUUAACUAAUUGAAAGUUACGGACAGGCAACUUCGCAGCACCUACGGCUUUCAAUUUAAAGUCAAUAAAGUUGAUCAACUUUAGAAAAGAUGAGGUUAAGUUUCUCCUUCGUGCUUUUCCCUCUGUGCUUUUGAACUUUGGGAUUAAAAAAAAUUUGAUUCUCAAACAUUUAAAUCAUGCAUGAUUAUUCUAAAGCUAUAUCUAUAGUUGAACAUAUUUAAAAUCCCAAUCCGGUAUCGUAAAAUCACAAGGUAUCUAUAUAAAGUAAGAAGAUACUCCUAAAGAAUUAAAGCAGGUUUUGCUGCAUUCAAUUUAUCGGAUAAUUAGAAAAAAUUUCUCCAUACAUAGAGAUUGGAUUUGUAGCAUUCUCAACAACAAAUGCCACACCUAAGCACUACCUAAGCAUAUAUGAGAUAUUUGAUUUGAUGUCUUUGCCUCAAAGACUUACCUUUUAUUAUAAUUAAUGACCUUUAAAACUCUAAUAUUCUCAUAAAAUGUGCCUUUAUAUCAACAGGCAACUUCCCAAAAGAUGCAGCUUUUAAUUAAUAGUGAAUGAAGUUGAUGGCUUCAGAAAAAACCAGAUGAAGGACAAUUAUGGAGAUGUACCACUUUUUUCGGUCGGUCGAGAUGUACAAUUAUGGAGAUGUACCACUUUUUUUUUUGACAGCGGAGAUGUACCAUUUCACACGCCCAAUAUCUUUCGCCUUUCUUCUUGGUGCCUUUGAACUUUUGAAUUAAAAAAAACUCCAUUUUUCAAAUAUUUAAAUCAUUUAUAAUUAUUCUAUAGCUAUAUCUAUAAUUAAACGUAUUUAUAUAGAUAAAAUCACAAUCUAUAUAAAUGUAUAAUAACAAAAUAUUCCUAAAGAAUAUCUCUCAUUAUGACAUAUGAGACUUUGGACAAUUAGAAGAUUUUCCUACAAACUAUUGAGAUUGGAUUUGCUACAUUCACCACAAAAAUGCUCCACCUAAGCACUACCUAGCAGUAUGCUUACUACUCACUAUGACGUAUUUGUUUUGGUCUCUUCCCCUUAAAGACUUACAUUUUAUCAUAAUUAAUUACCUUCAACCCCACAAUAUUGCAAUAUAUGUGCCUUUAUAUCAAAAAGCAAAUAUUUUACAACACUUAUUGUCUUAUUGAAAACUAUUAGAAUGCAAGCAUGAUAUAAUUAGUGUGGUUUGGACAUCAGCCAAACCUAAUUAUAUAAACAUUGAAAUAUAUCUCAAGUCGGAGCGGGAUUAAACCGGAUCGAAAAAGACUUAUCGACACUCGACCUCUAAUCAAGAGUGGUGAGAGGAAAUGCAAUGAUGGCCUGUCCAUGGCCAUGGUGCCAUCCCAUCAUGGUGUUGCUUUAAGCGUCGAAAGAAAGAGAGACCGCCCUGGUUUUGACCAUAAGAGACGACGACUUUUUUUUUUUUUGUGCCGAAAGAACUGCUUUGAUUGACAGCCGCCACGUAAACCCUCAAAUGACGCUAGCCCAGAACCCACCACCAGGGCGCCACACGUAAUACACCUAAUAGUUUGCCAGCCUCUCUACAACUUGUGUUGUAGAGGCUUCGAACACCUGACUUUUCCCUUCAAAGACAGGAGCCUACUCAGUAAAGCCACCACACGGCCGGUGGUAUAAGGGACGACUUUGCCCAGCUGAAGAACGGGAAAAAAGAGAGAAUGAUGAUGGCCACCGCUGAUACGAGACAAAAGGGGAAGGAAAACGACGAAGAAAGUUGCAAUAAUGGCGUCAUUUAACGAUGGCCGCUCAUUGUUUCCUUUCUUCUUUAUUUGCUUCUUGUGAAUUUUCUCUGUGAAUACGAAGAGGAAGAGCUCUUAAUGAGAGCUCCGAGGACUGCACAACGAGAUUUAAAAUUUCCUCUUAAAAGUUUUGAUUCAAAAAGUUUUUCUUUAUGAAAUUACACAAAAUGAAGUCAAUUAAAUCUUGUGUUAACGUUUAGGUCAAUCUUUUUAUGCGAUUGAAAUAUUAUUUUGAGAGAAAUUAUGAGGGUUAAAUACAGAGUUAUUAGUCAUAUUUGAGGGAUAAAAAUACAAAUAAUAUUUGAGUAACUCAAGUAUUAUUAUAAUCUCCAUUGCAUUGUAAUUUCAUGGUUUUCAUUUCCUCAUGGACGUAGGUCACAUAACCGAACCACGCAAAUUUAGUGUUUGAUUCAUUUCCUUGUUUUACAUUUUUAUUCAAGCACUUGUUUUAUUUCCAACAAUAAAUAUGGUUUGAAGAAAAGUGAAACCAAAUUAAACCGUAUUAUAGUCGAGAUCAAACCAAGCCAAACCAUUUUAUGUGGUUUGAUUCGGCUUAAUCGUUUUUUCUGCUUUUAUUUUACCUCUUCAUCAUAUGUAAUUUCAUGAUUAAAAAAAAAAAAAAAAAAACAAAGUCUACGCCACAACCCUUCCGAGGCGAGAUCCCUGAGGAAGUUACCGAAUUAUCAAGUAAGCAUGAAUGGUCCCUUUUGCAAGGUGACGCUUGCUCUUGGCAGGAUCAAUCUCAACUUGGUUUCUAUUAAUUAUUUCAUUUGCUCAAGAGUCGCCAUUAAUUUUUUAUAAACCGAUUAGGAGUCAAGUAAAACACAAGAGCCUAUUUUACUUCUACAAACCGGAGAUUUGUGGGUCUAACGACUUGAUUAGGCUGGAUAUGUAAUGUGCAAUUAUUCAUGCGAUCUUCCAAUCUUAGUUACCCAUUCUGUUCUCAAUAUCGAGGGAAGAAGGCGAUCAUGCAUGAAAUCACUCAAGCAAACACAAAUAAAAUCCAAUAAUACUGAAACAAAUAGAGCAAAUAAAAGAUACGAAAAUAAAGAAAUUGAGCCGUAUUGCAAAAAAAAAAAAAAACAAAACAAAAUCAAUACAAAGCUUUGUUCUUAAGUUCCAAGAUAGGACCCCUUGAGCUAUAAAUAGAAACUCGAUGUUAGAUCUCCAACUAUGGCUCCAAACCGGAAAGUCAAUAAAUGAUACUUCAUGAAUAUCCACUAUAUAAACUACUUUCCUAAAAUGAACAAUUACUUCAAAACGUAAAAUCUACUCAAUGCAAUGUUAAGAAAACAAAAUUUAUUUAUGAAUAUGCAUUACUGGUAAAAUACACUCCUAGAUGUUUUUUUAUUUUAUUUUAUUUUCUGAAUAUGCAGUUUAUCUUUCCACUUGUUUUUUUUUUUCUUUUUUGCAUUUCCCCCUUCUUUAUAUAUACACACACACAUAUAUAAGUGAAGCAAAAUUUGAUUACGUGUUGAAAUAAAUAUGAACUAGAAUCUAUAUGCCAAAAUAAUAUGUAAUAUAAAUCCGGAUUUUCAUGAAAAUUUGCACUGCGUUCACUUGGAAUUUUUUUUCUUUGGAAACGCUCAAUUGGAAUUUCAACCUUAAAAUUGCAUCAAGAACGACUUAGUGCACACGAGAAAAUAAAGAAAACUAAAGUGACAUAAUGCUAUGAAUUAGAGCCAAAUAAUCCACACUAUGCGAAAAUCAACGGUGGAUGAAUAAAUCUAUACGAAUAACCAAUUUUCUCUCUACCGCUUUUUUUAGGGUGCAGUUUAGUUAACCGUCCUCUGUCAAAUGAUGGAGUGACAGUCAACUAAUGACACACAAUUCGCAUAGAUUCCAUCUUUUACCCUUUUUUUAUUUUAAUUUUUAUGCUUUCUUAUUGCAAGCUUAAAUUGAGCGAUAAAAUCAUAAGAGGGCCAUACAAUCAAUUUUCAUGAAUAUUAUGAAAGGAAAAAUAAAUUAGAUACCAAAAUAUAAAUAAUUAGAAGUAAAAAAUAUUGUCCUCCACUAAAAAGAAAUCAUUCAUUUCGUUAGGUAGAUCUAUUAAAUUUAAAAGAUGAAAAAACACUUGAAUUUUUGGCUUUGCAACUAAUAACAAAAUUAUUGUGCAAUGAAUUGGCUUCUCAAUCCUAUCGCCAAAAUCAAAUUGCUUUGGAAGGACUCUCCGAUGACCUAAAAUUAAGACAAGUAAUGUUAAUUACGCAUAAAACAAAUGAAGUAAAGAAAAUAACAAAAUAAGAAUAAUGAAUUAGUAGAGAAGAAAAUUUACCCCACUGAUCCAAAUCUCGUAGAUGAAGAUGAGUUGGGACCUAAAAUAUUACAAAAUCAAUCUUAGGAUCACACGAGUGAAGACUAAGCCAAAAUGAUUUUUGAUCAAUUUUUAUAAAUAUUUUACCUAAUAUAGCUUCAUGUUUGGUUCGUUGAGAAGAUUCAUGUAACCACAAGAUAUGACCAUAUAUCAUUUUAUAUAGAUAAAAAUUCAAUUUAUGGGAAGGUAUUUUAAAUAAAAUAAUAAUAAUACAUAUCAGCAACUAUUGAAAACCCUCGAUUCUUUCCUAAUUGCAAAUCAAGUUUUAAGAAUGGUUACGGUAACUCAUAUCAUCCAAAUUACCAAUUAUAUUUUGGUAUCUAAUUUAUUUUUUUCUUUCAUCAUAUUCAUGAAAAUUGAUUGCAUUGGUCCUCUUAUGAUUUUAUCUCCUAAUUUAAGCUUACAAUAACAAAAAAAAAAAAAAAAGGGUAAAAGAUGGAUUUCAACCGUUUCCAUCCAAAAUGUGUGGUUCUCAACUGACCGUCACUCCAUCAUUUGAAGGAGUGAUGGUCAGCUAAGCCUUUUCCACAUUUUAACUAGAGGUAUGCCUGCAUAAAAGUUAAGUGCGUCUUCAUUGCUCAACCCAACCCACAAAUUCUUAAUCCUUGCAUAUAUACUUAAGUUCCCUCAUAUACGCUCGUCCCCUAGAGGCAAUAAGUAUCCUAGUACCAAGAUACAAAGAAUUCACUCCAAUUAAUUUUUGGAUAUGGUUGUCCUCGUCGACAUCAUCCAAUACAAUUAGCAUCUAUCAAUGUUAUCAAUGUCACGAGUCACUCUAGAAUAACAUAUAUCGAAAAAUAAUUUUUCUUGUGGCAUGACUAGGCCCUUGGUUUUUAGCAUUUCCCUUGUGUCAACAAGAAAGUUGCAGUUUUUCCCAAAGCGAGGAUAUAGCUAGUUGAAGAUAACCUUGGCGGGUGUUGUUUUGCCAAUGCUCCCCAACCCAUAGAUUCCAAUGAACCGCAUACCGUCAAAAGCGGUGUUUGAUAAAUUGUCUAUGGUUGUUAUUCAAUCCUCCAUUACAACUAAAUUUUUGGUCAGUUGCCUUUGUCUUGUCUUCACCCUGACCACAAUCUCAUUAACAACCGACGUGAUAAGAUUCCCAUAGCUGCCACAAUGUCAAACAAUAUUAAUUGAGAAAAAGUGACAAAUUUCCAUGUUGACAAACAAUUUACAUAUAUAAGAUCUUGAAUCAGCCUCAAUUCAUUUUGAAUGCGCAGCACUUAUAUUUCUGUUAGAUUGCACGUUUCAGAAACAAUAAUGACAUUACAUUCAUUAAUGGGAAGAGCGUUUUGUUACAUUCUUAAUGCGAAAAGCUUCUCCACCAGAUCAUCCUUCUUGAAAAAUUUACAAAAGAAGAACCAACGCAUAACAUUAGAAAAGGAGAAAAGGAUGUUUAUUAUGAGAAAUAAAUGAUGAAAUUCUUGAUUUGAAUGCCCGAAGUCCGGUGCCACUUUCUUUAGUGAGAGACGUCAUUUUGGACAUUUGUACCGUGUGACUCACGUAAUUUAAUUGAAACUGACGAACAAACAACUUCACAGCAGUUGCAGCUUUCAAUUUAUGGUCAAUAGAGUGGAUGGCUUCAGAGAAAAUGAGAUGAAGGACAAUUAUGGAGGUCUACCUUUUCACAAGCCCAAUUUCUUUGGAGUUUCUUCUUAGUGCAUUUGAACUUUUGAAUUUAUGACCAUUUUUUAAUUAAAAAAAUCUGAUUUUCAAACGUUUAAAUCAUUUAUAAUUAGUUUAUAGCUAUAUCUAUGGUUAAACAUAUUUAUAUAGAUAAAAACGGAAUUUAUCCAUAUAAAUGCAUAAUAAAAAAUAUUCCUAAAGAAAAGUUUAAGUUAAAUGCGUUUAUUUCAAGUGAGUGAUUCAUUGUUAGUCAAAUUUCCGCUGUUUUUUUUUUGUUUUGUUUUGGACAUUUUAACAAUAAUAACAUUACAUUUCAUUAAUGAAAAGAGCUUCUCCACCAUAUCAUCCUCCUUCAGAAAUUUACAAAAGAAGAGCAAGCACAUUACAUUAUUAAAGGAGAAAAGGCUGUUUAUUGUGAGAUAUAAUGACAAAAUUCUUGAUUUGAACACCAAAGUCCGAUGCCACUAUCGGUAGUGAUAGACAUCAUUUUGGAUUUUUGUAUUGCGUGACUCAUGAGAUUUAAUUGAAAGUUACGGACAGGCAACUUGACAGCAUCCGCAGCUUUCAAUUAAUAGUGAAUAAAGUUGAUGGCUUCAUGAAAAAUCAGAUGGAGGACAAUUAUGGAGAUGUACCAGUUUUUUGGUCGGUUGAAUACAAUUAUGGAGAUGUACCAUUUCACACGUCCUUUCGCCUUUCUUCUCGGUGCCUUUGAGCUUUCGAAUUAAAAAAAGAAAAAUUCUGAUUUUGGGCGUGGAAAGAAAGAGAGGCCGUGCUGGUCUUGACCAUAAGAGGACGACUUUGCUUGGCCGAAGAAAGGGAAAAAGACAGACCGAUAAUGGCCACUGCUGACAUCGGACAGUACAGAAGGGAAACGAAAACGACGAAGAAAGUUGCAGUAAUGGUGUCUUUUAACGAUGGCCAGUCAUUGUUUCCUUUCUUCUUCUUUGUUUUCUUCUAGUGAAUUUUCUCUUUAAAUUCGAAGAGGAAGGGCUCUUAAUGAGAGCUCCGAGGACUGCACAGAGGAGAUUGAAAAUUUCCUCUUAAGGGUUUGAUUCAAAAAAGUUUUUCUUCGUGAAGUUAGUCGAAAUUAAAGCUGAUUAAAUCUUGUGUUAAUAUGCAAAUUGAGAUAUUAUUUCGAAAGAAAUUAUGAAGGUAAAAAACAUAGAGUUAUUAGUUGUACUUAAGGGAUAAAAACACCAAGGGUAUCUGAACGACUUGAAUAAAAUUAUAAUAUUCGCUGCAUUGUAAUUUUAUCUAUAAUGGAAUUGUGUGCUCCUUUCCUCGUGGACAUAGAUCACACAACCAAAUCACGUAAAUUUGAUAUCUGAAUUAUUUUCUUAUUUUGUAUAUAUUUUAUUUAAUCACUUGUUUUAUUUUCAAUAAUAAAUACGGUUUGAAGAAAAGAGGAACCAAGCUAGACUGUAUUAUAGUUAAAGAUCAAACCAAGCCAGACGUUUUUUUUUUUUUGGGGGGGGGUUGAUUUGGCUUAAUCGUUCUUUCUUCUUUAGUUUUCCUCUUCAUCAUUUGUAAUUUUAUGAGAAAAAAACCAAAUUCCAUGUCACGAAACUUCCAAAGCGAGAUCCCCGAGGAAGUUGCUGGAUCACCAAGCAAGCACAAAUGGCCCCUCUUGCGAGGUGAUGCUUGCUCUUGGCACGAUCAAUCUCAACUUGUUUCAAUUAAUUAUUUCGUUUGAUUGAGAGUCACCACUAACUUUUUAUGAACCAAUUAGGAGUCAAGUAAAAUGCAAGAGUCCGUCUUACUUCUGCAAACAUGAGAUUUGUGAGUCCAGAAACUUGAUUAGGCAAGAUACAUCUCAAGCCCAAUGUUGCAUACUUUCUCUUUCUAUUAAAACAAUUAUUCAUGUGGUCUUCCCAAUCUUAGUUUCCCAUUUUAUUCUCAAUGUUGAGAAAGGCUGGCGAUCAUGCAUAAAUUCACUCAAGCAAACACGUAUAAAAUCCACUAAUACUGAGACAAAUAGAGCAAAUAAAAGGUAGGAAAAUAAAGGACCCAACCCGUAUCAGGGAAACAAAUCAACAAAAGCCUUGUUAUAAGGUUCCGGGACAUGCCCCUUGAGCUAUUAAUAGAAACUCAGUGUAAAAUCUCCAAAAUAAACUAUGGCUUAAAACCAGAAAGUAAAUAACUGAUACCUCAUGAAUAUAUAUAAACUACUUUCCCAAAAAGAAGUAUUACAUCAAGAAAUAAAAUCUACUUAAUGCUAUAUAAAGUGCAAUGCAAUGUUUAGAAAACAAAAUCUAUUUAUGAUUAUGCAUGAUUCCUAAAUUAUCCUCCUAGAUGUAUAUAUAUAUAUAUAUAUUUUAAAUAGAAUCUAUCUGUUUUUUUGCUUUUUCACAUUAACCCCUUCAAUAUAUAUUAUAGUGAAACGAAAUUAAACUAAAAAAUAACUAAGUGCCGAGAUAAAUUUGAACUAGUAACUAGAUACCAAAAUAAUAUGUUAUAUAAACCCAGAUUUUCGUGAAAAUUUGCACCAUGUUGCGUUGGAAUUUCAACCUAAACUUCUUGUGGGAACGAGCUAAUAAACACCAGAAAAUAAAGAGAACUAAAGCGAUAUAAUGCUAUGAAUUAAAGCAAAACCAUUCCACAAUAUGCGAAAUCAAGGGUGGAUGAGUACAUCUAUACUAAUUGCCGAAAUUAAAUAUUUAUUAAAAAAAAUUUCUACGCUGUUACAGGUCUGAAGUGUUCAAAUUGAAUCACAUCAUGUAGAUUAUUUAUAUUUCCAUGUUUAUGUUUGCUGAGACACGAGGAACAAUCAACAUGAACUAACACAAAAAUCCACGCAGGUUCUUGAUUUUAUUUCCUUUCUUCUUUCGUCUUUCUCUUCACAUGUGCAGCAUAAUUCCUUUUCACUUGUGCUGGUCGGAUAAGGCUGUCGCAUAUUUCCCUCUUGGUCGAGCCCAUGAAAGGGAGCCAGGGUCGUGCGGGCUUGGACUCGGAAGUUCAAAUAAAUUCAUGGCACAUUUUGCGUGUUGGGAUCCACUCAAAUUCAAUUCACAAGCGGACUAAUUUAAAUGAAAUUCGUAGUCAGGUUUCACGCUUUCUUUGGUGCGAAUCCAUUAUUCCUAACAAAAUGUUGGUACUAUCUAAAUGCCGUAAAUGAGGAUGCAAAAAAUGUGCAAUCUCAAAAAAUUUAGGCAUUAGCAUUCUGCGUUGACAACAAUUCAUAAAUUCACACAAAGUGAAAAUCAAACCUAUUUAAAUAGCUAUUUCAUGUAUAAAUGGUCAAAAUAAUUAGCAAUAUCAAUCAUUUAUACAAUGCGGGGUCGCGGUUUUGGUUUGGUUUCAAAAAAGUUGAAACCAAGCCAAACCACAAAAAACGAUUUGUUUCAUGGACAACAUGGAUAUUGUUAAGAGGGACCCUCGAGCUCGAAGGGAAGGUGUUUUGGUUGCCAGCAACAUCGUGGAGCUUGGAUUAAGGCAAGGCUGCCUCCAUCAAGAUGGAUAGGGAAAGCAACGCUAUCAACCCAUAGAUCCAAAUGCCGCGAGAAUCGAUCCAGGCAUACUGGUUCGAGACGAAGGCCCCCAAUCGUGAACUGAAGCUUCAUGGAUAUCAUGAUUUUCUAGAAUACUUUCAAAAAGAUCAUACUUUCAAGAAUAUUUUUUACACAUCAUUGCAUACUUUCAAGCACAAACGGACAUGGCACAUGAAGUCAUGCCAGAGCAUAAAAUGACAAAGGAAUUUCCCUGACGACAUCUCCAAAAAUAUCAAAAGUCGCAUAAGUAAUGUUAGGAAUUAUUUGACAAUUGAAUUUAGAGGACGAAAUUGGAAAAUGUGGUACUGAAAAAGCGUUGUGGGAAGUCUAACCCCUCCCCACACAUAAAUGAAUCCUUCAACAACAAGUUUCAUUGGCUUUCGCAAAUGAUCAAUAUUACACGUGGACCUAGUUUCCAAUCAGCCUAAUUUUUUAAAUUGAUUGGCAGUUACUCCAUCUCAUACUUUAAAGAAAACUUUGGAGUUGGCCCAAAACUUCCAAAACUCCUUUUCCAACAACAUAUUUGCUCCUUGCCGAGUGAAACCUUUGAUCUCAAGACCGUUGGGCAAGGUGCUACAUGACCUAUAUGAAGACUCCAACGUAAUUGUUGUAGGGUUGGCCGAGAAGAUCAAAACGCUUUCAAAGCUUUUCUUUUUCUUUUUGGUUCUUUGCUUAUUCUUUGAUAUAUAUAAUAUUAUUUAUUAUCGCGAUUCUACUCUUAAUUCUCUAAGAGAGUGUUGAUGUAAUUAUUGUUCAGAGUGCUUUGCGUGUAAAGUAAAGUCAAGGUACUUGUAGAGUGAGCUUCAGUUCCUCUUAGAGAGGCAAUUCCGUUCAUAAUUAGUGAAUUCAGCCUUGUUGUUAGAUAGGAAAAUCAUUCAAAAAAUUCAUCAACUUAUUGCAUGGCGGUUAAUUCAGUCAUAAACUUUUCAAUUUGACAAAUUUAGUCUUCAACGUUUUAACGAUUUUCUAACGUAGAUCAUCCAGUCAAUUUUGAUUGGAAAUAGUUAAUAUGGCAGUCCAGUAAGCACUAGCCAUUCUAUGUGUAAUGGCCAGGCUAUCGGCGAUUGAUGUAAACUAUUUUUAAAUUUUUUUAAUAUAUAUAUUUUUUUCGUUUUCUUGUCCUUCAUCCGAAUAGAAAUGAAGUAUGAGGCGCUUGCCUUGUGCAUCCACCUAUAAAUUGAUUUGUAGUCUAUUCUUUCUAUCGUUCUUUACAUUUUUUAUGAUAGAAGAUAUUUUCUAUACGUAGCAUAUUUUGUCUACAAAUAUUGUUUCAUCCUCUACGCAUUUUUUUGCAAGAAAAAAAGUGUCAAAAAUCCUAAAAUAACCUAUUCAUUCUCCUCUUGAUUGUUUAAUUAAGUCCAUUUCACACAUAAGCAUUUUCUUUGUAUAAAUAUUAAGUGAAAUGGCACCAAUUGUCCGUUUAUUCUUGCCGAAAAUUCAAGAACGUCCUUGUAUCAUUUUUUGUCCAAAAUCAUCCCUAUACUUUUUAAAAGGGUCAUUGCUCGUCCUCCUAUUAUGUCACUACUUUUUUCAAUCGAUUUAUACCAAUAUGGAUAAUCGGAACAUUGAGUAGAAGCCACGUGGCAGCCAUGGCUGCUUAAGCUUUAAGCUCACAAUUGUGGUCAUUUGAGCUCGAAGCUUGCCACCACCAUGGUUGCUUGAGCACGAGCUCAAAGCUAAUGGCCAUGGUCACUUGAGCUCGAACCUUGUGACCACUAUUGCCAAAUCUGGAUUCGAAGUUCACAGCAGUCAUGGCUGCUUGAGCUUGAAGCUUGCGGAUGCUAUGAUCAAAUAUGGCAUCGAAGGUUGUGGCUGCCGUGGCCAAAUUUGGCCACCAUGGCUGCUCGAGCUCCAAACUCAUGGCCAUGUCCGUUUGAGAUCAAAGCUUGCAGCCUCUACAACCAAAUUUGGCUUUGAAGCUCAUGGCUUGAGCUCUAAGCUUGCGAUUUGCUGCUAGAUCUACUUCAAAGCUCAUAACCACCGUGAUCACUUGAGCUCGACCUUGAAACUUGCGGCCAUCAUGGCUUUUCGAGCUGGUGGCCAGGGUGGAGCUUGAGUGGUCAUGCGUGUGAGGUCUUAAAGGUCGUAGAUCUUGAGCUCGCGAUCACCAUGGCUACUCGAGCAUUUGAGCCGCGGGCAUUAUAAGUGAUAACGUGAUUCUUUUAUGUGGAAAUACAAAAUAGGAGAUCUUUUUUUUUUUUUUUGGUAAAACAAAAUAGGAGAUCUUUGAUCUUUAUAAUUUUCACAAUAAGAAAGAUGGAGACAUACCUUUAUUCAUAGUAAUACACUUGAAAGUAUUUGUCGCGGAAAAAUCGAAGAGAUGAAGAAAUUUGAUUUCUCUCCCUUAACCCAUGCUUUUCUUUAAUGUAUUCUAUUUGAUAGAGGAUAUAAUACAGCAUUAUUUUUUAUGUUGUAGGUGAAAAGAGGACUAGACUCUUAUUUAUGCAUGCUAUUAAUAUGCGCUUUCAAUUAAAGCGCCUUUUAACUUCUAUGAGAGUCGCACCUCUUUGGAAGAAUGGUAACUUCUCAAUGAGGAUUGUACUAUUUUAUUAGAGUUGUAAUUUCUUAUAACCAAUACAUUUUAGCAUUAAAUAUUUAUUAAACCAUUAAUCAAUAAUAUCAUGUGUGCCACAAUAAUUCUUACAUUCUCCCGCUUGGCCCAUAUGACCUUCCUUUCAAGGUUUAAUAAAGACCAUAAUGUGCACAAUAACGUUAUGCUAAAACCUUUCAUAAAUUGGCUAUCAUAUAAUAAUCACAAUUAAGUAAAAAAAAAAAAACUAAUGCAAGUCAUGGCAGUUGUAUGCCAUUAAUCGAGAUAGUUCCUUUCAUGUACUACAACAUAGCUCUCUACUUAACAUAAUCAUAAAUGAGGAGUACGGUAAUGGUCCAACCAUAAUGUCUUUAUAAGAAACUAACCUGUUUAACAUUCAUCUAUUUCCAUAAGGUAUACUAAAUAGAAACAAGAAAUAUCAAAGAUGCAUAAUUGAGCUCAGAGUGUCAAAUACAUAAACUUAAUGCAAUCAUAAUACAAUAAUUAAUGAUGUCCAAUAAUGUCCAUCCUUUCAACAUGCUCAUUAAAUGUUUUGGGUGGAAUCUCUGUCACGACCCAAUCUCAUUGUCCAUCCCUCGUGAGGAGAGGAAGAGGAAAGGUUGGAUUUAUGUGUACUUGACCACAAAAGUUCCCUCAUGGUUCCCAACCACAGGGAUGUCAUCACCUUACCCCGUGGACGAACCUCGUGUGAGUUCACUUAAUCGUAAUCUUGAGUUUUCCAAACUUGUACACCACAUGACAGUGAAGUGUCGCAACCCUCCCUCAACACCACGGUAUGUCUUGAUCGACAAUUUUAAGGUCGAAAGGAAUCUGGACGUAAAUGUGAGUUUAGGGAUGCCUUUACCACGAUAACCCUAUCGAUGGAACAUUUUGCCCAUAAGAAUGACAUCACUUCAUCCUUUAGCGGUACAACCAAUAUCAAGUAUGCUAAAUUGCGGUGAGUCUUAUCAAGACCCAUAUCCCGCGCGACGGGUUCAUUUAUAACAUCUAGUUAUUUAAGACAACCUAAAAAUAGGACGGGAGUCACCACUAGCCUUAUUUUUGGGGGGUCGGCCAGAAAAUUCAAUCGAGGAUUGAGAGUGUUUCCUCGAUUUCUACGCAAUCAAAUAUCUAGGUUCAGAGACUUAGGUUACAAGUAUUCUAGAACCAAUAAACAAAGAUUUAACUCCAAUUAGUUUUUGGAUUUGGUUGCCCUUAUCAACAUCAUCCAAUACAAUUAGCAUCUUCUUGUUGCAAAUUGUUUCUCCAAUCAUAUUGAUACCAUGAUCAAUGCUAUGAAUUCUACAAGCCACUCAAGAAUAAGAGAUAUCAGACAAUAUUUUUUCUUGCAAUUUGUCUAAACCCUUGGUUUUUGCCAUUUCCCUCACGUCUUUGAGAAAGUUGCAAUUUUUCCCAAAGUGAGGACAUAGUUGGUUGAAGAUAAUUAUGGCAAGUGUUGUUUUACCGAUAUCGCCUAUCCCAUAGAUUCCAAUUAGUCACACACCACCAUAAUUGAUAUCUAAUAAAUUGUUUAUGGUUGUUAUUCAAUCCUCCAUUCCAGCUAAACCUUGGUUACUUGCCUUUGUCUUGUCUCGAGCUUGACCACAACCUCGUCAAUAGCUGCCUGGUUAAGUUUUGUUUAGCUGCCACAAAGUUGAACAGUUUCAAUUAAGAAAAUGUGACAAUUUGGUAUGUUGACCAACCGUCUACUAAGCAAAGAGGUGGGAAUGCGAUCAAGUUUAGAAUAUAUCAAAAUUUAACAUUACCUCAAAGCUUUGUGAACAUGAUGAAUUACAAACUUGAACAUCCAUUACAAUAGAAGAAAUGAAAUGUUUGAUCCUUAUAUCAAGUAGAAGGCUCAGAAUCUCUGGCCAAAAAGGGUGGUGAAUCAAAAUAUAAACAUCUAUUGAAAAACUGUAAUAGAAGAUUUACUUAUUUCUUCCGAUGUGGAAAAAGAACUUUGCUAUGGAAACAGUUCCUUAAUCAAGUUCUCUAGCAUACAAUACGAAUCUUAAUACAUACAUGGAUCAAAUUAGUAUUAAAAAGAUCAAGCUAAUCCAAAUUUUUCAUAUGAUGGAAAAUAAAUGGAAAACCAACUUAAAUAACCACAUUAGGUUAAAAAAAUUUGGAAAUCUCGUGAUUUAAAAAAACUAAAAGAAGAAUUUGAAACCUUCAGUUUAAAUUUAGGUAAUUAAAGUUGGAAUAUAAUUAAUGAAUUUUCAUAAGAACUAUGCUUGAUUGUACAAGAUAAUCUUCACAAUCAUGGUCAAAUUGUUACCCUGGAUAUUUCUCCAUCUUCCAUCCCUUGGUGCCAACAACUUCUUUUAGGGCCCGCCCCCACAUCUCUAUAUCCUCAGAGCUGAACUUAUUCUUCUGACCCUCCAUCUAUUGCUCCAAAUUUGAUAUGGCCUUGUUGUACAACAUUGUUUUCAACUUCACGUCAUCGGGUUCCACAUUGCAGAAGAUGGGCAAUAUGACCUUCUUCCCAUCUUCUUUAGAUUUAUAGGUGUUCUCCACCAUCUUCGCAAGCUUGUCAAGGCACCAAUGACAUGAAGUGUAGUUUUUGCAGAAGAUGGGUAUGUAGAGCUUGGAGUCAUCAAUCAUUUGUGGAAGGUUGUCACUGAUUCUUUCACCAAAUCUAAGUUCCUCAUCAUCAAUGAAAACAUGAAUUGCAGCAUGUAACAAGGUAUGGUAGAAGCUAUUGGUGAAUGUACGAUGAGUAUCAAGCCCUCUAAAACUUAGGAAGACCUGGUACUCACCUCCAAAUGUAUUAUUAGUGCUUGUUUCAAUCCCUAGGCUCGCCAUAGGACCAAACUGUCACGCCCCGAACCUCAAGCGCGCCAACAUCCCACCAUGGUCAUGCAAAUGUGACAUUCCCAGGUAGUGUGGCCGACCCCAUUCAUAUAUUAUUGUGCAAGCGGAACAUAUUAUAAAACCCUUGACAAUGAAAUAUGGGAUAGACAAGCAGGAAGCAAAACCACAACAUAACACUUUCAUAAUUCAACAGAAUUACAAACAGAGGUCUACGGCCAAAAGUCUACAAAAAACCGACUCUUAAAAAGGAACUGUCCUACGACCUACAAGUCAGACACGUUCUCCAAUCCUUAUGACUUCACCUCUACAACUCCUCAAGGCCAACCAAAGCUAUCUGGUCACUCCGUCCACCAAGGACCUGAAAUUUUAAUCCCACAACCGGGAUGAGACAUUGUCUCAGUAAGUUCAACCCCCUAAACCCCUAUUAGAAAGAAAAUACACCUCGGGUGGCCUAGCCACAUCACACAAAAGACUUAUCUCGUCUUAAUUCCUUCCUACAUAUUAGCACAAUUUGUAUCACACAAUCUCAGGUAGUAAUAAUAAUUCAAACAAAUGGAAACGCCAUCACUUUCAUAUAAAUCACAAUCGCACUUAGUGCGCAUUCCAAUUAUUAUUCACUACCACACAAGAGCAUAGCCUACUCGCAGUUCGGCUAUCUACUGACAUUAAUGCCAGGCAUCGCCUCCCCCCCUUGGAGCGCGGCUUCGUCACCACGAUGACGGCAUUCCUGAAGGAGCAUGGGUCUAGUUGGCAUAGCCUCUACUACGACUCGAGCCACGUCACUCUGUUGACGGCAUUUCUAAAUGAAUAAAGGUCCAGUUGGUGUAGCCACUAUUGCGACCGAGUCUUUCAACCAGCACACGACAAUUCAAUAAUCAAUUGCACAAAUCAUCACUCAAUUUGUAAUAUCUAAUCAUCAAAUUCAUAAUCUGAAUACACAACAAUGAUCAGCAUGAAAUUCUGAGAAUUUAGGGUCCCAAAAUAAUUUUCGGAAUUUAUUAAAUAAUUAAAUUUAUUUCGAAAAUUAAUUAAAUAAUAAUAUCCAUAUUUUUCACAAUCCACACUCAAUUUAUAAUAUCCAAUCAUCAAUUUCAAAAUUUGACUACACAGCAGCGACCGGCACGAAAUUCUGAGAAUUUAGGGUCUUGACAAAAUUUUCGGAAUUUAAUAAAUAAUUAAAUUUAUUCCGAAAAUAAUUAAAUAAUAAUAUUUUAAUAAUUUUGAAUAAUAAUAUAUUAUUAAAUUAUCUAAUAAUUUCGAGAUAUUUAAAUAAAUCAAAAGUAAAUUCAUUUAUGUCACAUCAAGGUUUAUAUUAAUAUAACAUUCACUUAAUCUUAAAUUAAACACACUUUAAGUUAAUUAAGCACCUUAAUAUAAAUCUACACUUAAAUAAAUUAAACUAACCACCUAAUAAUACUUAACAAAAACUAAGCACAUCUAAAGCAUCAUUAACCUUCUAAUCAAGGUUUAGUGAGCUAAACUCACAGAUUAGCGAGCCGAGCGGACUGGAACGAUGGGGACGCCGGGGGGAACAACUUUCCUCAAAGCAGGCCAAGCAUUCGAGGUCGGGAAGCCGGCCAAAACGGGCCAAAACGGAGUUGAGAAACCCAUUUUUGCUUGCUAUUGGUUAAGGCCGACGGAGGGCUGCACGGCAGCGGUUCGAGCACGAAAUCGGCGGGGAUGGGCGGCAGCAGCUCAGGCGGUUGCUGCUGGUGGCUCCGACAGCUUUCCGGUGGGCUUGGCGAUAGCAGGCAGCUCGGGACGACGAAGGACGACGGUUGGGACGCGCGAACGAAGGUUGGAUGCGGCGCGACAGCGGAGCGGCGAGCGGGACAACGGUAAGCGGGCACAGUGCUUAGGCGACGCGCACGGACGACGGUGGCGGCGACGGACUCCGGCGAUGAAGUAGGGUGGCCGGUCGAGCGUGCGGGCUGGCCUAGUUCGCACAGUGCAGCUCCUCUCUCCUCUCUCUCUCUCCCCAAGCUUGAAGAUGAUAGUGAUGGGUCACCUUUUUGGGGAACAAAUCUCCACCUUACACUUGUCAACAUCCUAGCUAUUCUUGCCCCACACCAUGACAUCAUCACCAAGUGAUGUCAUACUCCACUAUCUCAAUUUCUCCCCACAACAAUAUUCAAUAGGUGCAAUUUAUUUUUCCGCCGUGGCAUGAAAUCUCGUACAUUAAUUUCUCCAAUUUCAUUCAAUUCUCUUCCAAUUGAGUCCAAUUGAAGUACAUAAAAUUAAUUCAAUGUUACCACACUUCAAUUCACAUAAUCACUUGACCAUAGAACCCUCUUAGAUCUCAAAAGUAUAGCCAAAAGAGGGCCUACCAAUUUUCCGAACCAAAUUAGCCAUGCUUUGAUUAUUUUGCUGAAAAACUCUUAUUGCAUGAAAAAUCUUCCGAAGACGAGUUAAUGAUCCUAAAAUGAUUUGUGACACACCAUGACUUCCAAUUUCUGAAUUCGAUCUCAAUUUCACGGUUAAUUUCACUUUGGCACGAUACUAGCGUGUCCUGAUCUACCGGGUAGCUUUUAGAAAUUUUUAUGCAUUUGACCUGUGGUUGAUUAAUUCAAGCCACAAUAUACAUCUUUGACACAUUGACGACUCUUGGUUGUCGAGAUAAUCUCAAGAUUUCAAACACAGACAUAUGGUACCCAAACGACAGAAAAGCCGGUCCAGUGCCGAUCGACAAGAAUUGUGAGAUCUAGUGGAAUCACCCACACUCGAUCACAUGCCUCUAUCUAGUCGACCUAUCUCCGAUUUCUAAUCGAUUUUUAACUGCGCCGUAAUGACCCUUGUAGAUUAACUCGGUCGAAAGGUCGUUUCCUGAUCAAAUUCUCGAGUCUGAUGCAUUAGAAUUUCUUAACAGCUUCACCUGAUAGACUAGUUAUCCCAUGAGUGAUCAGUUCAGGGAAAAGAACUAUAUGCGUACUAACGAAAUGCCCAUCUCAAUUUAUUGAAAAUAGAAUUGGAAAAUCAGGAUGUCACACAAACUUCGCACUUAGCAGGGCCAGCCCUCUCUCUCUCUCUCUCUCUCUCUCUCUCUCUCUCAUAGCCACUGUUGAAAUACUUUGAGGCAAAUCCACACCAAACCUUGUGCUUCUUCAAUGUGAAAAGCUUUUAUUACAUUCUUAAUAUGAAAAGCUUUCUUCCCCGGAUCAUCCUCCCUAAGGAAUUUACAAAAGGAGAACUAGUGCAUUGCAUUAGAAAAGGAGAAAAGGCUAUUAUUAUAGGGAUGUUUGUAUUGCAUGACUCAUGGGGUUUAAUUGAAAGUUUAACGCGUACUGGCAACUUCAGUGCAGCUUCCGAUUUAUUGUCAAUAAAAUUGGUGGGUUUACAAUUAGUUAGGUGAAGGACAAUCGUAACAUCCUCGAUUCCGGCUCUGUAAGGAUCGGUCAUAAUGUCCUAAAAGGAUCGAUCAUGGGCCAUUGGCCAUAAAUUGAUCGGUUCGAUCAGCAAGGAAUCACGGAUCAGUCACGAUCAACCGAUCGACCAACCGACUGUUCACAAAUUAGUCGAGGUGUCGGCCGUGAAUUUUUACCGACCAUACUAAUAGGAUAUGAUCACCAGCUCAUAAGAUGACUUUUUGAUCGUGAGAAUUGGUCACAUGAUGAUUUUGGAUCGGUGGAUGGUUAUGGGUCGAUCCAAUCGGUCACAAUUUCUGGUCGCGAGUGAUUCCGCCCAGUUAUGCACCGAUACACGGAUGAUCCAAAUUGACCAAAUGUGACUUCAUUCCGAUAAAAAAUGCAUCAUUCCAAAUUUAAUUCUUAGUGAUCUGAAUGGAAUCUCGAAUUGGUGAUGUCUGAUCAUGGAUCGGUAAUGCACCAACCAUGAACCCUAUCGAUGGAUUGGGUGCCGGCUGGAAUGAGCCCAAGGAUAGACUUGGCUAUUCCGUCACUAAUUCUAAGGUCCAUGAGUGCCUUGGCUUAGUGCUAGGCCAUGGGUAGCCUUAAAAUAGGUCUUGAAUCAAGUAAAGGACAACCGACCCUAUUAGUCGAUCGACAUCCAAAGGAAUAGUUUGGGCGAUAUGACAUAUGUGACUCGGGUGUGCAUGAUCGAUUUUCAGUGUGCUAUGAUCUCUUCCUCGGCCCCGGAAUCAACUUGCAUAAUAGAAUUCUGUAGACUGCUUCAUUAAUGAAGAAAAAAGACAAAGGCAUGGAAUAUUCUAGAAACCCUUCGUUAAAUGAAGGGGUGAGUUGUCCUUGGAAUGGUCAAAAGUCAUUAUGGUGGCCAAAAUAUCUUUCAAGAUUCUAGAGAAAGGCGGCACACAAGUGGACCAAUUAGAGAGGAUUACACGAGCCCUCAUUAAUAACCGAAUAUUCUAGAAUGGCUUAGGUGGCAACCUAGAGUAGCAUCAUCAUUAAACUUCAUAAAAUGCCCAUUAAAUGAGGGGUAUCGGUGGACCAAUGAGAGAAUGAAAAGUGGGUGAUAAUCAAUGACAUCUAGGGACCUAGAUUGCCGAGUAAGGUCUUUAGCUUGGCCAACUCAUCUUCUAGGCAUAAUCAUGAGGCAAAGUAGGCUUGCCACCCAAGAAAAGUAGGCGGGACACUUGAAAACAUUGGAGAAGACCGCUUGGCUUGGUAAUGAUGGCUCCAAAGGCUAUAAAUAAGAUGAGAACUUCCCAUAUUCCUCACUUGCCUUCAAUUUUCUCCUCCCACCAUCUCCUUGAACACCCUCUCCUCAUGCUCUCUCUCUUUCUUUUGGCCUCCAAGCCAAGCCACCCAAUCUUUGUAGCUCAUGUCCUAGUUCGAGGUUCAUCCAGGAAAGUAAAAUCCCUAUGUCUCCUCUAGGGCGGUAAUCUCUAUUGUCGAGCCUAGUUAGGUGCUCACCUAUCAAGCCGUUGGUUGGAUGUUAGAUCUUUUGUAUGGUCUUACUCAUGUUUGUGCUUGAAUGUGUGCUUGAGUUGUUCACGUUCAGAAUGGAGUCAAGGUUCGUUUGAAUUGAGUUCAGCGCAAGGCAAGGUCGCCCCAAGCCAUAAAGCCUUGGUUUCGGCAUAAAUAAGAUGCUGGGUCCAAGCCUCGCUUGGUGCGGGAAUCGCCUAAGGCUGUAAGGUCUUAAGUUGACAUUGAGGCGUGUCGAUCUUAUCCUUGAUCGGUACGGGGAUCGCCCUAAUCCAUGAGGUCUUGAUAAAACAUUGAACAUGCCGAUUUCCAUAGUCCACGUGGACGUGGGGACUUUGUGCUUGGCUUUGAAUGAAACCGCGAGUCGAGGUUCAUCAAGCUUGGGAUCGUCACUAAAGCAAGGUGUACCCAAGCCUCGAGGUCUUGGAUUGGUAUUGAGGUGUACCGUUUCCGAGCCUUGUUUGGUGCGGGAAUCGGUGCUAAGUGAUUGAUUCAAGUUACGGAUGAAAGGUCAUUCCCGACAUUUUUGCUAGUCAAGUAUAAGAAAUUCAUGACACACAUGAAUGAAUGAACACGCCUUCGGGCCAUGUAUGCGUUGGCUAAGAGAAAAAAUAAUAACCGGUUUGUAUGAUGCAUUUGUACAUGCAUUUAAAGAGAAAAAAGCGCCCGUUGCCACAUAGCAUUGUUGGCGAUGCCUCGUUCGUUGAACGGGAAGCCUCGAUUGAUCCCAGAUGUCCUAAUUGAGCCAAUAUGCCUAGAUCUUGAACCCGGAAGCCUUGGGAAGCUAGCCCCGAGAAGUCUCGGUUGAGCCGAGAUGCCCUGGUCGAGCCAGGAAGUCCAACAAGAAGCUAGAAGCCUCGGUCGAGCCGAGAGGGCCUGGUCAAGCUAGGACGACAAUAAAUGAAUUUGCAUGAAUGUUGGUUAUGCACAAGCAUGAUAUGUUGGUAUAUUAAUUGAUAAGCUUAUGGUAGUUUUGAUAUGGACGACAUGUAUUUAGAUAAAGCAUGACAUAUAAUUCGCAAUUGAUCUACCAUCGACACUGUUUGCGAGUGUUGUACUAACUAAGCUUUGACAAUAAGAUGAUUUCCAAGUAGAAAACUAGGAAUUUUACUUAUUGAAUUUCCCCAAAACUCAUCUCUCAUCUCUCAGUCUUGUAGGCAUUGAAGUCUCUCGUCAAUUUUGGGAGCUGCAGUCACGCUAGAGGAGAUAGGAUUUCACUUGGCCUAUGUGGAAAACUUGUAUUGUGAUGUAAAAAGAAAAAAGAGCUCGUAGAGAAAUGGCUUGUAAAAGUAUAGUUAUGAUACAAAUCAAUGUGUUUUGCGUGAUGUAUGUCCCAGUCUUCCAACUGUUGUUUGUUCGGUGAGUUGUUUGUUCAUGUUUCCACAUGUGCAUAAUAACAAGAUAAAAAGAAUUGGGACGGCGACGAGCCUGGGACUUCACAAAAAUAACCCUUGCUGCUCGUGAUCCUAGGGAUGGAGUUGGGGUCGUGACAACAAUAAUGGAGGUGUACCUUUUAGCAUGCCCAAAUUCAUUUGAGUUUCUUCUUCGUGCCUUUCACUAUGUGCUUUUGAGGUUUUGGAUUAAAAAAAUAUUUGAUUCUCAAACAUUUAAAUCAUUUAUGUUUAUUCUAUGGCUAUAUCUAUAGUUGCGGUAAGAUCAAUAAGAGUGCUAAAACUUUCAUACAGCACUCACUUGAAUAUCAAAACUUUUUUCUCAUUCACUUAAGUGUCAUAUUGGAAUAAAAUCGAUCAGUUGAUUAUCAAUUUUGACAAAUCAUCCUACAUUGAAUUUUUUUAACUUUUUUAAUUUUUUUUAUUUAUUUUGCUUUUCCUAAGGGCCCUCAUUGGUCAGGAAACCUGGGUGGCCUUGCCCUAGGCUACGAAUGCCUUGGGCGAGGCCAUUGGGGCCUUAUCGGUCACUGUCAUUUGCUUUGGCUUAUGCGCACCAUUAACUCUAUGAUUGAUGUAAUCAUGGUGGGAUUUGCUGUUGGAUAUGGACAUUGUGUCAUGUCUUUAAGGGUCUGUUGAUGGUGGUGGCAGAUAAUGCAACCCCUAGAUAAAGAAAAGAAAGGGUUGCGGCAGUCUAGAAUUUUUUCUAAGUGUUUACAUAAUACUAAAUUAUUUCGUAUUUAAAUUAAUCUCUAUAUUUUUAAAAUCAACUGAAAUGUGAUUCCUCCGUCAAUUGGAGUUCAAUGUCAUGGGUAAUCUGUCGCCGAGAUACGUCGAUGUGGCAAAAACCAUCCAUUGUUGAUGUGGAUUGGACAGCUCAAUUAAAUUUAUUCUUUUUAUUAAACGAACUCUUCUAUUUUCUCUUUAAUUCUUCUACUACAUUCAUCAACUAUCGAUGUCAUUGGCCAAUCCUUAAAGCAGCAAGCCAUCACAACCGGUGCCAUCCCCGGUAGGAGUGUCCAAAAACCUGACCCGACCCAAACACGACCCAAACAAGAACUAAACACAAAACAAGUGGAGUACAUGUUUCGGGUCUUAAUAUUGUUCGGGUAAUUGUUAGGAAACAAGAAAAUAAACAUGUUUUGGGUUGGGUUAGGGUCAAAAUAUUGUUCAGCCCUGAACACAUUAUUGGCUCCAUGUGUUUGAAACAAACACACUCUCCUCUCACCCAAACCCAAACACUCUUCAGUUUUCGCCCAAACACAUUAUUGACCCUCCCAACACGAUGAUUGCACCUUCUCCGGUCGUUGACUCCGCCGCCGCCGCCACCGCCACCGCCACUAUUGACGAAUGCACCCUCUCGUUGAUUCCAUAGCCGCCCUCUUCUUUGCUCCUUGUCCUCGUCCUUGUCCUCAUCGGCUUCCUCUCCUUCCUCGACUUCCUCCACCGCCUCCUUCUCCUCGAGAGGAUGCCCUCCUUCUGCCGCCUUUGCCUACAGACACACCGAGCAGGAGUCAAUGCCAAGCGAAACCCACAUCGCAAAAACUGAAAAUAUAGACAAUUGGAGCCACUGAAGCUUAUCACUGCCGUUGGCAACGGGGGUCAUCGUGGGGUCGUCUUCAAGAAGACCUUCGCUUGACGCUACCACACUCUUUUUCUUACCUCCACCCUUCACCUUCAUCCUCCCCUCCCCCCCCCCCCCCCCUAUGGAUUGAGUGAUUGAUGGAAUUUCAAAGUCCUGUCUUUGAAGGGGAGGAGGCUGGAAUUCCUUUGCUAGUCUCUGACUUGAGCUGGGAGCCUGAGUUGCUGCAGCCGAGUUGAAAUUGCUCCACGGAGGAGAGAGAAAGAGGAGAGAGAGAGAGAGAGAGAGAGAGAGAGGUGAAAAGCCUUUUGGCUUUGCAAGGUUUAUUUUCGCGUGUGUUUGGCGUCUCACGAUAGGGCUGAAGCAUUUGGUCAAGUUUUUACUGUGUGUUUUUUUUUUUUUUACUUAGAAAGAGGUAGGUGGAAAAAAACAAAGGAAAACCCAGAAACCCGACCCGACUUGAAUUUUCGAUGCGGGUCUAAUAUGUUUCGGGUCGGUUUGGGUCGGGUAACAUCUAAACCCGAUCUGACCCGACCCAUUGACAUCCUUAAUCCCGGUGUGGUCUUGUCGUGCCUCACCGCCAUCAGAACCUUCUUGACUAGCUCAACGCUCUCUCUCUCUCUCUCUCUCCAUGCAUACGUGUGUGACAUCCAAUCGAGGUUGAGACAAGACAUGUGACCUCCAUUGGUGGAGGCGCUCAAGUUCAUAUCUGGAUCGCCCAACUUGUCCUCCUAUCUAGUCUAAAUUGAAUUAGCUAGUUAAUCGUAUACACGUAGGUGUCCUCAUUGACGUAUUAAAUGGCUAGUUAAUAUUAUUAACUGCCUCAUCAGCAAUUUUUGUUAGUCUACUUCAUGAAAAUAUUGAAUGAAAUUCAUGAAGUACAAGUACCAUUAUAUUGCCAGAUAUUUUUGGCGCAACAUUGAAAAAUAGGGAAAACUCCCCCAGGGCGUGAUUAAAUGAAUGCGUGGUUUAAUAUUUAAAUAUUCUUACACCCAUACUAUUACUGAAAAACAAAAGAAGAUAAUACAAAUCAUCAAGAUCGUCAAUCGGGUACCUAAGCGAGAGAGCUUGAUUAAUAGAGGAAGGUCUUUAAUGGGAAUCAUAUUUGCAGAGAAAGGACGUGAAUAAUGUAUGUUUUACCUCUAGAUAAAUCAUUCAAUGCAACUGAGUGAUGUGAAGAUGCUAUUCUGUUAAUUUGUUUCAAUCUCCCUUAUGGAAACUAGUAGAAACGUUUUCUUGUAAAUUACGAAAACCAAUCCUCGGCUUUCACUUAAAUACUAACUUCAUAUCCACUAAUUCCGAAAUCUAUCCACACUUUGCAAGAAGAGGUUUCAAAAAAAAAAAAAGUACAGUUCGCACAAUCUAAUUUCCACAAUUUUUUAGACUCAAAAAGAUAUUAAAUCUGACCUUUUUUUUUACAUCAAGGCACAAAAUGCAUGCUCAAAAUAAUAGCAGACGCAAAAUAAAUCAUAAUAAAAAGUUGAUAAUGAUUUUUGUGUUUUCCAUGCAUAAUGAAAAAUGUAGUUGAGCCACAUAGGUGAAUAAAAGAUUAAUGGAAAAAUUGUCUAAUUGGUAUUAAACCUAUUGUAAGGACAUUAAUUCAAUUAUAAAUGAUCUAUUUUUACCAAUUUAGCGUUAAAAUUUUAUGCAAAAUUCUAGAUUCUAUUUAAAAUUGGCCAGAAUGACUAUAUUGAAAUUUUGCGUAAAAGUUGAAGACUAAAUUGGUAAAAUUGAAAGAUUUAUGACCAAAGUAACAUCCGUUAAAUAAGUUUAGGACUAAUGGGAUAAUUUUUUGAAGGAUUGAUCGCUCCAUUAUUUUCCCUGCUCUUAUAGCCCGUUUGGAUAAGAGAAUAAAUAAUAUAUAAAAAACACACACAUUUAUAUCAAUUAAAAAAGAAGUAUAUAUUUGUGUCUUACAAAAAAGAGAUAUGUGAUAUCUUUCACCCAGAUGGUUUUCAUUAAGUUAGUUGCUUGAAAUUUGUCGAUGUUGAUCAUCACGUUUGUCUACCAAAGGUCAACUUUCGCGUUUGCCUCAACUAAUUUAGUAUUUAGGUUAACUCCAAGUUCUAUUCUCGCGAAAGCAGUGUAUAAUCAUGGUGUUCUGUUCGAGUGCAAACGUAUCUUUAAUUAUUGCUUUGCCUGAACUUUGUAUUAUUGACGUAAUCAGCCCAAUGAUUGCAGAUUGUGCCCUCCACAUAGUAAAAUGACGUCAACGUACGUGAGAUAUUAUUAUCUCUUAGGCAUUGAGAGAAAUGUUUUGUAGCGAUGCCAAGGUUUAGACAACAAAUCCCAAAAACUUACUACUUAUCGUUCACAAGUUAUCAUCUUAUUAUGGAAUAAAGCUGUUGAAAACUCUUAAUGUUUGUGCAAUGUUGCCUCUGAAUCUUUCUUUUUUGCAAUCAAAUUCUUAAACUAUGAUCUGUUCGCUCCAAUUGGACCUUCCAUCAAGGGGAAAAAAAAUGAAAAUGUUUAUGUGGCCGUUAAGGAUCACGAUGGCCACAUGGCUCCUACGUGCUAUUCGUGAAAAACCAAAGAUGAGAAAAGUUAAAUUUUGUUCCUAAAGGAAAUUUAGUGCAACCACGUCACUGCGGGCUUGAGCCCUCAAGCAACUAGCGGUCGUGUUCGAGUUUGAUCAAUGGAGCGAGGACAGAGGUUGGAAUCUUUCCCAAUAGAAGCUCCCUUCAUCGGCUUUGCGUUUCGAAGCGGCGACAGCAGCAGCAUCUGGGCAAGGUGGUAAUAGCUCAAAUAGGGAGGCUCUCCUCCAACCUUUGAUGGCUUUACUGAUGAUGCUGCAUUGAUUUUCAAGGAAUUCGUGGAGCCCGAAGAUGACUAGAGAUUCUUCGCAUCUUUUUCUCGUCAUUUAAGUCAGUCAUAUUUGGGGCCUGGCCUAGACCGAACCAGACGAGCUCAAAAUAAUUUAUGCCGUGCCCAUAGGACUUGUUUAGGCCUGAUGUAAUCGGGUCGGGGCUGCUUUUAAAUGAAAAGCAACUUGAAAAGCAGCUUGCGAGCUCACAUUAUGAUUUGCCAUUUCCCACAAAAUUAUUUAUCUACGGUAGACAAACAAGCAUUCCUAUCCCUUUACAUAGCUAGGAUACAAACUUUCGCAGCAAAACAUUACCAUGCGAAUCAUUCUAUCAGAUUUUGCAACAAUCAAGCGAAUUCCCUGUCCCAAGCUCCAACAGGCUUACUUAUACCCAUCAGUUCUAGAAAGGAGCACCUGAUAGUCUAUGGGAAAGCACACUCAAAAAGCAUAUGUUGUCUAGAUUCAAGAGCAGCUGAGCACAAGCCACAUCGAUCAACUGCAGAAGCCCCAUUUCUUCAUCCUCCCACAGGUCUGCAACCCAUUCAAGAUUGCUAAUCAAGGGCCGAAACAGAACUUAGAAGUGUUCGGAUUAACCCAAAUCAGUUUAUGACAUACAACCUUUGGCCUUCUUUCUCUAACCAGGUUCCAAAACUCAGUCCAAGUAAAACAACCAUAUGCAAUUCCAGUGAACAUCACUCUGAUCGUCAGCAAUAUGACAAUGCUAAAGCGUCCCGCAUAAUGCUGUCUUGUAUUUGCACCAAUAGAUCUGAUCUUGUUGGAGGCAAGACCACUCAUCUCCGACUAGUAACAGUAGCUACCAAAGAGUUGAUAUAUCUAGAGCAGUAUCAUGAAUCACUCUCUGAGAAUAAACACCCCCUACAAAUGCCAUGAGGGUGCCAUGAUCACACCACAAAUGAACUGUCUUAUCCAUUGCGAGUCACUUGUCAAGUAUGUCGCUUAAGAAUGGACCUAACUUUUUGCAGCUUCCUUCAAGUAUAGGUGAGUUACUUUUAGGAGCAACAGACCGAAUAGAAGUCUGUUUUAGCAACAAAAGGACCCUGCUUUUAGCAACAACUCCUACCGAUUGUGAUUGUUUAUGCUAAUCUGCUGGUCUUUAACCUAAAGUUGUAUGGUUUAUUGUUCUCGCCCAUGCCUCGCCCAAUCCUUGUGGCUUCAUGAGCUUGAGUCUAUCGUCUCCUUUCCCAGCUUCCAUCUCAUGUUCAACCAACCUUUGAUCAUGCACUUGCCAUUUUCUUUUAUGGAGCAGCAUUGGUGGGUAGAUUUAGUAAAGGGCCUCGAAAUACUUUAAUCUGUGUUUUCCAUCACAUGUAAGAUUCAGUAGCUCGAAAAAUGUCAAAUUUGGGGCUUUGCAUAUGUGCUGUUUAGCAGCCGAAUUUUGAUAUAGAUACUGGUUAGUGUUAGGAUUGUGGUAAGAUGAUUGCAAAGUAUAUUGAGCUUAUUGAUAUGAGGAUGUUGCAAAUGUUUAUUCUCCAAUCCUUGUUGAUAUUUUUCGGUACUGACUUGGAUUUUGCAGCCAAUCUCCCUAACGGACUAAGAGAAUUACUGUUACUGGUAAGAAGGAAAAGGAGCCAAAUAGCCAGUAUACUUGCAUUCGAUGUCCCUAUUUUGAGGAAUCUAGAUUUAGAUGAGCACGGUGAGACAUUNNNNNNNNNNNNNNNNNNNNNNNNNNNNNNNNNNNNNNNNNNNNNNNNNNNNNNNNNNNNNNNNNNNNNNNNNNNNNNNNNNNNNNNNNNNNNNNNNNNNNNNNNNNNNNNNNAACGGUUUGAAAGGGAAUGGUCAAAAGAUGAUAAUCAAUCGUAUUCCAAAUGGUUUCUUUUGUUGCUGAAUACAAAAGUUAAUGGACAAGAUCUUGCCCAUUCAAGCAAUUAAGAAUCUCACCUUCGACAUUAAGGCAGAUAGCUACAGAGGUUACGCAGCAUCCUGAGAAAUUACUGAGACUCGCAGUGAUCCGUAUGGCGGCACUCUUGGUUUGAUAGCAGACAUCUACCAAGAAGGUUGAGCGACUUAUUCUGUUCUUUAGGUGUAUCGUCAAUUUAACUUAUUUUACAGUAGUCCAAGAGUCCGAAGGCUGAUAUACCAAAUUGAUUUGCAAAAUAAUCUGACAAACUAAAGCCAAAUAUUUAACAAAUGAACAAUAUUUAACUACUCGACUAGAGUCACAUUUCUUCGAGUCAGUUCUAUAUUCCCAGCAUUGGUUGUUUCUCAUAUAGCCACACAAAGCUUGUGUGGUUAUAAGCGAUGGGCACAUUGAAGUGACCAUUCAAUGCAUCAGUACACAGGGAAGCAACCCCCCCAAAUCAGCUUUGAAGAGGGAGUGCAUUCAUUUAAAUAUAUUCAUUCCAGAAGUCAUAAAAGCUACAAAAAUUCUCCCACAGCAUUCGUCAAUCCACAUGAUGGUGGAUCGAAAUGGACUCAACUGAGGAAAAGAAAGCAGCAAAUGUUCCAGGGACAACAUCCAAAGGAUAAAACCGAGUCGCCACAGUUUUAAGACAUUCCUUAGGACUCACCUUAGAUGUGAGAAAGUACGAAACACUGAUUCCGAAGGAGAAUUAGUAUAAAACAAUGAAGCACCAAGGAAGUAAAUUGAGAUGCACAAUUGCCUGACCAAGCACCUUGCUACAAAGUGGGUCAUUUUUCUCUCUUCUUUAAGUUCAAAUCAGAAGAUUGUCACAAACGGACAACGGGAACGUGGGAGUAAUCAUGAAGUGACAAGAUCUGGUGUUUCUGCUUCAACAAAUAACAAAUCCAUGUAUACUUNNNNNNNNNNNNNNNNNNNNNNNNNNNNNNNNNNNNNNNNNNNNNNNNNNNNNNNNNNNNNNNNNNNNNNNNNNNNNNNNNNNNNNNNNNNNNNNNNNNNUACGAGGCCAUAAACGAGAAAUAGAAAGCAAGCAAAGCAGAAGAAAAAACGUAUCAUCUAUGAAUAGAAAGAAGGCGCACCGUUUUCUGCGGAGAAUCCCCUGUUUCUGUUUCAAAGUCCACUGUUUCUGUUUCAGAGUACAUUGAAUCAGUUUCAGAGCUCCACGCUUGCUUUGCUCCAUUCAGAAUCUUAUCUUUGUAAGACUUCCAAGAGUCAUAACUACAACGACAGUCGGGUAACUCCCCGCUACCUGUUAUGCGUAUCAAGCAAUUAUCUGGUAUUUUUGAGCUCGAUGGAUCAAGAAUCCUUCCUACUGAUCUGCAACCCCGAAUUUGCAACUCACCCAAAAACUCUAGUUCGUCAAUGCCCUCAACAACCUGUAGGCUCGGGCACUGGUGAAUCUCUAACUGCUUCAAGUUCUUCGAGUUUGACAAACCGCCUAAGCUUUUUAGCGAAAAGCACUCUUCUACAUAAAAUUCUUCCAAUGAUUCGAACGCAGUAACAAAUUGAAUAUCCUGUACCUCGAGGAACCCCGACAGAAGAAAUUUUACAAGCGUCUUUUGGGAGCUUGAGAAAAGUAUCGCUCCCCUCCAAUGAUCAAUCAACUUGGGAGCUUGUAGUCCAUUGCACCUCGGCUCCUCCGGCUGACAAACCAAACUCUCGGAAGAUCUGCAGUCCUGAAUACGUGAUCUUUCUGACGAUUCUAAGACAUCGAGAGAUUGAACAUCAAGUUGCUCGGACACCUUGUUUUCUUUCGAUUUUCCCAAACUUGUUGGAAGGAAUGGAGUCUCCUUUUCCGAUGGAGGAAGCCCAUCGUGGUGUACUUGUUUCCCUCCAGUUUCGUAAAGCUCUAAAACUAUCAAAUUUGACGGGAGGUCUUUGAAAGUUGGCAAGUCUAGUCCGUAUAGAGUAAGUUCUUUCAGCAGAGAAAGGGAACCCAACUCUGUAGUUGGGGCGCGGACAUUUUUAAAGCAGAUUUGCAGGUUGCUCAAUUUGGUUAAACUCCCAAUCCACCCCAAGUCGCCGGUUUGGAAUUCAUUUGAUGGGUCUCUAUGUUCAUAGCCAUCAGAUAGGAGCAGUUCAACUAUAUUAGUAAGGUAUGAGAGGUUAGGGACAGUUUGCAGGGAAAAAGAUCUAAGCCGUAAAGUGGUCAAACUUAUGGGAAGCUUUGGCAACUCUUGUAUCUCAUGACAACCAUACAAGUGCAGUGUUUGGAGUUGACGAAACUUGCUCAUUGUACUGGGCAUUUCCGCAAUUGGGGUGCGUGAUACAUUGAGAGAUGACAAGUUUGGUAGUUCACCAAUGGUAUCCGGUAAUUUCAUAAUUUCUGUGUAUGAUACAUCCAGCUCCAUUAACGACUUUAUUUUCGAAACCGAGGCAGGGAGUUCAAUCAAGCUAGAACAAUGGUUAAGACAGAGGCACUGCAAAUUUUGUAACUCUCCAAUUUGUUCAGGCAAUUUUUCAAUGACUGACAAAACUGAAAAUUCAAGUCAGUUAGCCACCUCAGUUUCCCAAUAGAACAAUCAAUUUCCAUUAAAGAGUCAAAUGAACUAACAAUCAACUGCUUUAAAUUUGAGUACUCGGGAAAGGUCGGUGCCUUACUUAUCAAAGUAUUAAACCGAAUAGUGAGAAC